AAUCGCAUUUUUUUUGGCUACUGGAAAUGAGUCAAUCUGGUCGAUAUUUCGGGUUAGUCAAAAAAAUGAAAGGACAAUUUAUUAUUAUGGAUUGAUCUUCCAGGAAUAUUAGCCUUCUGAGAAAAGAGAGAAUUUUGGGCAGCAGUACCUUUAAUCUGUUUGUGUUUAGAAAUGAUUUCAAAUAUAAUAUUGCUCUAACUUGUCGAUCGAAAAUGUUGUGACGUACGCCACUUUGCUCUUUUGGAUCAGAGCAGUGUGACCCUGAUUGAACUUGUUUCGACAUUAAACUAUCUAGUAUAGAAUACUCGACUUGCUUAGUAGUUGUAUCAUAUCUGGAAACACAGGCGGCCAGGAAGUUUUCUUUCCUCCCUUUGCUGUAAAAGGUCACCUUAGCCCCACUUUAGGUUAAAAUGUAAAAAGACCAAGAAGAAAGAAUUGCACAAUUAUCACCCCUCUUUGAAUGCCUCGAAGUCAUGGAUAGAUGGAUAACCCUACAUCUUCAGCUCAAGUUGCUGAAACCACUAGCAAGUCAAUGGGGAAAAGGCCAGCUUAUUGGACGUGACACUUUCGGAAGUGUUUACAUUGCAAGCAACUGGUAAGUUAGCUCUGGGAAACUUUGACAUGCUCAAUUUUUUAAACAUCCAGUCGGUUGAACUUUGACAUGUUCCGUGACAGAGAAACCAGAGUUCUGGGUGAAUGGAAGGAGUUUGAGCUAUUGCCUAAUGAUCCAAAUUUGGCUGAGUGCAUGAGGCAGUUUAAGCAGGUAAUGUUUUUGUUAUGCUUUGGCAANNNNNNNNNNNNNNNNNNNNNNNNNNNNNNNNNNNNNNNNNNNNNNNNNNNNNNNNNNNNNNNNNNNNNNNNNNNNNNNNNNNNNNNNNNNNNNNNNNNNNNNNNNNNNNNNNNNNNNNNNNNNNNNNNNNNNNNNNNNNNNNNNNNNNNNNNNNNNNNNNNNNNNNNNNNNNNNNNNNNNNNNNNNNNNNNNNNNNNNNNNNNNNNNNNNNNNNNNNNNNNNNNNNNNNNNNNNNNNNNNNNNNNNNNNNNNNNNNNNNNNNNNNNNNNNNNNNNNNNNNNNNNNNNNNNNNNNNNNNNNNNNNNNNNNNNNNNNNNNNNNNNNNNNNNNNNNNNNNNNNNNNNNNNNNNNNNNNNNNNNNNNNNNNNNNNNNNNNNNNNNNNNNNNNNNNNNNNNNNNNNNNNNNNNNNNNNNNNNNNNNNNNNNNNNNNNNNNNNNNNNNNNNNNNNNNNNNNNNNNNNNNNNNNNNNNNNNNNNNNNNNNNNNNNNNNNNNNNNNNNNNNNNNNNNNNNNNNNNNNNNNNNNNNNNNNNNNNNNNNNNNNNNNNNNNNNNNNNNNNNNNNNNNNNNNNNNNNNNNNNNNNNNNNNNNNNNNNNNNNNNNNNNNNNNNNNNNNNNNNNNNNNNNNNNNNNNNNNNNNNNNNNNNNNNNNNNNNNNNNNNNNNNNNNNNNNNNNNNNNNNNNNNNNNNNNNNNNNNNNNNNNNNNNNNNNNNNNNNNNNNNNNNNNNNNNNNNNNNNNNNNNNNNNNNNNNNNNNNNNNNNNNNNNNNNNNNNNNNNNNNNNNNNNNNNNNNNNNNNNNNNNNNNNNNNNNNNNNNNNNNNNNNNNNNNNNNNNNNNNNNNNNNNNNNNNNNNNNNNNNNNNNNNNNNNNNNNNNNNNNNNNNNNNNNNNNNNNNNNNNNNNNNNNNNNNNNNNNNNNNNNNNNNNNNNNNNNNNNNNNNNNNNNNGUAUAACAUAUUUGUAACUUUCAAUAGGGUCGCUGAUUCUGUUCAAAAAAAAAAAAAAUAGGGUUGCUGAUUAGAAUUCAAUACUUUGACCAAGUCUAAGGCUGCGUUUGGUUCAACAUUUGCAAUGGGCUUUGUUGAAAGCCCAAAGCUAUUUUGGGAGAAUGCAGUUGUGUUUGGUAAAAAAAUUUUGCAAAUGAACUUUGAGUUGAAGGUGCGUUUGGUAAAAAAAACAUUUGGAAAUGGCUUUAUGGGUAUUAUAUUUUCUUUUUCUUUUUUUUUUUGGAAAAAUUAGGUAAACCCUUCGCCGGACCGGCGAAGGGCUGCUCUUUUUCAUUUAAAAAAUAAAUAAAUACAGGGGCAACGGUGGGUUUUCAAAAAACUUUUGGGGGUAAAAUAGGAAAUAAAAUUUUCAUUAAAUGGACUUGAGCAUCCCGAAAAUGCUGAAGGCUCAAGGCUGGUCUCCACCAGCCUUGAGCUUUCAGCAUUCCCAAGGGGAAACUUUCACUUGAAAGCCCCUUGGGAAUGGUUGCCAAACACCCAUUUUUUGGGUGAAAGGGCUUUGGGGCUUGGAUGGGCUUUCUAAAUGCCCAUCCAAACGCACCCUAAGUCUCUCCCUUUCUCUCACACAUAGAAACAUGAUGAAAUGAUAAACGACGGAGACGUUUCCUGCGCGUGUUCUAAGCAAGUGUGCUGUUUUCUCUUGUGGCAGAGUCCCUCUCGAUUCUUCACCAAAACCUGUUCAUUCCCAUUUCUAGCAGCAGGUGAAUGCCCUUGCUCCUCUAGGAAUUGGGUUUCCGCCUUUGAAAGAAGAUGAGAAAGAAGUAGUCGAGAGAAGAGGAGAAGAGAAUUUUAUUUGUAUUAUGUAUAUCAUUCAAUGUACAAUGUCCACUAUGUUUAUAAUACAAAAUGUGUAUAAGAAAAGCAAGUAAAUAUUUUACAAUUUGGAUCCGAUUAGAUCCGAUACUAAAUGAUCGUGAUUGAUCUUGAAUGAUGUUGUGAAUCUUCAUGUGUAUCUUCUAACACUCCCCCUCAAGCUGAUGGCUUGUAAAUAUCUAAGAUGCCUAGCUUGCUUAGAAGAUAUGCGUGCUGGCUUUGACACAAGGGUUUGGCGAAGACGUCCGCUGGUUGCUCUUCUGUUCGGAUCCCUAGUGUCUCGAUUAUCCCUUGUUGGAUCUUUUCUUGUGCAAAUGGCAGUCCACCUCUAUGUGUUUCGUUCUUUCAUGAACUAUCNNNNNNNNNNNNNNNNNNNNNNNNNNNNNNNNNNNNNNNNNNNNNNNNNNNNNNNNNNNNNNNNNNNNNNNNNNNNNNNNNNNNNNNNNNNNNNNNNNNNNNNNNNNNNNNNNNNNNNNNNNNNNNNNNNNNNNNNNNNNNNNNNNNNNNNNNNNNNNNNNNNNNNNNNNNNNNNNNNNNNNNNNNNNNNNNNNNNNNNNNNNNNNNNNNNNNNNNNNNNNNNNNNNNNNNNNNNNNNNNNNNNNNCAUGUCGCAUAAUUUGCAUCACAAUAUGCAGUCAUCCUCUUAUCACAUUUCUUGGAGAGGAGAAUCUCAAGACCUGGACAUUUCUUCAAAUAUUUUACCACUUUGAGUGUUGCAUUCGUGUGGGACUGCUUUUGAUUGUGCAUGAAUUGACUAGGAGUUUGCACAACAUAAUUGAUGUCCGACCUGGUUAUAGUUAAAUAUAUGAGUUUCCUAACAAGUUUCUGAUAAGUCGUUGGAUCCUUAAUGUAGGAUCGGGUUCUUGAGAGAUUCCAGUAUCAUACUCUGCUGUGGUCAAUUUGAUAUUUUCUUGAUUGGAUUUAUAGCCAACUUACAUCCUGACAGUUCGGCUUCUAAUAUGAUUUCCAAGGCAAAUUUUCUCUGGUUGAGAGAUAUUCCUUGGUCUUAGCUAACUGGACAAGUAGCUUAAUACUAUUUGAAGGGGAGUCUAAAUUGGAUGGCUGCAGAGGUACUCUGCUUUUGUGAACGUCAAUGCUACAUUACUUUUUUUUUUUUUUUUUUAACAUGGUGGAAUGAUGUAGUCUAUCCUGUGGCUCAUACAAUCCUUGAUGGCAUAUGAUUACAGCACAUAUCUCAAUUGUACUGCUGACAUCUGAAGUUUGGGAAGUACUAUUUACAAGGAAACCUCCUUGGAGUGAGUAUGAGCGGGUAAGAAUGCUGCAUUGCUUUUCAUUUUCUCUAUUCGUCCUUCCAAGUAAUAUGCUUCCAACCAAAUCUGUGUUACCAUUUUCUGUUGGAAGUUCGGGACUGUGCAUAUUACCAUUUGUUAUGUGAUAUGUGUCUUUAGUUUCUAUUUAAGGUUUAAUAAUUAAUGUAGGCUCAAGCUAUAUUUAAGGUGAUGCAAAGUUCUCCACCAAUACCUAAGAUGUUAUCUGCCGAGGGAAAGGAUUUCCUGCAAUGCUGCUUUUGAAGAGAGCCUGCCGAGAGGCCCUUCAGUUGCUAUGCUACUUGAGCAUGCUUUCUUGCAAAUUUGAAGUGAUGACUGACUUAUUUCAAGUGCCAUACCUUGUUGAAAAAGUAAUGUCUUACUAUAAAGUUCCAGAUUUGCUAAACCAAAAGUAUCAUGAGGUCCAUAGGUGUGAUGAAGUACUUGUCUAUUGACAAAAUUAGAUGCAUGCCUGAGCGGUGGCAUACUUUGAUCUAGGCAAUUUGACAGUGUUGCCUAAUCUAAACGGAGAUCUAGGCAAUUUGAAAGUCUUGCCUAAUCUAAACAUUUUACUACGGAGUGCAUUCUUACCAUAGACAUUUUGUCUAUUACUUUAAUUUCAUCAAAAUUGAAUGGUAUUGAUAUGGCUCCAAAUAAGCAACAAAUCGGCAAAACACAAGCAAGAAACCCAGAAAAGAAAAAGGAAAAAGAAAAUCCAAGUGAUGAUGCAUCAGAAUCCCUGAAAUAAUUUUGGAAGCAAGUACUCCGUCGAUUUGGUUGGGGGAACAUUGGCAGGUUUGGCAAACCUGCAAUAUCUUAGGAUUGGGGAAGUGAAGAGAAGAGUAGCAAAGUUAUGGGCAUUGGAGGCUCUUGAUUCUUCCUUUAAGAAAGUCAAUCUCAACAAAUACAUGAGAUUUCUCCAACUAGAGUGGCUCUCAUCUCCAUCACCAAAUUCCGGAGAAUUAAGAAAAGCCAUUGGGUGUCUGUGGAUGUAAAUGAUGAUGAUUCGAGAUUUGUGACUUCCGAAAGGAGAAUUGACGUUGAUUGUUGCAAAUAGCUCGUGACUUGUGUCUAUAUUUCAUCUUGUGUCUAUGAAAUGCAAAUAGCCCAUGAAUUUUGUUUAAAAUAUCUCACAUCAUUCAUUUACGAGAUUUUAAUGGGCCUAAUAUUUAUUUAAUUUCCCUUCAAAUAUUUAUUCAAAUUUUUGGGUUGGACUUCCUCAUGCGUGCGUGAUGUCAUUAUUGCACUAGUAUAUUGCGUUAUAUACUCAUCACCAAUACAUCGCAAGAUUCAUCGUGACAGGGGCUUUUGCUCAUGGGGCUAUGAAAAAGUUAAGUGCUAAAAAAAUAUCAACUCUAUAUUUUUUAUGAUAUACUAAACAAUUUUAAAGACUAUGAUUGGCCUUAGUAAGUAAGUCACAUUUUACAUUUUCACAUUAUUUGGCACACAAAAUGUUGAUAUAAUUAGUAUUAAUUCAGGGGCCGCAAUUGUAAUUGGCUCAAAGGUGAGUGCAUCUUCAUAAGUAAUACCGGCAAACUCCUUUUGAGAUUAUCCUUCCUAGGGCAUGUUCUCCUACUUAGAUAACCUGAUAAUUUUCCUCUUUUUUUCUGAUAGUAUAAUUUAAUUUCCCUUUAUUAAUUUCCUCUGUCUAGAUCUAGUGCAUCUCUCUACUCGUGCGUUCGUUCCUGGUGAAAUAAGGGGAUUAAAUUAAUCUUGUUGGCUAACUGUCAACAUCAAUUAAGACAUCAAUUAAGCUUUCUCUCUCUCUCUUCAUAAAUACUUAUACACACAGCUCUUACUGUGUAUUUUUAUCAAUAAUUUCUUUUAAUUAUUUAAUAAUUCAAAUAUUUUAUAAACAAAGACUUGAAUUAAAAUUUGUAAAUACCANNNNNNNNNNNNNNNNNNNNNNNNNNNNNNNNNNNNNNNNNNNNNNNNNNNNNNNNNNNNNNNNNNNNNNNNNNNNNNNNNNNNNNNNNNNNNNNNNNNNNNNNNNNNNNNNNNNNNNNNNNNNNNNNNNNNNNNNNNNNNNNNNNNNNNNNNNNNNNNNNNNNNNNNNNNNNNNNNNUUUUCUUAUGACUCUCGCCUGCAUUUGGACUCUUAUCUCCAUUUUCGUUUUCUUUUGUUCUUUUGCCAAACCCUAACCAUAAUGCGCCUUUUCUUUUUUGUCCCUUUGUUCUCGCCCUUUUCUUUCGUACAACUCGCUCUUCUUUUCCAGCUGUUCUUUUUUUCUUCUUUUUUCGGUUCUCUGCCCAAACCCUUAAUGAAGACUAAUUGGUGUACGAUGACAUUGAGCGCCAUCGUCGACCGAUCAAGUUCGCUAAACUCAAGUCAUCAACGGACUGACUAUCCUUGUUUGAACAGGAGCUUCCACCAGCGUGGCAGGAAAAUGAAAACAAAAACUCAAGCAAGAACUCAUUGAUUUUCUAAGAUUUGGUCAUAAGUAUCGAUGAAAAGAAACUUUAAUACUGCUGCUCCGAGAAUGGAAGCACUCCCAACAAGAAAACCCAAGUGAUCGAAUUCAAUUCACGGCGGAUGAUGCGAGUUUAACAGUCAUUCUCUACGACAAUCACAAUAGCGAUGCAGUAAUUUUGAACUCCCCAGUGAGAUGUCUCUUGAUGCGGCAGAGGAAUCCAAUCUAUUACUUUUUUAUAUCAUCACUAAAAUUUUGUUACAUAAUUUAACUUACAAUUGUAUCAUCUACAUGAAAAUUCGAAAUACGAUCUAACUAAACGGAAUAAAUCGAAUCUCACUAAAUCGAAAUGUUAAACAGAAAAUAGAAUGCCCAGAUGAGAAUCUGACUUGACAGUCUAGAAAAAAACUGGAAUUCUUUCUGAUAAAUCUUUAAGUUCUAACUAAAACAUGUACUGUGUUUCUAGCUGAUGUCUCCUUCUGUUUUCCUUUCUUGCCGACUAGCUCUAUACGUAAGGACCGGGUCGUGAUGGUGUGAAUGCUUCGCCGGGGAGUCUCGACUAAAAGCAGCCUCCCUCCGACCGGGAUUCACCUGCUUUUCACCUUUUGCUUUUCACACUAAAUCUUUGCUGAAGAUAUGGUCAUUCAUCGUGAGGGUGUGCUGCAAUUUCUCCGCUGCCGUUGCCUUCUUGACCACGUUCUUCUCCUCAUCAGAGCAAUCUCCACCGAAGCCCACCGACAGUUCCACUUGCGCUCUUCUUUUAUUUCAAGUCUUUUUCAACUUUCUCUGCUUUCGGUUCCGCAUGGCCCGACCAUGUCCCCUCGUCCUUGUCUCGGUGUUCAGUUAGUCGGCACGUUUCCACCGUAUCGUGUCUCACGAGAAUUUGCUCUCCAUUUUUGCAGAAUUUCAGCUCUUCCCUUUCUGUUCCUUUUUUGUGUUUUCACACUUCUAUUUCCCUUCCUUCGCACUCGCACGAAUGCCGUGUCGAAAGUGGACUCAAGUUGACCAUUUCGGUUCACAAAAAUUCGCAAUUUUAUUGGAAACGGUCUGUAAUUUUAAAUGCGAAAGAAUGCAAUAGAGAUUGAGAAUGUGAGAUUACAAAUGCUUUUUUUUUUUUAAUAAGGGGUCAAAUUAUCAGUGAAUUUGAUUGCUGAAUUUCAUGAGAAUGCGGAUAGGACCUUUAGGUGAAAAUCUGUGUCAACAAUAAUUUUCCUCAAAAGUUAGCAAGUUGUUAUUCCUCUUUAAAUUAUCCCUUCGUUGAAUUUUUUUAUUAUUUAUUUUUGCCUAAAGAUCCAAACUGUAUACGAAAUUGAUCUGGUAAAUUAAUUAGUAUAUGUAAAAUUCCAAGUCUGAUUCGAGAUUUAUGCGAUGUAAAUAAGCAGCACUACUUCUGAAGUUUUCCUAAUUAAUGUUAUGCAAAUCAUUUCUAGAGGGAUAAAAGAACUAAUUGACACUUUUCUUAUAGCUAAUGAUUUAUGGCACAAAGAUACUAACAGUCGAGAGAUGCUGUGGGUUUUUUGAAAGGUUAAGCGCUGGGGGAGCCUCCAUUUUAUAGUGGAGACAGACAGACAGAGGAGAGAGAGAGAGAGAGAGAGAGAGAGAGAGACCAAUGGCAUCGGUAUUGAAACUUGCAAAGAAGAGAAGAACUAGCACAUACCACAAAGUGCUAAUUCCUACCUCUAAAAUGACGACCGUGUAGCAACUCUGAGAUUGUUACGCUAUCGGACUCGUCCCCUCUGUCUGAUUUGGACAACUCAGCAACUGCAGACUUGACAUGUGAUCACCAAAUAACGUUCAUUGAAGAUGAAAAUUGUUGAGAAGGACACUGUCGAUGGCUAUUUGAAGGCACGCGAUCACCAUUGCUGCAAAAUUAGGAUAUUGGAAUCACGAUGGACGCUCUCUCCCUUGCGUGAUGCCCCCGCCAAACACUCGCUUAAAGCAGAGCAUAUAAAACAAGAUAAAGCCACCUAAUCCCGUCCUUCGCGCGCGUCCCAUUCGAGCGUUUUCAGUAUUCUCUCCAAUAGCGCAGAGACAAAAAGAAGUGACGCAGCCGACUGACUUUUGGAUUGUACCCAUUUGAAAAAUGCACAGCAAGUGCGUAUAAUUGGGCUCUGAUCACCCCUCCUCUCCAUCGCUUUGCCUCCUCUGGUGUUUCCCUUUAUAAAUACGAGCAGGGAAUACAUCCAUCUUAUUUAACAUAACUGAUCCUAUCCCCUCUAUGGUGAGUUCCUUAUACAUUUAUUAUAUGUGCAGUUGAUUUGUUGAAGGCUGGUGCUACUGUGAUUUUGCGCAAUGCAAAGAUCGAUAUGUUCAAGGGUUCAAUGAGGCUAGCAGUUGAUAAAUGGGGCCGUGUCGAAGUCACAGAACCUGCAGAUUUCACAGUAAAGGAGGACAACAAUCUCUCCAUGAUUGAAUAUGAGCUGGUAAAUGUUGCGGACGAGUAGUUGAUAUCUGAUUGCAGCAUCGUCAUACUUUAAGAAUUUCUUAGGUUGUUAUAGUCAGUUUCUUAUUAUAGUUUCCUGAUAUAUCUACUUUUAUGUCCGAGAUUCUACUUUUGACAAUGAUGGAGUGGGAAGGUUUCUAAUUUCCAGGGUCUAGAUUUGGAUUUUACUACUGAAUCCUUCCUUCUAUACAUCACUCUGCAUUAUGAUCGAUGCUGUAUAAUGCUAGCCCGAACUUUCAUGCUCAAUAUCAACGUGGUAAAUACAUUUCUGUGAUGAAUCCAAUUAUGCAAUCACAAAUUCUUGAUGUAGUGAGCCAAACAUGUAGGUUUGUUAUGGAUUUGGUUCUAUAACUAGGAUUAAUCAAACAUGCACACAUCUGUUCUUUUCCCAUGAUGGAUGCACUAUUAUAAAUCUGGGGCGUCGGUCAGUAAGCUCAUUAAUUUUAAGCUACGCAAAGAUACUAAUAGUUGACCUAUAUAAGUGUGGAGUGGAGCCGCUCCUGUGAGAAUUUUUGGCGAAAUCUUUAAAGCACUUAUGAAUAAACCAAGCACGCACAUAGCCUAUUAGCACAAAACCGCGUUGAACAACAAAGUUUGUGGGAGUGUAAUGUGAUUAGUGAAAAUUAUAAUUCACAAAAAGAAAUUCUUGGUUCAUAGAAGUUUCAAACUUCACCAAUGAUUUCGUGAAUUAUAUUUCAUUCUUUCUAGGAUUGGUUCAUAGCCUAACAAGCAUAAGUUCUGAUGCAUUACUCUCCAAUAACCCAGUAUUAUUAUAUUUUUCUUGUCAAAACUUUUUGAAAUAUGUGGGGGAUUGUUGGAUAUUUCAGUAGUUUUGAAAUAUUUAUUAGAAAUUAUUAUCGUCAUGAAAGUCAUCAUUUUUGUAACGGCUUUUUAACGGUCAUAUAACGGCUUUCUAAUGGUUGUGUAACGGUCUUCUAACAGCUUUAUAAAUUUUGAUUUAUUACUUCAUAAACUCUUCAUUAUUUUAUAACGGUCAUCUUUUUAAUUACUAAUUGAUUUAUGAUGAUCUCCUAACGGCUCUCUUUUCCUUGUUUAAAUAUAAAUUAAACUUCAAACCACAAUCGUAGCAAUACAAUGUGUUCACACAUCUUUCCUUUUCUUCUUGCUGGGUUAUACACAAAAGUUGUUCUGUUUCCUUCUAAUAUUCAGUGUAGAGUAUAGAGGAAGGUCUGUUGUAUCUUGAGAGGAUAGCCACCGAAGCUUUACGCACCGAGUUUCGUACUCCGAGGGGCGGAAUUAUCCUUAAGGACAGUGCUUGCACGCCUCAGACAUUUCAUUUUAUUUUCUAAUCUUUUGUAAUGCAUUUCCAAUAAUAAUUAUUAUUUUAUGUAUUCUAAUACUUUUUCCAACAGAUUUUCCAUAUAGAAUUCUCUCAAAUUAAAAGGCGAUGAAAUGACACCCGUUGAAAUUGUAAAUUCUGUGAAUGGGGUACAAUAAUCGUAAGCUUUAUUCUUUAUUCUUGGACAAGGUCUCUAACGGCAUAUUAUUGUUUGGCUGGAUGGGGUUUUAAUUAAUGUGAACACAUCACUUUUAAGAUUCUGACUUUUUGUUAUAAACUCUACAUAGACAAAGUAGUCUCUUUAGUGAUGCAAAUUAAGGAGAAUAUGGAUCGUCUUAGGGUCUUGCGUACAAUAUGAGCCACUUGGACUGCAAACUAUUUGCACUUCCCAACCAGGCAUUCAUGAAUUGCAUUAUAAGUACUCAAAGAUUCCUAAAGUUUUGGUUGUCACGUAAUCACAAGAUGACUUGUCAUAAGUAUAAUUUUGUAAUAUGAAGGGUGUGUUUAUUUUACUGAAAAUUUCGUAAUAAAGGAAAAUAUUUUUCAUGAUAAUCAUUUUUAAAGAAAAUAGUUAGUUUUCAAUUUUUUUUGGUGAUUUAGGGAAAGUGAUUUCCUCUUUGCCAAAAGAAAAAGUUGUUUUCCCAUGUCUAAGCUUGUUGUUUUCAGUUCACUUAUAUGUAAAUUGAUUAAUCUUCUGUCAACUAAACACUGAAAAGUCGAAAAAUAAUUUUUCAGGAACAUUUUUCCUUCAAUCAAACAGACCUAAAAUAGGAUUUCAAUGUAGAUUUGGGAUGCCAUAGAGAGGUUGAUCCCAAAAACCCUCGAUGCUACUUCAUUGGCCAAAGAGACCGCUGCCUACUUGUGGGUGUAAAAAAUAAAAAUGCCUACAUAAAUGUGUAUAUAUAUAUUGGUCGAAUGGUAGGUGCAAAUGCAACAAUCAAAAGAUUUAAAACAGAUUAAACUUUCAGUCAAUUUUUCAGUUAUUUUAUUUAGAGCUAAUAAGUUAUUCAAUGUUAGUACCUCAUAACGUUUAAAGUCGCCAUGAUUCUUUUCUGUUAAUUUAAGUUAAUUUUGUUAAUUAUUUUGGGAGAACGAAGUUAAUACACCGUUAAAUAAUAAGACUAUAUAAUCAACAACCCUAAUUAACUAUAAUCCACGGGCAUAAUUCUGGUGUUUUCUUUCUUCCAUAGUUAUUUGGAAUUUACUAGGCCUGGAAAUCUUCUAUGUAACUCUUGAGUAUUAUUCUGAGAAAGGAAUGUAAUUUUUCUUUUGAUUUAAAAAAAGAAGAAGAAGAGACCCUCUAACAAUUAGAUCUAGCAGUAAUUCGAUCAACUAGUGGCUUGCAAUCUGUCUGUUGACCUCAGUCAUGAGAGGAAUACCCGAAUACCUAACAUGUAGAUGACCUCUCUGAAACCCACACAAAUCCGGUAUGCCAGAAACUAGAAUGUCAAAUGUGUAGAAUCACUUCAGGACCAGACAUUUCCCUAAAGAACCUUAAAGCUUGAAGACGCGUCACCCUUAAAAGACAACAUCAGAUCACCAGCAAAAGACACAUGGUUGAGUUGAAUCUUGGCACAAUAAGGAUGACACCUGAUUCUCCCGGCCUGAUUGGCUGCAUUCUCCUGGAUCAACACCUCCAUUGCAAUUACAAGAGGAUAGGGAGAGAGGAUCACCCCCCUCCAAGAAUCCAUUUACUUCUACAGGAAGGUUAGGAGUUGUGAUGCAAAGCUCGACCCAAUUUGACAAAACAAAGCAGAAACCCUAGUAGAUUUCAGAAUUUCCAAGAGGAAAUCCCAAUUUAAGGAGUCAAAAACCCUACCAUAAGUCAGUCUCUGUCAAGUAUCUCGGAGAUACAUCAAUCCUAUGAUGAUGCUUGACUAAUUUAAAGACUACCAAAAUAUUAUCUACUCGAAUAUUUCUACCUUCUAUACAAGUGCACACCGAUUCACGUUAAUGAAAAGAAGGCAAAACUUUUACUUAGCUCAUUGGCCAAGAUUUUUGCAAUCCACUUAUUAUAAAGAACUAUAGUGACAAAUUUUUACUUUAAUUUUGUUGAAUUGGAAAUGAAAUUUUGUUUUCAAUGUAAAAUCUUUUCAUAGAAGUUGCCCAUAACAAUGGGCGAUGCUGUCAAAUGAUUGAGGAUCUGGACACGCGCGUCAAGGGAGACAGAAUCAAUGGUGCAAUUCUGAUCAAACGUUGCCAUCAUAUUACACCUCCAAUCCCAUCGUACCUUACAAAGAGUCCAUUAGGACCUUGGGCGAUCAAGUCAAUGGCUCCCAAUCAAACCCAACAUAUAGAAUAAUUUCUUUUAUUUUUUCUAAUGAUUGCUUUUGCCACUGAAUGAUAAAAUAAAAUAUCGUCUUUAUUCAAAUGGCCAGAGCCAGAGAGGGAAGAGAAAAGGCCUUUUCUAUAAUGGAGGCACAUAUGCUCUUGAGCCUAAAUUCCUAAUAGAGCCAAUGGCUCUUUCAUCUUUUCAAUCCCCCCCCCCCCAAGAACACCUACCUUCAUUAUCACACUUCCCCCAUCAAAUCCCUACCAUAGGUGGCAGCAGGUAUGCUAUCCUACAGUAGUUUCGAACUUUGAUGUUCUUUUUUGUUGGGGUUUAGAUGCUUCGGAGGUUGGAAAUGUGGGUGAUUCCAAAGUUCAUGUGUUCUCGUCAUCAUCCGAGGUAAAACCCAUCAUGAUGUUUCCCUUGAUCCAGGUUAUUGGCGCUUUUCAGUUAUGUGCAUGUGUAUUAGUGUCUUUAGUUACGGUGCUUAUGAAUGGAUCAAAAUCACAACUGGAUAGGCAAUUGUAAAUGAUUUCCCUGCUUUAUAACAACUUGCCAAAUGAUGGGAUUGGUUCGAGGAUGUUCGAUUUUGGCCCAAACAAUUGUGGGCGGGACACGUUCUUCCAGGCAAUAAUAGCUGAAUGAAUCCGUAGUGCCUUGUAAUCGUCAAUUUGUGGUUGAGAUUUUAAUAGCAGGAAGGGCAGGUGUUUGAAGAAUUUGAUGAUAAGGCGAUGAAUUUUAUUUGCCUCAGCUAUGUACUAGGAUGUGAAGUUAAAGCUACCAAAAUUUUGCAUCGAUCUCCAUUGAAUGCGGUUGAACCUCUUGCUAACUGACUUCCGCCCUAGGAAAAGAUUUGCAAUCCGAAGAAGCUUGAGCUAGGCCAUUGUUUCCCAUCUUCACAGAUCCGAAGUCACCUGACCUGUAUGAUGUAAAGAAAUCCCUACGAGACGUAGCAUGAACGGAUGCACCACUAUCAAUUACCCAACUGGUCUCAUGAGAUACAAAAUUCACCACAUCACCAUAAAAAAUAGUGAGAAAGUCUUCUUUAAGUGUAGCGACACGAUUGUCAUCACUGUCAUUAUCACUUUUCUCCUCUUUACUUUUCUCCUUUUGUUUCUACCUUUUUAACUGGCGACAAAACCUCUGAAUAUGUCCCUUUCUGAUGACAAUAAUGGCACUCAACAUUAGCAAAUUUAUUAUACUUACCUCUGCUUUUAUCUCGACUUUUAUCUCUACUUCUUAGACCUCGAGACUCACUUCUCCCCAUUUUCUCGACAACCAAGGCAUUAGAAUGUGAAGAGGAUGAUUAAAUAAAACUGAACAACCACUAAGUAUCAUUAGCUCGCUAAGCAAGGAUUAGUGAGAUUAUUCACCGAAAUCGCGCGCAACCCGGAUCAAAUCGACGGGCACGACGUGGGGAAUGAGACUCCCCAAAGCACGGCUUGGGUUCGAGGCCCGGAAACGGCCCAAAACGAGCCCGAAGGGGGCUGGAAAACCCACUCGUGGGUCACUGCCCUUGGCUGGCCGAAGCUAUUUCGGUGGCCAAAACGGCGAGGGGAGGCCGGCGAAGGGUGAGGGGGACGCUGGGGAGGUUGGGACGGCGGCAGGGCGGAGCUGGGUGGCGGUUGAAGGCGUUGGCCGAGCUGGGCAAGGGGGGAAUGUCAAGUAGUUGUUCGUGCAAUAGUUAUCUCAGCGAAGGGGCAUGUUUGAAACCCAUCAUUCUAGCUUUGCGCCUUUUCGCUCAUUUCGUUUAUGCAUGCCCAUAAAGCAAGCGAACAAGUGCAUAAAAAUUUAUGCUACUUUGAGCAAAAAAAUCUUAAUUGUCAUGCAAUAUAUUGAGGUUCUACCAACAUUGGAGAAAGCAGACCAACUCUAGAAAAUACAGAGCAAUAUGUUCAUGGAGUCAAAGUCAACGUUGAAAAUAGAUCAACUCUAGAAAAGACAAACAUGGAAAUAUAUUCACGGAGUGGGGGAAAAGAAGAUAAACUGAACAUCGAAUAGAGGACUACAGUCCAAAAAUCACUGUGAUAAAGUGCAUAGCCUGAUGAAACUAUUCCAGUCCGGCUGGAGUUGGAGGAUCUCCACCUCUUAGAGUGUGGUUAAGAUGGAAGUGUCCAUCCAUCAAUUGUCGAUAAUUCGACAUCAUCGUAUCCAUAUAAGUUCCCAUUGCAUUGACAACGGCUUCUGUCAUAUCUUUCAGUGCUAUAAUUGCUCCUUAUUGAAUGCCCUAAAGUGGAAGUCCAAAACGCACUCCGAUAAAGUGCAUAGCUUGAUGAAUCUGUUCCAGUUCGGCUGGAGUUGGAAGAUUUCCACCUCUUAGAGUCUAGUUAAAAUGGAAGUAUCCAUCCAUCAGUUGUUGAUAAUUCGACAUCAACGUAUUCAUAUCAGUUCUCACUGCAAUGACGAUGGCUUCUGUCAUAUUUCAGAGUGCUAUAAUUCCUCCUUGCUGAAUGCCCUGAAGGGGAAUUCCCUGAUCCUGCCCUGGCUAUUCUUCUUGUCCAUUAAGAUCCUCUCCUUGUCCGUCAGCCUCAUCUCCUGCAAGAGCGCCCCUGGUCUAUUUCCCCUUCAAGUGGAAUUCCCUGCUGAAUGCCCUGAAGGGGAAUUCCCUGAUCCUGCCCUGGUUGUUCUUCUUGUUCAUUAAGAUCCCCUCCUUGUCCGUCAGCCUCAUCUCCUGCAAGAAUGCCCCAGUCUAUUUCCCUUUCAAGUGGAACAUGCUGCGCGAGAGCAGCAUAAUCAAAGUAAUCUUCAAAGUCUUGAUCUUUAAAGUUGAUAUCAUCAACGCUUAAAUCAUUCUUAGGUAAACCUGAAUAAACAGCUCCAUGAGCUGGUUGAUUGACAAUGGGUACUAGAGGAGCUGGUUGAUUGACAAUGGGCACUACAGAUUGAUUAACAAUGGGUAAGACAGGAGUUGCUUCAGGAUCAAUUAUUCCAAAUUGUUGUCGGAACGCCUCUCUAAUAUGUGCAGGGAUUUGACUGCAUCUUUUGAUCUCACGCGUCACCCUCGGCACUCAAGACAGAUGUAUUCUGAUUCUUGGGGUGGCUGAGUGGCCACCACAUAUGAAUUGAUGGACCUCAAUUAAUGCGCAUCUAAAUUGAUGGACCUCAAUUAAAGCCCAAACAAUAAACACUAAUCUAACCACCUAAGCCUAGUUAAAAUAAAACUAAACAACCACUAAGUAUCAUUAGCUCGCUACGUAAGGAUUAGUGAGAUUACUCCCCAGAAUCGCGCGCAACCCGGAUCAAAUCGACGGGCACGACGUGGGGAAUGAGACUCCCCAAAGCACGGCUCGGGUUGGAGGCUCGGAAACGGCCCAAAACGAGCGUGAAGGCGGCUGGAAAACCUACUCGUGGGUCACUGCCCUUGGCUGGCCGAAGCUAUUUCGGUGGCCAAAACGGCGAGGGGAGGCCGGCGAAGGGUGAGGGGGACGCCGGGGAAGUUGGGACGGCGGCAGGGCGAAGCUGGGCAGGGGGGAAUGUCAAGUAGUUGUUCGUGCAAUAGUUAUCUCAGCGAAGGGGCAUGUUUGAAACACAUCAUUCUAGCUUUGCGCCUUUUCGCUCCUUUCGUUUAUGCAUGCCCAUAAAGCAAGUGAACAAGUGCAUGCCCAUAAAGCAAGCGAACAAGUGCAUAAAACUUUAUGCUACUUUGAGCAAAAAAAUCUUAAUUGUCAUGCAAUAUAUUGAGGUUCUACCAACAUUGGACAAAGCAGACCAACUCUAGAAAAUACAGAGCAAUAUGUUCAUGGAGUCAAAGUCAACGUUGAAAAUAGACCAACUCUAGAAAAGACAAACAGGGCAAUAUAUUCAUGGAGUGGGGGAAAAGAAGAUAAAUUGAACAUCGAAUAAAGUACUACAGUCCAAAAAUCACUGUGAUAAAGUGGAUAGCCUGAUGAAGCUGUUCCAGUUCGGCUGGAGUUGGAGGAUCUCCACCUCUUAGAGUCUGAUUAAGAUGGAAGUGUCCAUCCAUCAGUUGUCGAUAAUUCGGCAUCAGCGUAUUCAUAUAAGUUCCCAUUGCAUUGACAACGGCUUCUGUCAUAUCUUUCAGUACUAUAAUUGCUCCUUGUUGAAUGCCCUGAAGUGGAAGUCCAAAACGCACUCCGAUAAAGUGCAUAGCUUGAUGAAUCUGUUCCAGUUCGGCUGGAGUUGGAAGAUUUCCACCUCUUAGAGUCUAGUUAAACUGGAAGUAUCCAUCCAUCAGUUGUUGAUAAUUCGACAUCAACGUAUUCAUAUCAGUUGUCACUACAUUGACGACGGCUUCUGUCAUAUUUCAGAGUGCUAUAAUUCCUCAUUGCUGAAUGCCUUGAAGGGGAAUUCCCUGAUCCUGCCCUGCCUAUUCUUCUUGUCCAUUAAGAUCCCCUCCUUGUCCGUCAGCCUCAUCUCCUGCAAGAGCGCCCCGGUCUAUUUCCCCUUCAAGUGGAAUUCCCUACUGAGGAAUUCCCUGCUGAAUGCCUUGAAGGGGAAUUCCCUGAUCCUGCCCUGGCUGUUCUUCUUGUUCAUUAAGAUCCCCUCAUUUUCUGUCAGCCUCAUCUCCUGCAAGAGCGCCCCAGUCUAUUUCCCCUUCAAGUGGAACAUGCUGCGCGAGAGCAUCAUAAUCAAAGUAAUCUUCAAAGUCUUGAUUUUGAAAGUUGAUAUCAUCAAUGUUUAAAUCAUUCUUAGGUACACCUGGAUAAACAGCUCCAUGAGCUGGUUGAUUGACAAUGGGUACUAGAGGAGCUGGUUGAUUGACAAUGGGCACCACAGAUUGAUUAACAAUGGGUAAUACAGGAGCUGCUUCAGGAUCAAUUAUUCCAAAUUGUUGUCGGAACGCCUCUCUAAUAUGUGCAGGGAUUUGACUGCAUCUUCUGAUCUCACGCGUCACCCUCGGCACUCCAGACAGAUGUAUUCUAAUUUUUGGAGUGGCUGAGUGGCCACCACAUCUGAAUUGAUGGACCUCGAUUAAUGCGCAUCUGAAUUGAUGGACCUUAAUUAAAGCCCAAACAAUAAACACUAAUCUAACCACCUAAGCCUAAUUAAAUAAAACUAAACAACCACUAAGUAUCAUUAGCUCGCUAAGCAAGGAUUAGUGAGAUUAUUCACCGGAAUCGCGCACAACUCGGAUCAAAUCGACGGGCACGGCGCGGGGAAUGAGACUCCCUAAAGCACCGCUCGGGUUCGAGGCUUGGAAACGGCCCAAAAUGAGCCCAAAGGGGGCUAGAAAACCCACUCGUGGGUCACUGCCCUUGGCUGGCCGGAGCUAUUCCGGUGGCCAAAACGGCGAGGGGAGGCCGGCGAAGGGUGAGGGGGACACGUGAGGUCGGGACGGCGGCUGGGAGAGGCAUUUCAGAGAAAUACUACAAAGAUUUUGGAGUGCUUAAUAGGGAAUCAAGUAUCCUAAUAAGGCAUUUAUGGGAUGGGAGGUGUUGGUAAAACGACUAUUAUGGUGCAUAUAUAUAAUAAGCUCAUUGAAAAAGCAAAUUAUCAUUGGUUGUGGGUCACUAUGUCAAAAGAUUUUAACACACAAAAGUUGCAGGAAGACAUUUGGAAGGAACUAAAAGUGGGCACACAACUAGAAAAGGAUGUGAGGAAAGGAGCAGCAAUGUUGUCCAAUGAUUUAACAAAAAGAGGGAAGUCUAUAAUAAUCCUCGAUGAUGUGUGGGAAUAUUUCAAUCUUGAAGAGGUGGGAAUCCCUGUUAAAGCAGAUGAAAUUAAGUUGGUCUUAACCACUCGAUCCCAUGAUGUAUGCUACCAAAUGCAAUGUCAAGAGAAGAUAAAAAUCGAACCUCUAUCUCUAAAAGAAGCUAAGAGUUUAUUUUUUGAGGAGAUUGGAUCUGAAGUGGCUCUUAAUUUGGAAAUUGAAGCAGUUGUAAAGUCCAUUGUUAAAGAAUGUGCAGGCUUGCCGCUUGGAGUCAUCACAAUGGCAGCAAGCAUGCGAGGAGUGACCGAUGGGUUUGAAUGGAGGGACUCCCUGGUUAAAUUGGAAGAAUCAAGUAAGGGGCAAACAGAUAUGGAGAAGGUCUUAAUGAAUCUGAAAUUCAGUUAUGAUCGCCUUGGUAAUCCCGAUGUCCAACAAUGUUUCUUAUCCUGUGCACUUUAUCCAUAAGAUAAAUUGAUUGGUAAGGUUGAGUUGAUAGAAUUCUUUAUUGACCAAGGAUUGAUUAAAACCAUAAUCUAAAUUCAAAACAACUAUUCUUAUGCGCUCCACAUCAACUCCAGUAUUGUUUCCAACUUUAAGCUUUAACUCCCUUGGACUUGAAUUUCUUAGAUUUGUGAGACCCUGUAAGGUAGUGGUCACAAGAGCAGUAGCACCAGAUUCAAGCCACCAAGAAUCCAAAAGAUUAUCAACUAUAUUUGAUUAAAAAAAAAAAACCAACAACUCACCUUGGUGACUUUCUUUUCUUGCUUUUAGCCAAGCUUGGAACUUAUAGCAAUUGGCUCUCUUGAGACCCUGCUUUUUACAGUGAAAACACUUGAAAUCAUUAUCUCCAUUUUUUUCCAGGAUUCCCAUUUUUCUUGAAGUCUUGGCCUUUCUUUGGACCAUGAGCAUUUGACCCUUUAGGCUUCCAUUUUCCUCUAGAUGAAUUCAACUUGGCAUUGGCAAUUAAGUGAGCGGACUCAUACUUCCUUCUUUAACUUCUCUUCCUUAGUUACACAUUUGGUAAUCAAGGCAUUGACGCUUCAUGUCUCAUUCUGAGCACUAUAAGUAGUCUUAAUCUAACUAAAUUCAGCUGGUAAAACAUUUAAGGCAUGAUGCACAAUAUAAUUUUUAGAAAUGACAAUUUCAUGGGCCUUAAGUUUGGACUGAAUGUGGACCAUCUUCAGUAUAAAUUCUCUCACACCCUAGCAGCAUCAUAUCUCAUGUUCGUUAACUUAUUCAGCAAGUUCCCAACUUCAGCUUUAUCUGAGACUCUAUAUCUUUCUCCCACUGAUUCAUAAAACUGUCUCACAUUCGUAUCUUCCAGCAAACCAUUAACGAGAUGCUCAACAAUUGACCUCCUCAUAGCAAUGAGGCUUAGUUGGUUAGAUUUUUCCCAUCUAGCAUAAUGGGCCUUUUGAUUUGCAGGACUUUGAUCAUUGGGCUUGGAAGGUUCAUCCUCACGUAGAGUCAAGUCCAUAUCCACGAUGCCCAUAACAAACUCUAUAUCUUGCUUCCAUUUCUUGAAGUUUGAUCCAGUUAACAUUUCAACUGUGGGAUUGUUAUUAUUUAUAACAAAUGUAACUAUUUGUCACAUAAUGCAAUAAGAUCAAUUAUGGGCAAUAAGGUAUUCAACAAAAAAUAAUUAAUACAUCAUAAACUCCCCUUUGGACAGAGUGUACAAUGCACCAUUAUUUUCCACAGCAUGAAGUUUAUAAAUCAACAACAACAAAAAUUACAUAUAAUUGUCAAUGAUCCAUACCCGUUGGGCAGAAAGAUCCUUUAAAUUAUACAUCUCCAUAAUAUCAAUAUAGAUGGGGAUUACAUAUUUUUUCAAAACAUUUAUCCCCUUUGGGCAGAUAAAUAUUUUUCAAUUAUAUACCCCUAACUUUUAAAUUCGGGAAUUAAUCUUCAUGCUAUUUUCCAAAUUAAUAUAUACAAUAACUCCAUUUGGGUGAAUUAUUGUAUAUACUAAUUUUUAUCAAUAGGGCACUCCAAAAAUUUAUGCCCAUAAUUCACUGAACAAUAUAAAUCACUUUACAAUAUGUGCUUCCCAAGAUCAUAUUGCAUUUAUCACGCAAUAAUUUUUUGCCACAUUUUUUUAAAAUUCUAUUUUUUAUUAUUAUUUAAAUAUUUCGGACCCUCUCGCGGGCCCUGACCUUUGCCCGGCCUAUAUACCCGCAAGAGCCCACGCGGGCCACUUGGAAUGGGCCCAUCACUUCUCUUAAUUAAAAUUGGCUCAUGAAUUGAGCUAUAGGCCCAAAGAAAAGUAAAUUGGGCUCACGCCCAUUAAAAAAAUAUAAAGGUUCUAGGCUACGCCCAAAACCCGAAACAUAAAAAAGAAAGGAUGGGCGAGCCCAUCCAUUGGCCCGGCCCGGCUAGAGGUCUUCUUCAACCUCCAGCCGGGUCCUAAAUCUCUACAAAAUGGGGUCGCACGAUCCAGUUUUGACCUGGAACCAAAAAAAAAAAACCCAUUAACUUGAUUUUUGAUGAAAUCUCUCCAUAGAUCUUGCAUCUAACAUCUGUUGGAUGUAAAACGUGCAACCCCAAGAUUUCCAUAACAGACAAGAACACACAUAAUUGAGUAGAAAGAUUAACGCACCUAUUUUGGGAUCCAUCGUUUUUGAAGCGGAAGCAAAAAUCGAUGAUCCACGCACAAGUCCUUCUCAUUUAUUGCCCUCUGUAUCACUGGCUCAAUGAGACGGCCCCCUCACCCUUUAGCAUAAAUCACCUAAUUCACAUAUACAACAUGCAAUUUCAUAACUCAUCAUCAGAUGACCAAUCCAGCAUUCAAUUCUAAAACCUGACCAUAACAGAGCAGUCAGAGCGCAUUUCUAACGAUUGGUCAUCCCGGUCGAAUUCCCGAAAAAAUUUAAUUAAUGAAAUAAUUAAAUAAAUUCCGAAAAUUAAACUAAUUAAAUAUUAAAUAAUAUAAUUAAAUAAUAUUUAAUUUUAAAUAAAUAAAUAAAUAAAUAAAUAAAAGUCUAAAUAGGAUUACACUAAUCUAAUCUCAUAAUUAGACAAACUAAUCCAUCCGCUAAACUAAUCCAACCCUUAAUCUAAUCCAUACUUAAUUAAACUAAUCUAACUACCUAAACAUCAUUAGGCUAAUUUAAACACUCCUUAAGCAUGAUUAACCACCUAAGUGAGGUUUAGUGAGUAAACUCACUGGAUUUGCGCACCGGUGAGUUCACGACGACCACGACGUAGAGGCGAGUGACGAUCCUCCUAGCGGUGACACUAACGGAGGCUGGGAAGGCACCUAAAAUGGGCCUUGAAACCUCAAGAUCCUUGCUGGUCUUGGCUACUGAUCUUGAAUAAAAAAGGUUGGAACCUUCGAUAAUUGAGGCUGAACGGCGAAGGAGGAACUGGCGGCGGCAGCAGCUGGUCUAGGUGGUUGCAAGCGGUGGCUCUGGCGGCCUUGGUGACGAUGGGCAGCAGCUAGCAACGCUGGACUACGGCCUUAGACGUGCGAACAGUGGCGAAGUAGCGAAGCUGGACGCACGGGCGAGCAGCAGAGGCGGCUGGCGUGCAGGUGAGCUCCAAUGGCUUGCGACGUCGGACGGCCAAGGGAGCUGCUCAGCUGGCUUGCUGGCUUCUUCCUCUGGUUUUCCAAGCUUUCUCUCAUUCAACAACAAUGGAGAAAGCCCCCAAAUGAGGAAGAAGAAUGUUGCUGAAGAGGGGGCCCCCUUGGUGGCUUCUAUGGGCUCAACACAUGUCAAUUCCUCCUCUCUCUUGCCUCCACCAUGGCCGGCCCAUCCCUUAGCCAUUCUCUCUCCUUAGCUUCCUCCACAAGCUUGCCAAUAGGUCCAAAAUGUUGUGUACCCCAUGGCAUACGAAUUUUGUGACUUUGCCCUUCAAUUUCAUUCAAUUUCUCUUCCAAUUGAGUCAAAUUGAAGUCCAUAAAUUCAACCAAUGUAACCAUACUCGAUUCCAUAUUUUUCCUUGUCCAUCGAACCAUCUUGGAUGUCAAAAGCGCGACCAAAAACAGGCCUAAGGAUUUUCCCGAUCCAAUUUCGCCAAAUCUUGAUUUUUCGCCAAAAAUCUCUAUUUGUAGAAAAAUCUUUAGAGGAUAAGUCAUGUGACAUCCCGAAUUUUGACGCCGUCCCGAAUAUAUGAAAUGGGCAUUUCGCCGGCGCGCCUAUGGUCCUUUUUCUCUAAGUUGAUCACUCACGAGUUAACCAAUCUGUUGGGUGAAGCCGUUAAGGGAUAUAACCGCGGUAAAAUUCCUAAAAGCUACCUGAUAGGUUGGAUCAGAUUAAAUCGCGUUCGAUCGAUUUUAACCAUGAGAUUGAAUCCGGUUUGGGGAAUCGGACGUUCGAGCAUGUCGCGGUUCAUUUAUAGGACGUCAUCUUAUCUUUCAGAGAAAUUCCGUCGAGUUGGGAUUUUUUUUCGAAGAACCGUUUCGGACGUAGCGGAAAUUCGUACGGGCCAAAUUAAAGAAAAUUGGGACUUCCAAACUGAACCUUUGAGUGUCAGGGACUUGCAGAAAAUGGAAUGAGAAUUUACUUCAUCGAAAUUGGAUUUCAAUUUGGAGAAUUUGUGAAAAAAUUGAGGCCAAGAAAGUGAAAUUCGGAGCUAGGCAUGGGGGUGCAACAUUGGUCAUCAAAUUGGAAUUGUUGUGGAUUAACUUACAAGAUUUAAUUAUAGGAGACAAGGAGAUAAUUAUGUGGACUUGUGGGCCAAGCUAUGAUGAUUUUAGAUAAAUAUCUUGAUCUUUCUUCCCCCUCACCCACGGCUUCUCGAGCAAGCCUCACGCGUCCCUCUCCCUUAUCCGUUUGUUCUCUCUCCAAGUCGGUCUCUCUCUUUUCUUUCCUUCGAAGACCGUCUGCAGCUUUUCGUUUUCAUUUUCCUUUCUCUCUGGACGCCACAGCUCCUCUCUCUUUCUCUCUUGCUGCCCUUCUUCUCCACCGUUCGAACUCCAGCGCUCAUCUCACGCCAGCUGCUCCACCAUUUUUUGGCUUUCCCUCGGUCAACUCCAGCAGAAUUCUCCAAGUGAAGCCAAUUUGUUGACCUCCGAAGCUCCACCGAAGUUCCUCUCCUUUGCCACUCGUCCAACAUCAAACGCCCACCAGUCAACGUUGCAAAUUUCCCAGGCGGUUUGUUGACCCAGCAAUCCACCCAGCGAAGCUCCUCCAUGCGUGUCUUCAACCCAGCAAAGCCCGAAACAGCUCCAUCUCUCUGCCGUGUGCGAGUCUUCUCUCGCCACCAUCCCCACGAAUCCAGUCAACCGAGCCCAUCUUCACGCAAGUCCACUUCCAUCGUCGGCUGCGCAAAGAAGGCCAAAGCCCAACCCACCGAAGCUGCUCAUCUUCUUCAGCUGCACGUGGAGUGGUUUUGCUCGGUCAACCACUCACCAAAGAAGCCCCACCGUUGACCCUCAUCUUCGCACGUUCGGCCCAGCAGCGGCGUUCCAAGUGAAGCAGCCCUCAGCAACGCACGAAGCUGCUGCUUCCUUCGCCAGCUCGCUGGUCCACGGAUCUCCUCAGUCAACUAAAGCUGUCGCCCGCUCAUCCGUAUCCACCGAAGACAGCCCAGCGAAGCUCGGCCCAAUAGCAGUUUUGUUGCUUCCUUGUUCAGUCUAGUUGAAGCCGCAAGCCCAGCGGCCCAUCCAGUGUCUUUAGCCCGUAAUUUCAGUUACAGCAGUCAGCCCAUCAAUUGAGCAGUUCGGCCCAGCUUGCAGCAAGCCCAUUUGAAGCCCAAGAAGUUUGAAUAGUUCAGCCCGCGAAGCAGCCCAAGAAGUAGGCCCAAUCAAGUCCGGCCCAAGCCCAGCUUUUGCUGUGGGCUUGCAAAGCUUGUAGGUCCGGCCCGAGUGUCCGUCGACACCGCCGAAAAUUUGGAUUUCGGCCGUCGUCGCGUCGCCAUCGCGGUGUCCCGGUCCCCGCUUUUACCAAGUGAGUUUUACUCACUAAUGCUUUAUUAGUUUGCUAAUUAUAUUAAGGUUGGUUAGAUUUAAUUAAAUGCAAUUAGGUGGUUAGAUUAGUUUAGAUCAAUGAAAUUAGAGACUUAAUGAUGCAUGUUAGGUGGUUAGAAAUAGACAUUAGCAAGUAGACAUGCCAUGUUAUUUAUGGAACGAGUCUCGGUAAUUUUCCGGGCUCGUCUCGGUGUCCAAUUCGGCAUUACGAGCCUAAAUUGGAUUUUUUAUAAUUAUUUAUUUAAUUUUCGAAAUUAAUUAUUUAAUUAUUUAUUUUUCCGGAAAUUCAACCGGGAUGGUCGGUGACCGAAUUUUAUGCUGAUUGUCGUGGUGCAGUCCGUUUAUUUAAUUGAGCUUUAUUUUGUGCGGAAAUGAUUUAUUUGUGAAUUUAGGAUUCAUUCCCUAAUUUAAAUAAUCCUGAAAAAUUAAUUGGAAAUUAACCGGGCAUCAGUUAAUGAUACCAAAACUGUUUUAGUGAACUACAGAAAAUAGUGGGAUUUAUAAAAAGGAAAUUAUUAUAUUUUGGUUAAGGUCGAUUGUGUACCCACACACGUCAUUUUAUCGGAAAGGAAAAAAUUAGUUAUUUGAUUGUUUGCUUGGAAUGGCAUGUAUACCGGCUCGAUGACUCCACGGAGCAUCUUGAGACAGGACGGUAUGAUCCACCGGCUCGAUGACUCUACGGAGCAUCUUGAGACAGUACGGUAUGAUCAAUUGUAUGAUCUACCGGCUCGAUGACUCUACGGAGCUUCUGGAGACAGUACAGUAUGAUAAAUUGUGUGUAUACUGGCUCGGUGACUUUAUAUGUCAUCUUGAGACAAGACGGUAUGAUAUACCGGCUCGGUGACUCUACAGAUUAUCUUGAGACAGUACGGUAUGAUAUACCGGCUCGAUAAUCCUACAGAUCAUCUUGAGACAGUACGGUAUGAUUUGACAGCUCGAUGACUCUAUAUGUCGUCUGGAGAUAAGAUAACAUACUAGCUAUAUAUCACUUAGGGUGAGUAGUCUUGGAUGUUGAUCAGACUCAUAGAAAGUAUGGAAGGGGUCGAUAAAGAGAUAAUUUGGAUGACAUGUAAUCGACUAGGUCGAUUGAUCGAUGAUUCGAUCUGAUUGGGUGAGGUGAUGUGAUGAUGUAUAUUUGAUAUAUAUACUAACUUGCAGGAAAGAGUUGAGGCCAAGGUAAGUCCUCUGACUCGUGAUGUGCUUAAGCAGCCUAAGGUGUAUUAGUUUACUAAUCGAGUCUUAGGGGGUAGGACUCGCUGAGACGUGGUCUCAUUGGUUAUUGAAUAACCAUUUCAGGACCCUGAGGAGAAGCUGAGGAAGAGGAACCUGAAGGGAAGAAAUACUUUUGAAGAAGAAGAUGAUCCACAGAGGGAUUUUGAGUAUAACCCAGAUGUGGAUUGAGAUCCCAUCCCUUUUGUGAACCCUGUCUUAGUAGAUAGGUGUGAGACAAGUAUGCUGUGAAUAGUAUUGUAAAUAUACUAUGAGUUGUGCUGUUAAUGAAAGUGUGGUUGUGAAUUUCAAUAUGAAAAAUAUGGCAUGCUUUUCUAUCCCAUUGUUUUAUUGUCUAGGGAUUUAUAAUUGCUUCUGCAUGCGUAAUAAAAUGAAAGGGUCAGCGAUAUAUUGCACUUUAAAAUCGACCAGGAAGAAGGAUGGGCGCGUCCCCGAGGAUCGGGACGUGACAAGUCAACACUCCUAAAAUGACUUGUACAUAAUAGAACUCUCUAUUUUUGAAUUUGGGUUCAAUUUCGCAGUUAAUUUCAAUCUGGCGCGAUUUUAGCACAUCCUAAUCUACCGGGUAGCUUUUAGGAACUUUUUGUGCAAUUGACCUGUGGUCGAUUGUUUUUUAGCCACAAUGUGCAUCGUCGACACAUUGACGACUCUCGAUUGUCAUAGAAAUCUCAAGGUCAAAUAUUGACACAGGGUACCAAAACGACAGAGAAAUCGGUCUAUUGCCGAUCGAGAAGAUUUGUGCGAUCAGGUGGAAUCACCCACACUUAAUCACAUGCCUUUGUCGAGUCGACCUAUCUCCGGUCUCUAAUCGGUUUGUGCCGUAAUGACCCUUGUAGAUUAGUACGGUCCAAUAGUCGUUUCUUGGUCGAAUUCUCAAGUCCAUUGCGUUUAGAUUCCUUAACGUCUUCACCUGAUAGACUAGUUAUCCCGUGAGUAAUUAGCUUAGGGAAAAGAACUAUAUGCGUGUCGAUGAAAAGCCCAACUUAUUCAAUCGAAAUUAGAACCUUAAAUUUAUGAUGUCACAACUCUUCCCCUCUUAUAAAAAUUUCGUCCUCGAAAUUUAAACCAUUACAAUCUUUAAGCAAAAAUGUGGGGGUACAAUCGUCUCAUCGACUCUUCACUCUCCCAGGUUGCUCCUUCAGUCCCGUGGUGUUGCUAGACCACUUUGACCAAUGGGAUGGUCUUUGUAUGCAGGACUUGCUCUUUUCUGUCCACGAUCUGAAUUGGGCUUUCAACAUACGACACUUGGUCGUCCACGUCCAAUUCCUCGAAAUUAAGCACGUGGGUCGGGUCAGGCUCAUACUUCCUCAACAUUGACACGUGCAAGAUGUCAUGCACUUGCGCUAGCUUCAGCGGUAAUGCAAGAUGAUAUGCCAAAGUCUCGAUACUUUCAAGAAUCUCGAAGGGACCUACGUACCUUGGACUCAGUUUUCUUUCUUGCCAAAGUGCGAAGUUCCCCUCAUUGGUGACACUUUUAGAAAAAUGUGAUCACCAACUUGGAAUUCCAAUGGCCUUCGACGCUUACGGUGUAGCUCUUCUGGUAGCUCUGAGCGGUCUUUAAUCUAUCUCUAAUAACUGCAACUGCAUCCACUGACUGUUGAACCAACUCUGGGCCUAUGAUCUUUCUCUCCCCAACUUCAUCCCAACACACUGGUGUUCUGCAUAAUGUCAUACAACGCUUCAAAAGGAGCAAUCUGGAUGCUCUGCUGAUAACUAUUGUUGUAGGAAAAUUCCACAAAAUGAAGUUGUUCUUCCCAACUUCCUUUAAAAUCCAGUACACAAGCUCGCAACAUAUCUUCAAGGGUUUGAAUUAUGAUCUUUCUCUCCCCAACUUCAUCCCAACACACUGGUGUUCUGCACACUGUCAUACAACGCUUCAAAAGGAGCAAUCUGGAUGCUCUGCUGAUAACUAUUGUUGUAGGCAAAUUCCACAAAAUGUUGUUCUUCCCAACUUCCUUUAAAAUCCAGUACACAAGCUCGCAGAAUAUCUUCAAGGGUUUGAAUUGUCCUCUCAGACUGGCCAUCUGUCUGUGGAUGAUAUGCCGUAUUAUACUGUAGUUUUGUACACAAAGCACUCUACAAGCUCUUCCAAAAAGUGGCGGUAAAUCUUAGGUCUCGGUAUGAAGUAAUUGUCACCGGCACUUCAUGCAGUGGAAUCAUGUGGCGCAUGUACAGAUCCGCGUGCCUAUCCAAACUGAAGUCCUUUCGCACUGCAAUGGAGUGAGCCGACUUCGUCAAUCUAUCGACCACUACCCAAAUUGAAUCGUUUCCUCUCUGACUCCUCGGUAGUCUAGUCACGAAGUCCAUCGUGAUAUGUUCCCAUUUCCACUCGGGAUCUCGAGAGGUUGCAGAAGUCCUCUUGGCUUACAAUGCUAAGCUUUAACCUGCUGACAUGUCAAACACUUGGUGACAUGCUUGGCUAUGUCUGCCUUCAUACUUGACCACCAAUAGUGUUGACGUAGAUUAUGAUACAUCUUAGUGCUACCAGGAUGAAUGUUGUAACUAUUACGAUGUGCUUCUGAUAAAAUAUCCUCUCUAAGUUCCACAUCGUCAGGUACAACCAAACGUCCUUGGAAAUUUAGUGUUCCUUCAUCAGAAAUCUGAAAGUCAACCUUUCUUUUCUUUGUAUCUUCUUGUAGAAUCUUCUGCACAUCUGGGUCUGUCGACUGGAGUAACUUGAUCCUGAUCUGGACAUUCGGCUCAAUCCUGAGGGUGGCCAUAAGAUGCAAAAGGUGGCCUACCUCAAAUUUGAACACUGAAUCCCGUGCUCUUUCGAUCAAAUUCCACUCCUUAAUCAAUAUAUGAGCAACUGAAGACUUCUGACUCAAAGCAUCGGCAACCUUAUUCGCCUUUCCUGGGUGAUAUAAGAUCUCACAGUCGUAGUCCUUCAGGAGUUCUAUCCAUCGGUGAUGCCUCAUAUUCAACUUUUUCUGAGAGAAUAGAUACUUUAAACUCUAAUGGUCAGUGAAGAUCUAUAAUCUUUCUCCACAUAAAUAAUGUCUCCAAAUCUUCAAUUGCGAGUUCUAAGUCAUACGUCGAGUAGUUCAGUUCAUGAGGUCUCAACUGACGGGAGGCGUAUGCAACAACUCUGUCAUGUUGCAUCAGCACGCAACCCAAUCCUCUGAGCGACGCAUCACUAUAGAUCUCGAAUCCUCAAAGACCAGAUGUAAUAGUCAGCACAGAUGCGGUAGUUAGUUUUUCCUUCAACUCUUGAAAACUAUGCUUGCACUUGUUUGUCCACACAAACUUUUCUUCCUUCUUUAGGAGUCUUGUCAGAGGCGAUGCUAAUGACGAGAACCCUUCCAAAAACCGUUUGUAACAACUUGCCAAACCCAGAAAACUUCUUAUUUCUGUCACUGUAGUCGGUCUUGGCCAAUUAAUCAUGGCUUCUAUCUUGCUUAGGUCCAUGGAGAUUCCUUCGCCUGAAAUCAUGUGACCUAAGAAAGCAACGAGAGUCAACCAAAACUCACACUUGCUGAACUUGGUGUAUAACUGAUGUACUCUUAGCGUCUACAGCACUAAUCUCAGAUGACUGUCAUGCUCUUCAUCACUUCUCGAAUACACCAAGAUAUCAUCGAUGAACACAAUCACAAACUGAUCUAGAUAUUCCUUGAAUAUUCGGUUUAUCAAAUCCAUGAAAGCAGCUAGAGCAUUCGUCAACCCGAAUGGCAUCACGGUAAACUCAUAAUGACCAUACCGAGUACGAAAUGCUGACUUAGGAAUGUCUUACUUCCUGAUCCUCAGCUGAUGAUAUCUUGUCCUCAAGUCGAUUUUUGAAAAUAUCGAUACUCCUUGUAACUGAUCAAACAAGUCAUCGAUCCUCGGGAGUGGAUACUUGUUCUUGAUCGUUACCUGAUUGAGUUGGCAACAGUCGAUGCAUAAGCGCAAUGAACCAUCUUUCUUCUUUACAAAGAGAACUUAUGCUCCCCAAGAUGAUGCACUGGGACGAAUAAAUCCCUUAUCCAAUAACUCUUGCAUCUGCACUUUCAGUUCCUUCAACUCAGUAACGCCAUCCGAUAAGGAGCCUUAGAAAUUGGCUCUGUCCCGGGUGCUAACUCGAUCAUGAAUUCAAUUUCUCUCUCUGGCGGUAAUCCUGGCAAUUCCUAUGGAAAGACAUCUGUAAAUUCUUGCACCACAGCAAUGUCUUCCAUUUUCAGCUCCUCAACUGUCGUAUCCACGACAGUUGCCAAGUAACCUUGGCAACCCUCGUCUAACAAAAAAGUUACCCCCAGCGACGAGAUCAAGGUAAUCGAGGGUCCUCCUCGAUUCCCGACAAACUCAAAGCUCUUACCCUCUAACGAUUCAAACUGAAUUGCUUUACGAUAGUAGUCCAUUUUAGCUUGUUGCUUGGUGAGCCAGUCCAUGUCAAUUAUCAAAUCAAAGUCAUACAUGGCUAGGACUAAUAAGUCUAUUUUCCCCACUCGCUCACCAAUCGCUAAUUUGCAACCAGAACAACCCAAAGCAGACAACACAUUAUCCUUUAACGGUGUAGAUAUGCUAACAAUAGAUUUUAGCAACUCAGGACUUAAUCCUAUCAAUUUAACAAAUUGCUCAACAAUAAAGCAAUGAGUUGCUCUUGGGUUGAACAAAGCAUAAGCAGCAUGGUUGUUUAGCGAAACCGUACCUGUGAUCACAUCAAGCGCGUCCUUAGCCUGACCUCUAGUGAUAGCGUAAAUUGUCCCUUGAACCGGGGGUCUGAGCUGUCCACCAUGCGAUGCGUUCUGCAGUGCAAGUCCUCUGAUCUAACCCAACGGUGGCGGUGGUGGUAACUAUUGCGAUCUCCCCUAUCUUCUUGGACAGUUCCUAACCAUGUGACCCAGUUGACCACAUCCAAAGCAAGUACCCGGCCUAGAUUGGCAUGGGGCUGAUCCGUGUCGCAUUCCACACAAGCGACACACACCAUUCUAGCUAGAUCUUGCCUUUCCAACUCCACCUUUCCUGUUGGGCGGGAUUGGGAAUUUACCUCCAGUCAUGGGCUUCUUCCCGUGACGUAUCUCUUCUCGGUACGAACCGAACCUCAAUCCAAACGAGGCGGCUUGCUCGUUUUGAUCUCUCUCGAUCAUCUAGGCCCUCUCGUAUAAGUCCUUGUAAGAUCUUAGAUUCAACAAAAUCAAUGUACUCCUUAAGUCUAGCUUGAACUCGUCCCUGAACCUUCCCACUCUAUUCGUUGGAUUCUCAAUUAGUUCAGGAGCAUAUUGCGAUAGUUCAACGAACUUCACCUCAUAUUGAUCUAUAGCCAUGAAGCCUUGGCGAAUGCGCUAAAACUCUGCCAUCUUCAUCUCUCUGGCAGUCUCUGCAAAGUAUUUGCCAUUAAAAGCCUCAUGGAAAGCGUUCCACUCCGGGACGACACCUUCUAGGAACACUACUCCCUGGGUGGUUCUUCACCAAGUAUCUGUAACUCCCUCCAAUUGGUAAGUUGCAAGGACUACAUUUUUAGUUUCAUUGCACAUCAAUAGUGCAAAAGCCUUAUCAAGUCUUUGGAUCCACAAAGUAGCAACUUCAAGGUCUCCUACCCGAGUGAACUGAGGUGGAUUCAAUUUCAAGAAUUGUUCCACCAGCUUAUGAAUUGGUCUCUCCGCGACCACGUUCCAAGGUGGAACUUCAACAGGUGCAACAAUAAGUGCAACAACAAGUGUAGCCUUAGCGGCGGCGGCAAUGGCAGCAAUAGCAGCGGCUACAACAACGGCAGCUUGGUUCUGGGCUUGCUUCCCUAUCAGAUCCCUCAUAGCUUCUACCUUAGCACCAACCAGCGGAACUAAUGGUGGCACUACUCCACUCACGCUAGCCUCAGCCUGCGCUCUACUCUGAGCACCUCGGGUACCGACUCUUGUUAGCGUUCUACCCCGAGUCGCAGGGCCUAUCGCCCUCUUCCAAGGAGUCCUCUAUGUGUAUGCUAGUAUGAGCACCUAGAGGGGGUGAAUAGGUGCGAAAACAAACUUUUGCGAAGUACAAUGUAAAACCUUAAGUUUAACUAGAGUCUGUUUAAUAGUAGACUUUAAAAUAGAAGCGAGACUCUUACAGUUAAAUAAAAUUAUGAGUAAAGUAAAAGAGUUUAGGGAAGAAAAUAAGAACACAAGGUUUAUAGUGGUUCGGCUUAAUCCAAGCCUACGUCCACUCUCCCGCACUGACAGCCCACCGGCUGGAUUUCACUAUGAAUCAAAAGAGUUGUUACAGUAUCACAUCCUUGAUUCCACAGUGUAGAUACUCUGCUACACUUCCUCAAGGUCUCGCAAAUGUAUAAACUCGAAUAACUAGAACGUCUUCCUUAUAUACUCCUUCAUGCCUUCAUACCCGUUGGCACUUUCCAAAGGAGCUCUUCCAAUCUACCCAUUGGACAUAAUUAAUUAGGGAGAUCUCGAGUUAUUUAAGGAAUAUGACAAUAGUCCACCAAUCCUGCUCGCCCAUACAAUCUGGAUCUAGGUUUUCAUAAGUAGAACUUUCCAAGUAUGCUUCGCCAAUCAACGGAUCUAAAUUACCCGAAUUGAAAUCAAAACGAAUAAUAGAUUCCAAUAUACUAUAUCCAGCCGUGAGAUCUUCUUUAGUCGAUAGAAUCAAAUCCUUGGAUCUUGAGUCUGGUGGUUCGGCGGUCUUUAGACUUUGACGAAAAAGUCUACAAGUCUUCAGACUAGACUGAUCGAAACGUUUUGUUAGCUUCAAAACAAAUAUGAAAGUUUUCUCCAACAAUCUCCUCCUUUUUGAUGGUGACAAAACUUUCCUGUAGAUUUGGAUGCUUUUGACCUGCAAGACAAUACUCAAGCAAACAUGGAUAUUUCACAAAAGAUAAUUGGCUUAGCAAAGAUAGCAUUAGAUCUGCAUCCACAUGAAAUAAGAAAGUUAGUCCUACAAAUAAACAACUAUCUUUGCCAUGAAAUACCAACAUUGCUUAAGAUACUGCAACAAACAUUCAAACGAUCAAACAAUCCAAAUCCAGUCACAACCAAACAACUAAACAAAAGUAAAAGUCAAUCAAAAGUCAAAUAAACAAGAGUUAAAUCUCAAAUUUGCACCAUCUCCCCCAUUUUGUCAACAUGAAAAAGGUAGAGACGAAAAGAUAAUGAAAUUAGGAUUGCUUUGGAACGCGAAUGAGCUAGAAAUCUCCUAUCGACUGGACAAUCCCUUCUAGCUUUUUCAAAUCCUCCUUCAAUUGAGCAACUUCUUCACCCUUGGCAUUUGCUUGAACUUGAAGAGCAAGGGCAUGGAUUUGAUCAUGUAAGGAAACUAAAGAGGCUUGACUUGCAUUAUGCAAGUUCUGAACUUCGCAUCCGAGGGCAUAAAUCUAUCCUUGCAUCUCCAUAAGAAUAUCAAGCAGUCUUCCAAAGUCUGCUGAAUUUUCAGUCAGAGUGCUUGCUUCUGCAUAAUCAGUAGGAGUAUUGGUAAAUGAUGGUAAAUUAGCAUGAUCACUCAGAUUUGGCGAUGAAACCUCAUGACCUUCCUCUGGAAAUUGAGAUGCAUAAAUGUCUUUUGGAUCUGCAGGUGAACGACUAACACCUUCAUUAGUAAAAGCAAUUGAAUAUGUACCUCUUUUCUUAGCAACUCCCCCUGUUUCAAUGCCUUCAAGCGGUGAGAAGUACUCUUCAUGCUCUGUUUCCUUUUGUUCACCUCUGCCUCUUCUUCUUUUGCAAUCCUUUCUUCCUCUGCUUCUUUUCGCAUUGAUUCUCUCUCUCCACUCCUUUGUUCGAACUCUUCUCUGUCUUGAUCCUCUCUCUCCUCUGUCACUGAAUAGAAUGAUAUAAGUUCCUCAAUGCAAGAGCAGAAAUGGUUAUAUCGUCCUCAUCAUCUUCAUCCUCCAGGAUGAGUGCUCUUAUUUUCUUGGAUGGAACUGUCAUGGACUCCUUCCCUUUCCGUUUUGCAGCCGAAGAAAUUUGGUGAGUCUUGACAGGGAUUUUCUCCUUUAAUCGCUCCAAAGCUUUAUCCAGCUCUUUUAGACGCAUUUUGGAAACCAUUUUCAGUUCCACCACCAUUUAAUCACAAGAUCGAACACACAGAUUCCUGGGAAGCUGAAUAUUCAAAUGUCUGAACAACUUUGUGACAAGCGCUGAGUAAGGAAGUUGUCUCUUAUCUUUCACCAUCGUUCUAUACAUGUGAAACAUGAUUGUGUGAGGCAGAGAGAACUUUUUUCCCAGCGUUGAUAGCAUACAUCAACUUUGCUUCCGAGUUGGAGACAUUGGUCUUUGAAGUCGAUUUGGGUCUUAGGCAAUUGAUCACGAUCUUGUGAAGCAAAAUAUUUGAGGCAUUCAUCCUCAAGUACGAGAUUUUUCCUUCUGCCAUUCCAUCACGAACAAGCUCUACCGUUGCAUGACCAACAGACACACUAAUCGAUUGGAAUGCCCCUCGCUCUACUCCAAUCACAUCCGCCAAUGUGUCCAUGUCAACAAUAUAGUCUUGGUCUUGAACACUAAAAGGAAAUCUAUUCGCACCCAAGAAACUCAGAUUAUAAUAGAAAUAGGCAGUAAGCUCUGGAUAUGCCUCUGUCGUCUCAGAACAAAAUCGCUCAAACUGAAGUCGAGUGAAUUUCUCUCGCAUUUUCACAUUCAAAGAAUCAAGAAAAUCAAAGUCCACACUUCUUCGAUUGAUUACCCCUCUUUUUAGCAACUUGGAGUAAAGUCGCUUGUGUUCCUUCGACCGAAACAAGUCUGUCCUUUUGCUUCGAAUAUUCGCCGCAACACCCAUUCUAGGCUUAAAAUGAGUGUACAUUUCGUCAUCAUCAUUCCCAUCAGGCUGACUAAGACCUCCAACACGUGGAUCACUAGGAAUAUUCACAAAAGCUCAUUCUGUCGACCCCGCAGGAGCAAUCCCCAAUCGUUCCAUUGUUCGCAAAAAGUGAGUUUCAUUUUGAUGCCUUUCGCUUUCAAAAAUGCAUCAAUAUAGUUCAAGGGAGUGCCUCCCUUCUUCAAAACAGAGUAAAGCUUACAGAUAAAAGCAGGCUUUUGAGUUCUUACUGGUUCUGCCCCUUCAAUGAUUUCUUCCUCCACUCUUUGAUCAACAUCCUGAGGUCUAGCUUGAGGAGAUUGAUGCGGUUGAGAAUGUUGUGGGCUCUGCUGCUGUCUUGGAGAUUCUUCUUUCUCGGUGAGGUCAAAAUGCAUAGGACCCUCACGCAUGUGUUGUGGUCCCCUAUUCGCGAUCCUUGAAGACUUUCUUUGGGACGCCAUUCUCACAGUUUUUGAGAGAUUUCAAACUUGAUUCACGAAAAAGGUGAGAACUUUGUAGAUUAAACUAGAGAGUAAAAAUAAGAAAGUGAUGGUCUGUGCUUUUAGGGUUUGUGAGGAAGACAAUCAGUAUAUAAAACAGUCAAAAAGAGGUAUACGGAACGACGUAAAAGGAAAAAUAGAAAAUGCCUUUUAAAAAAUAACUGCCUUUUUGAAAAAAAAUAGAUAACCGUCAUUUCAAAAGAUAACUUCUUUUUCAAAAAUGAAUGAUUGCAAUAAUCGCAAAAACUGGGAAAGAUAACAACAAUCAAUUACAGAUUAAUAGAUGAUCGUACCUUUUCGAGAUUUUAUCCGACAGAUAAAAUUCUAAAAUAGAAAUAACUUACAGUCGUGAAUCUUGAUUGGCUGAGCCUGAAUAUCUUUAGACUUUUAUCCCUGAGUCUGAACUUCUUCAGACUUUAAGAUAUUGAGUCUGGAACGAAUAAGCUCGUAUUGACUUUUCUCCAGAGGCUUUGUGAAGAUAUCCGCUAGUUGAUUCUUUGAGUCAAUGCAUUGAAUUGAGAUUUCUCCAUUUUGAACAUGAUCUCUAAUAAAAAUGAUGUCGAACCUCUAUGUGCUUUGCUCUCGAAUGAAGAAUUGGAUUCUUGGUGAGAUUAAUCGCGCUGGUAUUGUCGCAUUUGAUCUCACUACAUGAGUCUUCAAUUCCAAAGUCUCUUAGCUGUUGCUUUAUCCACAAAAUUUGUGAACAACAACUUUCAAGAGUCACAUAUUAUGCUUCUACUGUUGAAAGAGCCACAAUACUUUGCUUCCUUAAAAACCAAGAUAUUGUCCUGUUCCCAAGUAAUUGACAAGUGCCCGAGGUGCUCUUUCUAUCAACUCUGCAUCCUGCUAGGUCUGCAUGUGAAUAUCCAAGGAGAGUAAAAUCUCAUUCUUUACAAUACCAGAGACCAAAAUUUGAAGAUGAUGCAACAUAUUUGAUGAUGCGUUUUGCAGCACUUAAAUGAGAUUUUUUGGGAUCUGAUUGAAAUCUAGCAAAAAUACAAACACUAAACAAAAUGUCAGGUCUAGAAGCAGUAAGAUAAAUAAGUGAACCAAUGAUACUCCUGUAUAGCUUUUAGUCAAUUUUCUUCCUUCCUUCGUCUUUGUCUAGCUUCAAGGAUCUUGACAUUGGUAAAUUAGUCUUUUUGCAAUUUUCCAACCUGAACUUUUUAACAAGUUCUUUAGCAUAUUUUUCUUGGUGGAUGAAGGUUCCUUCCUUCAAUUUUUUUACUUGAAGUCCGAGAAAGAAGGACAAUUCACCCAUCAUGCUCAUUUCAAACUCAUCCUACAUAGUCUUGGAGAAUUUCUUGCACAGAUUUUCGUUAGGUGAUCCAAAAAUAAUAUCAUCAACAUACAUUUGAACAAGUAAAAAGUUUUUGUUUUCUCUUUUGAUAAACAAUGUAGUAUCUACUUUACCUUUAACAAAGCCAUUUUGAAUUAAAAACUUACUUAACUUGUCGUACCAAGCUCGAGAUGCUUGCUUUAAACCAUAUAGUGCCUUUUUCAGUCUGAAUACAAAGUCUGGUUUCCUUGGGUCUUCAAAACUGGGAGAUUGUUCCACAUAGACUUCUUCUUGGAUAAAUGCAUUUAGACUUCUUCUUGGAUAAAUCAAUUUAGGAAAGUGCUUUUGACGUCCAUUUGGAAUAAUCUGAAAUUUUUAUAACAAGCAAAAGCAAGUAAUAAUCUAAUUACUUCUAACCUUGCUACUGGUGCAUAAGUCUCAUCAUAGUCUAUCCCUUCUUCUUACGUAUAUCCUUUGGCCACGAGUCUUGCUUUGUUCCUUACGACUUUUCUUUUCUCGUUCAUCUUGUUCCUGAAAACCCAUUUAGCUCCAAUGAUAGAUUUACCUUUUAGUUUAUGAGUCAAUUCCCAAAUAUCAUUGAUACCGAAUUGCCUGAGUUCUUCUUGCAUAGCUUCAAUCCAGCUUUCAUCAAUUAAAGCUUCAUCCAUGCUUUUGGGUUCUAUCUCAGAAAUAAGAGCCACAGCACUAGACUCUUCACGUUUUUUGGAUCUUGUACGAAUUCCUUCAUUAAUGUCACCAAUAAUGAGUUCUUUGGAAUGACUAGACUUGUGCUUCCAGUUGCUGGUUGAUUUGUCAGACUAUUGUUCUUUUUCUUCAGUUGAUUCUUCAACGAUCAUUCGUUGCUGGUCUUCUGAAGUCUAAGCUGCUUCUGGAGAUUUAGACUUUGUAGAGUCUGGAACAUAUUCAGAUUCUUCAGGUUGAGUCUAAAUCGAUUGAUUUUGCAUAAAGUCUUGAAAUUUGACAUUCAUCGAUUCCUCCACAGAUUGAGUAUUUUUGUUGUAUAAUUUGUAAGCUUUGCUGGUAGUUGAAUAUCCAAGGAAGAUACAUUUGUCUGAUUUUUCUUCAAACUUACCAAUUCGAUCAUUUGCAUUUUUCAAUAUAAAACAUUUGCAUCCAAACACAUGAAAAUAGGAAACAAUUGGCUUCUUUCCUUUGAACAACUCAUAGGGAGUUUUAUCCAUAGUAGGUCUUAAGAAGACUCUAUUUAUAAUAUAGCAUGCUGUAGAAAAUGUUUUCCCAAUACACACGGUGUACAUAGAUCAGAUUUUUGAUAUGUCAGGUUGGGUAGUCCUCGAACAAGCUUCUUUGCAGCAAUCUUGGCUAUUUGCUUCAUGUUGAUGUGCCCAAGUUUUCUGUGCCAGAGAUUAGCUUCCUCUUGAAUUGAAAUUAGACAUUGGAAUUUUUCUGGAUUGAUAUCCAAGAGAUAUAUAUUUCCAUGUCUUCGCCCUGUGAAUGUCUGAGAGGAGUCUUUACUGGUUCCUGAACAUAUUCUUUCUUGAAAGUUGAUUUUGUAACCUGUGUCGCACAGUUGGCUGAUACUCAACAAGUUGUAGUUAAGUCCUUCUACUAAGGAAACAUUACCGAUUGUGAGACUUCCAAUCUUUACGGUUCCGUAUCCCACAAUUCUGCCUUUGCUAUUUCCUCCAAAAGAGACUUUUCCACCAUUAACUUGCACAAACUUUGUGAAACAAUUUGAGUCUCUUGUCAUGUGUCUUGAGCAUCCACUAUCCAAGUACCACUUAACCUUUUUCUUGAUAGUGACCUCGAUUUCACUGUCUGAGUCUAAGUCUAUCUUAGAGUCUGAAUCUGAGUCUGAUUGUGCCAUUAGACAAAUAUUAGCAUAAUCAUUAUCACUCUCUUAACACUCGGUAUCACUCCAAGUUUAUGCUUUGAGAGCUUUUCUGUAUUUCUUAGCUUUUCCUUUCUUUUUCUUCAGUAAGGGACAGUUAGGUCUGAUGUGUCCCUUUUUCUUGCAUUAAAAAAAAAAUUACAUCUUUGUUGGAAUCAUCAUCCUCAGCUAAUUUAUUUUGAAACUUUUGAGAACUUUGUUUCUUUGAAUUGAAUCUUCUUCCCUUCUUUUUCAGUUUUCUGAACAUUCUUAUCAUGAGAGCAAGCUCUUCAUCGUCCAUAUCGUCUUCAGAAUCUGUAACAUCAGAAUCAUCAUUAGAUUUUAAUGCAAUAGAUUUUUUACCUUUAAGAUCCUCAUCUUCAUUGAUUUGCUCCACUUCAUAAGACUGAAGAGUGCCAACCAAUUCGUCAACAGAGAGUGGCAUGAUUCUUUGUGUCUCCCUUAUUGAGGUCUUUAUAUGAUUCCAAUCUUUGGAAAGUCCACGUAGUAGCUUGUUAACCUUCAUGGGUCCAGAGAUUGGUUGACCUUGAUACUCAAGACCAUUCACGAUUUCUGUAAAACGACUAAACAUGUCAGUGAUAGAUUCUCCUGGUUUCAUCCUGAAUGCUUCAUAUUGACCGAGCAUAAAAUUGAUUCUGGUUUCUUUCACUCAAUUGGUUCCUUCAUAAGUAAUGUGUAAUCUAUCCUAGACUUCUUUAGCUGUUUCACAAAAAGAUAUUAUGUUAUAUUCAGUAGGAGAUAAUGCACAAUAUAAAGAAUAAAUUGCUUUUGCAUCAAAAGCUUGUCUCUUGAUUAUCUCUUCUCGAGUCAUAUCACUGGACUCAACGGCUUCUUUUUCCCUUUCUGAGACUGUUGUAGUUUUAGCAAUAAUUCCUUUAUCUACUACAUCCCAUUCAAGAGGGUCUUUCGAUCUCAGGAAUGCCUUCAUUUUGUUUUUCCAUAUGUUGUAGUCCUUCCCAUCAAAGUAUGGCGGUCUGGUGUUGCUUUACCCUUCAACCAAGCCUAGAGCCAACAUACUAGUCAUGGAUCAUUAACUCUAAAGUAAAAACUGUUGGAGAAAUCUUCUUGAAGUGUUUUGAAGCUGACAAAACGUUUCCAUCAGUCUAGUCUGAAGGCUUGCAGACUCUGCUAUUUAAAGUCUGAAGACCUCCGAACAGCCAGACUAAAGACUCAAAGUCUAUCCUCAUUGACAGUCUCUAAUCCGUUGAAGAAAGGUUAUCCAGAACUGGAUGUUUCAUUAAGGAUAUGACCUUAUCAACCGGAGAAGAUCUCUUGGCUGGAAAAGACACAACGGAAUCCUUUGAUUGAUCGACAUUGACUCGAAGAUUAAGGAACCGAUGAUUGCCUAAAUAUUCUUGGAAGGUUCUAUUUAUGGAAACCGAGAUCCUGAUUGUAUGGGCGAACAUGAUUGAUGGGCUAUCGACACGUUCCUUUAAUAGCUCGAAUAAUCUUCCUAAUUGAUUCCGUCCAACGGGUAGAUUGGAAGAAUUCAUUUGGUAAGUGCCAACGGGUAUGAUGGCAUAAAGGAGUAUAUAAGGAAGACGUUCUAAGUUGUUCGGGGUGUGCGCGAUAGAAGAAUUCCAAAGUCUGAAGCUCCUUGUUGUUUAGACAAUUCCUUUGAGCGAAACCUUGUAUACAAAAGAGAGUUUAUAUUUGUGAGAAACCUUGAGGAGGUGUGGUAGAACAUCUACACUGUGGAAUCAAGGAAAAGCUGUGCUGUAAUUUCUCUUUUGUUCAUAGUGAAAUCCAGCCGGUGGGCUGUCAGUGCGGAAGAGUGGACAUAGGUUUGGAAUAAGCUGAACCACUAUAAACCUUGUGUUCAAUUUUCUCUUCCUUACUCUCUUUACUUUGAUCGUACUUCAUUUUGUGAACUCCUUUCUAUCAGUUUCCUAGAAUCGCUUCCGUAUCUCGAUAAAUUAUUUGUGCACCUAUUCACCCCCCUCUAGGUGCUUAUACUAGCUAUCUCAAAAACACUUCAAUUUAAAUAAGUAUACAGGCUCUGAUACCAAUUGUGAAUGCUAGUAUGAGCACCUGGAGGGGGUGAAUAGGUGCGAAAACAAACUUUUGCGAAGUACAGUGUAAAACCUUAAGUUUAACUAGAGUCUGUUUAAUAGCAGACUUUAAAAUAGAAGCGAGACUCUAACAGUUAAAUAAAAUUACGAGUAAAGUAAAAGAGUUUAGGGAAAAGAAUAAGAAUACAAGGUUUAUAGUGGUUCGGCUUAAUCCAAGUUUACAUCCACUCUUCCGCACUAACAGCCCAUCGGCUGGAUUUCACUAUGAAUCAAAAGAGUCGUUACAGUAUCACGUCCUUGAUUCCACAGUGUAGAGACUCUGCUACACUUCCUCAAGGUCUCACAAAUGUAUAAACUCUCUUUUGAGUACAAGUUUACGCUCAAUAAUUGAAUUGACAAAGAACAAGGAGCUUCAGACUUUGGAAUUUAUCUAUCGUGCACACACUCGAAUAACUAGAACGUCUUCCUUAUAUACUCCUUCAUGCCUUCAUACACGUUGGCACUUUCCAAAUGAGCUCUUCCAAUCUACCCGUUGGAUAGAAUCAAUUAGGGAGAUCUUGAGUUAUUUAAGGAAUAUGACGAUAGCCCACCAAUCCUGCUCGCCCAUACAAUCAGGAUCUAGGUUUUCAUAAGUAGAACUUUCCAAGUAUGCUUCGCCAAUCAACGAAUCUAAAUUACCCGAAUUGAAAUCAAAACGAAUAAUAGAUUCCAAGAUGCUAUAUCCAGCCAAGAGAUCUUCUUCAGUCGAUAGAAUCAAAUCCUUAACGAAAUACUCAAUUCUGGAUAAGUCUUCUUCGACGGUCUAGAAACUGUCAAUGAGAGUAGACUUUGGAUCUUGAAUCUGGUGGUUCGGCGGUCUUCAGACUAGGUCGAAAGAGUCUACAAGUCUUCUGACUAGAUUGAUGGAAACGUUUCAUCAACUUCAAAACAAAUACGGAAGGAUUCUCCAUCACUCUGCUCCUGGUCACUCAUUGUACAGGCUCCUUAUGGACACCUGUUUUCCAAUUCCAAUCCCAAGUUAGAAUUUGAGUGAACAUACAAUCAAGCUUCCAAUCAGCUUUCAAUCACAAGCAUCAUAAGAAAAGCCUUUCCUACUAACUAUCCCCCGAACUCAUCGGUCCUUAUCACUCCAUACACAAACUUGCUUUAAUACCACUUAAAUGGGGAUGGGGGGCCCCGAUCCUAGAGCAAGCGCACGUCCCGCUGUAGCCGAUGGAACUAAGACAUUCCCAGAACACGUCGCUGAGCUUUAAUUUUUAUACACAUGCGGAAGUGAAUCAAGACCCCCAACAACAAACAUCAUGGGAUAGGAAAGCAGGGCAAAUUUCUCAAANNNNNNNNNNNNNNNNNNNNNNNNNNNNNNNNNNNNNNNNNNNNNNNNNNNNNNNNNNNNNNNNNNNNNNNNNNNNNNNNNNNNNNNNNNNNNNNNNNNNCAAGCCACACAACACAGAGGACUUCCCUUGCCUCAGUUCCUUCCUGCACGUUAGCACAAUUCAUAAAGAAUCAUUAAAUCACAUCAAUCAAGAAUUCUAAUUGAAUCAUCGAUCAAUCGACUUAGUCGAUUACGUAACAACGAGACCUUUCCCUGGUCAUCUCACUUACUCAACCCCAACGCUAAAUUACGGCUCAGCAAGCACGGCCUACUAAACCUUUGGCAGUAAUGCUGAAUUACGGCUCAGCGGCACAACCUAGAUUAUGUGGUACUACUGAAUUACGGCUCAGCGGCACAACCUAGAUUAUGUGGUACUACUGAAUUACAGCUCAGUGGGCACAACCUAAUAGGUGGUAAUGCUAAAUUACGGCUCAGCGGCACGACCGAUUCCAAGCUCGGUGGUAAUGCUGAAUUACGGCUCAGCUGCACAACCAAUUCCCAAUUCGGUGGUGUCUUGAUCUAACUCACAACAAUAUGCUAGUCAACUCUCAAAAGCCCACAAUGGCACAAAACAUCAUUCAAUCAAACAAUCGACAGCCAAUUGCAUAAAUCACCUAAUUCACAUAAACAACAUGCAAUUUCAUAACUCAUCAUCAAAUGACCAAUCCAGCAUUCAAUUCUAAAAUCUAACCAUAACAUAGCAGUUAGAGUGCAUUUCUAACGAUCGGUCAUCCCGGUCGAAUUUCCAGAAAAUUUAAUUAAUUAAAUAAUUAAAUAAAUUCCGAAAAUUAAUCUAAUUAAAUAUUAAAUAGUAUAAUUAAAUAAUAUUUAAUUUAAAUAAAUAAAAUAAUUAAUUAAAAGUAUAAAUAGGAUUACACUAAUCUAAUCUCAUAAUUAGACUAAUUAAUCCAUCUGCUAAACUAAUCCAGCCCUUAAUCUAAUCCAUACUUAAUUAAACUAAUCUAACCACCUAAAUAUCAUUAGGCUAAUCUAAACACCCCUUAAGUAUGAUUAACCUCUUAAGCAAGGUUUAGUGAGUAAACUCACCGGAUUUGCGCACCGUUGAGUUCACGGCAACCAUGACGCGGAGGUGGAGCGAUAAUCCUCCUAACGACGACACUAACGGAGGACGGGAAGGCACCUAAAAUGGGCCUUGAAACCUCAAGACCCUUAGUGGUCUUGGCUACUGAUCUUGAACCGAAAAGCCUGGAACCGUCAGCGAUUGAGGCUGAACGGCGAAGGAGGAAUCGGCGAUGGCAACAGCUGGUCCAAGCGGCUACAUGCGGUGGCUUCGGCGGCCUUGGCGACGACGGGUAGCUGCUGGCGAAUGGCGGGGGAGCAGCGAAGUUGGACGCGCGGGCGAGUAGCAAAUGCGGCUAGCAUGCGGGUGAGCUCUAGUGGCUUGCGGCAGUCGGACAACUAUGGGAGCUACUCGAUUGGCUUGCUGGCUUCUUCCUCUGGUUUUACAAGCUUUCUCUCCUUCAACAACAAUGGAGAAAGCCCCCAAAUGAGGACGAAGAAGGCUGCUGAAGAGGGGGUCCCCUUGGUGGCUUCUAUGGGCUCAAUACAUGUUAAUUCCUCCUUUCUCUUGCCCCCACCAUCGCCGGCCCAUCCCUUAGCCAUUCUCUCUCCUUAGCUUUCUCCAUAAGCUUGCCAAUAGGUCCAAAAUGUUGUAUACCCCAUGGCAUACGAAUUUUGUGACGUUGCCCUUCAAUUUCAUUCAAUUUCUCUUCCAAUCGAGUCAAAUUGAAGUCCAUAAAUUUAACCAAUGUAACCAUACUUGAUUCCAUAUUUUUCCUUGUCCAUUGAACCAUCUUGGAUGUCAAAAGCGCAACCAAAAAUGGGCCUAAGGAUUUUCCCGAUCCAAUUUCGCCAAAUCUUGAUUUUUCGCCGAAAAUCUCGAUUUGUAGAAAAAUCUUCAGAGGAUAAGUCAACACUCCUAAAAUGACUUGUGACAUAACAGAACUCUCAAUUUCUAAAUUCGGGUUCGAUUUUGCGGUUAAUUUCAAUCUAGCGCGAUUUUAGUGCGUCCUAAUCUACCGGGUAGUUUUUAGGAACUUUUCGUGCAAUUGACCUGUGGUUGAUUGUUUUCGAGCCAUAAAGUGCAUCUUCGACACAUUAGCGACUCUCAAUUAUCGUAGAAAUCUCAAGGUUUCAAAUAUGGACAUAGGGUACCAAAACGACAGAGAAAUCGGUCUAGUGCUGAUCGACAAGAUUUGUGCGAUCAGGUGGAGUCACCCACACUUAAUCACAUGCCUUUGUCGAGUCGACCUAUCUCUGGUCUCUAAUCGGUCUGUGCCAUAAUGACCUUUGCAGAUUAGUACGAUCGAGCAGUCAUUUCUUGGUCAAAUUCUCAAGUCCAUUGCGUUUAGAUUCCUUAACAGCUUUACCUGAUAGACUAGUUAUCCCAUGAGUGAUCAGCUUAGGGAAAAGAACUAUAUACACGUCGAUGAAAAGCCCAACUUAUUCAGUCGAAAUCAGAACCUAAAAUUUAGGAUGUCACACGUCUUGGAUUUGACUAAUUUCUGCCUAAAAGUUCCAUCGCAAAGAUGAUUAUUAGUCUAGUGCAAAUUUAAGCAUAUAUUAUACUUUUAAGUGCACUGACACAAGAUACAUCAUUUAUCUAGAUUUUCUUAAUAUCUAAAUAAGGACAAUGUAAUGAAUUCGGUUCAUCAUCCUUAAUGACGGGAGCAAUUCCUGACUUGCAGUAAUGUAUGUUGAAUAUUUCCAACAAAUGUCCUCUGAGAUAAAUCCUAUAUAUAUGGCGAGAACAAUCCUGACGAACCUCAGUGUAAAGGACAAAAGAUGCCUCAAGGUCAUUACUUGUAAACAAAAUAUCACGUACAUAGAGUAUGAGAAAAUAAAUUUCCUCCCACUGACCUUACAGUAUAUAUAUAUAUAUAUAUCUGUGUGUGUGUGUGUGUGUGUGUGUGUGUGUGUGUGUGUGUGUGUGUGUGUUGAAUUACUGUGUUCCUAACUGAACGAAAAGAUAACACUAUGAAACUUUAAUAAUAUUAUCUAGAAACUUGCUUAAGACCAUGAAUAAAACUUUUCAGUAUACACACAAAUUUAUUUAAAUCAUCUACUGCAAAAUCUUCUAGUUGCACUAUAUAGAUUUUGGAUCUAUUUGGCGUAACUCUAUAUCAAAAUACACUAUUAAUGCCACAUUCACUCUGAAAGAAUCUUUAAAAAUACUAAGGGUUAAUACCUUAAAAACCCUAAACUGGUACACUUGUGACAAAUUUACCCCAAACUAUUUUUUUGACCAUAAAAAACCCCAAACUGGUAAACUUGUGACAAAUUUACCCCGACUGAUUAUAAAAAAUCCUAAACUGGUACAUUUAUGACAAAUUUACCCUAAACUAAUUUAUUCGACUACAAAAAACCCUAAACUGGUAAAUUUAUGACAAAUAUACCCUAUGCUAAAUUGGAUUAAUACUACAAAAAACUCAUAAAAAUUGUAAACUGUGACAAACAGAACGUAAAAUCCUAAAUUGGUAUACUGGUUAACUGUCACGUGUCAUUUAACUUAAUAAUUUGAGAAUAAAAUUUAACGAAAACUAACAUAGAGUAAAUUUGUCACAAGUGUACCAGUUUGGGAUAAAUUUGUCAAAAGUAUACCAGUUUGGGGUUUUUGGUGGUCAAAAAAAUAGUUUGGGGUAAAUUUGUCACAAGUGUACCAGUUUGGGAUUUUUUAGGGUAUUAUCCCAAAUACUAAAAAGAAAUAAUUAUUUCUUCACUAUUAACUAUCCACCCCUCUUUCAGAGUGAAAAAUUUAGCUACUAGUUUAGCUUUAAACUCCACAAUCUAUAUUUGAAUUAUUUUUAGUUUUGUACGCCUAUUUGCAACUAAUGAACUUGUGAUCUUUUGGCAAGUCAGUAAGUUUCCAAACACCAUGAUAUUUCAUAGAUUGCAUAUCGCCUUUUAUGGCAUCUAAUUAAGGAUAAGAAACAACAUUUAUAUAAGUAGUUAAAUCAACCAUGUAAUGGAUAUUGCAGUCAUGCUCUCAUAGAUAGACUAUAUAGCCUGAUGGUAUAACUGAUCAUCUUUCCCUAACAAAUAACAAAUCUCCUGAGUAAGGUACAACCACUUCAUUCUAUACUUGAGAGGUUUGAAAAAUUUCAUCACAAACUAUAUCAAUAAUAGUACCUUGAACCUCAACAAGUUUAGUCUAUGGUACAGAAGAUUUCACAAUUGUCUGUAUAGGCAAUAACAAAGACACAAUAACCUCCAUCUUACUAUUAUUCUUGAUAGUCUGAGAGCAACUAUCCUCUACAACUAUGUUGAACUCUAGAAAUUUUACUGUUUGUAAUUCUAUAAUUCUUGUACCUUCAUUAAGGUCAUAAAAUCAAUACCCCUUUGAAUAAUUUAGGUAAGAUACAAAAUAAUUUCAAGUGGAUCUGAAUUCCAACACACUUAAUAUUGGAUUAGAUAACUUCAUUUCUACAUGACACCCCUAAAAUUUAAUAUGAUUCAAGUUAAAAUUUACGUCUAGUCCAUAACUCAAAAGAAGUUUAGGAAAUAACUUUGGUAAGAAACACAUUUUGUAUGUGAAAAUGUUGCUUUCAAAAUAUCAACCCACAGAAGAUUGGAUAAAUUAAUCUUACGCAUUAUACUCAUCACCAUGUUAAUUAUGGUGCAACUAUGCCUUUCAACCAAAUCAUUUUGUCAGGAUUUUCAAGCAUGGUAAAUUACGUUACCACCCAAGAAUUUACCAAGUAUUUAACAAAUGACCCUUUAAGCUAUUCCGCAUUGUCAUACUUGUCAAAAUACUCACUGCCACUAUUAAGCCUAACAACCUUUAAGACUAAUUCUAACUGUUUUAUUAUUUAUCUCGGUCAUUUUACUUCCACAAUAUUCUAUAGUAAUCUUUAGAUAACCGUUAAGAGUAGACAGAAUAUCAACAUUAUCACAUUUUCUACUCUUUCUUUAGACAUGUGUGAGAUUAUUCCUUAAACAAAAAAAUUUUGGAAACAACCUUUUCAACAUUAUAUGAGACGUAUAUAUCAUUAGGACUUAAACACAAUCUUUGCAUAUGUGUCUUAAUUUCGGUAUUAGACAAGACAUAAUUUCAAGCCACUAAGGCUUCCAUCAUCUUUUAGGAGUACAGUCAGUUGGUAAACCACUUUUCAAGUAUUCCUGAAUGGAACACUUCAUGGACAUUAAGCAAAUUCUAUUGUAUUUUUCCUAAGCGGCAGAUCAUAUGUCCNNNNNNNNNNNNNNNNNNNNNNNNNNNNNNNNNNNNNNNNNNNNNNNNNNNNNNNNNNNNNNNNNNNNNNNNNNNNNNNNNNNNNNNNNNNNNNNNNNNNUCAUAUAAUCACAUUUGGGCAGAAUAUAUAACAUGCAGUUGUACACUCCUUACACGAUAGCGGUUAUGAGAAUAUAUUCCAAUAUUCGUGAAUUCAUUACCUUUGGGCAUAUGAACCACUAGGACAGUCAUUCUUUCACCACACCAUCAUGUAUCCCUCCAUGAACUAAUACACAAUCACCUUAUUUGGGAGUAUGACUAUGCAUUAGACCAUGAGACAUCCCAAUCAAUAUACGAGAUCGAAAUUUCUCAAACCCAAUCAAGCGUGCCACUUUGGCAGUCACUACUCAAUUGAAUCUUUGAAACUCUUUCAUACCAGGGAUAUAAACUUUACUUCUCACAUACACCAUAUACAUGUGAUUUUAACUUUAGUGAUAGGGGCAGUAAAUCACUAAAAUCAUAUAUCAUGCUAAUUACACUGCUUUAUUCAUUAACAAAAAUCAAUCAUACAUAUAUAUAAAUGACCUGAAAGACAAACUCCAUUGAGAUCACCGAUCACAGCAACACAAGAAACUUCUCAUAACAUAGAAGAAAGCAUCUCUUGUGCACCUUGAUUGCAGAUUACCAGAACAACAUCAAAAGAAUGCCAAUCCAAAGGAUCUCUCACAAGUUAACAUCAAUAGCAAUACAUGGUACUCCAGAUUGACUAGCUUGACAACUAACUAUUGCUUAUGAGUUUCAUAAGAUAAACUAUGUCUCCAAGGUCAACAAUUGAUUUAUUAGCCAAUAUUAAGUACCAAAUUAUCAUUGUAUCAACCAGUGACUUAUUAAUUGAGUCAAACCACAGAAUCAUGUAUCUAAACUACAACAGUAGAUACUAUGCUCUGCGUAAAUGUUAUCAUACUUCUUAACCAUUAACAAAAAAAAAAAAAAAAAAAUCUUGAUAGACAUUAACAAGUGACCAGAUGAGUUUAGGUACAGUAUCCAAUAAUUUAACUAACAUGAAUUACUCACAUUCAGCAGAUGUGUUAAGUAGUACAAUCAGUUUGGUCACAAGUUUUAAGACGUCCAUCAUUCAAAGGUUACCAGCGUGUAAAGGAGUAUGCUUGAGCAACAAAAGUUUCAUAACCUUUUACUGUUUCUUAUCACAUCAAUACAUAGUUCAAUUACCAUCUCACAAUAGUUUUAUCUCAUUAAGCCAACUUCAGUUCACAAUAAAGUUUAAUUUUUAUUAAUGAAUCACACAUUUAUAAUGUUUAUGUGAUAACAUACCAGUAACCCAACACUUGCUUUUCCAAAAUCACUGAAAAUACAAGAAAAAUACACUAAAAUACACUAAAAUACACGUAUUUAGGGUUUCAUAUGUAUUUUCACAUCCAUAAAAUCAUCAAACAUGUAAACUAAAUAAUCCACAAGACAGAGGAUGAUCAUACGAACCCAACGCCGCCAGCCACACGUCGAUCUAAGGCUCCAUGCGCCCGCACGCGCCGCCUGAGUGUGCGGCGCGUGGAGCUCACACGCAGGCGUAUCUUGACUGAUCAAAACUAGUCUGACCAGUUCCCGGCUUGACCGUUCGGUCCAGCCAUCCAGUUUGACCGGUUGACUGGUCCGGUCAAUAGUUGAUCGGGUCAGGUCGGCUACGAGUUGCUGAUGUCAUCAUGACGUCAGCACCGCGCGUGUGACGAAUGUGCGAGCCGCGUCUCGUGCGUGGGGGCGUGUGAAGGCACGUGAGCAUUCGCGAGGCACGUCUAUGAUGCCUUGGCGGCGUGUGGCCGCGCGUGGGGGCGUGUGAAGGCAUGUAGGGCUCAUCUACAACGCUCUGGCGAUGCGUAGCCGCAUGUGGGGGCGCGUGUGGCAUCCCCCGACGACGCUUCGCCCAUGGAUCCACUCAUCUCGACGAGCCUAGUCCGAAUUUAUGAUUUAAUUUGAUUUUAUUGAAUGAAAAAUCGUGAAAAUCUCAAAAUUAGGGCAAAAAUUCUAUGCGUUUGAAUUCUAGGGUUAUAGUUGCUUUGAUACCACAUGUUGGAUGCAAAACGUUCAACCACAAGAUCUCCAUAGCCAGAACAAAAACACACAUAACUGAGUAGAAAGAUUAACGCACCUAUUUUGGGAUCCAUCGUUCUUGAAGCAGAAGCGAAAAUCGAUGAUCCACGCGCAAGUCCUUCUCCUCUAUUGCCUUCUGUAUCACUAGCUCAAAGAGAUGGCCCCCUCACCCUUUAGCGUUAGGUAAACGCUCCUUAUGUGAGGAUCUCGUGAAAAUUAGGGUUAGAGGAGAGACUUGAACACUAUUUAUAGAGUUCCUAACCAGACCCCCUUAUUACAAGACAUGCUCAACUCAAUCCACACUAGCCAGCCUCAUACUAGACUAAUUAAGAAAUCUUCUAUCUUACCUUAGACCAACCCCAUUUUACGGUAACUGUAAAAUGGUAAAUUACAUUAUCAAUUAAUGUAGUCCACAUUAGGAAAACUCUUACAACAUCAAUAUAAUUUACUACAAUGAAUUAAACAAAGAAAAAACUAGUAAAUUUUCCACAUUCAAGCUUCAAAGUUUCGGAUCUGAGCCUCCCAUGGCCGAAUUUUGGAUUUAUCAAGUUUAAGCCCAAAAAACUUAUCUUAAUGCAACAAAAGGAUGCUAAAACAUAUUUAUAACAAUACCCAUGCAACGAUUUACAACGAACAUCAAUCAAUUGCAAGUAAUUUGAAAAUUCUAGAACUUUUUCAUGCAUAAACCCUAUAAUCUCAAAUUUAAAAUUCUCUCUCAAUUCUCAACGAAAUAAUACAAAUUAUAUAUGGUUGGAAAGAUCUCGGCAUGUAGAACAAAAGCCCUAAGGUUUCAGAAUCAAUCGAUCAAAAAAUCCACAUGAAAAAAUAAUGCCCAUAUUCGGCUCAAAAAGAAAAAUUUCGAAUUUGUUCAUAAAAAAUAAUUUUUGGUUCUACAAUCAUAUAUGACAUGCUCUGAUACCACAUGUUGAAAAUUAUUUACAUAAACAACCUAUUAAUCAAGAAGAAUUAGAUUCAUAUAUAACUGUAAAACAUCGAGAACAAUAAGCAUAGCAGAAUUAAAGCAUACCUGUUUAAGCAAUUGCUUCACUUGAAUAAAAAUAGAUCACUUUGAUAAUAAUAGAUCUAUCGGAAUGGAAAAUCUUCUUUUCUAUGACAUAUUUCAGUAUAGCAGCUUUCAAUAGGAUUAAGCAACCGAUAUGUAUAACCUACCAUUUUAUAAGCUAGAGAGGGCACCUAACAAACUCUAAUCAAUAGUAUGUCAACUGAGCUCCUCUCAUUACGAGCUUCAAUUAAACACAAUUGCCGACACUUUGCUACUCAACUAGGCCCGUUAUUAAUAGAUGCCAAAAUCCAGUUCAAUAAAAUCACUUAAAGGUUUAGCAAAUAUUGAAAUAUCCAUUAAAUUAAUUAUUUAAAAUAGAAAAUCAAUUAAUUAAUGUACGCCCAUAUUAUAGGAAAUUUCCAACAAUUCAAUUAAUUAGAAGUGGAUUCAUUGCAAAAAAGUUCUCAUCCGUGCUCUCUAUCUCUGAUUAUCUACUUCUUUUAUCGAUGCAUAUCAUCAUCUUUUCUGAUCAUGAUAAUAUUUUUCGAAGAAUUCACAGCUGAAUCAAAUAUAUACAUCUAGACAUUUAAAUCUAAAGGAUUAAGUUAAAAAAGGAUUCUGUCAAGUUGAAGAACCUAAAUAUAUUUUGAUAGAUGUAGCUUAAGAUGCAAUAACCUUCUAUGAAUUUUCUAAUGGUAAUUUUAUGUCUGUGCUUUAAAUUUUCUCUUCACUGAGAAUAUACAUUAGUUGUGGCUAGGUGGAUGGGGUUGGAAGUGUAAAUUCUUGUCAAAUGUGGCUAAUUUCUAGAGAGCGUUUGGUUCAGUAUUUCUCAAUUUGAAACCGAGUGAAAAACAAAUAAAGAGAAGGCAGGGGUAGUUGGCAGAAAUUAACUUAUGAGGCGGGAGAUACCUCGUUUGGUCCUAUUCUCAUUCUAGCAUUCUUUUGUCCAUAAUGGGACCCUUGGUUGUAUGAACGCCACCCCAUUUUCAUUAUUUUUCUCAAUGAGGCCUACAUUUGAGAUUUCUAUAAGUGUCAUAACAUAUUAAUAGCAUAUGCGUGCCGACAUUUCAGGUUAGCACUGUGUAUUUUCCAAUAAAAAUGACCUUUCUUUUCCAAGUGCCAAUUUUCUUCUUCCCCUAAGAAUUGUGAUUAUGCUUCGCAAUAUUUCAUUAACGUUGUGGGUUCUUGAAUAUCAAUCUUUAAGUUGACUUUCUCAUCGUUGAACGGAUUUGAUACCUGUGGAUGUUAUUAUUUUCUUGGAAGUAAUGCUCUACUGCCCCAAGAAUACAUAUACUAUAUGAUGGUGUGCGCUCUCAUUGCCCUGAGAACAUGUUAGAUUGUCAUACUAUCUAAUGGUCUAGAAUGCAAAAGUCACAAUGUAGCCAUACGCAGUAUGGUCAUUAGCAAUUUCUACAUGUAAUGCAAAAAAAAAUAAAAAAUGCUUUCUUUUAAUUAUAUUAUUUUUAUUGAAAAUUUAAGAUACGGAUGAUAUAAAGUGUCUACAACAGCCAGGUUCUCAACCUCUCAAGGCCUGUUUCUAAUGCGGAAAUUCGUGAGUCCUUAUUCUCCAUUUCAACUGGUAAAGCAUCGGGCCCCGAUGGCUUUGGCGUGGAAUUCUUUAAGCAUUGCUGGGAUGUUGUUGGCCCUCUGGUUACUACUGUGGUUAGUGAUUUCUUCACUACUGGAAAGCUCCUCAAGGAAUCUAACAACACUAUUCUCACCCUUGUGCCGAAAUGCCCAAAUGCUACUACGGUAAAUGAUUUCAGGCCGAUUGCUUGUUGCAACACGAUAUACAAAUGCAUUACAAAGAUUAUUGACAACCGUAUGGCUGCCAUCAUGCCUGCUGUCAUUAGUACUGCUCAAAACGCCUUUGUUAAAGGAAGACGAAUUAGUGUCAACAUAUUUAUAGCUCAGGAGCUUUUUGCGGGGUUCCACCUCAAGCCACAUAAGCCUAGGUGAGCCAUCAAAGUUGAUUUCCGUAAAGCUUAUGAUACACUCAGUUGGGACUUUCUCGAGGUAACGCUUCAAGCUUUUCGCUUUCCUCUCCACUUUAUUAACCUUAUUAUGAGCUGUGUUCGGUCGCCUCAUUUCUCGAUCUCCCUUAAUGGCGAACUCCAUGGAUUCUUCUCUAGCGGUAGAGGCAUUAGACAAGGAGAUCCCAUGUCACCCUACCUCUUCACGUUUGUCAUGGAAGUUUUUAUAGGCAUCCUCAUUAAGCAAAUCAGUCAACCAUCGUUCCAAUUUUUUUGGAGAUGCAAGGCGAUUAGACUUACUUAUUUGUUUUUUGCGGAUGAUGUGCUGCUGUUUGCGGAGGCGUCUAUGCCAGCCCUUUCUCUUCUUAAGGCAGGCUUGGAUAGUUUUUCCACAUGGUCUAGCCUCUAACCGAAUCUACAUGAGAGUGAGAUUUUUUUCUCAGGGGUCACCCCUGAGUCUCGCGGCGAUUUCAUCUCUAUUUGGCUUCCAAGAGGGAUCCAUGCCUUUCCAAUAUAUGGGGGUUCCCGUUCUUUCUUCUAGACUUCGUAAAGUUGAUUGUGCUACACUGGUUAAUCUCAUCACUUCAAGGGUGCAAUCUUGGACACAACGUUUUCUCUCAUUUGCGGGUCGCCUACAACUUAUCAGGUCAGUGCUCCAUUCCGUUCAAGCCUAUUGGGCGAAUGUCUUCAUUCUUCCCAGAUUGGUUCUGGAUGAUAUUGAGAGGAUUUUGAGGCAAUUCCUAUGGAAGGGCCCGGACCUUGGUAGGGGUGGUGCUAAGGUCGCUUGGACUGAUGUUUGCCACCCAAAAUCUGAAGGGGGCUUAGUAAUUUGAAGACUCAGGCAAAGCAACACCGCGGCCAUGCUAAAACACAUCUAGUUGUUAUUUACAGAUAGAGAAUCCCUUUGGUACAGAUGGAUACACUCUGUUUUCUUGAAAAAUGUUAGUUUUUGGCUGGCAUCUAAACCUACCUCUUGCUCUUGGUCUUGGAAAAAAAUCUUGGACCUUCGUGUGAAGUUUCGCAAGUGCUUUCACAGGCGAGUUGGAAAUGGCUGCUCGACUUCCUUCUGGUACGACAACUGGCACCCCAAAGGGCCGUUGAACUUAUUAUUUUUCAAUGCAGACAUUUACCGUUCUCGGUUACCCAAAGAAGCUACAGUCAUUGACUUUUUCUCCUGUCCUAACCCAUCUUCGGGUGUUCUGGAUGUGAUCCCCUACCUAAACUCAAUGAUGAAGAUGAUCAUUUUCUUUGGCUGGGCAGCUCGAAUGGCACUUUUUCUGCUGCAUCUACUUGGGACACUUUUCGGCCGACUAGCCAUCCGGUACAGUGGGCGCCCUUCAUUUGGAACAUUUCAUUAGUACCCCGCUACCAAUUCCUGCUAUGGUUGAUUACAAAAAAUAGACUACCGACUCAAGUACUACUCCUUACCUAUGGUAGAAUACCAUAUGGGAACUGUGCCUUUUGCUCCUAUCGCCCAAAUUCAAUUGAUCACUUGUUUUUUGGAUGCCCCAUUCCUGCUGCCUCGGCCACUUUUUGGGCUGCAAGAUUUAAUUAUGCUUGGCGGAAUAAAUCUUGGAAGGAAAACUUGCUUUGGGCAAUCAAAUCUCUCUCAGGACCCUCUUUCCGCUUUUCUCUUGCUUGCUUUGCAUUUGCUGCUUUAUGCAACAUCACUUGGAAGGAGCGUAACAAUAUACUGUUCCGGGGUAGACCUCCCUCCCAUUUGGCCAUGAAAAGGUGCCUUGAACAGGUUAUAAAGGACAAAGCCUUGUCUUUCCAUCAAGUCCCUCCCACUGCGGCUAACAGGAGAUUAUUGCAAAGCUGGUCGCUCAACCCCUCCAUUUUGGCGAGCUGAUGGAUUUCACCCUCCUCCUGGCUUCCGAGAUGACCCCUUACCAACCUUAGAGCUAUGCUUGGUUUCUUUUGUUGGUAGUGCUUUCUCUUUGCUGUUUGUGUUGGUUUAGGCUUGCUGGUUCUGUGCCGUUGUUUGGCCUUUUUCCUUCCCCUGCUCUUGGCUUGGUUUCAUUUACCUUGGCCCCCUUUCACUCUCUCUGACUUGUUGUCUACGUGAGUGCAAGUUUCUGGGACCGAGUUUUUGUUGUAUAGAUAUAUAACUCUUUGGUUUAAAGUCAAUAUAUUUAUUACCUUCACCAAAAAAAAAAAUGAUAUAAAGUGUAACUGAGAAAAAAACUCCCCCAAAUUUUGCAAAGUCAGAGGUACCGCUUAGACCCAACGGUGGGGGUGGAGUGUCUGCACUAGCUCUAUACAUACAUACCGCUAAAUCUCUGCUUGGAAGUUACCUAAUUUGUUUUCUUUUCUCACCCCCUAGCUCUAUACACAACGACCGGGUCGUGACCGUGUGAAUGCUUGACUAAAGCCUCCCCCCUUGGGCCCGUAUUUUCCUGCAUUUUAUGUUCUUAUUACUUUUUCCUCUAAAUCUUUGCUGAAGAUGUGGUCAUUGCGAGUCGCUGCUUGCAUUUUCUUUGCUGUGUCCAAUUUUGACCUACUUUUUUUACCCAGAAUUCCCCGAUUUCCGGCUUUUCCCUUCGGUUCCUCUUCGUGUUUUCACACGGCCAAUUUCCUUCGUUCACGCGCAGGAAUACCGCGUGGAAAGUGGGCUCAACUCGACCAUUUCGGUCACCCAGAAGGAGGGAGCGGUGAGGACUUAAAAUUCCCGUUUAAAUUCGCUGCGGAAAAUUCAGGACCGGGUUGGGUCGUGUAACUGGUUGGUUCAUAAGAAUUCGCGGGGUCUGUAAUUUUAAAUGCAAAAGAAUGCCGUCGAGAUCGAGAUCGGAGGAUUAAAAAUGUGCUUUUAUUAGGGGUCAAAUUACUGUUCAAUUUGAUGGCUGAAUUUCAUGAAAAUGUGGAUACAACCUUUGGGAGAAAAUUUAGAUGUCAGUAGUAAUUUUCCUUGAAAGUCGGUAAGUUACUACUUCUCUUUGAAUCAUCUCUUGGUUGAAAUUUUUUCUUUUUUGGUCUAAUGAUGCAGACUGCAUAUGAAUUGGUCUCAUGAAUUAAUUAGUGUAGGUAAAAUUCUAAAUUUGAGUCAAGAUUUAUGCUAAGUAAAUAAGCAGCAGUACUUUCGAGAGGUUUUCCUUGCAAUUUCUAGAAGCAAAAAAAGAGAAAUGCUAUUCAUAAGAAAACUAGACAUUUAUAUAUUAAGAUGAUGGAGUAAUUUUGGUGUCAAUAGUAAUUUUUCUUAAGUUUUUUUUUUACUCUCGGCUGCUUUGGAUUCCCUCUUCGUUUUCGUUUCCUUUUGUUUUUUUCUCCUCAUUUUAUAACCACAUCCUCACCAUGAUGAGCCUUCUCUCUUUUGUCCCCUAGGUCUCCCCUUUUCUUUCUCACAAGUCUUUUCUUUUCUUGCUUUUUUUAUUUGUUGGUUCUCCGCCGAAACCCUUAAUGAAGACUACUAAUUGGUGUUUAGUUUUCCAAAGUGUAGCAUUAUUGAGCACCAUCAUCGACCCAUCAAGUUCGCUAAACUCAGUCAUCAAUGGAUUGACCAUUCUUUUUUGAACAGGAGCUACACCAACGUGGCAGGAAAAUGAAAACCAAAAACGCAUGCAAGAACUCAUUGAUUUUCUAAGACUUGGUCAUAAGUAUUGCUGAAGAGAAACUUUGAUACCGCUGCAUUGAGAAUAGAAGCACUCCCAACAAGUAAAUCCAGGUGAUUGAAUUCAAUUACACGACGGAAUCAACUCAAUGAUUUAAGUUCAAAAGUCACUCUAUAAUGAUCACGAUAGCGAUACGGUAACUUUGAGCGUCGCAAUAAGAUGUCUCAUGAUGCAGUAGAAAAAUCCAAUCUAGUCAUGCAAAGGGGCGGCAACAUGACCACAACGCCAGUAAUAUUGGGGUAGCAACGGCGCAUCAACGAGGCUUACCGUUAUUGAACCUUUUUUCUUUCCUUUUUAUGGAUAUAAUAUGAAUUAGAUAAUAGAUCUCUUACUAAUAAAUAGAUAAUAGGGAAAUCCAAUUCUCCAAUUCCUAUUUGAAUUCAUCAAAUGGGCAUUUUUUUUUCAUUUACUAAUUCAAUUCUAUUACUUUUUUAUAUUAUCCCUAAAAUUUUAUUAGAUAAUUUAAUUUACCGUCAUAUCAUUACAUGACAAUUCAAAUAUGGAUGUAACUANNNNNNNNNNNNNNNNNNNNNNNNNNNNNNNNNNNNNNNNNNNNNNNNNNNNNNNNNNNNNNNNNNNNNNNNNNNNNNNNNNNNNNNNNNNNNNNNNNNNNNNNNNNNNNNNNNNNNNNNNNNNNNNNNNNNNNNNNNNNNNNNNNNNNNNNNNNNNNNNNNNNNNNNNNNNNNNNNNNNNNNNNNNNNNNNNNNNNNNNNNNNNNNNNNNNNNNNNNNNNNNNNNNNNNNNNNNNNNNNNNNNNNNNNNNNNNNNNNNNNNNNNNNNNNNNNNNNNNNNNNNNNNNNNNNNNNNNNNNNNNNNNNNNNNNNNNNNNNNNNNNNNNNNNNNNNNNNNNNNNNNNNNNNNNNNNNNNNNNNNNNNNNNNNNNNNNNNNNNNNNNNNNNNNNNNNNNNNNNNNNNNNNNNNNNNNNNNNNNNNNNNNNNNNNNNNNNNNNNNNNNNNNNNNNNNNNNNNNNNNNNNNNNNNNNNNNNNNNNNNNNNNNNNNNNNNNNNNNNNNNNNNNNNNNNNNNNNNNNNNNNNNNNNNNNNNNNNNNNNNNNNNNNNNNNNNNNNNNNNNNNNNNNNNNNNNNNNNNNNNNNNNNNNNNNNNNNNNNNNNNNNNNNNNNNNNNNNNNNNNNNNNNNNNNNNNNNNNNNNNNNNNNNNNNNNNNNNNNNNNNNNNNNNNNNNNNNNNNNNNNNNNNNNNNNNNNNNNNNNNNNNNNNNNNNNNNNNNNNNNNNNNNNNNNNNNNNNNNNNNNNNNNNNNNNNNNNNNNNNNNNNNNNNNNNNNNNNNNNNNNNNNNNNNNNNNNNNNNNNNNNNNNNNNNNNNNNNNNNNNNNNNNNNNNNNNNNNNNNNNNNNNNNNNNNNNNNNNNNNNNNNNNNNNNNNNNNNNNNNNNNNNNNNNNNNNNNNNNNNNNNNNNNNNNNNNNNNNNNNNNNNNNNNNNNNNNNNNNNNNNNNNNNNNNNNNNNNNNNNNNNNNNNNNNNNNNNNNNNNNNNNNNNNNNNNNNNNNNNNNNNNNNNNNNNNNNNNNNNNNNNNNNNNNNNNNNNNNNNNNNNNNNNNNNNNNNNNNNNNNNNNNNNNNNNNNNNNNNNNNNNNNNNNNNNNNNNNNNNNNNNNNNNNNNNNNNNNNNNNNNNNNNNNNNNNNNNNNNNNNNNNNNNNNNNNNNNNNNNNNNNNNNNNNNNNNNNNNNNNNNNNNNNNNNNNNNNNNNNNNNNNNNNNNNNNNNNNNNNNNNNNNNNNNNNNNNNNNNNNNNNNNNNNNNNNNNNNNNNNNNNNNNNNNNNNNNNNNNNNNNNNNNNNNNNNNNNNNNNNNNNNNNNNNNNNNNNNNNNNNNNNNNNNNNNNNNNNNNNNNNNNNNNNNNNNNNNNNNNNNNNNNNNNNNNNNNNNNNNNNNNNNNNNNNNNNNNNNNNNNNNNNNNNNNNNNNNNNNNNNNNNNNNNNNNNNNNNNNNNNNNNNNNNNNNNNNNNNNNNNNNNNNNNNNNNNNNNNNNNNNNNNNNNNNNNNNNNNNNNNNNNNNNNNNNNNNNNNNNNNNNNNNNNNNNNNNNNNNNNNNNNNNNNNNNNNNNNNNNNNNNNNNNNNNNNNNNNNNNNNNNNNNNNNNNNNNNNNNNNNNNNNNNNNNNNNNNNNNNNNNNNNNNNNNNNNNNNNNNNNNNNNNNNNNNNNNNNNNNNNNNNNNNNNNNNNNNNNNNNNNNNNNNNNNNNNNNNNNNNNNNNNNNNNNNNNNNNNNNNNNNNNNNNNNNNNNNNNNNNNNNNNNNNNNNNNNNNNNNNNNNNNNNNNNNNNNNNNNNNNNNNNNNNNNNNNNNNNNNNNNNNNNNNNNNNNNNNNNNNNNNNNNNNNNNNNNNNNNNNNNNNNNNNNNNNNNNNNNNNNNNNNNNNNNNNNNNNNNNNNNNNNNNNNNNNNNNNNNNNNNNNNNNNNNNNNNNNNNNNNNNNNNNNNNNNNNNNNNNNNNNNNNNNNNNNNNNNNNNNNNNNNNNNNNNNNNNNNNNNNNNNNNNNNNNNNNNNNNNNNNNNNNNNNNNNNNNNNNNNNNNNNNNNNNNNNNNNNNNNNNNNNNNNNNNNNNNNNNNNNNNNNNNNNNNNNNNNNNNNNNNNNNNNNNNNNNNNNNNNNNNNNNNNNNNNNNNNNNNNNNNNNNNNNNNNNNNNNNNNNNNNNNNNNNNNNNNNNNNNNNNNNNNNNNNNNNNNNNNNNNNNNNNNNNNNNNNNNNNNNNNNNNNNNNNNNNNNNNNNNNNNNNNNNNNNNNNNNNNNNNNNNNNNNNNNNNNNNNNNNNNNNNNNNNNNNNNNNNNNNNNNNNNNNNNNNNNNNNNNNNNNNNNNNNNNNNNNNNNNNNNNNNNNNNNNNNNNNNNNNNNNNNNNNNNNNNNNNNNNNNNNNNNNNNNNNNNNNNNNNNNNNNNNNNNNNNNNNNNNNNNNNNNNNNNNNNNNNNNNNNNNNNNNNNNNNNNNNNNNNNNNNNNNNNNNNNNNNNNNNNNNNNNNNNNNNNNNNNNNNNNNNNNNNNNNNNNNNNNNNNNNNNNNNNNNNNNNNNNNNNNNNNNNNNNNNNNNNNNNNNNNNNNNNNNNNNNNNNNNNNNNNNNNNNNNNNNNNNNNNNNNNNNNNNNNNNNNNNNNNNNNNNNNNNNNNNNNNNNNNNNNNNNNNNNNNNNNNNNNNNNNNNNNNNNNNNNNNNNNNNNNNNNNNNNNNNNNNNNNNNNNNNNNNNNNNNNNNNNNNNNNNNNNNNNNNNNNNNNNNNNNNNNNNNNNNNNNNNNNNNNNNNNNNNNNNNNNNNNNNNNNNNNNNNNNNNNNNNNNNNNNNNNNNNNNNNNNNNNNNNNNNNNNNNNNNNNNNNNNNNNNNNNNNNNNNNNNNNNNNNNNNNNNNNNNNNNNNNNNNNNNNNNNNNNNNNNNNNNNNNNNNNNNNNNNNNNNNNNNNNNNNNNNNNNNNNNNNNNNNNNNNNNNNNNNNNNNNNNNNNNNNNNNNNNNNNNNNNNNNNNNNNNNNNNNNNNNNNNNNNNNNNNNNNNNNNNNNNNNNNNNNNNNNNNNNNNNNNNNNNNNNNNNNNNNNNNNNNNNNNNNNNNNNNNNNNNNNNNNNNNNNNNNNNNNNNNNNNNNNNNNNNNNNNNNNNNNNNNNNNNNNNNNNNNNNNNNNNNNNNNNNNNNNNNNNNNNNNNNNNNNNNNNNNNNNNNNNNNNNNNNNNNNNNNNNNNNNNNNNNNNNNNNNNNNNNNNNNNNNNNNNNNNNNNNNNNNNNNNNNNNNNNNNNNNNNNNNNNNNNNNNNNNNNNNNNNNNNNNNNNNNNNNNNNNNNNNNNNNNNNNNNNNNNNNNNNNNNNNNNNNNNNNNNNNNNNNNNNNNNNNNNNNNNNNNNNNNNNNNNNNNNNNNNNNNNNNNNNNNNNNNNNNNNNNNNNNNNNNNNNNNNNNNNNNNNNNNNNNNNNNNNNNNNNNNNNNNNNNNNNNNNNNNNNNNNNNNNNNNNNNNNNNNNNNNNNNNNNNNNNNNNNNNNNNNNNNNNNNNNNNNNNNNNNNNNNNNNNNNNNNNNNNNNNNNNNNNNNNNNNNNNNNNNNNNNNNNNNNNNNNNNNNNNNNNNNNNNNNNNNNNNNNNNNNNNNNNNNNNNNNNNNNNNNNNNNNNNNNNNNNNNNNNNNNNNNNNNNNNNNNNNNNNNNNNNNNNNNNNNNNNNNNNNNNNNNNNNNNNNNNNNNNNNNNNNNNNNNNNNNNNNNNNNNNNNNNNNNNNNNNNNNNNNNNNNNNNNNNNNNNNNNNNNNNNNNNNNNNNNNNNNNNNNNNNNNNNNNNNNNNNNNNNNNNNNNNNNNNNNNNNNNNNNNNNNNNNNNNNNNNNNNNNNNNNNNNNNNNNNNNNNNNNNNNNNNNNNNNNNNNNNNNNGUCACUUGGGGGUUUACGGCGCGGCUAUCGGCUGCAAGCUGGUUCCUCCCAAUACCAAAAUAUAUAUAUAGAAUCUUACUAAAUUGAAAUGCUAAAUAGAAAAUGGAAAUAACCAGAUUAGAAUCUGACUUGACAUUCUAGAAAAACGGGAAUUAUUUCUAAUAAUCUUCAACUACUAACCAAAACAUGUAAUGUUCUGACAAAAAAAAAACCAAAACAUGUAAUGUGUUUCUAGCUGAUAUCUCCUUCCGUUUUCCUCUCUCGCCCACUAGCUCUAUAAGUAAUGACCGGGUCGUGAUGGUGUGAAUUCUUCGCCGAGAGUCUCGACUAAAAGCCUCCCUUCGGCCGGGAUUUCCCUUCUUUCUACCUUUCCUUUUUACACUGAGCCUUUGCUGAGGAUAUGGUCAUUCAUCAUGAGGGUGUGCUGCAAUUUCUCCGCUGCUGUGUCCUUUUUGACCACGUUCUCCUCAUCAGAGCAAAUCCACCUAGAAUUCCACUUGCGCUCCUUUUAUCUUUAGUCUUUUUCAACUUUCUCUCUUUCGGUUCCGCAUGGCCCGGCCAUGUCCCCUCGUCCUUAUCUUGGUGUUCAAUUAGUCAACACGGUUCCACCGUAUCGUGUCCCACCAGACUUUGCUCUCCAUUUUUGCAGAAUUUCAGCUUUCCCUUUCUGUUCCUUCGUGUGUUUUCACACUGCCAUUUCCCUUCCUUCGCACUCGCAUGAAUCCCGUGUUGAGAGUGGCCUCAAGUCGGCCAUUUCGGUGAACCAGGAGGAGGGAGCGGGAAAGACUUAUAAUUUCCGUUUAAAUUCCCCGCGGAAAAUUCAGGGUCGGGUCUUAUAAUAGGUCAGUUUACAAGAAUUCACAAUCUUAUUAGAAAGGGUCUGUAAUUUUUUUUUGGUGAAGGUAAUAAUCAAGGGUCUGUAAUUUUAAAUGUGAAAGAACGCAAUAGAGAUUGAGAUCGCAGGAUUACAAAUGCAUUUUUAUUAGGGGUCACAUUAUCAAUGAACUUGAUUGUUGGAUUUUAUGAAAAUGCAUAUAAGACAUUCCGGCGAAAAUUUAGGCAUCAACAAUAAUUUUUCUCAAAAGUUAAUACGGACGCGUUUGAUAACCAUUUUGUUCAUGGGAAUAAUUUUUUCUUAGAAAUGAUUUUUUUAUUUAUUUUGUUCCUAGGAACAAUUUCUGAGCUUUUGAAGGCGCUUGGUAAAUGUCUAAAAUUUUUAUUCCUAGAAUAAGAAUGUGUUUAGUAUGACUCUUAAAUAUGUUUUUUUUCUUUUAAUUUUUUAAAAUAUUUUUACUAUAUUUUUCUCUUUUUUCUUCUUCAUUUUCUCUUCUGAUUCCUCCAUCUUUGUGGCCGGCCACCAGUCAUGGCAUGCCAAUGACCGCCGGCUUGGCGAGGUCUAAAGAGCUCACUGGAGGCUCGCCUAGCCACCACAAACCUCGGCCUCGCAGAUUUGGGCGAGGCCGAGCCUCGCUAGGCCUUGCCAAGUCAGUCGUCGAGGCCAAGCCUUGUUAGUGGCUAUACGAGCCUCGCCCAACCCAACGAGCCUCGCCUGACCAUUAGCUAAGCUCAGCCUCGCCUAGCAGGUCGUCGGCCAUUAUCGACGGCGGCAAUAGAGGCCGAUGACUUGCUAGAAGGAAGAAGAAAAGAGAAGGAGAAAAUAACAAAAGAAAAGAGAAAAAAGAAAAAGUUGAUUUGAAAUUGUUUUCGGAAAUAAAAAGUAAUUUUUUUUCUUUUUCUUGAUUUUGUUUCAAAUCUAUUAUCGGGAAUAAAAAAGGGAUUUUUAUUCAUGUAAACAAAAAAUUUAACAAGUGGAUUUCUAUCUUUUUUUGUUUCGGGGAUCAAAAGAAUAGAAUCAACAUUAUUUGAAGGGUUACCAAACAAAGUCUAACUUACUAUUUCUCUUUAGGGAUAAUACCCUAAAAAACCCCAAACGGGUACACUUGUGACAAAUUUACCCCAAACUAUUUUUUUGACCACAAAAAACCCCAAACUGGUAUACUUUUGACAGAUUUACCCCAAACCGGUACACUUGUGACAAAUUUUUCCUAUGUUAGUUUUCGUUAAAUUUUAUUCUCAAAUUAUUAAGUUAAAUGACAUGUGACAAUUAACCAGUAUACCAAUUUAGGAUUUUACGUUCCGUUUGUGACAGUUUACAAUUUUUAUGAUUUUUUUGUGGUAUUAAUCCAAUUUAGCAUAGGGUAUAUUUGUCACAAAUUUACCAGUUUAGGGUUUUUGCAGUCGAAUAAAUUAGUUUGGGGUAAAUUUGUCAUAAAUGUACCGGUUUAGGGUUUUUUUAUAGUCAGUCAGGGUAAAUUUGUCAUAAGUUUACCAAUUUUGGGUUUUUCAUGGUCAAAAAAAUAGUUUUUGGUAAAUUUGUCACAAGUGUACCAGUUUGGGGUUUUUCAAGGUAUUAACCAAUCAUCCCUUCGUUGAAUUUUUUUUUUCUUUUUGGUCUAAAGAUACAUAUUGCAUACGAAAUUGAUCUCAUAAAUUAAUUAGCGGAGGUAAAGUUCUAAACUUGAGACAAUAUAUAUGGAUAGUAAAUAAGUAGCACUAUUUCUGAGAUUUUCUUAAUUAAUACAAUGUAACUCAUUCCUAGCGGGAAAAGAAAAAGAAGAAGCAAUGCUAGACAUAAGAAAAUUGUGUGUGUGUGUGUAUGUGUGUGUGUGUAUAUAUACAUAUAUAUAUAUAUAUUAAGACGGAUGGAGUAUGAAGAGGAAAAUAGUGUGGUGGCCUUCUUAGGUAAGUUUUGUUUUUAAUUUGGGUUAAUACCCUGAAAAACCCCAAACUGGUACACUUGUGACAAAUUUACCCAAAACUAUUUUUUUGACCACCAAAAACCCUAAACUGGUAUACCUUUGACAAAUUUAUCCCAAACUAGUACACUUGUGACAAAUUUACCCUAUGUUAGUUUUCGUUAAAUUUUAUUCUCAAAUUAUUAAGUUAAAUGACACGUGAUAGUUGACCGAUAUACGGAUUUAGGAUUUUAUGCUCCGUUUGUCAUUGUUUACAAUUUUUGUGAUUUUUUUAUGGUAUUAAUCCAAUUUAGCAUAGGGUAUAUUUGUCACAAAUUUACCAUUUUGUGGUUUUUUGCAGUCGAAUAAAUUAGUUUGGGGUAAAUUUGUCAUAAAUGUACCAGUUUAUGAUUUUUUAUAGUCAGUCGGGAUAAAUUUGUCACAAGUAUACCAGUUUGGGGUUUUUCAUUGUCAAAAAAAUAGUUUGGGGUAAAUUUGUCACAAAUGUACCAGUUUGGGGCUUUUCAGGGUAUUAACCCUUUUAAUUUUUCAGAGUUUGGCAAUUAAGUGAACCAUAUUUUAACGUACAACAAUAGUUUUCCAUCUCAUUUGGUACACUGAUUUUUUAAAAUCUUCAUAAAAUUAGUACUGUUUCGGAUGGCAAAAAGUUAAGAUAAGUGGUCUCAACAUUUUGUUGGGAGCACAUUCGGGUGAGUUUCCUCACGGCCGAAAGCUGAAAUUGACUCAAAGGGAACGCGUUUUCUUGAGUACGACCGUCCAUUCAUUACGGGGACAAUGACAUAGGAAACAAUUACCCUACACUACUCUUCAUGCUCCUCUGGAUCCAUGCUUAAUGUGUCAGGGCUGCCUGAGAUUCUCCUUGCAAGGCAGGUUCUACUUCUUACAUAACCGAAAAUUUUUCCUCUUGUUUUUCGAUAAGUAUGAUUUAGUUUUCCUCUUCUAAUUUCCUCUGUGUAGAUCUAGCGUAUCUCUCUACUUGCGCUUUUGAUCCUGGUGAAAUAAGGAGGGGGAUCUCUACACUCUGGGCAUGCACAACGCAGGUGGUUUGACUCUGUUAGGAGGAUUCUUCAGUUUUGCAUCGACAUCAAUUCUAUCUGGUCAGCCGACUGUGAACAUCACUUAAGAAUCUUUUAUGUUUCUAUAUUCUAAUUAUUUUGUUCACGUGUUCUUUCUCAUGGCUGCUCUUUCUCGAUUCCAAUAUGGAUUAGAUUACAGAUAUCUUAAUACUUAAUAGAUAAUAAUUCAUUUUUUAAUUCAUCAAAUGACAUUUUUUUUCGUUUUUCUUUACUAAUUCAAUUUGAUUACUUUAUAUAUUAUCACUAAAAUUUUGUUAAAUAAUUUAAUUUACUGUUAUAUUGUAUGCAUGUACUUUAAUUUUCUUUUUACUGCGAAUACACAUGGAUUGUUGAUAUGGUGGAUAGGGUUUGAGAUGUAGCAUCUUGUCAAAUUUGGUUGGUUUCUAGAAGUCCUCAGCUUCAAGUCGAGCGAACAACAAAUAGAAGGAAGAGGAGAGUAGUAGGCAAAAAAUUGACCCGUGAGGUGGGCGACACUUUGUGUGGUUCUAUGGACAACGCCCGGUUUUUCAUAUUAUUCCCAGUGAGACCUAUUUUUGGGAUUUUUAUAAAUGUUACAGGAAAUUAAUGAAUUAAUUUUACAGACAUUUUAGAUUAGUACUGUUGUACAAAAAAAAAAAGAUUAGUACUGCGUCAAUUUGCCAACAGUUAUGACCCUUUCUUUUUAAAGUCGAGAUUCUCUUUUGCCCAUAAGAAUUGCAUGAGGUAUAGAUUAUGCCUCACCGUAUUUUAGAAAUUAUUUUCCUAUGCGUGCAAAUUUCUGCGUGUUAAGGUCAUCUGCAUAAGUAUAGUUUUAGGUUUGAUCGAUUCAUGGGAGCCUGGAUGAUGUUCCAUGAUCUUCUAGGUAAUCGGAUUUUCUGUACUUAUGUCAUAGGGGUAAAAAAGAAUCAAUCUUCUGCCACUUCUGAAAUUGGAAAAUUAGAAAGGGAUGAAACUGAGGAGAAUAGCUCUAAAGUGUGGGGGAAUUUGGCGCUGCGCGUCAGCUAGCUCUAUCUAUUUGGAUAAUAAUUCAGUUUUUGACAACAAUUUUUUCCCCGAGUUGCUCGCGCAUGUCUAGGAAAAAAAUGGAAGAAAAAAGAAUUAUACUGUCCAUUUUUUUUUAAUCCGAACCCUCCAUGUUAUUGACAUCUUAAUCUUUAGUAAUCGAAAUUAUUUUGGGUAUAUAACUGCAAUAAAAUCUAUACUUUGCAAAGGGUAAAGUACAUGCUCUUCCAUGGUUACAUUGUAUGUUUCAAUUGAUUUGCGUUUUUCUCCAUGACAUUAUACGUUUGUUCUUUUACGUAACAAAUCGAACAUCACUGUAGUGGAUGCAUUAGUGUGACACGGAAUUUUGGAUACAAAAAUAAAAGGGAAAAGUAAGUAGUUUAUCGGAGCAUUUUCAAAAUGAUGCAAUAAAUUCUAAGUGAUUCUUUUAGUUAAUAGACUUACUUGAAAGCUCAAUAAGAUUCCGUCUUGUCAUUUUACAAAUCAUUUUGAUGUAUCAAAUGUAUAAUAUUAUACUAAAUAAAUCACUCUAAAUUCAACUAGACCAACUAUGAGGGAGUAUCUCAUUGAAUUAAUAAGAACUUGAGUUCACUAAUGACUAUAAGAUACAUUGGUAAAGAGGAAAAGAAAAAGGCAAAGAAAGGGAUAAAUGAAGGAGAAGAGGGUUUGGGGAAGACAAUCGUCUCGUUUGAUUUCUCGAAGAAAACACAGUACGGAGAGAGACCGAGAAACAGAGAGAGAAGGGGCGAGAAGAAAGGGGGGCGGAAGAGCGACUUCGGUGGAUCGAAAUGGUCGAGCUAUGCGAGAAAUCUCCAUUUUGUUUUAAAAGUUAAUGUCUGGAUCUAGUUUGGAUUUUGCUUCACCGGCGACGAUUCGGUCAAAAUCCAAGCAUAUUUUGAUUCCCCAUUUCUCCUUCUAUUUCUAGAAUUGAUUAUUUUCUUGAGAAGGUGGUCCGCAAUUUCUAAGUUGUUUUUGAGUUGAUUGGGUGUUUCUUGUCUCAAAUACGACAAGUUAUUCUUGGGUCUGUUAAAUAUUAAUCUGUAGUUUGGCUUUGCCGCUCUAGCACUCGUAGAAGCUAUUGUUUGCUUGAGAAUAAUGCUAUGUCCACUAAGAAAAUAUACAAAUGAUUUGUAUGCUAUAUGACCGGGUGCGGUCUCUUUGCCUGUAGGUUGACUAUCAAGACAAUAAGAUGCCGCGAGUUGAAGAUAUAGCCUGGAAAUUCGUGAUUAGACAGGGCAAGAAAUGGCGUUGUCCUCACUGUCAGAAUGAAUACUUUGGAUCAGUUACAAGAGUGAAAAGUCACUUUCUCAAACAACCAAAAGGAGGGAUUGCCUCUUGCACAAAAGUGCCAGAGCACAUAAGCACGCUAAUGGAAUUGUUACAUAAUCAGGUGGCUUUGGUACUUGUGGUAGCUACAUUAUCUGCUUGAGAAUUAUGGUAUCCGUGCCAAGAAGAUACAUAAAAAAUGGGAUGAUAUAUGAUGGGGUGCGCUCUAUUUGCUUGCAGGUUCAUAAUAAAGAUGAUAUAGCCUGGAAAUUCGUCAAUAGACUGGGGGAAAACAAAUGGCGUUGUCAUCACUGCAGGAAAGAAUUCUCUGGAGACCUUACAGGAGUGAAAGGUCACUUGCUUAAAGUCCCAAUUGAAGGGACUUCCGUUUGCACAGAAGUGCCGGGCCACGUAAGAAAUCUAAUGCGGUCGUUACUCGAUGAGGUGGCUGAAGAAGAGAGCAGAAAAGCCAAUGGUCAAUCCUCCAUAGAACCACAAUCACGUCACAUGCCCGCUCAAGCUGAGGUGGCUGAAGAAGAGAGCAGAGAGGCCAACGGUCAAUCCUUCACGGAACCACAAUCACGUGACAUGCCGACUCAAGCUGAGGUGGUGGGUGAAGAAGAGAGCAGAGAAGCCAACGGUUCCACGGAACCACAAUCACGUGACAUGCCCAUUGAAGCUGAGGUGGCUGAAGAAGAGAGCAGAGAAGCCAAUAGUCCAUUGUCCAUGGGGGCUUUAUUCUCGCCAGGCCUCGAAUUUAUUAUGGAACAGUUCAACUUCAACCAACAGGGUGUCAUUGGGUCAAACUCUGACCAACAAUCACAAGCAGAGCGUCAGUUUCAUCCGAUUUCAACAGUGCCAUUAUUGGUGCAAAGUGGCCAUGGUAUGUCCAUGUGAAGUUUCUUUACAUUCUUCUAGGCGUGGAGAAAAAAACAUCAUUAUAUUUUUCGUAUUAUUAAUCCUCUCUAGAAUAACUCAAAUUCAUCUAUUUCCAUAUCGUAUCGAUUCCAAAUUACAAUGGUAUCAUUACAUAUUCUACAUGUCUGAUGUCACUAUCUUUUUACUGCACAGCUCAUUAUUUUCAUUAUAGAUAUCUAUUUUUGUGAUCAAGUUCUAGAGGUUCGUUUUACUUGUACCCAUGGCUUGAUUUGAAGGUCCCAUUGUUGAUUGAUCUUACGGUGGAAUAUUUUAAUGCAACCAGCUUUGGUGCCCCCUCAACAUCGAAGUGUUCUACAUCAAUCCGUUGAUCAUGAGAUAAGGGAUACGCAACAGAAUGCAACCAUGCCUCUGGAUAAUCGAGAUACCACCCGGCAACCCGAUCUUCAUGACUCUCCGCCAGAGAAUCUUGUUGAAUCUCGUGAUGCAAUUGUAAACACUCCUGAGGAAAUACAAACGAAUGAAGAACAUAAUCCAACAAUGGGAUCAUCAUUACGAAACGAUUUAUCCGUUGAUGUGGACCAUACAAAUCAUUUACAGGAUUGGAGUCAACAGUGUGUAGUGGAAGGGGUUCCCUUACUCAACAAUACAAGUCCGACCAACGCCGUCGAGCAUCCCUAUCAGCUUGACCCUAGGUGUGAUAAGGAAGAUGGAAAUGAUACCCGUUUGUUCCGCUCGCCAACUCCAAUGGACAUAGAUCAUUCAAUUGAAUUACCGCAUUCAAGUGACUCACCCAAUUUUGAGUCAACAAUCGAUGAUUUGCAAGUUCCAGAGGUGGCAACAAAUGCAACAGGCCCAUCAUCAUCACAAGGUGUGUCCGGAUUAAUCUAGAUUUUUACUAUCACUUCUUUUGAUCCUUAAUUAUCCCCUCGUUAAUUUAUUGGAAUCUAACUUAUGUUUUUUUUAUAAAUUAGAAAUGAACAGGGGUUCUCCAAACUUGAAUGUACGGAGCAUCUAUGCCAACGAUGAAGAGAUAAGAAACCUGAAAAGAAAAGUGGAAGAACUCGAGGACAAAGAAGCUGUGAUAAAGGAGCAGAUGGAGAUGGAGUCUGCUGCUUCCUCAGUUCGGAAGAAGCCGAGGAUAUUGGUUGAGAGAUGGCUAAGAGACACGGAAAGAGCAAGAAAUAAUUUCCAAACAAUUGGCCAAGUCAAUGCGGAAACUUUGCCACCAAAGGAACAGGUGGAGACAUUGACGAGAGAAGUGGAAGAACUCAUAAAUCAAACGCCACAGACGCUACCCUUAAAGGAUAGAGAUGCCAAUGGAGUCAAAUUUUUGGAACGAAAGCUAACAGGAAAAGCGACUUAUAGGAACAUUAAGUGGAUUUUAGACCGUCUCAAGGAGAAUCAUGCAUGUAUAUUGGGUAUUUAUGGAAUGGGUGGUGUUGGGAAGACAACUAUUAUGAUGCACAUACAUAAUAGUCUUCUCAAUGAUGCAACCUUCGAUGGUGUGGUUUUUAUCACUGUGUCCCAAGAUUUUAGCAUUUAUAAGUUGCAGAGUGAUAUUUGGAAGGCACUAAAACUUGGCAUUAUGGAGGAUGAGCAUGAGAAGAAACGAGCAGCAAUGUUGGCGGAGCAAUUAGAAAGAAAGAAGAAUUGUGUAUUGAUUCUUGAUGAUGUGUGGGAACGUAUUGAUCUCGAAGAGGUGGGAAUCCCUUUUGGAGCAGAUGGAUUUAAGUUGGUCUUAACCACUCGAUCCUUUGAUGUGUGCAGUCAAAUGCAAUGUCAAGAAAAUAUAAAAAUCAAGCCUCUCUCUCAAAAAGAAGGCGAGAGUUUAUUUUUGGAGGAGCUUGGAUCCAAAGUAACACUUAAUUUGGAAAUCAAAACAAUUGUGGAGUCCAUUGUCAAAGAAUGUGCAGGCUUGCCAAUUGGAGUCAUCACGAUGGCAAGAAGCAUGCGAGGAGUGACUGAUGUGUUUGAAUGGAGGGAUUCCUUGGUGAAAUUGAAAGAAUCAAGUAUGGGGCAAACAGAUAUGGAGAAGAAGGUCUUAAUGAAUCUAAAAGUCAGUUAUGAUCGCCUUGGUAAUCAUAAUAUCCAACAAUGUCUCUUAUCUUGUGCACUUUAUCCAGAAGAUACAUUAAUUAAAGUGGACGAGUUGAUAGAAUUCUUUAUUGAUCAAGGAUUGAUUGGUGGAUUGAGUACGAGGAUGAAGCAAUAUGAUAGGGGGCCUCACCAUACUGAACAAAUUGAGAAAUGUUGGCCUAUUGGAAGAUUUCCGCAGGAUCUGGGUGAAGAUGCAUGAUCUGAUUAGAGACAUGGCAUUAUACAUCAUGGGUGCAACUUCCAUUGUAAAAGCAAGAAAGGAAUUGAGGAAUAUUCCAUCUGAGGAAUAUUGGACGGAUGCUUUGGAGAAAGUUUCUCUUAUGGAAAACAAAAUUAGUGAAAUUCCAUUGAACAUAUCACCAAAUUGUCCAAAACUAUCAACUUUACUACUGAAUGGAAACUUGUUGCAGGAUGUGGUCAUCCCCGAUUCUUUCUUCGAACAAUUAUGUGGGCUAAAGAUUUUGAACUUGAGUGGAUGUGAUCUAAGAGAACUUCCAAAUUCCAUCUCAGACUUGGUAAAUUUGAGAGCACUAUUGCUUAGAAAGUGUAGGAAAUUGCGCCGCAUUCCUUAUCUAGGGAAGCUCACAUCUUUAAGGAAGUUGGACACUAUAGGCUGUGAUAGUCUUGAAAUGCUCGAGGGUCUGGAAAAGUUGGUCAACUUGAGAUACUUUGCCCUCACCAAAACACCUAGGGAGAGAGUACCCAAAGUAACACUGGAUUGUUUACCAAAGUUGCAAUUUCUUGACGUUUCUGCGAUAAUUGAAGAAAACAUCACAAAAUUAUGGGCAAUGGAGACAUUUCUAUGCUACCUUAAAAAUGUAGAUGAUUUCAACGAGUGUGUGAGGUUUAUUGAGCAGAAGCAUAACCCUUGCUAUUAUGAACUCGAAGUGGCUUUUGAAGGAUCAAAGUUUAAAGUGAAAGUAAGUGAUGGUGCUCAUUUUUGGAACCAUGUGCAGGGGCAGGGGAGGCAUGUCUUCAUUUCGGGGUGGAGUCAUGCUAUUGUGAGCGUGAGAGGGGAAUGCACUGGCAUUUUUAUUUUGAUUCCCCCAAAUGUGAAGACAAUGUUAAUGAUAAAAUGCAAUGGUAUAACAAAUUUGUCUGACAUGGGUCCGCUUGAAUACCUUUUUCACCUAUCGAUAGAUGGAUGUGGAAAUUUAGGGGUGCUCUGUGGAAGACACGAUGAAGAACUAAUCGACAUCCUUCACUCCCCUGCACCAACCCCUUCCCCUCUCAUCUUCCCGAGCCUUAGGAUCUUGACGAUACGCCAAUGCACAAAAUUGAAGUAUCUCUUUGGGCAUGGCUCUAAACCCAACCUUCCGCAUCUACAAAAGAUUUUUAUAUGGGAAUGUGGGGAAAUGGUGCGGAUAAUAGCAGCAGUUACAUCCCCACCACCAUCUCCGCUCCCAACCUUCCAUAGACUAGAAUAUAUUAGUGUUUCAUACUGUGAUAAAAUGAAGAGGGCAUUGGAAUUUGACUGGAUGCCCCACUUCCCUAAUCUGAGAAGACUCAAAGUAUCCGGUUGUGGGAACAUGGAGGAGAUAAUUGGAGGUCCUCCCCCAUACGUACCUAUUGAAGAGAUUUCUCUCGAAUUUCUUACAGUAGCACGUUGCGAUAAGAUGAGAAAGCUGUUAUCGCAUGAGUGCCUGCCCCAUCUUCGAAAGCUUCGAACUAUCAACGUCGAAUAUUGCAAAGGAAUGGUGGAGAUGACAAGCGGAGCGGGAGAAGGCCAAGAAGGAAGCAUAAUGACUCAUGUAAACAACCCCCCUUCAUCCUUCCAGCCUCCAAUCUCUCUCCCAAAGCUGAAGCACUUGUUCCUAUACAAUCUACCCCAGCUAAAGAGCAUAUGCGGAGUCCCAAUAAGCUGUGAUUCCAUGGAAGAAUUGAGAGUACAUAGAUGCCCAGAAUUGAAGAGGAUUCCUUUACAACUGCAAUUACGUGAAACUAAGGAGCUUCCACAUAUUUGGGUGGAAGAUGAGGAAAAGUGGGAGACGCUGAUCUGGGAUGAUCCCAAUGCUCAAACUACUCUUGAACCUUUUCUCCGAAAAGGGGAACGGUGUAAUGAUAGACUUUUUCCUAGAGAAGCGGAAGACGUUGAUAUGAUUUAUUUUUAUCAGAGGAUGUUGUAUUCUCCAAAUGCUAUAGGUUAUGAGUUACUUGAUAUACGAUUGCUUGACUUCUUAAAAGUCCUUACAAAGAUGUAGCUUUUCUGUCUAUAGUCAUGUAGCUUUCUAACAGUGGCCUUUUUGCAGAAUUGGACGCCGAGGGAAAGGAUCCCCUGUGAUGCCGCUCUUGAAGAAAGCCCUGCUGCUCGAGCAUGCUUUCCUGCAAACUCAUCUCAAGUUCCCAUAUAAACCGACUUUUUUUCGUGUAGCCAUACUUUGUGUAUCUUGAACGCCGGCGCAUGCUUUAUUGACUACUGGAAAUAAGUAAUCUCGGAGGACUAGUGAAGAGAUGAUGCUUUGUUGUGCAGCCCUCUCAUUAUAUUUUCCUUGUCAGACUAGAUUCUUGCAAGCUGUUGGUUUGGGUGAAGACCACUUAUAUUCCAGAAAUGUGGUGUCCCGACUUUUCUGCCGCUAACUUAUGAGCGGAAUGUCUUUUAAAAUCUUUAUGUGUCUUAUCUAUAAGGUUAUGAUCGCUAACUUAUUUUUUCUGUCUUUUAUUUUUUUUUUAAAUUUCUGAGAAAUAAUUCAUCAUUAUUAAAAUAGAAUUAACUUUAAAAUACCUUAAAAGUCUAGACCACUGUUGCAAUGAGUACAAUGCUUCUGACAAAUGCUUCAACAUCAAAUAAAUAAUAUUUAUUCUCAUUCCGUUUUGUACUGAAAUAUGGAGAUUUUAACUCAUAACUUAAAAAACUUUAUAAAAGGAUUUAAUCGUUUAAUCUAACCUGAUUUAGUAAAAACUAAUUAAUUAUCUAAUGACAUCUAAGCAUUAUGUUCCAUUACGUUCAUGUUAAUAAGCACAAUCUUAUAAGUUGAAUCUUCAAAUGACAUGACAACAUAUCAUCUUAUGAAUAAAAAUUUGCAUUUUAAAGUACAUAUAGAUAGAUGUAUUGCUCUAUGUGGUUAAAUAAAAUGAUCCGUGAGUUUGAGUCAGGAUCUACGAUUUGCUAAACUUGAAUUGUUCCAGUUUUUCUUUUAUUAGUUUUAUUUUCUCAGCAAGAAAACUCUUUAACAAAUUAAUUAUAGGCUAAAAACCUAUUUCUCAUUGUGAGUUUUUAUCAGUAGUUACUUUUCAUAAUUUAAUAAUUGAUAUAUUUCGUAUAAAAGGAUUUUCUUUAAUUUGUCAAAUUUAAAUAUCAAUUUCUUGUAUUAGACGGGGGUAUGUGUAUAGUUGCUAGCAUGAUAAAUAAAAUGCCAUACAUCUUGAUUGAAGAAAAGUACUCGCCUGUAGCAUAGUCUCUAUUCUCUAAUUUAUUCUCUGUUUCUGGUAUUUGACUAUCAAUAUGCAGAUUGGCUUUCUUAUUGAAUGGGUUUAGUAGUGUUGGUUGCUUUUAUUUGCUUGAGAGUAAUGCUAUACAUUACUCCCGAAGAAGACAUAAAAUAAAAAAAAAUAAAAAAAAAACUGGAUUACUAUAUGAUGGGUGCGCACGUUUUGUUUGUAGACUAAUAACCAGAUAUCGCGAGAUGAAGAUAAAACCCGAACAUGUAAACUAGAGGGUGAUGAACAACAUUGUCAUCAUUAUAAGAAAGAAUCCACUAAAAACCCUUAGCAAAGUGAAAAUAUGGGAAAGUCACUUUGCUUUCACUUCGCUGGAGUAAAAGGCGACAAAGAUUGCCAUCGCACUGGAAUCCCUAACCACAUAAGAGAUCUAAUGCAAUUGUUACUUAACAAGGAGACUGAAGAAAGGAGCAAGAGGACGACUAUUUGAAAAGUUCCUCAAGCUGCUCACUUGUCACCGAGUCUCGAAUUGGUGGGAUGGUUAUUGCCAAGGCAAGGGCGGCUCACAUUGCAAACUUCACCCUCUAGGGAUUAAGUUAAAAAAUUGUGUUUGGCACUUAUGAUGUUUUUACUUCAUAAUAAAUGUGUUAAUUAUUUUAUCAAUUAAUCUACCCUGAACAAUAUGCUAAUAUUAGAUUAUAUAGUUUGUUAAUUUGGCUAUAACUUAAAAUAAGAGACAAUAACAAUAUAAAUUCAAUACCAAAUACUUUUUGUUUGAUUUUUUUUUCACUUAUUAGUUAUUCUUUUAGCAAUUACCAAAUAACAUCAUUCAAACCAUGUAACGACAUAUCUAUUUUUUUCAAUUAGUUUACACCUAAAUUGUGUGGAUCAACAUAUAUAAUUUCUCUGACCAAAUAAAAAAAAAACAUAUAUGAUUUCACCACAAAACAAAUGAAAAUCAUUCGGAAUAAAAAAAAAAGAUUGAAAAAUGGCUCUCAUAUUAGUACCAUUUACACAGGUAAUGCAAAUUAAAACCAAGUCUUAUUAUUAUUUUUUUAUGUGUAUUAAACAUUUCCAAUUACACAUAAAAUGCAUAGAAUAAACAUUCAGAUAAGAAGGAAGAUAAGAGAACCCUUAAACAAAAGAACAUCUCUGUCCAUCGUAAGAUAGAAAGUACACAUCAAAUUUAAACAAUCCCACUUUAAAUACUUAUCUAGCAAGAACAUUCAUAAAAAUAGAACAUAAUGUAAGACUAAACAAUCAUAAAAUGAUUCAUUUAUAUGAAGUGUCAAUAUAACAUAAUGCAAAAAGUUUAUACAUGCUAUAUAGGUUCUCAAUAAAUGGAAUUUGAAGAAGUAAAUUUCUGAAUCUGUGCAACUCACAGGUCUUUGUUUACUACACAUUCUAAAAAAAUAUGCAAUCAUAAGCUACAAUAUGAUGGAAUCACCCACCAAUAUACAAAGUUCUAUUCACAUCAUAGGAAAUGUCAUCUAGCAAUCGGAUGGCCUGGAAUAUUUUGGGGGCAGAGAUGGACACAUAUCAUUCAUAUGAGGGUAUGGUCCAUUGUAUUGUAUCCUAGCAGCUCCAUUCAAUAUCUACCUUGUAUUUGACAGAAUGGAAGCUCAACGGCAUCCCUAUCAUUGCACCACUUAGGCAAGUGGCUUGAAUUAUUCUCAAAGAACCUAAGUGAGUUAUAGUUCUCAAUCUUUAAAGAAAGUGAUAUCCAUCUCUAGAUAGUAAGUUCAAGCAAGUAGGUUUAGAAAGAUAACCCAAAUCAGAUCGCACUUACAGUGAACUCUGCAACUUGAAUGGAGCUAGAAACAAGAACAAAAGCUACACAUGAGGUGGACUUCCCGUCACUGUAUACCCAAUUGUCUUGCUCUAGAAUUGUCAGCAGUUCAGCAAAAGAUGACCCCCUCAUUUCAGUUUCGACUAUUAGAUCAGGAAGAUCCAAGCCCUGUAUGCAACACAAUUGUAAAGUAGCCAUAAAGUAAAGUGUAAUUACAACUGUAUAACAUUUGUUAACUGAAUGUCAUUCAAGAGACAUUAGAUUCCAGUUGCACCUCAGUGUGCAAAACAAGAUGCAUAAUGUCACACAGACAAUUGCAAAUUGAAUGGGAUGGUACCUCUGUUCCUAGUCGCUUGUUGAGUGUUUCAUUCCACAUGUUCACAGCAUAGACUGGUUGCAUUUGGUUCCAUACUAUCAUAACAUAAGCAACCUACGAUAAAACAAUGCUUUCUAUAAAACGAGUGAACCGCACUCCCAUCACGUGGAUAAAGCACUGCACAUGGUGAGCAUAUUACAUGCAUCGUCAGCCAGGCUAAUAGCAACUCUUAAGAAAAAAUGAACAAAGUCUACCAUUUUGCUAUCUCAGUAUCAUAUAGGAGGCCAUAAAAAAAGAAUAUUUGUCAAACCAAGUCAGAUUCUUUUCCAUAAUGUUAGCACUCAAGAGAGUCAAAUGCUAAUAUGCUAUUUGGAGAGAUAACUGUUCACUUUUAGCCUUUUGUUUUGUUCAGUUGAAUUCAUUUGAAAUCAUGGCAUGAUUGUCUAAUUCCAACUAGACCAUAUUGUUACGAUCUAACACAUGGUGUGACAUCCUGAAUUUUCAACCCUAUUUCGAUUAAAUGAAAUGGGCUUUUCAUCGAUGCGCCUAUGAUCCUUUUUCUUUGAGCUGAUCACUCACGAAAUAACUAAUCUAUCAGGUGAAGCCGUUAAGGGAUAUAAACGCGACAAAUUUGAGAAUUCGAUUAGAAAUCGACUGCUCGACCGUGAUAGUUGGCAUGGCAUCGUUAUAAUCGAUUAGUGAUCGGAUAUAGGUCGAUUUGAUGGAAUGGCGUGAUUAAAUUGUGGGCGUCACCUGAUUGCAAAAUUCGCGUCAAAUAGCACUAACCCAAUUUUCUGUCAAUUUUGUACCUAGUGCUCGUAAUUGAAAUCUUGAGAUUUUUAUGUGGCACCCCCAAAACGGCCCCCGAUCCGUUAGGGUUGCCACAAUUACAUUCUCUUGUAGCAUACUACUCUGAGACCAAAGAAAUUUUAACAUAACUUAUAAUACCUGGGGGUUUUCAUUUGUUUUCUUUACCGGUCCCUGCGCAAAUAAUAUGGCGGAAGCAUAAAUCGACUACCCUUCAUCAAAAUAUAAAGUGAUGCACACCAUACUAAAACUUUCAUAAUUUAGGCCGAACACUUUUAUUUAUAUAAGGGAUGGACUAUGAUAAUUGGUACAACAAAACGCCGAGGUCUUUUUGUGCCUGGCGAUUACCCAAAAGAAAACCAACUUCUAUCCUUGGAUAUCAUCUGCAUCCGUCCAUCACCCAUGUUUCGGCAUCCCCAAAAAUGCAUCUCCUGCUACCCUCGACUCUAGGUCAUAUCCAGUCAGGUCCAUUGGCUGGUGGUGGUGGCAGCACCCUCAGAAAACGGCCAUCCAUACGGACAAGAACUGAUAUGAACUCCUGGUGAGUAGGCCCUGCAGAGAGGCCUACCUCAAAAGUCAGCAAAAUCCUCAUGCGCUCGAAUACCAACCCGUGCACCCCAGGAUGACAGUGCUCUGACCACUCCCACUGUAGGUCAAUCAAGAGUCCAUAAAACAUACCAGGAGUCGCAUGCAGCAGCGGCAUUUUUCUUUUAGUCUGAAAUGUUAGUCCCCAAGAGGGGUGAGUACAACCACUCAGCAAUAAAAGAUCCAUUAAACUAUAUUAUGUAGAAACUCUAACUAUCCAGAUGCAUGCAAAACACAAAUGUCAUAUAUAUAUAUAUAUAUGCAUGCCAUCAAGGGUUUAUUUACCUGCACCACAUUCAUAAAAACAAUUCAAUGCCAUAACGAAUGCAUUUUCAGUACCGGAUGAAGCCAACUCAAUUUCAUAGACAAAUUCUCAUAUCAUGCCACAUGCACACACAUGCACUCCUUUAAUGUACCGGAUUUUAGAAUUCAAAGAAAGGUUUCAUUCCCCGGGGACCAAUCUUUGCAUCCCUCCGGGCUUUCGCACCCAACUUGGCAUCAUGAGACCCUCCGGCACAAACCUCCGGGCAUCCAGAGCGUGUUCCGUCACACCCCUGGGCAUCUUGCACCCCACCUGGCAUCGCGAGGUAUAUCUAGGGCUCGCCAUGAAAAUGGAUGCCCCUUCCCUCCGGAUUUACGUACAAUCCCUACAACUGGGCAUCCCGAAACUCUCGAGGACCCUCCGGCACAAACCUCCGGGCAUCCAACAGCGUCGACUCACUUGACCCUUGGGCAUCCCGACACUCCCGGGGCAUUGUCGGCUCACACCUCCGACGGUAACAUCCACAUCAUAUAUAUACAUCUCCUUACAAAAGUACAUUUUGAUGCAAUGACGUCAAGAAUUCCAUGGAUCUAUAAGACUUUAUCAAAUUUUCCAAUGUCAUGUGAUAUGCUGAAUGUCAUUGCAUCUAUCAAGUGAAUAACAACUCAAGAUACAAUGACUCGUAGAACAAAAUGAACAGUUUCAUAGUAAAACAGUGUAAAGGCCAGAAUGCACGCUUUCAGUAGAGAUUUCGAAAUAACCAGCAAAUGACCAUGAAAAAUUCUGAAAUUUUAACACGUUAUAAUUGAGAGCUAGAGGAAAAAUUUUCAUUAAGGACACUAAGUCAGAUUCGUUAUGUAUAAUGAGUAGUAGUUCACACAACUCAGUUCAGGUUUCUUUUAUCACAGAAUAAAAUUUGACAGAAAGCAUUGCAUAUUAAAAGAGGUUUAAGCCAUCAUAUUGAUUCCAAGAAGUUCUGAUAAAAAUAUAUACUCUAUCUCAUGCAAUUCCUCACAACUUCCGUGAAGAAAUCGGGAUCAAAUUCAUAUUAGAACUCUUCAUAAAAUUUCACAAAGUUACAGGGUUACACAUGAAAUUGCACUGGAUUAAGCGAAUCCCACAAAAUCUCACUUCCACCGUAACUAUCUUACUUCCACAAGUCUACUAAAAGUCGGUCUUUCAUCAAUAAAUCAACAGGAUCAAAAUGUACACAAAACCAAAGUAAUUCCUCAAUCUCAUGGUCCCGCUCUACUUCGAUUACCUACAAUUUAAUGUUCUACUUUCAGAACUCAAUUGUUUCCAAGUAUAUUGCACCAUACUGGACAAUAACAGCAUCACAUUAUAUAGAUUAAUGGACUUUCACUUGCCUCAAUGUCCUAUGGUUCCACGGCGUGUGGUGAGACGGUGAGGAGUGCGCGGCUAGACGACGGCGGCAACGCACACGCACGGCAGGGACUAAUUUCCUUCCUUCCCUUGCCGACUCACUCUCUCACUGCUCACUCGCAACCUUUCUCGUUCACUCUCUCUCGAUUACUCCUGGUUUUGCUCACUCUCUCGAUUACCCACUUUCACGAGCACAAGAUCACUGGUUUUGCUAAAACUAGUCAACAUAAGAGAGGCAUGUUUUGGUGGUUGCAAGGGGAAUGGACAACUGGAAUGGACGUGUCUUCAGCAUGCCUCCCCAUGCAUUUCGCUGGCUAUCCAUACGCCAGCAACGUGGCAUCAUCCAGCCAAGCUUCAGUCAACAUCUCUUCCAAUUAGUUGACUUAAAUGUCGACUAUUAAGGGGUCUUCGGGUUGUUUUGGGCUAGUAGAUUAGUGGACGUGCGGUCCUUCAAUAACAAGGCCCAAUUCAAAAAAAAAAAAAAUUGAUCCUUAAACUUGCACAAAUAUGGAGCAUUCUUAGUCCCAUGGUCUUGGUGGUUCAAUAAUUUAUCAAGUGUACUUAUUCAUGACUCAGAUUCUUGUAUAGAAGAAGAACGAGAUUGCACGGUGUUUCAAUUUCUUUUCUUAUCUCAUGUGCACUCAAGUGGUAUAAUUGUGUCGAGUCAUCAAAAGGAAUAUAUAUAUACACAUACGGUCAGCGAAGUCAAUAGUCUAUUCAACAAUCGGACCCUUAAUAAACAUAAGAUAUCGGUCCGUCAAUGGAAUCAAACAAUGCUCAUGCAAAAUACUAAUGAUACCAUUCGGCGAUACUUUUAUUGAUCAGUCACUGCCGUCGCACAUCACGAUUUGCGAAAUUCUCGGGUGCCACAUUUUACGACAACCAAGAGUUGUCGAUGAGUCGAGGAUGUACAAACGUGGAUUGAAAAUUAUCAACCACGAGUCAAAUGCGUUAAAAUCCCUAAAAGCUACACGAUAGGUUAGGUCACGCUAAAAUCGCGUCCGAUUAAUUUUAACCAUGAAAUUGAACUCAGUUUCGGGAAUUGAGCAUUCGAGCGUGUCACAAUUUAUUUUUAGGAUCUCGUCUCAUCUUUUGGGAAUUUUCCGUCAAGCCCGGAAUUUUGGCGGAAAAAUGGAUUUUGGCAAAAUUAAACCAAGGAAAUUCGGAUGGGCAAAAUUGAAAGACUUUUUAGCCUUCAAAGUGAACUAGUUUGUGAAGGAAAUUGUGGGAAUUGGUAUGAGCAACCUCCUCAGCAAUUUUGGCCAUCAAAUUGAAGUUGUUUGGUGGGGAAUUGAAGAAGAAAAUCAGCAAAUUCGUAGGGCUGUUGGGCUGCUGAUUUCUAGCCUUCAAAUUGGCUUGAAUUGUGAAGAAAUUGAAGAGAAAUCAACCAUUGGUGCUUGCCUUGACCUUAGGAGGGCUGAAGACUUUGUGCAUAUGUGAUCAUUGCUUAAAUAUUUUUCCUUGGAAGCCCAUUGGUUCAAGCUUGGACUUCUUGUCCCCCUUGUCCCCUCUUGUUCCCCCUCCUCCUUCCUCUUGCUCGACCAGCCCCCUGCAGAAGAUUUUUUGCUUUCUUCUUCACUUCACCUUCUUCAUCCUUCAUUUCCUUGCUGCAACUUAGAGCUAGUUAGUCACCUAGCCGCUGCCCCGACCUCGCUUGGCCGCUUGCCACCGCGUCUCACCGUUCCUCACUCGCCUGUCCCCGUCCGAGCCGUAUGCUAGCCUUUGCUCAACUAGCUGCCGCCAGCUUUGCUCAACCACCAGCUCGCCAGCUUGCCACCACCUUCGACCUGUUCCACCAUCGCUGCCUCCACCCACCCUUGGCUAUGCCGUCUCCGUGUCCAGCCGAGCCAAGCCGCGACCAGCAACCCUCCAAGACCGAACCGAGUCCAGCGAGUAGAACUAGUCUUCUAGCUCCAAGCCGUGAGCUACAAGGCUGUUUUUAGCCCUUUCCGGCCCUCCUUUGGAGUCCCUAUAGGCCUGGGUCUUGGUCGCCGUCGCGCCGCCAUCGCCAUGGGCCCAUUAUCUCACUAAACCGAUGAGUUAACAUCCUAACCUCUAAUUAUGGGGUUAAUUGCACUUAAGGGGGGGAUUAGUUAGGCUAAUUAGGGAUUAAUGGUAGUUAGUUCAUGUAACUAAGUUAGUUAGGAUUAGUUAGUUAAGCUAGUUAUUUAGUUAGGUUGUUAGUUAGGUGCUUAGUUAGUUAAAUUAGAUAAUGUAGUUAGUUUAGUAAAUUAGUUUAAUUAGCUUAAGUAGAUUAGCCCGGUUAGCUUAUGUAAAUUUAAUUAAGUGUUUUAAUUUAAAUAAUUUACAAUUUAUUUAAUUAAUUUUAAUUAGCGUAAAUUAUACCCGGAUAGCCGGUUAUCAAAAUUCUGCGCUGAUCGUCGUAGUUGUAUUAGUUUGUGCAAUUGAUUGUUAGAUUUUGCAAUUGGAUGCUUGGUGAUGAUUUUUAAUUAUUAUUUCAAAAAUAUGAAUUUUUGGUAUUUAAUUAGAAAAAUACCGGGUGUCGGGUUUUGACGCGAAAAAUAUUUUUAUGUACUAUAUAAAAUCGUGAAAUUUUUAAAUGAGAGAGUGUCAUGUUUUGUGGAUCGAUUUGAUUGUCUGACCACGCAUAAUUAUUUUACUUGGUAUUUUUAAUACGUAGAAAAUAGGCCAAGUCCAUCAUUUGAAAUGGAAGUAUUUGAGUGCAAAACAUGAUGUUCUUAGCCAAACAUGGAUGUGCAUGUGAUCGCUAUCGGAACCCAUCACCCGAUGAAAGUCGGGGAGGUGAUGCUCCUUCGAGAAUGCCCUUGACAACGGAUGCUAGUCGCAGUGGAGGCUGGACCGAUGCUCCUUCGGGAAUGACAUCUAGAUGUAGACGUUGUGUGACAUCCCAGAAUUUCAACUCCGUUUUCCAUUGAAUAAAUCGGGCAUUUCAUUGACGCGCCUAUAAGGCUAUUCUCCAAGCUAAUCACUCUCGAGAUAACUAGACUAUCUGGGGAAGCCAUUAAGGAUUUUAAGGCAAACAGACUUGAGAAUUCGACCAGGAAUCGGCUUCUCGACUGUGCUUAUCUUUAGAGGUCAAUACCGCACAAUAUAAAAUCAAUUUGAAAUCAGAGAUAGACUGGUUCGAAUGAGAUGUGUGGCUAAUCGUGGGUGACACCACUAAAUUAGAAAAUUCCCGUCAACCGGCACUAGACUGAUUUUCCUAUUGUUUUGGGACCCUGUGUCCGUAUUUGGAUCCUCGGGAUUUUCACAACAAUCGAGAGUUGCCAAUGAGUCGAGUGGAUUCAUAGUGGCUCGAAGAAAAUUGAUCACGAGUCAAUUGCACUAAAAAUGCCUGAAAAUUACCUAGUAGCCUAGGUCACGCUAAAAACGCGCCAAGUGAAAUUAACUAUGAAUUCAAGUCUGAUUUCAGAAAUUGGAAUUUCUGUCAUGUCACAAUAAAUUCUAAGAGUGUCGACUCAGUCUCAGAAGAUUUUUUUGACACCCGACACUUUUUGAGAAAAAGUUGUCGUGUGGCCAUUUCGUUUAAUUGAAGCCAGGAAUUAUUUUGUUGGUGAAAUUGAGAAGCAUAGGGGAUUCUUGGAUAAGGAAAAAAAAUCAAUUUGAUAAAGGAAAUAUCAAUUGAUUUUUGGGAUAGUUAUUUGAGAGAAAUUUAAGAGAGAUUUUGGAUGCAAAUGCAAGUGUAGACCAAGUGCUUUAAUUUGGAUUUUCCUUGGUUAUCUAGGUGCCAAUUCAAAAGAAUUUGGGAUAAGAAUUUCCUACUUGAGGAAAUUCUUUUAUUUUAUUUUUUCUUCCCAAUUCUUUCCUUUUUUGGUCAAGCAUCCAAGCAUCUUUCUCUCCCCCCUUUUUCUUUCUUUCUUUCUUUUUCUUUUUCUCUCUCUCUCUUUCCCCCUCUCCCCUCCCCUUCAUGCGAACCCCCUUUCCACCGAAUUGUGGGCUGUCUCCCUCUUUGCUUUUCUACCUUUGACUUUUCAAACCCCCCUUUCUCUCUUAUUCUUAUCUCUUCUUCUCUCUGUUCUCUGUUCUCUCUUCUUCUCUCUCCCUCGACACACUCUCUUCCCCCCCCCCUCACCAUUCGAACAAAACCAGAAGCGGUAGAAGAAGCCGAGACAGCAGCGGCAAGAGAAGAAGACCGAAGAGCUCGCCAUCGCCGUCGCCGCCGCACACCGCCGGGCCGCCGUCCACACCACCCACGCGACGCCGCGUGUUCCGCCGCCCGCCCCUCGUGUCCAGGCGUCCUCCCCCGUGCGACCUCACCUUUGUCCAGCCGCGUUCAGCCGCCUCCGGCCACAGUCUAGCUUUGUUCGGCCACCGUCCGACCUCCUCAGAGUCUCGCUCGCCCUCCUCUAGCCUCACCUUACCGUUUCAGCCACCGGACUAGCUCCGAUCCCAUGUCAGCAACACGAGUGGGUUUCCAGCCCCCUUUGGGCCCGCUUUUGGGCUGUUUUCGGGCCCCGAACCCGAGCCUUACUUUGGGAGGAAUCGUUCCUUGCGCCAUCCCCGUCGGAUUGAUUCAAUUUGCGCGCGAUUCCGGUGAGUAAUCUCACUAAUCCUUGCUUAGUGGACUAAUUACACUUAAGGUUGUUUAGUUUUAAUUAAUUAGGUUUAGGUGGUCAGAUUAGUAUAAAUUAGUAUUUAUUAGAUAAUUGUGAUGCAUGUUAGGCAAUUUGAUUGUGCAAUUAGCAAAUAGACAUGUGCUAUUAAUUAUUGAAUGCAUCUCAGGAUUUUUCCCAACCCUUAGCGAGCUUCAAUUAGGCAAUACAAGCCUAAAUUGGAUUUUUUGUAAUUAAUUAUUAAUUUUCGAAAUUAAUUAAUUAUUUAUUUAUUUUUUGAAAAUUAAGGCUGGGUUAGCCGACGACCGAAAUUUUGUGAUGAUCGUCGUGGUGUAGUCCAUUUAUUUAAUUGAGCUUUAUUUUUUGCUGAAAUGAAUUAAUUAUGAUUAUAUUAUUAUUUUCCUGGAUUAAUUAAUUUGUAUAAUUAAUUGGAAAAUAACCGGGUGUCGGUUGACAGCACCAAAAGUGUUUUGGUGGACUACAAAUAAUGGUGGGAUUUGUGGAAAUGAAAUUAUAAUAUUUUGGCUAAGGCUGACCGUGUACUCACACACGAAUAUUUUAUCGAGAAGGAUAAAAAAGGUGAUUUGAUUAAAUGAUUAUUUUCGGCAUACUAUAAGAAUAUGGCUGGUAGCUUCUUGUGAGCAUAUUAUUAUAUUGGAUCAGUGGAUCUGGCAGCUUCUUGUGAACAUAUGGUAUACUAUAUCGGCCUUCGGGCGAUAUGUCAACUUUGGGUGAGCAGUAUACCGGUAUACUAUAUCGACCUACGGGCGAUAUGUCAGCUUUGGGUGAGCAGUAUACCUUAUUAUCAGCUUUGGGCGAGCAAUAUAUUAUCAGCUUUGGGUGAGCAUAUGGUAUACUAAUAUCGGCCUUCGGGUGAUAUGUCAGCUUUGGGUGAGCAGUAUACCGGUAUACUAUAUCAACCUAUGGGCGAUAUGUCAGCUUUGAGUGAGCAGUAUACCUUAUUAUUAGCUUUGGGCGAGCAAUAUAUUAUCAGCUUUGGGUGAGCAUAUAUAGUAUACUAAAUUGGCCUGAGGGCCCUACUUUAUCAGCUUUGGGCGAGCAUAUGUAGUAUAAUAUAUUAUCAGCUUUGGGCGAGCUAUACUAUCUAUUUGUCAGCUUUGGGCGAGCAUAUACGUAGUAUAAUAUAUUAUCAGCUUUGGGCGAGCUAUACUAUCUAUUUGUCAGCUUUGGGUGAGCAAUCCUGAUUUGAUAGGACUUAUAGAUAGUAUUGUAUGUGCCGACUAAGCAUGGGUCAUGAUGACAUGUAAUCAACUAAGUUGAUUGAUCGAUGAUUCGAUCUGAGUGUGAUUUGAUGUGAUUCAUUGCCUUGAUUUGAUGUUGUGAAUUGAUCGAUUGAAUGGAAGUGACCGUGAGUGGUCUUGUUGCCGUGUAAUCGACUAGCUCGAUUGAUCAAUGCUUUGAUCUAUUGUCGUGAAUUGAUUGAAUGUUUGAUUGACUGUUAUGAAGCAUCUAUAUAUAACCUUGAAUUGCAAGUUGGAACUGAGGCUAAGGUAAGUCCUCUGACUCGUGUUGUGCUUAGGCAACCAAGUAGUGUAUUGGUUCCCUAAUUGAGUCUUAGUGGGGUAGAACUUGCUGAGACGUAGUCUCAUCCCAAUUGUGGGAUAACAUUUCAGGCCCGUAGAUGAGCCUGUGAAGAAGGAACCAGAAGAGGUCGAUGAGCCGGUAAAAGAUGAAGAGCUUGAAGGAUGUGAGCUUAGUGAAGAAGAGUCUAAAGAGGAUCAGGAUGAUCCUGAGUACGACCCGGAUGAGGACUGAAAUCCUAUUCUCUUUUGUGAAUCUUGUCUAAAUGUGAAUAGUGUGAAACUAGAAUGUUAUGAAUAGUUUUGUGAAUAGACUUUGAAUUAUGCCAUGUAUAAAGGUUUGGUUGUGGAUUUCAAUGUGAAAAUAUGGCCUUGCUUUUCUAUCCCAUUGUGUUAUUGUCUGGGGAGUUAUAAUUGCUUCUGCAUGUGCUUAAUAAACGAAAGGGUCGACGAUACUUAGUUCUGGGAUAUCGCAUUAUAAAAUCAACCAAGUAGAAGGAUGUGUCCGUGCCCGAGGAUCGGGGCGAGACACAUUGCCGUGCCCAAUAAAGCGAGACGACGCUCAGUUAUGCCGGAUGACCGCUGAUUAUUGAGUUGGCCAUGGCCAUUGGGUCGUAAAUAAUUAGGACACGUUUGAGUGAUUGAGAUAGCCACGCCUGAUUAUGAACGAAAUUGUGUGGUAUGGAAUGGGACAUAUCAUAACGAUUUGGCUUUAUAAUUGGGACCCCUGUAAUUGUUUGAGAGUAAAUUGAUGUGUUCCUAUCACGCCCCGAUCCUCGAGCGCGUGCCCAUCCCUCAAUGGUCGAUAUAAAUUUUGUGACUUUCUAGGACGAGUCGCCGACCCUUUCAUUUUAUUGCACAUGCGGAAGCAAAUAACAAAUCCCCUGACAGUAACCAUCUCAGGAUAGAAAAGCAGGACAACCGAUUUUUAAACAAAACAUGCCUUUAAAUACACACCGAGUCAAAUACAAAAGUCUACGAUCACAAGAAUUCAAAUGAUUGACUCUAAAAAAAGAAACUGUCAUAUCUGACCUACACUUCAGAUCACCUCAGCUCGGCUCCAGAUUCUCCACUUUACGGUCCUAAAAAAUGAAGCCCACGACGGGGUGAGAUAUAAAUCUCAGCGAGUUCAAACUCUAAACCUCGAUUAGGAGGGUAAUAUGCCUAAGGCGUCCUAACCACACAAUCAUACAAUCACAGAGACUUACCUUAUCUCAAAUCCUCCCUGCAGGUCAGCACAGUUCAUAUCACAAUCAUGUGUAUAUAGCAAAGGCACACACCAAUUUGGAAUGUUCAAACCAAUCAUUACUCACACGAGCAAGAAUUACAAUUUAACCAUUGCUCACACGAGCAAGAAUUACAAUUUAACCAUUGCUCACACGAGCAAGAAUUACCGAUACACAUUAAAGUAAGAAUUACAAUUAAAUCACUACUCACACGAGCAAGAACUACCAAUACACCUCAAAGCAAGAAUUACCGACACACGCCGGUCCAUCAAUUCAACUCAAUAUGCGUUCCAAUUAAUUAACUAAUACUACCCAUACGAGCAGUUUUAUCUGACACACGCCGAAGAAAAAUAAUAACUACCGACACACGUCGGGGAAAGAUAAUAACUACCGACACACGCUGGAGAAAGAUAAUACCCACCUACACAUGCCGGGGUAAGAAUAAUAUCCAUCGACACACGAUGGGGAAGAACAAUAACUACCGACACACGCCGGAGAAGAAUAAUAACUACCGACACACGCCGGGUUUAGGUAAUAUCCACCGACACACGCCGGGGAUGGGUAAUAUGUGGCAUCCGGAAAUUUAGACGACCCUCAAAUAUGCAGCGGCCAUGAGUAAUCGACGGGAGUAUUGUCGGUACCACAUUCGGCCUAGUUUCAUAGUCACUCGACAUCCCGAAACAUUAACUUUCGGAGAAAAAGAAAUUUUCCUUGAAUGGCCAUAUGAACAAUCCCACCAACGGCCACGUUCUCUUUCAUCUCUUGGACCGACCAACCACGCAACAAGAGAAGUCUUUGGACACUAAUCUUAGUCACGUUUCUUUUUGAAGUUAGUCAAGUAAGGAGGAAAUAUUGACUUGUAUGGGGACGUACAUGCGUGGGAUUAUCUCGGCCCAAGUAAACNNNNNNNNNNNNNNNNNNNNNNNNNNNNNNNNNNNNNNNNNNNNNNNNNNNNNNNNNNNNNNNNNNNNNNNNNNNNNNNNNNNNNNNNNNNNNNNNNNNNGCACAGCCACGUUGCUCUUCAUUCGGUGGCCAGCGCAGGAGGAGAGAUCGAGCAAAGGAAAGCCACGCCUCCACAAGCUGUCUUUGGUUCCUGCUGCCAUCGAAAGAAUUCCCAUGCAGUUGACUAAAUUGUCAACAAAUUGAGGAACAAAAUGCUCGUACACAGAGGGGAGGAGAGAGAAUGAACCGAACAGAAACUUGAACAGAGAGAGUGAUCGAGAGAGAGUUUGAGCAAGGGAGUUUGUGAGCGAGCAGCGGGCAAAGGUGAGAGAGGAGAGAAGGAUCAUCCUCGGCCGUGCAUGCGCACCGUCGCCAUCGACGCCGUUCGCAAUCGCCGCCGUUGGGCCGCGCCCGAGACCUCGAGCUUCUGUUUUGGUUGCCGAUCGAGCUAUAGGACUAGAGGCAAGUGCAAGUCUACUAACCUAUGUAAUGCAAGGCUGUUAUUUCUGAAGUAGUGCAAGUGGACUUGAGGAUGUCCGAAUUUGAAUGUUGGAUUUUGAGUGAUUGUAGUAGAGUAGGAUUAAAGAAUUGGGGAAAUGCUUUAGAUAUCUCUAUACAUUCUGAUUUUGUUGAACUAUGAUGGAAAGAGAAAUCCGUGGUGAAAUUUUGAAAUGAAAUAGCCGUGGUAUAGGUGCGGGAUCCUACUGGGUUCGUGGUAUUCAAAUUAGACCAAGUGUAAUUCGGUAGUUUUGGAGAUUUUUAGGGACAACUCUGAUGCGAUUCUGGCCCCGCUUCCUUCAUGAAAUUUGUGAAGAAUGGUUUAAUCUAGAACAUAGGUUUUUGGUCAGAUUUUUCGGAAUCAACAUAGUGGCAUAAACUUCUUUUAAUGUGCAAUGCUUUCUGCCAAAUUUCAUUCUGUGAUAAAAGAAAUCUAAAACCGUGUUGUGUGAUUUAUUAUUUUUUAUACACAACGAAUCUGACUUAGUGUCCAUCAUGAAAUUAUUUUCUUUAGAUCUCCUCUAUAACAUACUAAAAUUUCAGAAUUUUCUGAGUUCGUUUAGGGGUUAUACCAAAAUUCUUACUAAAAUUGUGCAUUAUGACUUUUGGACUGUUUUAUUCCGAGUUUGCUUAAUUUAUCUCAAGGGUGGAUGCAUCUUGAUUUAUCAUUUGACAUGAUGGUGUUGGCAUUCAGCAUAUCAUUCAAUAUUGAAAUUUGAUGAAGACUCAUGGGACAUCCAAUGUCAUUGCAUUGGAAAUUGUUUUUGAUAUUAAAAUGUUAAUUGCUGCUGUUGGACCCUCGGGUCAACGAUGCCCCGGGAGUCGAGAGGCCCGAAGGCUCGAAUGAGUCGAUGUCCUUUGGAUGCCUAGGGUCCGUAGUGCCCUAGAGGUUUUUCCCGGGAGCAUCGGGAUGCCCGGUGGUAUGUCGAUACGUAAUUCCGGAGGGUAGGGGUAACCAUUUUCAUGGCGCGCCCCAGAGAUUCCUUGUGAUGCCAGGUGGGGUGCAAGAUGCCUAAGAGGUGUAACAAAACACGCUCUGGAUGCCCGGUGGCCUAGUGGCUGAAUGCCGGAGGCUUUCGCGAUGCCAGGUUGGGUGCAAAAUCCCAGAAGGACGCAAACAUUGGUCCUCUGGGGGAUGAAACCUUUUGAAUGUUAAAAUUGAUGGUUCUACUAAGUGUGUGUGUGUGGUCUGGUUAUGGGACUAAAUUGUAUGGUAUGAAAUGGGACGUGUCAUAACAGUUUGGCCUUAUGAUCAGGACUUGUGUGGCUGGACGUGAUGCAUCUUGAUCUUUUGAAACUACAUUUGCCAUUGCAUUAGAGAAUUUUAUGGUUUUGAUGCAUACUUAUUCUUUGAUUACCUGUUUUAUCUAUCUUGCAUGAAAUUAGAUUAUGAUGGUUAUGCACGAUAUAGUUUAGUGGAUCUUUUACUGCUGGGUGGUCGUACUCAUCCCUUUUGAGGAAACUAACAUUCCAGACUAAACAAGAUGCCUAUGCUACCCGUACCUCCCGGCACAUUUUAUGGACUUCCGGUCGACCUGCAAUGCGAGGUGUCAAAGCAUCACCAUCCCGAAGUGAGAGGGCUUUUUAUUACUCGGGUGCGAGUGUUGAUUUUGUUUGAUGUUGGUCCUCCUGCCGGCCCCGUACUACAGGAGUAUCUAGCCAUUUUCAUCAGCCGAGAUGGACAUACGCUGAGGCUACUACCACCACCGCCAACUGAUGGACCGGAUGGAUGGGUGUGACUGCAAGCGAAGGUUAGCAAAGGCAGCAUUUUUGGACGCCGACACUAACUGAUGGACUUAUGUAUAUGGCUAUAGGGAGAAAGAAAGUCGGGUAUCUUUUGAUAUGUAGCUGGGUAUAGAAAACCGCAGCAUUUUUGGUGUACCAACUGAAUGAUGUCCAUCAGGUUUAUGUAAAUAAAAGUGUCUGACUUUUACCUAUAAAAACUUGUAGUUAGUGUGCAUUAUGUCUAAAUAUGGGAUAGGGAGAUGUUGAAUAUGCUUCUGCUAUAUUUUCUGCGCAGGGACCGAUGUAAGAAAUAUAAACCCCCAAGGCUCAUGAACUUCUUGAAAAUAACAUGGUAUCAGAGUAAUAGACCUUCAGGUAAAGAGAAAGGACGUGAUUUGUGGCGACUCCAACGGAUCGGGGGCCGUUCAAGGGGUGCCACAUAAUAUCCACCGACACACACCAGGGAUAGGUUAUCUUAACUUUUAACGUCCACCGACACACACCGAGGACGGUUCUCAUAACUUUUAACGUCCACCGACACACGCCGGGGACGGGUCUCUUAACCUUCACACAAUCAUCAAGCAUAAUCUCUAGGCAUGUCACAAACCCACCAACAUAGAGCAAUCCAUCUCAUGACCUCACACAUAAGUUCUCAGCAUGCCACCAAUCCAUCACAUCACUAAAUACACCUUAUUUAGCAAGCACAAUGUCAAGAUCAACCACAAAAUCAUAACCGGUCCUAAUUGGCAUAAACCGGGCCACUUGCACGUCUCCAAAUUUAAUUCCAGAAACCUACCUAAAUGAGCUCAAAAAAUUCUCAAAUUUGGAUAUGUUGUAGAAGACACAUAAACAAACAUUUUUCAUGAUACACCUUAACCCAGAUCCUUCUAGAUUCAGCCCAGUAAAUCGCUCAAUCCAGCACCAAAAACUAGGUAUGUUCAAGAAAGUCUGUUUUUCAAAAAUCAGUUUGGUUUGAGAUCCAAAACAUGUCCGUUUGAUUUGAAAUUUCAAUAUGUUAAACUAGAAGAUGUGAAAAUAAUUUUUGUGAAGAAACCAUUUUGAAAUUCGAACCCUAAGAGUUGAUAAAAACCCCUAGAAUCCUAAAAGGUCACCAGUUCCAACGAAAACUGAGCCUCUGUUUGAAAAUGACGGAGCCGAUAUCUCCUUCUUUUAAAUCUCUAAAAAUCUUGAGAAAAAUGUACGUUGUAUCCGAGGAUGUCUAGACCAUUUCUCAAAAAGGCAUCAACCUCAAAUUCGUAGCCCAUUUCGAUCUACAAAAAUGGCAAAGAUUGAGGUUCUAGAAACCAAAACUGCAGGAAUUCCACUGGAUUCGACUAAACCAUCAUCAACGUUGCAAAUCUCACUAAUUAGUUUACACUAAUCCAUUCUAAAGCCAAUAUAACCAUUCUAGCUUAUCACUAAUCCAUAAUUAAGCUAAUCUAAACAACCCUUAAGUAUAAUUAACCUAUUAAGUAGGGUUUAGUGAGCAAACUCACUUGUUCGACGAUUCGAUCGGAUCAAACUGACAAAGGUGCGAUUGGGGACGAUCCCCUCCAAAGCGGGCUUGGCUUUCGAGGUUGGGAAGCGGGCCAAAACGGGCCAAACCCUUGGCUGAAAACCCACUUCUUCAACUUCUAUUUGGGGUUGAAACAGGUGGAACCUGUGGCUAUUUAGGCUAGAAACAACGAGGGAGGGCUGCAGCGGUCUUGGCGGGCCUCCAGGCUGCUCCGGCGAUAGCGUACGGUGGCUAGCGGGACCUUUGGAUGCACAGACAAGCAGGGAUGAAGCAACUGGAACGCUGGUUCGCGCGGAGGACUCGUGGGGCGCGACAGGUGUGCAACGGCGCGCGAGAGGCGGUCCGGCAGCUUGGCGGGGCUACUCUGGCAGCUUGCUAGCUAAUCUCCUCUGCUCUCUACAAUUUUUGAAGCUUGAAGAGGCUGAGGGAAAGGGCUGCAUGACUAGAUAGGGAAAGGGGAAGAGAGGGGGGACGAAUUGGCUUGGAGGGGGCCUACCACUUGCCUCAUCCUCAUCUUCUUUGUUCCCUUGACUAAUCCACCAUGUGUGCUGUCUUCCACAGCCCAUUUUCAGCCAAAAAUGCCCUCAUCUAGAAGCUUGAAGUGGUCCAAUUGUUGGGCCUAAGGGGGUGUUACGAAUUUUGGUGGAGGUUGAUUCAAUUUGGACUUGAAUGGCUCUUGAAUCAACCUUAUUUGGCCUCUAAAAAUCCAACCAUCAUACCCUUAAUCAAAUUGGCAUUUUUCCUCGCCAAUUGAACCCACUUGUAUCCCAAUUUUCACGAUAAAAAAUGGUCCUCUAAAUUUUCUAGACAAAAACAACCCUACCUCGACUUUUUUUUCCAAAAGGUCUGAAUUUGUAGAAAAAUCUUCGAAAACUGAGUCGACAUUCCUAAAAUGACUUGUGACAUGACAGAACUUUCAAUUUCUGAAAUCAGAUUCAAAUUCGCGGUUAAUUUCAAUCCGGUGCGAUUUUAGCAUGAUCUUGACUACCGGAUAGCUUUCAUAAAUUUUUAGUGCAAAUGACUCGUUGUCGAUUUUCUUCGAGCCAUAAUGUACCACUUUGACACAUCAGCAACUCUCAGUAGUCAUGAAAAUCUCAAGGUUUCAAUUACAGGCACAGGGUACCCAAAACGACAGAAAAUUGAUCCAGUGCCAAUCAACGAAAAUUUUGCAAUCAAAUGGAAUCACCCACACUUUGAUCACACAUCUCAGUCAAAUCGACCUAUCCCUAAUCUAUGAUCGAUUUUGACAAUGCUGUAAUGACCCUUGCAGAAUAGCACGAUCGAGCAGUCGAUUUCUAGUCGAAUUUUCAAGUCCAUUGCAUCAAAAUCUCUUAAUGACUUCCCCAGAUAGUCUAGUUAGCUCACGAGUGAUCGACUCUGAGAAUAGCAUUAUAGGCGCGUCGAUGAAAGGCCCGAUUUAUUCAAUUAAAAGGUGACUGAAAAUCCAGGAUGUCACAGUUCUAAUUAUUGAAUAUAUUGUUGUAUGCAUAUGAUAUUUGAGAUGUACUAACGUGCAGGGAGGUGCUGAGGCGAGGUAAGUCCUAUAUGGUGCAUGUUUAGGCUGCCUCUAGGUGAAUUCUCGUCCUAAUCAGGGUUUAGGGUGCAGACUCGCUGAGACCUUAUCUCACCCCAUCGUGGUUUAAACCGUUUCAGGUCCUUAGAUGGAGGUACAUCAUGUACGUUAUGGGGUCCCACAGGAGGUAGACUUUCAGCACUCUUAUUUCCCUAUUCCCGAGACCAACCAGACACGUGAGCUAGUUGAGUCCACUAUCUGGGUCAAUGAGGGCCUACCUCACUUAGUACCUCAUUGUUUCAAGGCGUGGUGUCUCCACAAGCCCAAUGGGGUUCGGGAGGGUCCUACGGGAGGUUUUGACGGGCCUGCCGUCUGGACCAGGGAGUGGGAAAUAUGGCAUCCUAUGGAUAUUGAUACCCCCGAUGGUGUCAUGAAGGAUCCAGAGCCCGAGAAUGGAGAGUCAAGAGCUUAGGUGGCUCAGUAGUUCUUUUUGAUCUAGACUCCUGUACAUAAACCUUAGGUUUUGCUUGACUUUAUAUAAACUUGAUGUAUUUUUAAAGUGUGGCUUGUGUUAAUUGAUUGUCCUGCUUUUUUCUAUCACAUGUUUGAUUGUUGUCUAGAGUUCAUUAGUUCGCUUUUGCAUGUGCAUAAAUCAAUUGGUUCGGCAACACGUCUUGGGAACGUCACAUUUUAGUCAACCACCGAGGGAUGUGUGCGUGCCCAGGGUUCAGGGCAUGACACAUGGCAUCAUUAUAUUUCAGGGUCUAUCAAAGUAAGGGUAAAUUGUCGUUUAGCAGUCACGUUGAGAAGCAGAAACUGUUUCAUAUCCAGCAUCUAAGAAUCUCAAGGCAUCUAUAGAUAUACCAUGGAAGUAACACAAGACCUUAGUGCUAGAAAAUUGUCUAAGACAAACUGAAUGCACCCACAAAAUAUAUAUAAACACAUAUGCACAUGUACAAUCUCUGUACCACAUGAGCGUCCAAUGGCGGUGGAUAAUUUGCAUCGAUAGUGUCUAUCCAGCUAAAAAGCAUGUCGUGAUAACCAUAUGGUUUCCCAUUCAUACUCUGUGCAUACUCCCAUGCAGCAGUCUCGUUAAAUUUGGCUCGCAUAUCAGGAUGCAGUGGAAGCAAUGCAAUGUGGGGAUUUAAGUCGUCUUUGUUAAGCUCAAACUCCCACCAUUCAUCCCAUGGUAGCACAUCGAUGACAUCUUCUCCCUGCAAGGAUAAGAACAAAACAAAAAUUGCAUUAUAUCCAACACUGCCGGACUUCUGAAGCACCUGACCCCUCUACCAACGCAAAGGAACAUAGCAAGUAGCAAUAACCCAAUUAUAAACUUACAUUUGUUAAUCAAGGAAUGCCUCAAGAAAAGGAUGUCAUUUCAUUGCAUUCUAACCAUAAUCAUCAUCAGUAAGUUGCCGUGUUGUGUGUAAAGAUGGUCUUGAAGUUCAAUAGAAACAGUUCAAAGACACUGUAUUUGCUAUGUUACAAACAUGAUGAUGCUACAUCAUGAACCUGAAGCAGCAUGUCAUCGUUUACUUACUCAUCCUCUCUAAAAAUCAAAAGUUUCUACAAGAGCACAGAAAGGAAAGACCUCUCUUAUUGGAAAAAAAAAUAUUAGCGAGGAGAUUUAAGGACAUAGGGAUGUGACUAAAGCGCAAUUAAUAUGCAUAAUGGAACAAUUUCAUUGGAACUGUAUUUGUAAGAGAAGAAGUCCAUGAUUUGACAAAAGUUACAUUUAUACAAUAAUAGCACUAGAAUCCAAUGCCCCAAAAACCUAAGGAUUCACCCUAGGACAUGUUACAGAAACACCGCAGGGAGCCUAGUUGUCCUUCUCAUUUUGUAUGAGACAACCCUUUUAUAAUCAGAGUACUUUUAAGCAGUGUCAUAUGGGUGUCUUAAAAAUUUAAUGGCAGAUGAACACAAGGAAUGAAGGAGGAGACGCAAAAAUAAUAACUCAAAUAAUUGGUAGGGGUGUUUGAGAUGUUUGAAGUUUGUCUGUUGGAUAUCCCAAUAUAACAACAAUGUGAACAAUUCUAGUGAGAGACUGGCACCAACUGACCGCCAUGUUACUAUUGUGUCUAUGCAAUUGGUUUAAAAAUAUACUCACAAUUACAAUUGCAAAGACAACAACAGGCAGAAAGAUUGGAUGAAAUGUCAAAAUUCAAAAAUAUAUACAUCAAAAGCAAUCUGUCAUGUAUGAAAACAAAGGGAAAAAAAGGAAUAGAUAAAAUGCUUUAAAAAAAAUCGCAAAGCAAUUUCUUUCCUUAAAAGGCUUUUUCUCCACAAGUCAAUAUAAAAAUUAGCCCUUCAAACUGAAAGAGAAGUAUGCCUACGCGUAUGACCAACCCAUGGCCAUUGCCAAGUUACCUGUUCAUUAUCAUGUCCAGAUUCACCAACCCAUAGCUUUCCUUCAGAAUCCUUUAAGCACACACCUGUGUGGCCAGCAUGAGCCCCACUGACCCAUUUCUCUAGAGUCUCAAAACCACCCCACCUCCCACGAAUUUUUGAAAUUGCAAGGAAAUCUCUAGAGUGGACCCAUAUGCUUCUUGACCCACAGUGCUUGAAGGGUCCCUAGCAUCCCGACUUGCAUCAAAAAGAUUGACACUCCUCUACUUUUCACCUGUAAUCAAAGUAAUGGAAAACCAAGAGUAACAACUCACCAAUAUGCAUAUGCAAGAGCAGAAGAGAAAAAGAUAAUUGCAGCUUACAUAUUCAAACUCAGCUUUUCCUUCCCACUCUUCAAACUCAAAUGUGGGCUCAGUGCUCACGGGAUAAAAGAUAGUAGUCCCAUGUCACACGGUAUGGGGUUGCAAAGACAUAAAUAUCCAUACAUGUCCAGCUAUGGGCUUUCCUGACCUGGAUGAGCAAUCCAAACUCAUGGUUACAAGCCGGACACCUACAACUAGUCGUCAGUUUCCAUAUGCAGCAAAACCAUGCAAAAAUAAGAACUAUCAACAUGAGGCAGAAAACAAUGGCAGUACCCACCCAGCUUGGAAUUGCCUCCAUAAGAUGAUUUUACAUCAAACGAAAUGACCACACUUGUAUGAGCAACCGAAUCCAAAUCACUAAAUCCUUCUUCAACCGCUUAAAACCUUGACACGAAAAACUCAAGUGACCAACCAUGGUACUGCCAAUUCAUGGAGCUUAAUCAAGUACAAACAAGCGGAUGAAAGGAAAAGAAAAGAAACCUCAGCAAGUGACAAAAUCCACUAGAAACAUGUUGAAGUAAGAACUGAAAAUUCCAACAUAAAUAAGCAGAAAGAGAAAAGAGGAACAGUUGGGAUCAAGCAACACAUCAAAGGAUAUUCUCCAACAUCCUUUAAAUAAUUAAUUUUCUUCACAACUCUAUACAUAAUGGUAUGACUGUGCACUUCAGUUGGUAAGAAAAAUACCGUAAGUAGAUAGAAACUCUAUCCAGUUCAGAGCUUUAAAUCCAUUAGAAUAAAUCAACCUCAAAUUAACCAAGAUAGAAAGCUCAAACUAAGUACCAAGAAUUAAUCGGAAACUGCGAAAAGCUAGCAAACGAUGGCCAUUAGCCCCCAUCAACAAACCCUUACAACCUCGCAUCUCCCAGAAUUAUCACACAAUCGAACUGUAGCGAAUUGAAUUAAGCAUUAACAAUUGACUAUAAAAACUCAAGAGCUAGUGAACAGUGACCAUCUCUCCACAUUACCAAAUUGCCGCAAGAUGAAACCUCCCAGAAUCUUCCAGAAUCGCACUCAAACACAAGGAUUUCCAUUCCAUUCCGUUUCUCACAAUCACCAAAGAAAAACCAAGACUUAAAAUCAUCACUCCAGUCCAUUCCUUUCCUCAUCAUUUCCUGAUUUCAUUCCAUUCCACCGUACCAAACUCAACAUAAUAGUUGACCAGAAUACCUUUUGUGAUUAGUGGCCACAAGCUUAAAAGCUAAACCCCCCCCCCCCCAAAAAUCUUCCAGAAUCGCACUCAAAACCAAACAAAGACAAAGCCAAAGCAACGUGGUAAAACUAAAGGACGGACCUUGAUGUGAAUCAUGCCUCCGCCGAACUCGCUCCUGGUCUCCCAAGCCGUGUUCUCGUAGAGGCAAGCUCCUUUCCCGAGGCGGGACGGCGAAGGUUAUUGAGGAUGGGCCAGGACAGCUGCCUUGGCAGCAGAGGGAAUAUGUCCACCGGGUGGAACGGUAGCUUCGCGGCUUGAGAAUGCGGGUUGAGCAAACAGAAGAUCGUGAAGAGAAAGAGAAGCAACACAAAUGGCUGAAGAGAAGCCAUGGAAAUUGGGGGAGAGAGCGACAGACAGACAGACAGACAGACAGAAAUCCUGAGGAAUAUCCCAUCUCCCCUUCUUAUGUACAACUUUUAGAGAGAGGGAGAGAAGAAUUUUUCUUGGCCACUUCCAUAACUCUUCCAACUAUACUUUUGGAGCUUCCUAAUGGAGCAACAACAAUUAAAUAAUUUUGAUUAAUAUGGAAGGCAAGAACUCAAAUUUACUAAAUAAUUGAUGCCCGACCAAGCUCACCGUCAAACCGCAGCUAUGACAUCCCGAAAUUUGGCCCCUGAUUUGGAUAUAUGAAAUGGUUGUUUCGUCAACGCACUUAUGAUUAAUUUACUCAGAACUGAUCACUCACGAGUUAACUAAUCUAUUAGAUGAGGCCAUUAAGAGAUAUAAACGCAACAAACUAGAGAAUUCAAUUGGAAAUCGACCGCUUGACCAUAAUAAUCAGUAAGGGUCAAUACGAAACCGUUAUAAAUCGAUUAGUGAAUGCACAUAAGUCGAUUCGAUGGAAUUACGUAGUCGAAUUGCGGGUGGUUCGGCACAAUUGCGAUAUUCGCAUCGAACGGCAAUAACCCGAUUUUCUAUCAAUAUUAUAUUCAUAACACGUAAUUGAAAUCUCGCAAUUUUAUGACAACCGAGGGUCGUCUUUGAUUCAGAAAUGCACAAACAUGGAUCGAAAAUUAUCGACCAUGGGUCAAAUGCGCUAAAAUUCUUAAAAGCUACUCGAUUGGUUAGGUCGUACUAAAGUUGCGUUUGGUCGAUUUUAACCACGAAAUUGAAUUUGGUUUUGGCAAAUCAGACGUUCGAGCAUGUCACGAUUCAUUUAUAGGACUUCGUCUCAUCUUUCAGCGAAUUUUCGUAGAGUCCGAAAAUUUUGCGGAAAAAUGAUUUUUGAACAAAAAGGAAAAUAAAAGGAAAUUCGGAUUAAUAGGAAAAAUGGGAAAUUGCUGCCCAAAAUGGCUUGGUUUGUAAGAAAUUAGAAGAAAAUUAGGAUUUGAUAACCACUUGACUUUGACGGCAUGAAGACUUUAGAGGUAAAUGUGAUGAUGGGUUAGAUAUUUAGCUAGGUUUGUGAUUGGUUGUGCCUUUGACUUCUUGGUUCUCCUUCUCUCUUCCAUUUCCCUCCAUCUCUUUCUCUCUUGCAUUCAUCCCCCUUGCAGCCGACCCUCACUUCCUCUCUAUUUCCCUUUCUUUUCCCUCAGCUUCAUCUUCUUCUCCUUUCUGCCGCACGUCUGCCACUAUUCCCCACGCUAACUUCAUUUCAUCUUCUUCAACCCAUCAUCUCCAUCAGCCACCUCCAUCAUCAUCCCAUCUUCACCCAACAUCAUCAUCAUCCCUCAUCCACCAUCAGCACCCCCCCUUUCAACAACCAGCGGCACAGCACGCCAACACCGCCACCUUCGUUUCACGCCCGCUGCUCCAUUUUUCCCUCACGCCUGCACCAUCACGCUAUCAACCCAGCAACCCUCCACGUUCCGACCAACCAUUACCGCACCACCUCACACCCGCCACCAGCACCCAGCAGCCACCUUGCAUCAGCCCACCUUGCAUCAGCCCACCUUGCCGCCAGCACUGAGCGGCCCCGCCACAACCGCAGCUCCACCGCAGCCCAUCCCACAUCCGCCUCAUUGCCCGUCCGUCACCAGCCUGCCAACAGCCGCGUCCAGCCAAGCUGCAAUACACCCAAGCUGAGCCAAGCUCCCUUUGGCCGAGAGCUUGUAGGGUCGUAACAGCCAUCGUCGAGCCUCCAUAUGAGCCAUGGUUGUCUCGAGUUUUCGUCGCCGUCACAUCGCCGUCGCCGCGAGCCCAUCGUCGCCGAAAACCUUGAGUUAACUCCCUAAUCCUUGAUUAGGUUGUUAAUUGUGCUUAUGGGAUGUUUAGAUUAGUGCUAAUCAUGAUUAGAUUAGUACUAAGAUGGAUUAUUGUUAAUCAAGCAUGGUUAGGUUUGUUUACCUUAGUUAGGUUAGUUUACUUUGGUUAAGUUAGUUAACCAUGGUUAGCUCGCCGUCAAACCGUGGUCAUUGAUAGCUUCAACUCCACUUAUAUUGCUUACCCACCCUCUUCUAUCGCCAUGACGACUUUCACUAUCCCGCUUUUUCAGGACUUAGAUAACAUCAAACAUCCCCAUCGCUGGAUAAAAGUGAAAACAUCUUAAAGAAGCCAAUGCUUUGAAAAACUCUUCCUUAUGACAAAAUCAAGAGUAUUUCAUCAAUGAUGUACUUCUUAAUUUUGUACAAAGAAAUGUGUUUGUCAUCAAUAUGGAUUUAACAUUUACCUUUGAGAUAGCUAGUAUAAGCACCUAGAGGGGGGGUGAAUAGGUGUAAAAAUAGUUUCUCGUGAUAAGUGAGCAAUACUAAACAGACAAUCGAAAGGAAGUUCUCCUUUUGUUAACAAAACGAAUUAUGAUCAAAGUAAAGCAGAGAGUAGGGAAGAGAAAAUGAAUACAUAAAUUAUAGUGGUUCGGCUUAUUCCAAGUCUACGUCCACUCUUCCGCACUGAUAGCCCACCAGCUAGAUUUCACUAUGAACAAAAGAGUUGUUACAGCAAAGCUCUCCUUUGAUUCCACAGUGUAGAUACUCUACCACACUUCCUCAAGGUUUCUCAAGAAUAUAGACUCUCUUUUGCGUACAAGAUUUCGCUCAGUAAAUGAAUUGACUAAGAACAAAGAGCUUUAGACUUUGGAAUUCUUUUAUCGCACACAUACUCGAACAACUGGAACGUCUUCCUUAUAUACUCAUUUAUGCCAUCAUACCUGUUGGCACUUACCAAAGGAAUUCUUCCAAUCUUCCCGUUGGACAUAAUCAAUUAGGAAGAUCAUUCGAGCUAUUUAAAGAACAUGACGAUAGACCAUCAAUCAUGCUCACCCAUAUAAUCAGGAUCUCGGUUUCCAUAAGUAAAACCUUCCAAGUAUACUUCGCUAAUCAUCGGAUCCUCAAUCUCUGAAUCAAUCUUGAUCCGAAUAAAGGAUUCAGUUAUGUCAUAUCCAGCCAAGAGAUCUUCUUUAGUCGAUAAGGUCAAAUCCUUAACGAAACAUCCAGUCCUAGAUAGGUCUUCUUCGACGGACUAGAAACUGUCAAUAAGAAUAGACUUUGAGUCUUGAGUCUGGCAGUCCGGAGGUCUUCAGACUUUAAAUAGAAGAGUCUGCAAAUCUUCAGACUAGACUGAUGGAAACGUUUUGUCAGCUUCAAAACACUCCACGAAGAUUUCUCCAACAAUCUCCCCCUUUUUUAUGGUGACAAAACUUUCCUAUAGAUUUGGAUAACUUUGACCUACAAAACAUUACUCAAGCAAAUAUGGAUAUCUCAUAAAAAUAAAUGGCUUAAUGAUAACACUAGAAUCUGCAACCAUAGAAAAUAGGUUAGUCUUGUAGAUGAGUAAAGUCAUAAGAUAUCAAUAGUACUUAAGAUAAAUAAUCAAUCCCAAAUCUCAAAUCCAGUCCACAGCCAGACACAAAAGUCAAGUCAAAACAAACAUCAAAACAAAUCAAGAGUUCAAGUUCAAAAAGUUCAAAGUUCAAAUCUGCAUCACAUCUCUCCCCCUUUUUGUCAUCAUUAAAAAGGUAGAGAUGGAAAGAGAAUGGAAUCAAGUAUGCUUGGGAACACGAACAAGCUGGAAAUCUCCCAUUGACUGGACAAUGCCUUCCAGGUUUUUCAACUCUUCCUUUAGUUGAGCCACAUCUUCACCCUUUGCAUUUGCUUGAAUCUGAAGAGCAAGGGCUUGGAUUUGAUCAUUCAAAGAAACUGAAGAAGCUUGACUUGCAGUCUGCAAAUUCUGUACUUCGCAUCCCAGAGCAUAUAUUUGACCCUGCAUCUCUAAGAGAACAUCAAGAAUUUUGCGAAAAUCUGCUGAAUUAUUAGUUUGCAUACUGGCUUCUGCACGAUCAGAUGGAGUAAAGGCAGACGAUGGCAAAUCAGCAUAGUCACGCAAAUUGGGCGAUGAAACAUCAUGUCCCUCCUCAGGAAAUUGAGAGGCAUAGAUAUCCUCUGGAUCUACUGGAGAGCGGCUUACUCCUUCACUAGUGGCAGGAUAUGAGGACAUUCCUCUUUUCUCAUGAUCUCCCCCUGUUUCCAUGCCUUCAGGUGGAGAAGAGUGUUCCUCAUGCUCUGCUUCCUCUUGAUCUCCUCUCUCCUCUUCUUCUUCUUCUUCAAUUCUUUCCUCCUCUACAUCUCUUUCUUCUGCUUCUCUCUCCUCUGUUUCUUUCUCCUCUGCUUCCAAAAUUUCUCUUUCUCCAGUCCUCUGUUCUGUCUCAUAUAUGUCUUUCUCUUGUUGUUUCGUUGAUUCUGGAACAGAACGACUCACGUUCUUCAAUGUCAUUGCAGAAAUGGUGAUGUCAUCCUCAUCUUCUUCAUCCUCAAUGAUGAGAGCUCUUCUUUUCUUGGAUGGAGCAACCAUGGGCUCCUUCCCUUUUCUUUUUGCUGCCGAAGAGAUUUGAUGAGUUUUAGCGGGGGUUUUCUCCUUGAAUUUCUCCAACGCCUUGUUGAGUUACUUCAUAUGCAUUUUAGACACCAUUUUCAGUCCCACUACCAUUUGAUCACAAGUUCUAACAUAGAGAAUCCGGGGAGGCUGAACAUUCAAAUGUCUGAAUAACUUGGUCACAAGAGCCGGAUAAGGAAGUUGACCCUUGUCCUUCAUCACUGCUCUACACAUGUGGAACAUAAUAGUGUGAGGAAGAGAGAACUUUUUCCCAGCAUUGAUGGCAUACAUCAGCUUUGCCUCUAAGUUUGAAACAUCAGUUUUUGAAGUAGAUUUUGGUUUGAGGCAGUUAAUCACAAUCUUGUGAAGCAGAAUGUUGAAUGCUUUCAUCCUCAAGUAGGAAAUCUUUCCCUCUGUCCUUCUAUCCUUAACAAGUUCCAACGUAACACGAGCAAUAGACACAUUGAUAGGUUGAUAUCUCCCUCUUUCAACCCUAAUCACAUUAGCCAACAUAUCUACAUCCACCACAUAGUCCUGAUCUCGGACACUAAAAGAGAAUCUAUUCGCAUCCAAGAAACUGAGAUUCAAAUAGAAAUAUGCAGUGAGUUCAGCAUAGGCUUCUGUAGAUUCAGAACAAAACUGUUCAAGUUGAAGAAGACUGAAUUUUUCCCUCAAAUUAAUGUUCACAGAGUCAAGGAAAUCAAAAUCCACACUUCUAGGGUUUAUCACCCCACGCUUCAACAACUUAGAGUAUAGAUGCUUGUGUUCCUCCAAUCGAAACAAGUCUAUCCUUUUGCUCCGAAUUUUUGCCGCAACACCCAUUCUCGGUUGAAACUGACUAUACAACUUGUCAUCAUCAUUCUCAUCUGGCUGAUUCAGCCCUCCAACACAUGGAUCGCUUGGGAUAUUUGCCAUUGCCUCUUCCGCCGACCCAGCAGGGGCAAUCCCCAACCGUUCCAUUGUGCGUAAAAAGAAGGUUUCAUUUUUAUACCCUUUGUCUUUCAAAAAUUCGUCAAUGUAGUUCAAAGGAGUUCCACCCCUUUUCAAAGCACGAUAAAGCUUGUAGGUAAAAGAGGGCUUAAAAGUUCUUAUGGGUUCUGCAUCUUCGAUUAUUUCUUCCUCUUCUUAAUGAGUAACAUCCUGUGGUCUAGAUGGAGGAGAUGGACGCUACUGAGAAUGUUGUGGGCUCUGCUGCUGACUAGGAGACUCUUCUUCCUCGGUGAGAUCAAAGUGCGUAGGCCCCUCAUGCAUUUGUUGCUGUCCCCUGUUCGCAAUCCUCGAAGACUUCCUUUGAGACGACAUCUUUCACAGUCUUUGAAAGAUUCCAAACCUGUUUUUCCCAAGAAAGAUAACAACUUUUCGAAGAUUAAACAAGAGAAGAAGACAGAAGUGGAAGAUCGAUGCUUUCUAAGGUUUUUGGAGUAAAAUGAAGAGAAACUGACAGUAUAUAGGACGGUCGAAGAGAGGCAUACAAAACGUCGUAAAGGAAAGUAAAAAGAUGCCUUUUAAAAAAUAACUGCCUUUUUCAAAAAUUAGAUAACUGUCAUUUAAAAUUAACUCCAUUUUCGAAAAAGAAAGAUUGCAAUAAUCACGGAAAUUGAAAAUAGCAAAAAUCAAUUAUGGGUAGAUGAUCGUACCUUUUUGAGAUUUAUUCUGAGAGAGAAUAAAAUAACUUACAGUAAAAAAUCUUGAUUGUCUGAGUCGAGAGUCUCUAGACUUUUACUUCUUCAAACCUCAAAAUAUUGAGUUUGGAACGAAUAACUUCAAAUUGAUUUUUUUCCAAAGGCUUUGUAAAUAUAUCCGCCAGUUGAUUCUUUGAGUCAACAAACUGAAUCGAAACUUCUCCAUUUUGAACAUGAUCUCUAAUGAAGUAAUGUCGAAUCUCUAUAUGCUUUGCUUUUGAGUGAAGAAUUGGAUUCUUAGUGAGAUUGAUUGCGCUGGUGUUGUCACACUUAAUCUCCGUGCAUGAAUCUUCAAUUCCAAAGUCUCUUAGCUGUUGUUUUAUCCACAGAAUUUGUGAACAACAACUUCCAAGAGCUACAUACUCUGCUUCUGCUGUAGAAAGAGCUAUUGUAUUUUGCUUCCUUGAAAACCAAGACACUGUCCUGCUUCCAAGUAGUUGACAGGUACCCGAGGUGCUCUUUCUAUCAACUCUGCAUCCAGCUAGGUCUGCGUCUGAGUAUCCAAGAAUAGUAAAGUCUCCGUUUUUAGGAUACCAAAGACCAAAAUUUGAAGUUGAUAUAAUGUAUUUGAUAAUACGCUUUGCAACACUUAGAUGAGAUUCUUUAGGGUCUACUUGAAAUCUGGCACAAAUGCAAACAUUAAACAAAAUGUCAAGUCUAGAAGCAGUAAGAUAAAGAAGUGAACCAAUGAUACUCCUAUAUAGCUUCUGGUCAACUUUCUUUCCUCCUUCAUCUUUUUCUAUCUUCAAGGAACUUGACAUUGGUAUAUCAGUCUUUUUGCAAUUUUCUAAUCCAAACUUUUUGACAAGAUCAUUAGCAUAUUUUUCUUGAUGAAUAAAAGUCCCUUCCCUCAAUUGUUUCACUUGAAGCCCGAGAAAGAAUGUUAGUUCACCCAUCAUGCUCAUUUCAAAUUAAUCCUGCAUAGACUUAGAGAAUUUCUUGCACAGACUUUAAUUAGAGGAUCCAAAAAUAAUAUCAUCAACAUAUAUUUGAUCAAGCAGAAAACUUUUGCUUUCUCUUUUGAUAAACAGUGUAGUGUCUACUUUACCUUUGACAAAGCCAUUUUGAAUUAAAAACUUACUUAGCCUGUCAUACCAAGCUCGAGGUGCUUGCUUUAAACCAUAUAAAGCAUUUUUCAGUUUGAAUACUGAGUCUGGUUUCCUUGGGUCUUAAAACCCAGGUGGUUGUUCCACAUAGACUUCCUCAUGGAUAAAUCCAUUCAGGAAAGCACUUUUGACGUCCAUUUGGAAUAACCCGAAAUUCUUAUAACAAGCAAAAGCAAGUAAUAAUCUAAUUGCUUCUAACCUCACUACUGGUGCGUAAGUCUCAUCAUAGUCUAUCCCUUCUUCUUGCGUAUAUCCCUUGGCCACGAGUCUUGCUUUGUUUCUUACGACCUUUCCUUUCUCGUCCAUCUUGUUCCUGAAAACCCAUUUAGCUCCAAUAAUAGAUUUACCUUUCGGUUUAGGAGUCAAUUCCUAGACAUCAUUAAUACUGAAUUGCCUGAGUUCUUCUUGCAUAGCUUCAAUCCAGCUUUCAUCAGAUAAAGCUUCUUCUAUGCUUUUGGGUUCUAUUUUAGAAAUAAGAGCCACAGCACUAAACUCUUUGCGCCUUUUGGAUCUUGUGCGAAUUCCUUCAUUAAUGUCACUAAUAAUGAGAUCUUUGGGAUGACUGGACUUAUGCUUCCAGUUGCUGGUUGAUUUGUCAGGUUGUUGAUCUUUUUCUUCAUUUGAAUCUUCAACAAUCAUUUGUUGCUAGUCUUUCGAAGUUUGAGCUGCUUCUUGAGAUUUAGACUUUGUAGAGUCUAGAGCAAGUUCAAAUUCUUCAAGAUGAGUCUGAAUAGAUUCAUUUUGCAUAGAAUCUUGGAAUUUGACAUUCAUUGAUUCCUCCACAGAUUGAGUCUUCUUGUUAUAGACUCUGUAGGCUUUACUUGUGGUUAAAUAUCCAAGGAAGAUGCCUUCGUCUGAUUUUCUUCAAACUUGCCAACUCGAUCAUUUGCAUUUUUCAAUAUAAAGCAUUUACAUCCAAACACAUGAAAAUAUGAAACAAUAGGCUUCUUUUCUUUGAAUAACUCAUAGGGGUUUUCUCCAGAAUAGGCCUUAGAAAAACUCUAUUAAUGAUAUAACAUGCUGUAGAAACUACUUCAGCCCAAAAACGUGAAGAGAUAUUACUUUCAAUUAAAAGAGUUCUAGCCAUUUCUUGAAGCGACCUAUUCUUUCUUUCCACAACUCCGUUUUGCUCUGGAAUAUAUGGAGAGGAGAACACAUGCUGAAAACCAGAUUCAUCACAGAAUUUUGUAAAAUCUUGAUUUUCAAAUUCACCUCCAUGGUCUGUUCAUAUACUUGAAAUAACAUACCAUAUCUCAUUUUGGACCUUUUUAGCAAACUUUUCAAAGUAAGAAAAGGUUUCAGACUUACUUGCUAGGAAAUAUACCUAAGUAAAUCGUGAGUAGUCAUCCACAAUUAAUAUGCAAUAUUUCUUACCUCCAAUGCUCUGAGUUCUGAUUGGUCCAAAGAGAUCCAUAUGUAGAAGCUGCAGUAUACGAUUAGUGGAAACUUGAUUUAUUAGUUUAAAGGAGUUUCUUACCUGCUUUCUCAAUACACAUGGUGUACAUAGAUCAGUCUUUUGGUAUGACAGAUUAGAUAGACCACGAACAAGCUUCUUUGCUGAAAGUUUGGCUAUUUGCUUCAUAUUGAUGUGCCUAAGUUUUCUGUGCCAUAAGUUUGCUUUCUCUUGAAUUGAGAUUAGACAUUGCGAUUCAUCUAGUUUGACAUCCAAGAGGUAGAUAUUUCCAUAUCUUCGACCCAUGAAUGACUGAGUAGAAUCUUUACUGGUUCCUGAACAUAUUCCCUCUUGAAAAUUGAUUUUGAAACCGGUAUCGCACAACUAACUAAUAUUAAGCAAAUUGUAGUUGAGUCCUUCCACUAAGGAAACAUUACUAAUUGUGAGGUUUCCAAUCUUUACAGUUCCAAAUCCCACAAUUCUUCCUUUGAUGUUUCCUCCAAAUGAAACUUUUCCACAAUUUACUUGAACGAGCUUUAUGAAGCAAUUUGAAUCUCCUGUCAUAUGUCUUGAGCAUCCACUAUCCAAAUACCAUUUUACCUUCUUCUUGAUAGUGACCUGCAUUUAGAAAAGAGACUCAAACUUUCUUUGGUACCUAUCUUGGGUCCAUUGUGUUAGUAUCAUAUGCGGUCUUUGCCCAUACUUUCUUAACAGGUUUCCAAACCAUAGGACAUUCUUUCUCAAAAUGAUUUGAACUAUUGCACUUAGAACAUCUGAGAGCAUUGCGACCUACUGAUUUUACAAAAACCUUUUUGAAAUGAUUUUUGUAAGCAUCUCUUGUGGGUCUUUGCUUAAUUUUUUCUUUCACUUUAGGAAAAUCAAUUAAAGGAAUGGUUUCCACAGUCAUUCCCAAACCAAAUUUAUUGAAAUAAGGUCUUUGCGCUAAAAGAAUUUUCUCAAGUUUCUCAGAUCCUAUAGAAAAUCUUUUCGAAAUAUUUGAUAUGUCAUUUUUUUAAAAAUGCAUUUUCUUUCAAAAGGUUGUCUUCACUUUCUUUAAGAGUAGAAACAUUCAUGUCUAAACAUUUAACAUUUUCUUUCAAAACAUUUUCCUAUUGUUUUAGUGCAGAAUUUUCUUUUUUAAGUUCGGAAAUCCCUUUGAGAGAAAUCUUGAGACUAAAACACAACUCAUCAAUGUAUUUAGAAACUUUAAUAGGGAUUUUAAAGUUACUCACCUCAAAUUCACUGUCUGAAUCUGAGUCUGUUUCGGAGUUUGAAUCUAAAUCUGAUUGUGCCAUUAGACAUAUAUUGGCAUAAUCAUCAUCACUUUCUUCACAUUCUGUAUCACUCUAGGUUUCUACUUUGAGAGCCUUUCGAUACUUUUCAGCUUUUCCUUUCUUCUUCCUCAAAAGGGGACAGUUGAGUCUAAUGUGUCCUUUUUUUCUUACAUUCAAAGCAGACUACAUCUCUAUUGGAUUCAUCAUCCUCAACAGACUUAGUCUGUUGUUUUUGAAAACUCUAUUUCUUUGGAUUGAAUCUUCUUCCUUAGGAUCUUCGUCUUCAUUGAUUCACUCCACUUCAUAAGACUGAAGAGUCCCAAACAACUCAUCAAUAGAUAGUGGCAUAAUUCUUUGUGUCUCCCUUAUUGAGGUCUUUAUGUGAUUCCAAUCCUUGGAGAGUCCACACAGUAGCUUGUUUACUUUCAUGGGAUCAGAAAUUGGUUGACCUUGAUUUUCAAGACCAUUCACGAUUUCUGUAAAACGACUAAACAUGUCAGUUAUAGAUUCUCCUGAUUUCAUUUUGAAGGCUUCGUAUUGACCGAGGAGAAUGUUGAUUCUGGUUUCUUUCACUCGAUCAAUUCCUUCAUAUGUGAUAUGUAAUAUAUCCCAAACUUCUUUGGCUGUAACACGAGAAGAUAUUCUGUUAUAUUCAGUAGGUGACAAAGCACAAUAUAAAUAAUAAAUUGCUUUUGCAUCAAGAACUUGUCUCUUGGUUAUCUCUUCAUGAGUCAUUUCACUAGACUCAACAGCUUCUUUUCCUCUCUCUGAGAUAGAUGUAGCUUUAGGAAUGAUUCCUUUGUCUACCACGUCCCAUUCCAGAGGAUCCUUUGAUCUUAGGAACGCCUUCAUCUUGUUUUUCCAUAUGUUGUAUUCCUUUCCAUCAAAGUAAGGCGGUCUGGUAUUGCUUUGCCCUUCUACUAGCCCUGGAGCCAACAUACUAGCCAUGGAUCUUUAACUCUGAAGUAAAACACUUCAAAAAAAGUGAGUACAUAGGCUCUGAUACCAAUUGAGAUAGCUAGUAUAAGCACCUAGAGGGGGGUGAAUAGGUGUAAAAAUAGUUUCUCGUGAUAAGUGAGCAAUACUAAACAGACAAUAGAAAUGAAGUUCUCCUUUUGUUAACAAAACGAAUUAUGAUCAAAGUAAAGCAAAGAGUAGGGAAUAGAAAAUGAACAUAGAAAUUAUAGUAGUUCGGCUCAUUCCAAGCCUACGUCCACUCUUCCGCACUAUGAAUAAAAGAGUUGUUACAACAAAGCUCUCCCUUGAUUCCACAGUGUAGAUACUCUACCACACUUUCUCAAGGUUUCUCAAGAAUAUAGACUCUCUUUUGCAUACAAGAUUUCGCUCAGUAAAUGAAUUGACUAAGAACAAAGAGCUUCAGACUUUGAAAUUCUUCUAUCGCGCACACACUCGAAUAACUGGAACGUUUUCCUUAUAUACUCAUUUAUGCCAUCAUACCCGUUGGCACUUACCAAAGGAAUUCUUCCAAUCUUCCCGUUGGACAGAAUCAAUUAGGAAGAUCAUUCGAGUUAUUUAAGGAACAUGACGAUAGCCCAUCAAUCCUGCUCGCCCAUACAAUCAGGAUCUUGGUUUCCAUAAGUAGAACCUUCCAAGUAUACUUUGCCAAUCAUCGGAUCCUCAAUCUCUAAAUCAAUCUUGAUCCGAAUAAAUGAUUCCAUUAUGUCAUAUCCAGCCAAGAGAUCUUCUUCAGUCGAUAAGGUCAAAUCCUUAACGAAACAUCCAGUCCUGGAUAGGCCUUCUUCGACGGACUAGAAAUUGUCAAUGAGAAUAGACUUUGAGUCUUGAGUCUGGCAGUCUGGAGGUCUUCAGACUUUAAAUAGAAGAGUUUGCAAAUCUUCAAACUAGACUGAUGGAAACGUUUUGUCAGCUUCAAAACACUUCACGAAGAUUUCUCCAACAACCUCAACUUUGUCGUAUCCAUGCAGUCUUUCUUAUUGUGAAACUGUGUCUUGAGCUUGAGCUUGUAUACAAGAAUCUAACCCACGUUCGAAGAAUUUAUUGAUCAAAGUCACACACAAAAUGCAGAGUGUUCUUUUAUUAAUUAAUGUGCAUGCAAGUCUUGGACUUUUCUCUGAGAUCUCUUACUCUGUCCUAUUAUCAUUUUUCUCAUUUUUUUGUUCGAAUCCCCUUUUUGUCGUUGAUGGAGUUGAACAUCCAUUUUUCACCUCCACACUUAACCAAAUCCAUUGGCGUUGGUUUCAGAUUCUCGCUCGAUCAGUGAAAUGGGAAAACUCGGCACCGAAGUUGGCGUCAGGAACAGUGGCAUUCUUGAGGCCUAGCCUCAAGAUUCGAGUGGCAUGGAGAGGGUGCUUCCAUUCCAAGCUCUACUGGAGAACGGUGACGCUCAACGGGGUGAUCAGAGGCACGUGUGCACGGGCUUGGAGCAAGACGGGCAAACGGGGCCGCUUCAGAUUGGAGUGUGAGCUGUUUCUGCCAUUUUCAUGGAACUACGAGGGAUACUAGUGGUGAUCUUGUGACAUCCUGAUUUUCCAAUUCUGUUUUCAAUUGAAUGAGUCGGGCUUUUCAUCGACGCACUUAUAGUUCUUUUCUCUGAGUAAGCCACUCACGAGAUAACUAGCCUAUCAGGUAAAGCCAUUAAGGAAUCUAAACGCAAUAGACUUGAGAAUUCGACCAAGAAUCGACUGCUCAAUCGUGCUAAUCUACAAGGGUCAUUAUGACACAGACCGACUAGAGACUGGAGAUAGGUCGAUUCGAUAGAGCCAUGUGAUUAAGUGUGGGUGAUUCCACCUAAUUGCACAAUUCCUGUCGAUUAGCACUAAACCGAUUUCUCUGUCGUUUUGAUACCCUAUGUGCGUAUUUGAAACUUCGAGAUUUCCACAACAACCGAGAGUUGCCAAUGUGUCGAAGAUGCACUUUGUGACUUGAAAAUAAUCAACCACAGGUCAAUUGCAUGAAAAGUUCCAAAAAGCUACCCAGUAAGUUAGGGCACGCUAAAUCGAGCUAGAUUGAAAUUAACCGCGAAAUUGAACCCGAUUUCGAAAAUUGGAAGUUCUGCCAUGUCACAAAUCAUUUUAGGAAUGUCGACUCAUCCUCUGAAGAUUUUUCUAGAAACUGAGAUUUUCAGCGAAAAAUCCAAAGUUAGGUCGUUUUGGACCAGGAAACUUUGAGGGACUAUUUUUUAUCGCACUUUUGGCAGUCAAGUUGGUUCUAUUGAUGAGGAAGAAGGUUGAUUAGGAUGAUGGCACUUUGGUUAGAUUUAUGGACAACAAAUUGAGCUCAACUGGAUGAGAAUUGAAGAGGAAUUGAAUGAAAUGGAUGAGCAAAGGUACAAAAUUCAUAGCCUUUAAGGGGUGCAACCUUUCAGCCACUUGGGAAGCUUGCUUAGGAAGAUUUGGGAGAGAGAAAGUGGUUGUGGAUGAGGCUGAAGGUGGUGGGGGCAGCUCUCAAGUGUUUGGACAAGUGUUGAAGGCUUUGGAGACCAUUUGGGGUCCCCCCUUCAGCUGAAGCCUUCUUCUUCCUUCAGCAGCUGCUUUCUCCAUUGUUGAAGGGUGGAGAGCUCAAGAAAAACCAAAGAAACUAGCCAAGACCAGUAACAAGCUAGCCGAAACCCUUUGCUGCCCGUUGCACGCCCGAAACCGCGUUGGCCUCCCGCUCAUGUCCGCUCACUCGCGCUUGCCCAUGCUUGUUGUCCCGCGAGCCUAGCUCGUUGUUCGAAGCCCCCAGGCUACCAUCCAAGUCGCCGAAGCAGCCGUCGUCACUCGCCUAGGUUGCUACUGAUUCCGCCAGCCCGUCCUUGUUGUUUCCACCCGAACCAGCCACUGAACAGCCUUCCUUUGGCCUAGAGCAAAAGCCGAAGACCUCAGCCCAACUGAGACUUCAUGAGGCUUUUCCGAGCCCUUCCAGGCCUUGAUUGGUGUCGCUGUGGGCUUGGUUGUCGCCCGUCUCUGCGUUGCUGUCGCCAUGAACUCAUCGGAUCGCAAAAUCGGUGAGUUUACUCACUAAACCUUCCUUAUGAAGUUAAUUAUGCUUAAGGGUUGAUUAGAUUAGCUUAAGAAUGGGUUAGUGAUAAUCUAGAAUGGUUAGAUUAGCCUUAUAAUAGUUUAGUAUUAAUCUAAUUAGUGAGAUUAGCACCAUUGAAGUUGGUUUAGUCGAAUCCAGUGGACUUCCUGCAGUUCUGAUCUCUAUACCCUCGCCGUUUGCCACUUUUUUAGAUCGAAAUGGGUUGUGAAUUUGAGGUUGAUAUCUUCUUGAGAAAUUUUUUAGACAUCUUAAUCUACAACAUAUAUUUUACACAGGAUUUUUAGAGAUUUAUAAAAAUGAGAUAUCAGCUCCAUCAUUUGCAAACAGAAUCUGGAACCGUGCUGGAAUUUAUGAAUUUUUGGGAUUCACUGGAUUUUUAUCAACUCUUAAGGUUCGAAUUUCAAAAUGGUUUCUUCAAAAAAUUUGUUUUUCACAUCUUCCAGUUUAACAUAGUCAAAUUUCAGAUCAAAUGGACAAGUUUUAGAUCACGAACCAAACUGAUUUUAGAAAACAGACUUUCUGGAAACGAGCCCAAUUUUGGUACUGGAUUGAAUGAUUUACUGGGCCGAAUCUAGAAGGAUAUAGGUUAAGGUUUCUUCAUGAAAAAUGUUCUUCUAUGUGUCUUGUUCAACAUAUUUAAAUCUGGGAAUUUUCUGAAUUCUUUUGAUUAGAUUUAUGGAUUUAAAUUCAGAGACAUGCGAGUGGACCGUUCUGCCGGUUAGGACAGAUUAUAGUUUUAUGAUGGUUCUCAAUGCUUUGCUUGUUGGAAAUUGCACUUUUGGUGUUGUGGUUUCUUUGUGAUAUGCUUAGAUGUUAUGCGUGAUGAGGCGCGAAUGGUUGUGCCAUGAUUGUAGUUUAUUGUUAUUACUUUGUGUAGCAACUAUUGAAUGAGGGUGAGAUGUGUUGGGUUGAGAAAAUCGAUCGGUUGCUAGCAGGUAGACGACUAAGUGUGCAUGGUAGCAAAGCAUCGUAUGAGCCACCUCCUACCAUUGCUUAUUGUAAUCAAGAACUAAGUGCUACACGACAGCUUGACUUUGUAGGAGUCACCUCUAGUAACUUGAGUUAUUGUUUAUUGUAAUCAAGAACUAAGUGCUACACGACAGCUUGACUUCAUGGGAGCCACCUCUAAUAACUUGAGCUAUUGUCUAUUGUAACCAAGAAUUAAGUGCUACAUGACAGCUUGACUUUGUGGGAGUCACCUCUACCUCUAGUAACUUGAGAUAUUGCUUAUUGUGGGCACGGACUAAGUGCCGCACGAUAUUGGAACUUCAUGACUGGGGACUGGGGACUGGGGGCACCUCUAGAACCUUGAGUAUUGAAAUUGAGUAUUGAAAAGUGAUUGAUUGAGAUGUGAAUGAGAUGUUCCAAAUUGAUGUGUGCAUAGAUUAUAUGCAUUUGUGAUAUGAACUGUGCUAACGUGCAAGAAUGAGCUAAGGCGAGGUAAGUCUUCUCUGUUGUGUGGCUAGGCCACCCUUGGGUGUAUUUCCCUCCUAAUAUAGGUUUAGGGGUGAACUUGCUGAGACAAUGUCUCACCCCAUCGUGGGCUUAACUUUUCAUGUCCUUAGGUGGUGGUUGUGGAGGACCCGAAGCCUAGAGUCUGUGGAGGUGGAGUCCGAAGGAUCGGUGUCUGUGUCCGACUAGUAUGUCGUAGGACAGCUUCUUUUUUAGGGCCGACCUUUUGUAGAAUUUUGACCAGACUCGUUUUGUACCUAAACACCAUUGUUUAUAAAAGUUGGCUUUUGUGAAAUGUUACCCUGCUUUUCUAUCCCAUGCUAUUUGUUAUCAAGGGUAUUGUUUCGCUUACGCAUGUGCAUUAAAAUGAAUGGGUAGGCGACGCGUCUUGGGAAUGUCGCAUUUAUAUCGACCACCGAGAGAUGUGCGCGCGCUCGAGGUUUGGGACGUGACAGAUCUGGUCGGGGAAAGGAUGGAGCUUGAGGAGGAUGGUCAGCAACGGGUUUGCAAAUUGGAUUCGGGUCGCGAAAUGGAUCUAUAUCUAUCUAGUAUGAAGAAGCUUUUUCUAGAAAUUGUGAAACGAUUUCGGGAAUUUGAAAGAAACAGAAGGGGCGAGAGCACGGGGCAAUUUUAAUUUAUAUUGGCCAAACGUUCAAGCAAAUAGUUUUUUCCCCCAAAGACUUCCCUUUUUUCUUUGUAGAUUUUAGCAAAGGAAGUACAUCUACUCCUCGGAUUCUCAGCCAGUGAUCGCAAUUUGGGCUUCAGAUUGUAAGAAAAGAAAGAAUUUUGGGCAGCACUACCUUUAAUCUGUUUGUGUUUAGAAAGGAUUUCAAAUAUGAUAUUGCUCUACCUUGUUGAUUGAAAAUGUUGUGCUGCACAUGUCGCUUCCCUCUUCUGGAUCAAAGCAACAUGAUGCAGAUUAAACUAUUUCGACAUUCGACUAUGGGGUACAGAAUACUUGAUCUCCUUAGUAUUUGUAUCAUAUCUGGAAACAUAGGCUAGGAAGUUUUCUUUUCGUCCUUUGUUGUGAAAAUUCACUUCAACCCCACUUUGAUUUAAGAUGUAAACAGACGAAGAAGUAAGAAUUGCUCGUUAAUCCACCUUGUCUUGACGCCUCAAGGUUGUGGAUAGAUGGAGAACCCUGUAGCAUCAGCUCAAGUUGCUAAAAGAACAGAGCAGUUACUACUGGCGAGUCAAUGGCAUAAAGGCCACAGCUUAUUGGACGUGGCACUUUCGGAAGUGUUUAUAUUGUAAGUCAACCGGUAAGUUAGCUCCGAGAAGCUUCUACGUGUUGCAUUUUUCUUUUUAUUUAGGCAUCCAGUUAGCCAAACUAUGACGUGUUACGUGACAGAGAAACCAGAGCUCUGUGUGCAUUGAAGGAGUUUAGGUUAUUACUUAUUAAUCCAAAUUCGGUAGAGUGCCUGAGGCUGUUAAAGCAGGUAAUGCCUAGGAUCCAAUCUAUCCUCUCAUUUGAUCUAAAUAUGCUACGGAAAGUAUCUUUAAUCAUUGACAGGUAAUUGAUUGCUUCGCUACCUCAGAUUUUUUUCAACCUGUUGCACAAGAAAUCGAAGUACUUAGCUAGCUGAGACGUCCAAACAUUAUGUGGUAUUGUGAUAGUGAAAUUGUGAGAAACCUUUCCAUGGCAUAUGAACAUCCUAACUCAAUGGGCAUUUAUAAUUUGACUAACCAAAAUUUCAACAUAUUCAUACAUACUCUGGCUGAGGAUCGGCUUAACAUAUAUCUAUAAUAUGCACAUCAUGGUUCGAUAGACAAGUAUAUCCCAAAGCAUCUUAGGGCCCUAAGAAAAUUGGUUGUCCACAAUUUUAUCCACCAUAUUGUGACUGGAUUGGCUUACCUGCGUGUUAACAACUCCAUACAUGGGUAAUUCUAAACCGUCAUUAGAUGACUUGCAUAUUGCGUACAGAUGAUAAGACCAUCUUCUUUGUGCCUAUAGACCUAUGUAAACUCUUUUGCCUUCAGGGAUUUAAAGGGAGCUAAUUUAUUUGGGGAUACAUCUAGGAUAGUCAGACUUAUUAACUUUUGUGACAUCCUGAAUUUCAGGUUCUGAUUUCGAUUGAAUAAGUUGGGCUUUUCAUCAACGCGCCAAUAGUGUUUUUCUAUGCGAUGGCCACUCACGAGAUAACUAGCUUAUCAAAUGAAGCCGUUAAGGAAGAUAAACGCAAUAGACUUGAGAAUUCGACCAGGAAUCGAUUGUUUGACAAUGCUAGUCUGCAAAGGUUAUUACGGCACACUUAAAAAUCGAUCAAAGAUCCAAGAUAGGUCGGUUCGAUUGAGAUGUGUGGCUAAAUGUGAGUGAUUCCACUAAUUUGCAAAAUUCUUGUCGAUCAGCACUAGACUGAUUUUUCUGUCGUUUUGGUGUCCUGUGACCAUAUUUGAAACCUUGAGAUUUUUACGACAACCGAGAGCCACCAAUGUGUCGAAGAGGUACGUGUGGCUUGAAGAAAAUCGACCACGGGUCAAUUGCACUAAAAAUUCAUAAAAGCUACUCGGUAGGUUAAGUCGCGCUAAAAUCGCAUCCGAUUGAAAUUAACUGCGAAUUUGAACCCGAUUUCAGAAAUUGAAAGUUCUGUUAUAUCACGAGUCAUGUUAGGAACGUCGACUCAUCUUUCGAGGAAUUUUUGGCGAAUUCAGGAUUUUUACGGAAAACCGAUUCGGAUGAUUCGGAAAAGAAUGGAAAUUCGAACGGGCCAAAUCGAAGGGAUUUUUGGCCUCCUGUGUGAGCUACUUGGUGAAAGGAAAUUGUGUGGGCUUUUUCUUCAACAAAAUUGGACAUCAAUCGGAGAGAUUUGUUAAGAAAUCGAACUCUGGGAAAAAGGAAAUAGAAUUCAGAAUUGAGGGAAAUUCGUAGGUUUGAGGGACUAUCUUAUUUUGGUCUUCAAUUGGACUUCAAAUUAUGCAAGUUAGUGUUGAAAUUGGCCUUGGAUGACCAAUUGAUAUUGUUGUAUGAAGUUGAGCUAAAAGUAUUUUGGUUUUAAUUAUCUUUUUCCUCCCAUCAUCGGACCCCUCACGCCCACGCCAUUCCCCUCUCCUCCUCGCGCACGACUCUCUCUCUCUCUUAUUCUCGCGUGUCUUCCCCUCAACCGACCAAGCCCUUCCAUGGUCUUCUUCUGCUUUAUUUCUUUGACUUUCAUCCUUAUCUCUCUCUCUCUCUCUCUCUCUCUCUCUCUCUCUCUCUCUCUCUCUCUUUCCCCUCCCUUUUUGUAAGGACCCUGGCCCCACUGUGUGAUAUUGUCCGCUUUGGGUCACCCGCCCUGACGCGGACAAACCACCAUCCUAGCUAUGAUCUUUUCCCUCACUAUUUUAAAAUGCAUCACAUAUUAAGGGACCAAAGCCUUAUAAAGGCUCCUAGAACUCCCCCUUAAGCGAUGUGGGACAAGAGAAAAUGCCCUUAGCCUCGCCCGCGUACUGCCAAGGCGAUCUUAGUCCGUCCCUCCGUACUGUCCCGGGUCUGGGUCGUCACAUUCUCCCCCCUUAAGGCACAGUGCCCUCGUUGUGGCCCCACACGCAGUCGGGAGUCGGCUCUGAUACCAUUUCUAAGGAUUCGGGCCCACUGUGUGAUAUUGUCUGCUUUGGGUCACCCACCCUGGCGCGAACGAACCGCCAUCCCAGCCACGAUCUUUUCCCUCACGGUUUUAAAACACGUCACACAUAUUAAACCCAUAUCGCUUAAAGGGGGAGUCUUGGGCUAGUUUAUAAAGUCUUGGGUCCCUUUAAUCUGUAUAACGCGUUUUAAAACCGUGAGGACUCAGUGUCCAAAGCGAACAAUAUUACACAGUGGGGCCCAGGUCCUUACAAAUGGUAUCAGAGCCGACUCCCGAACACGUGUGGGGGCCAUAGCGAGGACGAUGUGCCUUAAGUGGGGGAGAAUGUAACGACCCAGACCCGGGACAGUACGGAGGUGUCGUGACCUAAAUUUCGGGUGCACCACCUAAGUUUAGGCUAAUGGACUAUUAAGUUUUUAAACUUAGUUUGGGCUCUCCCAAGCACAUACCAAUUCACGACUUAAGGUUCAAAACUUAGCAUGCAAAUGAAUUUUAAUUAAGAGUCACCACUAAUCGGUUUAUGGUAAGUCGAUUAGACACCUAAGUAAAAUAAUGAGAUAAUUAUUUUACUCCUACGAAUCAGAAACUAAGGGUACGGGGACUUGGUUACACUAGAUUUCUCUAAUGCCCUUUCGGUGCCAUUUCUUUUUAAUUUCAAAAAUACUUUUGCAGGCAGCUUGGAUUUUUUUAACCUAAAUUCCUAUCAUGCAAUAUAGUGAUCAUACGAGUAUUCAACCAUUAUUAAAACACUUAAUGAAUAAAUUGCAUUAAAAAAAAUUAAACACAAAGCAAACAAAUUUUUUUGGUUUUUUUUAUCUCGAAAUUAAAAUAUGCACUCUAACUAAAUGACCUAAUUUAAUGGCAAGCAAUUUUCUAAUUAAAUGGACUUAACAACAAUCACUAAGUGACAUGCAAUUCAUGAAUCUUAUUUUACUAACAUACUCUAAUUAAAUGAUCCUAUUAUGAAAACUAGUUAACAUGCUCCUAGUGGUUUUGCAUUUUUUAUUGAAAUUUGGAAUUAAUAAAUACCCUAAUUAAACUAUCUAAAAAAUGAAUAAUUUUCUAAUUUAUUUGAGGGAUUAAUUUGACUUAAACCCUAUCCUACCGUAGAAAACUAUUUUUUAAAGAAAAAUGGGAUAAUUAAGAUGUGCCAACAUUAUCUAAAACCCUAUUUAAAAAUAAUUAUUUAGGUCUAAUCCUAACCUAUUUCCAAAACUGCAAUCCUAAAAAUGUAAUCCUAAAAAAAUCUAAUUUACUAAGCCUACAUGUCUAACUUACUAAACCUACAUGCUGAUGCAAGAUUUUGAUUUUUUGAUUUUUUUUAGUGUUUUUCCAAGACAAGUAAUUAGCAAAUAAACAUUAAAUCUAGACAAUCAAGAUAUUCAACAAAUAAGGAAUUAAAAUAAUCGAAAAAAUAACCCGUUGUCUCACAGGUUAAAUUAACGAUUACCUUAUCCCUAAACAUCACGACAAAGAGUUCAAAAUAAUUAAAAACUCGAUCCGAAGUCUUACGGAUCAAAUCAAUAAUUAUAAUGAUUAAAAAAUUAAAAUACUACCAAAAUAUCCAAAAAUUAAUAUAAUUAAAAAAAAUGAUCCAAUAUAUUACGGAUCAAACUAAUAAUUAUAACAAUUUUGGAUAAAAUUAUAUGGAUAAUGUCUAAGAUAUUCGUAAAAUGAGCAUGAUCAAUAAUAACAAAAUAAAUAAAAUAAGAUAACAUAAAAUAAGUGAAAAAUAAGAAAUAAGAAAUAAAUAAAUAAACUACCUAAUCUUUCCUCUUUUUUUCUUUUUUUUCUUGCCUUUUUUUUUCACCCACGAUUCGGCAACUUCGUGGUGGGUCACCGGAGGUGAUGGGUCGCCAAGGAGUUGGUCACCGGCGUUCCGGCUAGGGGGGCGGCGGGCGUCUGAAAUCCGGCGAGGACUAACUGGCACGCAACGAGGAAAGAAAAAACAGCGAACAAGGGCUAUUGCCUGGGUCAAAGGAUCGCUGCAAAAAAAAAAAACAGAGAGAUGCUGUAGGAGCAUCGCUCAAAGGAAGGGCGUCAGACGCCGGGCGGGGGAGCAACUCGGCAGCAGCGUCGGGUCACUGGACAGUGGUCAUGGAUGUCGAAUCUGACUGCAAGAGCGGCAGAGAUCGGCACAAGGGUGCGAUGGCUCGGCUGUGUCGCGGGCAGAGUGCAACGAAAACAAGGGAUGCGAACGGACAGGCCGACGGCACAGCGGGCUACAACAGAGGGCAAACCAGUUCGGUGGAGAGCUGGCGUGGGCUGCCAGUUCGGCAAAGGGGAACUCAGGACUCCGGCGCGGUGGCGCGCAGCGCCAGAUAGUGGCAGACGAGUGGUAGAACAGGGUAGGAGCGGCUCCGGCGUCGAGCUUCACAGAUGCUGCAAAUUGGCGACAACAGAGGCGGUGGACGAUGAGCAAACCAGAAACAGUGUAGGCCUGGCUACCGGUGAACCGGCGAGNNNNNNNNNNNNNNNNNNNNNNNNNNNNNNNNNNNNNNNNNNNNNNNNNNNNNNNNNNNNNNNNNNNNNNNNNNNNNNNNNNNNNNNNNNNNNNNNNNNNAUGGGGUAGUCGGAAAAUUCGGACAAUAGAGGUGUACUUUUCAGAGCGAGCUGAGAGAAUUCUCUCUUUUGUCCCCCCUCCCCUCCUAUGUGGCGCCAUAUGAGUGGUCCGGGACCACGCUGACGUGGCGGUCCCGGACCACCCAAUAUUUUCUCCUCUCUCACAUGUCACUCUCACGUCUCUUUUCCCUCUGCUCCUUUUCUAACUUUCUUUUCCCAAAGAACCGAAACCCCUCUUCCUUCUCCUCUCUUUUCACUUUUUGACUUUUUUUCUUUCUGUUCCGUCCAACCCCUGAAACCCAAGAAAAAGCCCCCCCUUUUAUAGGCAAAACAAAAUGUGAUCUUUUCGUGAAUAUUUCAUCUCACGAAGAUUGCCUAUAACCUCCUCCUGAUCACAAAAAUCCUUAUCUUAUGAAUAUUUUCCCAUGAUUUCAUCAUCUAUUGCUAAAGAUAAGAUUGCGGUGCGAUUUUCUUAAAUUCCAAAAACCACCAUAAUAUCACAUCAAAUCUCAAUUUCUCACAAGAUAAUUAAUAAAAAAAUAACGGGCUUGGGUUAAUUUGCUCCAUUCGUGGGCCUAGCUCGACCUGUCGAACUAGAGCUUAGAAACAUUAAUUCAAACCCAUCCACCACCGGUCCAAUAAAUAAAAUGCAAACAUGCAGACUAAAAAUAAAUGCAUCUAAAUUUAUAUGAUAUGCAAUUAAUUUCUAUGCAAUAAAUAAAUGACUAGAUCGCCAAAAUUUAGGUGUCAACGGGAGGGAUGGACUGAAAUCGCCUUGGCAAUACGCGGGUGAGGCUAAGGGCAUGUCUCCCGUCCCACAUCGCUUAGGGGGGAGUCUUGAGCUAGUUUAUAAAGGCUUGGGUCCCUUUAAUCUGUAUAACGCGUUUUAAAGCCGUGAGGACUCAGUAUCCAAAGCGGACAAUAUUAUACAGUGAGGCCUAGGUCGUUACACUUUUUCCUUCGAGCGACCAUCCCUUCUGCCCAUUCAUCCGCUGCUUCUUUUUCUUUUAUCUUUGGGUUCUGUUGAAGAUUUCAGCAACCCACCGAUGCCCCCAUCUCCACCGAGGCAGCUGAUUUCAUUUUGCCUGCAACUCACGGCCAUUUGUCCACAGCUCGGCCUCCUACGGUCAACUCCAGCAUUUCUUCAACGCAGCAGCUCCCACUGAAGCCACCACAUGCCCUCUCCAUGUCCAUGAAACCAUGAACAGCCCGUGUCCUCCAUUCUUGAAGCCAAACCCUACCGAGGUCAGCCGCAAGCAGCCCGCUCGUCAGCCCGCGUCUUCACUGAGCUCUCUCCACAGCCACCACCCCACCGCGGAACGGCCCCACCGUUCAGCCGCGUGUUCGGCCACGUUCAAAACCAGAACGGGCAGCCCAACUGUGGGCUUGUGUGGCCGAUUUUGGCCCCGGUUCGGUCUCCGUUGGCAUCGCCGCUUUGGAGUUUAUCAGCCGCUGUCACGUUGCCAUCGCCGUGAACUGGUUUUCGUGUUAAUCCAAUGAGUUUACUCACUAAUAUUUGCUUAUGAAACUAAUUACGUUUAAGGGUUGAUUAGUUUAAUUUAAGUCUGGAUUAGGUGGAUAAUUAGAAUAGAUUAGUGAAUUGGUUAAUCGAUAUUGCAUGUUAGGUGGUUAGAAUAGUGCAAUUAGCGAGUAGACAGAUAGUAGUAUUUAUUUAACGAGCCUCGGAAUUUUUCCGAGCCUGUUUCAGUAUUUAAUUAGGCUUUUCCAGCCUAAGUUGCAUUUUUGGGUAUUUAAUAAUUAAUUUUCGUAAUUAUUUAUUUAUUUAUUUAUUUUCCGGAAAUUAGAUCGGGAUAGUCAGUGACCGGAAUUUUAUGUUGAUUGGAGUGAUAUGAUCUGUUUAUUUAAUUGACUAUUAUUUUGUGCAAAUUAAGUGUGAUUUGCAAUUUUGGGUAUUUAUCCCAAAAUUUAUAAUUUCAGUAAUUAAUUAGAAAAUUACCGGGCAUGUCGGUUUACAUCGCAAAAAAUGUGUUCUCAAACUAUUGGAAUUAGUGGGAUUUUAAAAAGAGAAAAUAUUGUAUUAUGGCUAAGGCCGACCGUGUACCCACAUACGAGUAUUUUUUUUAUCGGGUACAUUUUAACAUGAUGAAAUUAGGCCAAGUUGGGUUUUUAAUUGAGAAAUUGAUGUGCAAAGCACAAGACCCUUAGCCAGGAGUAAUUUAUCAUAAAUCAGCUUAGGUGAGCAUUGAUCAGCUUAGGUGAGCAAUAUAGAUCUAUAACAGCUUCGGGGAGCACUAACACCAAUAUAAAUCUAUAGCAGUUUCGGUGAGCACUAUAGAUAUCAGCUUCGACGAGUAGUAUAGUUAUUUAGCAGUUUCGGCGAGCAAAUGUUAUCUAGCAGCUUCGGCGAGCAAUAAUUAAUAUAGCAGCUUCGGUGAGCAAUAUAGACAUCAGCUUUGGUGAGCAAUGAUAUAUGAAUACAUCUAUCAGUUUCGGUGAGCUAGACCAUCUAAUUCAGCUUAGGUGAGCAGUGUUCGAAUCAAUAGAGUUUAUAGAUGGCAUUGACGGUAUGGAAUCGAAUGAGCCGACUGAUUGAUGGUUGAAUGGAUUGACUGAUAGAUGGUCUUGAUAGUAUGGAGUCGAUUAAAUAGAUUGAUCGAUGAUUCGAUCUAAUUGGUUGAAAUGAUUGAAUGGUUAUUUGAAUUAUAUUGACUUGCAGGAAAGAACUGAGACCAAGGUAAGUUCUCUGACUCAUGUUUGUGCUUAGGCAGCCCUUGGGGUGUAUUUUCUUCCUAGUCAGAGUUUAGGGAGUCAACUUGCUAAGACAUUGUCUCACCCCGUUGUGAGAUAACAUUUUCAGGUCCCUAGGGUGAAGAACCCAGAGCUUGAGGCAGAAAGGUCAAGAGCAUGGGUAGCUCAAAAGCUCUUUUUGAAGAUAGACUUCCUGUUCUUAGACCCUAGAGUUAGCCUAUGUUUGUAAACUGGAAUGUGGUUUUUAAUAAUGUGUUGAUUUGAAAUUUGUUGUCUUGCUAUUCUAUCCCACGUUUUAUUAUUGUCAAGGGAUUAGUAAUUCGCUUCCACAUGCGCAUUAAAAUGAAUGGGUCAGCGACGCGUCUUGGGACGUCACUAUUUAAUCGACCACCGAGGAAUAGGCACGCGCUUGGAGGAUCGGGGCGUGACAACUUUGGGAUUGCUAAACAUGUGAGUUUCCACCUAGUCACUGCCAGAGUACCAAGUGCAUGUGGAAAUUCCUUGUUGAUAUGUGGUGCAUUUACUGGCGAAUGUGAAGUCAGGAGGACCGAUUGAUUAGGUUAGCACAAAAAGAAAAAAAGGAAAAGAAAUGCAAGCUUGUUAUUCUUCAUCUAUGCUCUCUUGAUGCAUACUUCUCAUUAUUGAAUUGUGGCAUUUCAUCUGUGCAAAAGUCUAUUAUAGAUGGAUGAAAUGUUAUUGAAUAAUUUUCUUCACUUUUUUCCCCAUCGUUUUGGGUAAUGUUACUAUUUUGCAUAAAUAGGAAAAGAUUUCUAGGUGUAAAUAUAUGCCGAAACCAAAUGAGAGUUCUUUCCUUUUCUACUGGUUUCUAAAAAGUUCCUAAGAGGUGUAGCAGAUGGAGUGCAAUACCUUUGGUGAAAGGUUCUUCUCAUGUUGUUUUUGCUGCUCCUCUGCCUUCCAAGAGGAUGAUUGAAUUUAGUCAGAGUAAGAAGCGCCUCCUUCCUAACAUGGGGUAAAUAAAAGUGUACUAGUCCAUAGAAUAAAAAUCUGGACAGCAACUAAGGUAUUGUUGCCUCCUUUCAAGUUCUGAAGCAUUUGAUCAUUUUGUAGAUUACGUCAUGGUCCUUUUCUCAGUGAUCAGCUAAUAUAAGUCGAAAGUGGUUGAUUUAGUUCUUUUUUGUUGAUCUGAUGUAUGUCUAUGUCUAUGAAGAUGUUGCAAUUUAUGUCCCGUGUUCCAUGAACUCACCAAAUAGUCUUUGGCUAUACUAAUGCCGUACCAUUUCUUAGCCAACUGGACAAGCAACUUACUGCUCUUUGAAGGAAAGUCUAAAUUGGAUGGCUCCAGAUGUACUUUGCUUUUGUGAACGUUUAAUGUUACAUUCUUUUUUUGUCGUGGCAGAAUGAUGGAAUGGAAUAUCCUGUAGUUCAUACAAUCCUUGACGGUGAAUGAUAAGAGCACAAUCUUGAUCAAACUGCUGAUAUCUAUAGUUUGGGAUGUACUAUUAUUGUAAUGAUAACUGUGAAACCUCCUUGGAGUGAGUAUGAGCAGGUAAGAACGCUCCAUUGCUUUUCAUUCUCUCUGUUAGUCCUCCAAGGAUACGCUUCCAAUCAAAUCUGUGUCCCUGUUUUCUGUUGGAAGUCUGGGACUGUGUAUUACCAUUUGGUAUAUGACCUGUGUCUUUAGUUUCUGUUUAAGGUUUAACUAUUGAAGUAGGAUCAAGGUAUAUUUAUGGUGAUGCGAAGUUCUUUACCACUAACCUAGACGUUAUCUGCCAAGGGAAGGGAUUUCCUGCCCUGCUGCUUUCGAAGACAGCCUGCUGGAGGCCUUCAGCUGCUAUGCUACUUUAGUGUGAUUUCCUGUAAAUUUAAAUUUGCAGAUGACUGACUUUUUUUAUUUGCCAUACGUUGUUGCAGAAGGGAGGUCGCACUGUAAAGUUUCAUAUUUACUAAACCAAAAGGAUCACAAGGUAUGUGAUGAGAAAAAGAAGAUUCUUAACGGUCUAAUAGGAUACUUUUACUUCAAAGGAAGGGCAUCAGGUGCGGCGGAGGGUCCGCAAUAGGUUUCUUUUUUUUGAAAAAGGUACAUUUAAGAAAUUUUUUACAGUAUCGAGAACUUUACUAAUACAGUGAAAAGAAUGAUUUAUCUCAUGGAGAAUUACUUGACAUUUUAAGGAGCUCCUACUUCUGGAUAUUAUUUAAGUUUACCUUAAAAAACUUAUUAAUAAAUUGGGGGAAAAACUAAAUAAUUCAGUAUAAGUGAUCACAUUGAAAAGAGUUACUUUUGCUUAUAGAAAAAUAAGUUUAAGUAUAUAUACAACUAUAUUAGCUAAAUGUUUCAGGGUGGUUUGCAACUUUCUCGAUCACAAAAAGUAACGUCAAAUCUAUCGAGUUAAUGACAAGGUAUGGUUAUAACUUAUGAGAGUAAUUGUAUAUCGACAAUAUAAGAUGUUUGUUCCUCUUGCAUGGUUUGAGCUACGGCGGAUGUCGACCUAAGCAAUUGGACAAUGUUGCUUAAUCUAAAUGUUUUGUAUGGAGUGCAUUCGAAUCAUAGAUAUUUUGUACGAAGCACAUCUAUUCAUCGAAAUGAAUGGUAUUUAGUAUGGCUCCAAAAAAGCACCACAAUAGCAAAACACAUGUAAGAAAAGGAAGGAAAAAAAAUGAAAUGAUAAUGCAUCAGAAUUCCUAAAAAAAUUUGUUAAAAUUCAAUCAAAUCCUAAAACAUAUCCAAUUAAUACAACCAAAAUAUUCCGUCCCUUAGGUGGAUGGAACAUGGGCCAGCAAGUUUGGCGAACUUGCAAUAUCUUAAGGUUAGGGAAGUGAAGAGAGAAGAUGGGACGAAGUUAUGAGCAUUGGAGGCUCUUGAUUCUUCUUCCUUCAAGAAUGUCGUUGAUCUCAAUAAAUACAUCAGAUUUUUCCAACCAGAGUGGCCCCUCAUCACUAUCAUCAACUUGCCGUGAAUCCAGAAAAUUCAUUGAAACUUCCGAGAGGAGAAUUGCGAUUAUGCCCUUGUCAGGGCAGGAGCGGGAAAGUCUUGCCCCUCCGAUGGUUUUGCUUUAAAGUGAUGAUGUAAUUUUGCUGGAUUUAUCCCUGAUGUGUUUCUUCGUCUCUUCCUGGAAUUUUCUAAGAAUACCAAUACAUUUUAAAGCCCAGAUAUUAUUUCCCUUCGGUCCAACUAAUGGUGACGACCGAAACAAAUCCAAAGCAAUAUGCAUCCGGGAUCAACUCCGCUGUUAAAACCAAACAAGUAAUCACAUCACAUCCAUUUCUUAUUCGGGCAGGUCAGCCUUAUGCUACUUGUUCUAUCCCAACCCCAACUUUCAAUAAAGCAGCCGGUACACGAAACAAAGCGCGUCGAAGUUGUAACACCUUCUUCCCACAUUCCAGAGGGAAUAUACCCGCCUAAGAUGCUAAGUUCAGAAACUGACAAAAAUAGAGCUAUAUACUUCUCUUGCCGAAGCCAAAUUCGCUCCUAUGUUUCACACACCUACCGAGGAAAUCGGUUGCGCAAUUUCUAGAUUCCACAGAAUUUUGUAUCUUGGGUGUAUGAAAUGCAAAUAGUCUAUGAAUUCAGUUAAAAUAUCUUUGCAUCUUUUUUUAGUUGGACUCUCUCUCUCUCUCUCUCUCUCUCUCUCUCUCUCUCUCUCUCUCUCUUGUGUCUGUUCACGCCUGCGAGGUUUAGUGUCUCAAGUGAACAUUAUAUUAGCAAUUGUUAUACUAAAUAAUAUGACAAACUUCGGUUGAUCUUAAUAAGUGAAUCAUAUUCAAUAUUUUACACAUUAUUUUGUAUAUAAAUUUCAUGAUAUACUUUUAUGGGGUAAAAGAAAAGAUAACAGCGCACAAAAGUUUUAUGGGUGCAAAUUUGCAUCAAUUUCUCAAUUCGUAAUUGACUCGAAGGUGAACAUAUUUGUGUGAGUAAUACCGUCGACUUCUUUUGAUUACAAUGAUAUAGGAAAAAAAUUUCCCCAUACUCUUUGAUGCCCCUAUGGAUCCGUGCUCAAACGAGAAAGGGCAGCUCGAGAUUCUUCAUCCAAUGAAUGUUCUCCUUACUUGGAUAUCCCAAUAAUUUUCCUUUUUUUUUCCGAAAAUUUUUGUUUAAGUCUCCUCUUUGUAGAUGUAGUGUAUCUCUCUAAUUGUGCGUUUUUUCCUUGGUUGAAUAAGAGGAUUAAAUAUAUCUGGCCAGCUAACAUAAGUUGAAGCUCUUCUUUUUCCUCUUCCAUGAAUAUUCAUACGCAUCGUUCUUUUUGUGUAUUUUAAUCAAUAAUAUCUUUUUAUUAUUUAAUGAUUCAAUAUUUUGUAACAAAUGAUUUAAAUAAUUUUUUAAAAAUUUCAAUUGUUUUAUGAAUAAAAAGUCAUAGAUCUUCUUUGAAGAAAGGAGGCCCACUAACGCGGCUUCAUCAUUUAGAAUUAAUUAUUUUCUCGAGUAGGUACUUCGCAAUUUCCGAGAUGUUUUUGAGUUAACUGGGUCAUCAUUUUCUUUUUCACCACUACUCUUUUGCAAUUUUAAUAUAUUAUAUAGAUAAUUGACAUCUUAAUAAUAAAUAGAUAAUAAAAAAUUAAGAAUUUCUCUUUUUCAUUAUGACUAUGAAUUAUAUAUUUUCUUUACUAAUCCAAGUCCAUUCCUUUUUAUAUCCUCACUAAAAUUUUAUUACAUAAAUUAAGUUACCGUUAUAUCAUUUGCAUGAUUUGACUAAAUAGAAUCGAAUUAAAUCGAAAUGCUAAAUGGAAUAUAAGAUAACCAGAUUAGGAUCUUACUCUACAUUCUAGAAAACAGAAAUUAUAUUUGUUACAAAAGUAAAUUUCAACUACUAACUUAAAAUAUGUGAUGUGUUUCCAACUGAUACCACGUCCUUUUCUCGCACGCUAGCUCUGUACGUGAUGCCCGCGUCGCGACCGUGGGAAUGCUUCGCCGAGAGUCUUGACUAAAGCCUCCCUUCGGCCAGUGCUGAAGCAACCUGGAUGAUAUCUGCGAAGCCUGCUAUGAGAGUUCCCGUUGAGUUUUGACACGCUCCGGCCACUGAACCGGUCGACUCUCCAUCCACCCACGAGCCAUCAAUGUUGGUUUUGAGGGAUCCACUCACCGGCGGCUUCCAACGCUCGGGUAAGUUAAAUCUGGACUUGCUCUGUUUUACCUAAGCGCGGAUUCCAUAUAACGUAGUACUUGUGCUGGGCAGGGGCUUGUCUCUACAGUUGCCGUGGGGUCAAGUUUCCGGCCUUGGAAGAUUCGAGCGUUCCUAGCUUUCCGUAUCAUCCAGAUCACUUCGGCAACUAAGUUCUCCCGAUGGUGAGUUUUGAUUUGAGCUCAAUACUUCCAUUAGCCAUUUGUCCAUCCUGCUGAUUCCCAAAGGGCUACUUUGUAGGUUUAAGCUUUGGGUUGGACCAAACUGGUUUUGUCCAUCCAUGGAGAAGAAAUAUAUGCUCGACUGAUUCAGGGGCCUGUGAGCACAGGUUACACGUUAAAUCAGGUACGAACUUCCUCUUGAAUAGAUUUUCGCUGGUGGGAACCACCUUUGGCAGGCACUCCAAAGGAAAAUGCGGGCUUCGGGUGGGGAGCAUAGAUUCCAUAGGUUGGUCCAAAAGGAUCUGGGUCGCUGGAAUGAUGUUGAUUGUUGAGGGUUGGUUUGUGUUGGGAUGCUGGAUUGUAUUCCUCAAGCUGUUAUGCCCACUUUUUAACGGUAUAGGACCCCGAUUUAUUUCCGUCCCAGAUCAGUUUAUCGGCUUUCAGAGUCAAACUGAGGGGUUGAGAGGAUCUCUUGCACAAAGUGCACUUCAAACAGGUUUUCCAGCUGUUGUUCUUUCCACCUUCCUGAUUCUCUGUCAGUAAGUUCUGCCACCGACUGAGGAUCGUUUCUAUUAGCCGGUCCUCCAAUCACACCCCUGGAUAACCAGUAGUCUUCGUGAAUUCAGAUUGUUGCCCCAUCAUCCGCCGCCCAUUUCACUUUUGGUUUAAUCGCAUCUCUUCUCAUGAUAGGGCUUUGCCAGCCCCAUAAGGGUCGAGAUCCUUUUCUUGCACUCCAAAUAUAUACCCCUAGGGAAAUAGAUGCUCUUCAGGACUCUACUCCAUAAGGCUGAGUGUGACUGUGCUAGCCUCCAGGCCUGUUUCCCAGCAUAGCUAUAGCUUUAUUGAAGAUAACAAGGCCUUUAAAGCCCAGCCCUCCCCAAUCUUUCCUAUAUUUAAGCGCUUCCCAUCUCUUCCGGUGCAUACCUGUUCGAGCCUCAUUGUGCUUCCACAAAAACGAGGCUAUUCUAUGCUCUUAUGUCUUACCAACCAAAAUGGGAAUCUUGAAAAUCAACAUCGCAUAUGUAGGGAGAGCCUGCACCCCCGUGUUAAUGAGAGUUAGGGUGCGCAUGGAUUUGUUUCUGUUCUUUUUUUGUUCCUGGGAACAGAAACAAAAAAGUGUUUCUGUUCCGGGGAACAGUUUUUGAACAAAAGAACACGUUUGGUAACGUUUGGUCCGGGAAUAAAAAAUGAACAGAAACACGUUUGGUAAAUUUUAUUAUUUUUUUGUUUCUUUUAAUUUUUUAAACAUUUUUUUUUUAUUUUUUAUUUUUCCUUUCUUUUUAUUUUUUUCUUUUCUUCGGGCCGGUCACCGGCCUCCGGGCGACCGGCCGACGGGGCCGGUAACCUCGCCCAGCCACGGCGAGGUCGAGCCUGCCCGUGCAUGGGGGCCGCUCCCCUUCCUCUUCCAUGGCCGACAUCCAGCCGGCGACCGGCCGCCGAGGCUCGGCCUCGCCCGCGCCGGCGACGCCGAGCCUCGACGGCCGGUCGCCGGCCGGUCGCCGGCCAUGGCCGAGGCCGGCGACCGGCCAAAAUGAAAAAGAAGAAAAAAAAAGAAGAAAAGAAGAAGAGAAGAAGAAGAGAGAGAAGAGUGAUUUUUGUUCUUUUGUUCCUUCCGAGAAGUGUUUCUUUCAGGAGAAACAACUUUUUUUUGUUUCUUUUUUCUGUUUCUAUUUUGUUCCAGAAACAAAAAAACAAAAAAAGAACAGAAACGCAACCAAACGCGUUUCUGUUCCUUUUUUGUUCCCGGGAACACUUUCCGUACAGAAGUGUGCCGGAAACACUUUUUUGGAGUGUUUCCAUGCACGCCCUUAAUUUCCUACAUUCACACAUGCAGGAAUGUCGUGUUGAAAGUGGCCUCAAGUCGAUCCUUUCGGUCAACCAGAAGGAGGAAGCGGUAAGGACUUUAAUUCGGAGAGUGGACCGCGUCCAAAACUUUCAUAAAAAUUCCUGUUUAAAUUCACUACGAAAAAAUUCAGUAUCAGAUCGUGUAACAAUUAAAAGGGGUCACACAUUUAAAUGCGAAAGAAUGCCAUAGAGAUUGAGAAUGCUGGAUCACAAAUGUAUUUUUAGUCGGGGUCAAAUUAUCGAUGGAUUUCAUUGCUAAUUUUCAUGAAAAUGCGAAUGAGACAUUUGGACGAAAAAUUUAGGUGUUGACUUUAAUUUCUCUUAAAAGCUAGUAAGUUACAAUUUCUUUUUAAAAUUAUCCCUGGUUGAAUUUUUUUUUUCAUUCUAGUCUAAAGAUCGAGGCUGCAUACGAAAUUGGUCUCAUGAAUUUAUUAGUGCUGGUAGAAUUCUAAUUUCGAGUCAAGAUUCACGCAAAGUAAAUAGGCAGCAGUACAGAGGUUUUCCGAAUUAAUACAAUGCGACUCAUUUCUAGUGGAAAUAAGGAGCAAUGCUACAUAAGAAAAUCGGACAUUUAUAUAUCUUAAGAUGGAUGGAGUAUGAAGAGGAAAAUAGUGCAGCAGCCUUCUUCGGUAAUUUUUUUUCUCAUUUUUCAUUUUCUUUGCAAAGUCCAAAGAGUUGGUAAUUAAGUAAAUCAUUUUCUAAAAUUCAAUAAUUGUUUUCCACCUCGUACGAUACACUGAUUUUUAAAAAUCUUUGUAUAAUUGGUAACUAUUUUGGGCGAAAAAAAAAAAAAGAUAAGAUAAGUGAGCUCAAAAGUUUCUUGUGUGCAAAUUCAUAUGAGUUUCCUUACCGUUGAAAUUGAAAUUGGCUGAAAGGCUAACGUUUUCGUGAGAAAUACGGUCUAACUCCUUUUGAUGACAAUGACAUGGGAAGCAAUUGCCCUCCCCUCCUGAUGCACCUCUGGAUCCCAUGCUUAAUAUGCAAGGGCCGCAUGGGAUUCUCCUUCCAGAGUACAUUCUCCUACUUAAAUAAUCCAAUUAUUUUCCUCUUUUUUCCUAUAAGUUUUGUUUAACUUCCAGUUAUUAAUUUCCUAUAUGUAGAUCUUAGUACAUCUCUCUACUUGUGCUUUUGUUCCUGGUGGAAUAAGGGGAUUAAAUCUCUCUACUUCUGCUUCUUCUUUUUAUCUCCCUAUCCAUAAAUACAUGUACACAUUGUUUGUCGUAUCGUUUAUUUUUUUCCGUAACUUCAUUUCAUUAUUUACAAUUCAAAUAUUUUGUAAAAAUUGAUUUAGUUUAAUCUUUUGAAUAUCAAAUUUCUGCACGUACAUAAUGCUUAUGCGGAUGAUAAAUGAAAAGUCAUAGAUCUUUAUUGGAGGAGAAAAAAAAACGCCACCUACUGCACCACCUCAGCCUCUAGAAUUAAUUAUUUUCUUAAGUUGGUCCUCCGCAAUUUCCAAGCCUCUUUUGGGUUGACCGGGUCUUUCUUCUCUCCAAAAAAUCAAACUCUCAUAUCAUUUCGUGGACUCCGUGCCUUUUUCUAGAUCUCUUUCGAAAAUUUCAUGAAGUCAUCUAUUUCUUAGAUUCUUGAAUAUCAAUCUGCAUAUUGGCUUUCUCAUUGUUGAAGAGGUUUAUUGCUCGUGGAUGUUAUUAUUUGCUAGUAAUGCUAUACGCCGUGAGAAGAUGUACAAAAAUUCUCAUGCUAUAUGAUGUGCUGUGCUCUCUUUGGUUGUAGGUUGAUAAACAAGACCGGCAGACAGGUGGAAUUCUUGGCUGAACAUAGAGCUUUACUCUUCGAGUCGACAAGAUGCCGCGAGAUGAAGAUAUAGCCUGGAAGUACGUGGAGAAACUCGAGGGCAAGAAAUGGCGUUGUUAUUACUGCGGGAAAGUAUACAAUGGACAGGUUACAAGAGUGAAAAGUCAUUUGGGUGAAGUCAAAGGAAAAGGGAUUGGCAUCUGCACCAGCGUCCCUGGUAAUAUAAGAGAUCUAAUGCUGUCCUUACUCAAGAAGGAGACUGAAGAAGGGAGCAGACAAGCCAACCAUCAAUCCUCCACGGAACGACUGUUACAUGACAUGCCAAUGCCAAUGCAAGCUCAAAAUGUUCAUCAAGACGUUUCUUUGUCACAAACAAGCCUCGAAUUGGUGGGACCAAGGUUGCCGAUGCCAGGAGGGGUGGCCGACAUGCCAAACUUCACCCACCAGUUAAGCUCUAACCAACAAUCGCAAGCAGAGUAUCCGUUUCCAUGGAGUUCAACCAUGCCGUCAUUGGUGCAAAAUAAGCAGGUAGCUUCCGGUGCCAGCCAAAUUAUAUUCCAAAGUGACAGUGCGUUGAAUCCUAAUGACACGGAGAAAACGAAUCAACCUGGGUGCAUGCCAGAGCGGUCAUCUUGCUAUUGGCAGACCGGAAUUGGUACUGAUUCAGCAUGCCCUCAGGAUCAAGUAUUUUUGCAUUCUGGUAAUAUGCCUCUGGAUAAUCUAGGUACCACCCAGCAACCCGAUUUACCGAACCAUAGGUUGGAUAUGGCCCAUGGAAACAAAAUUGCUUCAUCUCUCUCAAUUACUGAGCUACAAGAGUUUCUCGACCAACCAACUCCUUGUGAAACAGGGCAUGAAGAACAAAAUUCUAGAGGGCUUUCGUCAUUCCUAAAUGAUCAGGUUCUCCGCAACACUUCGUCAAAUGGGCUGCAGGGGUUCAUUGGAGGUGAUUCACCGCUGUAUUCACAANNNNNNNNNNNNNNNNNNNNNNNNNNNNNNNNNNNNNNNNNNNNNNNNNNNNNNNNNNNNNNNNNNNNNNNNNNNNNNNNNNNNNNNNNNNNNNNNNNNNUUGCCUAUUGGAAGAUCAUCAUAGCAAGAUGAAGAUGCACGAUUUGAUUAGAGACAUGGCAUUGCACAUCAUGGGUGCGACUUCCAUUGUAAAAGCAAGAAAGAGGUUGGGAAGUAUUCCAUAUGAGGAAUAUUGGACGGAUGCUUUGGAGAAAGUUUCUCUGAUGGGAAGCAUAAUAAGUGAAAUUCCAUUGAACAUGUCACCAAAUUGUCCUAAACUAUCAACUUUACUAUUGGAUGGAAGCUUGAUGGUUAAUGUGGUCAUCCCUGGUUCUUUCUUCAAACAGUUAUGUGGGCUAAAGGUUCUAAACCUGAGUGACUGUGUACUAACAGAACUUCCAAAUUCCAUCUCAGAUUUGGUAAACUUGAGGGCACUAUUGUUUAGAGGGUGUCGGGGAUUGAGCCAUAUUCCUUAUUUAGGGAAGCUCACAUCUUUAAGAAAGUUGGACGUUAGUGGCUGUUUUGAGCUUGAAGAAGUGCCCGAGGGUCUGGAAAUGUUGGUGAACUUGAGAUACCUUGACCUACGUUUUUCAUUGACCAUUGAAUUACCUAAAAGAGUACUGGAGGGUUUGCUAAACUUGCAGCAUCUUAUAGUUUAUUUUCUAGAUGGACAAGACAUGACAAAAUUGAGGGCACUGGAGACACUCAAAUGAUCUUUUGAAGAUGCAAAUGAUUUCAAUAAGUGUGUGAGGGUUAUUGAACAGAGUAACCCUCGCUGCUGUUAUUAUCUCGACAGGAUGAAAUAUAUUAUGAUGAGAAAGACCGUGAUAUUACUCAAAUUGAGAAAAUUGAGAAUCCGGAGAGNNNNNNNNNNNNNNNNNNNNNNNNNNNNNNNNNNNNNNNNNNNNNNNNNNNNNNNNNNNNNNNNNNNNNNNNNNNNNNNNNNNNNNNNNNNNNNNNNNNNGAAUGCACCGGCGUUUUUAUUUUGAUUCCCCAAGACGUGCAGAAAAUGGAAAUGACUUGGUGCGACGGUAUAACAAAUUUGUCUAGCAUAGGUCCGCUUGAAUACCUUGAGGAGCUAGAUAUAUGCAACUCAGAAAACUUAGGGGUGCUCUGUGGAGGAAAAGACAAAGAAGUAAUCGACAUCUUUGCCCCAGCCCUUGCGCCUCUCCUCUUCUCGAGCCUUGGGUAUUUGAAAAUAUGGGAGUGUCCGAAACUGAAGUAUCUCUUUGGGCAUGGGUCUAAAUUCGACCUUCCACAUCUACGAGUGAUUGAAAUAGAGGAAUGUGAGGAGACGGUGGGGAUAAUAGCAGCAGUUACAUCCCCACCACCACAUCCGCUCCCAUUUUUCCCUAGUCUGGAACAGAUAAUAGUUAGGGUGUGUGAUAAAAUGAAGAGAGCGGUGGAAUCUGAGUGGAUGCCCCACUUCCCUAAUCUGAGAUGUAUUCGUGUAUCGGGUUGUGAUGAGAUGGAGGAGAUAAUCGGAGGUCCUCCCCCAUACUCGCCGGAUGAACAGAUUUCUCUCGAAUCUCUUCAAGUACGUUACUGCAAUAACAUGAGAAAGCUGCUUACGUAUGAGUGGCUGCUCCAUCUUCUAAAUCUUCAAAGUAUCGAGGUCGAUGAGUGCAAAGGAAUGGUGGAGUUGAUAAGCGGAGCGGGACAAGGCCAAGAAGGAAGCAUAACGACUUCUGUAAACAACACUCCUUCAUCCUUCCAGCCUUCUUCAAUUUCUCUCCCAAAGCUAGAGUGUUUGAAGCUACGCGAUCUACACCAGCUGAAGAGCAUAUACGAAGCCCCAAUAAGCUGCGAUUUCAUGAAAAGAUUGGACGUGUGCAGAUGCCCAGAACUGAAGAGGAUUCCUUUGCAACUGCGAUUGUGUGAAAUUGAGGAGCUUCCGCAUAUCUGGAUGCAUGAAGAGGAAAAUUGGAAGACGUUGGUGUGGGAUCAUCCCGAUGCUCAGGCUAUUCUUCGACCUUAUCUCCGAAAAGGGCCAGACUGGCUUCCAAAUGCUAUAGGUUAAUGAGUUUAAUUGAUAUACGAUUGCUUCACUUCUUAAAAGUCCUUUCAAAGAUAUAGCUUUUCUGUCUAUAUAGUCAUGCAGCUCUAACGGCGGCCUUUUGCAGAACUGUUCGCCGGGGGAAAGGAUCAUCCUUGGCUCUAAUCUUGAAGAAAGCCCUGCUACUCAAGCAUGCUUUCCUGCAAACUCGACUCAAGUUGCCAUAUGAAUUGACUUUCUUUAAUGUGGCCAUGCUUUGUGUAUUUGAACGCAAUCGCAUUUUUUUUGGCUACUGGAAAUGAGUCAAUCUGGUCGAUAUUUCGGGUUAGUCAAAAAAAUGAAAGGACAAUUUAUUAUUAUGGAUUGAUCUUCCAGGAAUAUUAGCCUUCAGAGAAAAGAGAGAAUUUUAGGCAGCAGUACCUUUAAUCUGUUUGUGUUUAGAAAUGAUUUCAAAUAUAAUAUUGCUCUAACUUGUCGAUCGAAAAUGUUGNNNNNNNNNNNNNNNNNNNNNNNNNNNNNNNNNNNNNNNNNNNNNNNNNNNNNNNNNNNNNNNNNNNNNNNNNNNNNNNNNNNNNNNNNNNNNNNNNNNNAGUAUAGAAUACUUGAUUUGCUUUAGUUAGUUGUAUCAUAUCUGGAAACACAGGCGGCCCAGGAAAGUUUUUCUUUCCUCCCCUUUGCUGUAAAAGGUCACCUUAGCCCCCACUUUAGGGUUAAAAUGUAAAAAGACCAAGAAGAAAGAAUUGCACAAUUAUCACCCCUCUUUGAAUGCCUCGAAGUCAUGAAUAGAUGGAUAACCCUACAUCUUCAGCUCAAGUUGCUGAAACCACUAGCAAGUCAAUGGGGAAAAGGCCAGCUUAUUGGAUGUGGCACUUUCGGAAGUGUUUACAUCGCAAGCAACUGGUAAGUUAGCUCUGGGAAACUUUGACAUGCUCAAUUUUUUAAACAUCCAGUCGGUUGAACUUUGACAUGUUCCGUGACAGAGAAACCAGAGUUCUGGGUGAAUGGAAGGAGUUUGAGCUAUUGCCUAAUGAUCCAAAUUUGGCUGAGUGCAUGAGGCAGUUUAAGCAGGUAAUGUUUUUGUUAUGCUUUGGCAUCUAAUCCAUCCUCUCGUCUGAUCUAAAUAUGCUGUGAGGAAACUUUCUUUCAUCAUUUCCAGUUAAUUGAUUGCUUUGCUACUAUAGGAAAUUCAGGUACUUAGCCAGCUUAGACAUCCGAACAUUCUGCAGUAUUAUGGCAGUGAAAUUGUGAGUCAACUUUCCACGACACAUGUCCCAGCUCAACAGGCAUUCAUAAUUUGACUCACCAAAAUUUCAACAUGUCCAUACAUACUCAGGUUGAGGAUCAGCUCAACGUAUAUCUAGAAUAUGCACAUCACGGUUCGAUAGACAAGUAUAUAAAGGAACGUCUUGGGACCCUGACAGAAUCGGUUGUCCGCACUUUUACCUAUGAUAUUGUGACUGGAUUGGCUUCACUGCAUGUUAACAACUCCAUACAUGGAUAAUUUGAAACCAUUGAUCAAGCAUCGUGAAAUGACUUGCAUAUUGGAUUAGGACGAUUGCGCUAUUUGGUUAGCGCAGGGAUUUAAAGGGAGCUAAUUUAUUUGUGGAUGCAUCCGGGAUAGUCAGACUUGCUGACUUUGGGAUUGCUAAACAUGUGAGUUUCGACCUCUUCACUGCAAGACUACUGACUGCAUGUGGAAAUUCCUAGCAGAUCUGUGGUGCAUUUGAAUGUGAAGUCAGGGACCCAGGGUGACUGUGUACUUCUCACCACUGGUUUGUGGCAUUUCAUCUGUGCAAAAAUCUAUUAUAGAUGGAUGUUAUUGAGUAAUUUUCUUCACUUUUUUUUCCCAUUGUCUUGAGUAAAGUUACUAUGUUGCAUAAACGGGAAAAGAUUUCUCGCUGCAAACAGAUGCCAAAACCUAAUGAGAAUUCUUUCCUCUUCUAGUGGUUUCCAAAAAGUUCCUAAGACCGAUAGUGAAUAGAACCCAAUACCUUUGGCAAAAGGUUGUGUUGUUGUUUUUGCUGCUCCUCUGCAUUCCAAAAGAAGGAUUGAAUUUAGUCAGAGUAAAGAAGGGCCUCCUUCCUAACAUGGGGCAAAUAAAAGUGUAUUGGUCCAUAGAAUGGAAUUUGGGACAGUAGCCAUAGUAUCGUUGCUCUCUUUUUGAAUUCUCAAGCAUUUGCUGAAAUCAUGUUGUUGAUUGCUUCAUGGUCCUUCUUCUCAGUAAUGAGCUAACAUAAGUUGAAAGUGGUUGAUUCAGUUGUCAAUCUAAUGUAUCUAUGUCUACCAAAGAUGUUGCUAUUUUANNNNNNNNNNNNNNNNNNNNNNNNNNNNNNNNNNNNNNNNNNNNNNNNNNNNNNNNNNNNNNNNNNNNNNNNNNNNNNNNNNNNNNNNNNNNNNNNNNNNUUACUAAUGCCAUACCAUUUGUUAGCUAACCAGACAAGUAGCUUACUACUCUUUGAAGGGAAGUCUAAACUGGUGGCUCACGAGAUACUCUGCUUUUGUGAACGUUAAUGCUACAUUCCUUUUUUGUUGUGGCGGAAUGAUGGAAUAAUAUAUCGUGCAGCUCAUACAAUCAUUGAUGGUGAAUAAUUACAGCAUGGAUCUCGAUCGUGCUGCCGACAUGUGGAGUUUGGGACAUACUAUUAUUGAAAUGAUAACUGUGAAGCUUCCUAGGAGUGAGUAUGAGCGGGUACAUUUGCUGCAUUGCUUUUUCAUUUUCUCUGUCCUUCCAAGGAAUAUGCUUCCGACUAAAUCCAUCACCAUUUUCUGUAGGAAGUUUGGGACUAUACAUAUUACCAUUUGGUAUGUGAUCUGUGUCAUGAGUUUCUGUUUAAGGUUGAAUCAUUAAUGCAGGCUCAAGUCAUAUUUAAGGUGAUGUGAAGUUCUCCAGCAAUACCUGAGACAUUAUCUCCCGAGGGAAAGGAUUUCCUGCAGUGCUGCUUUCGAACACAGCCUGCCAAGAAGCCUUCAGCAACUAUGCCACUUGAGCAUGCUUUCCUGCGAAUUUGAAGUUGCUUAUGAUUGACUUAUUUCAAGUGCCAUACGUUGUUGCAAAUGGAUGUGGUACUGUAAAGUUCCAUAUUUACUAAACUAGAAUAAUCACAGGGUCCAUAGAUGUGAUGAAGUACUUGUAUAUCGACGAAAUAAGAUGCAUGUUCCUCUCGCAUGGUUUGACCAGUGUCAUACUACGAUCUAGGCAAAUUUGACAGUGUUGCUUAAUCUAAACAUUUUACUACAGAGUGCAUUCUUAUCAUAAACAUUUUGUAUGAAGUACAUUUAUUCAUCAAAAUUGAAUGGUAUUGAUAUGGCUCCAAAUAAGAAACGGAUCAGCAAAACAAAAGUAAUAAAACCCAAGGAAAAAGGAAAAGAAAAAGAAAAUCGAAGUGAUAGUGCAUCAGAAUUCCUGAAAUAAUUUGGAAAGGAAAUACUCUGUCGAUUUGGUGGGAGGAACAUUGGCAGGUUUGGCAAACCUGCAACGUCUUAGGAUUUUGGAAGUGAAGGGAGAAAUAUCAAAGUUACGGGCAUUGGAGGCUCUUAAUUCUUCCGGACAGACCACAAUGGCUUUUCUCGAUUCACCGGAAAUUGGUGAUGGUGAUGAGGGCCACUCUGAUUGGAGAAAUUUCAUGUAUUUGUUGAGAUCAACGAUGAUGAUGAUCCAAGAUUUGCAAUUUUCGAGAGGAGAAUCAACGUUGAUUGUUGCGAUAAUGCACGUCAGGGCAGCAGGGAAAAGUUUUUUCCCUGGUGGUUUUGCCCCCAAGUGAUGCUGCAAGUUUGCUGGAUUUCCCCCUAACGGUUUUUUGUCAUUUCCCGGAACGUUUCUGGAAUAAUUUUGCAUGUUGUGUCUAUAAGAUGCAAAUAGCUAGUGAAAUUUGUUAAAAAUAUCUCAUGUGGUUCGUUUACAAGAUUUUAAUAGGCCUUAUAUUUAUAUAAUUUACCUUCACUUACUUGUUCAAAUAUUUAGGUUGGAUUUUCUCCUAUGUGCAAAUAGCAAUUUCUACGUGAAAUGCAAACUAAACAUGCUUCCUUUUUUUCAUUAUUUUUUCUGCAAUUAAAGUGAUUCCUCUACCCUAAUGCAUACCAGAAAUAUAUUCAAAAGUGUGACAGGAAAAAGAACUCCUUGAAAUUUUGCAAAGUAGGAGGCGCUUUUUAGACCAAGCGAUGUCUCUCGGCUGCAUUGAAUUGUGUCUUCGUUUUCGUUUUCUUUUGUUCUUUUCCUCAAUCUUCAACCAACAUUCUAACCAUAAGGCGCCUUCUCUUUUGUCCCUGUUCUCUCCCCCUUUCUUUCGUACAACUCGCUCUUCUUUUCCUGCUGUUUUUUUUUUUUUUUUGUAAUGAAGACUACUAAUUGGUGUUUGGUCUUUCAAAGUGUAGCAUUAUUGAGCAUCAUCAUCAACUCAUCAAGUUCGCUAAACUCAGUCAUCAAUUAACUAACAAUUCUUGUCUAACAGGAACUGCACCAACGAAGCAAGAAAAAGAUAAACAAAAACUCAGGCAAGAACUCAUUCGUUUUCAAGACUCGGUCAUAAAAAUCGAGGAAAAGAAACUAUGAAUAUGUGCCGGAUUUUUCUCUGCUGCCGUGUCCUUUUUCACCUACUUUUGACCCAGAAUUCGACCAUUUACAGCUCUCGGUUCCUUUUGUGUGUUUUCACACUGCUAAUUUCCUUCAUUCACACACGAAGGAAAGUCGUGUUGAAAGUGGCCUCCUUUCGGCCAACCAGGAGGAGGGAACGGAAAGGACUUCACUUCGAAGAGCGGGCACGUCCAAAAUUCUCAUAAGAAUUCCCAUUUAAAUUCGCCUGGAAAUUCAGAGUCGGGUUGUGUAACAGAUUGGUUCACAAUAAUUGCACUCUUAUUAGAAAGGGCAGUACAAUCACAAGAAUGUGAGAUUACAAAUGGAGUUUAUUAUGGGUCAAAUUAUCAGUGUUUUUCUUCGUUAGUUUUUAUGAAGAUGCGAUUGAAACCUUUGAGCUCGUAACAGUAAUUUAACUUAAAAAUUAUUGAGUUAUUAUAGUCUUUAAAUCAUUCUUGGGACAUUUUUUUUUCUUUUUGAUCUAAAGAUCCAAACUACAUAUGAAACGAGUCCCGUGAUUGGGAAAACACGAAUUUAGCAUAUUAUGCUUGCUCCUAAAUAUUUUUAUGUGGAUGCCACAUAACAAGUACCUAUAUAAGUUCAUGCAAAUAGGAUCUAGCGAAUUAACAAUCCAAAAUUUGAGAGAAAAUAUGAAGUAAUUUUGUGCAUUUUUGAAACUCUGUUAGUGUACAUUCUUGUAGUUUUUCCUUGUCCAAAUAUACUGAUUUUCAACUUUCACUAAGAUGUUGCAAAUUCAAUUAGAAGCAUAUGAUUAAUAGUCCUAAUUAGCCAAGUCACAAAACCAAUCAUAAGAGAUUCAUUGCGGUUGUCACCAAGUCUUGAAUUGGUGGGAUGGUUAUUCCCAUGGCAAGAGCGGCUAACAUCACAAACUUCAUCCUCUAGGGAUUAAGUUAAAAUAUACCUUUGGCACUUAAAAUGUUCUAUACUCCAUAAUAAAUAUGUUACUUAUUUUAUCAAUUAAUCUACCCUCAAUAAUAUGCUAAUAUUGGUUUAGAUAAUUUGUCGAUUUGGCUAUAACUUGGAAUAAGAGACAAUAACAAUAUAAAUCUAAUAUUGAAAAAAAAUUGUUUGAUUUUUUUUUUCACUUAUUAGUUAUUCUUUUAGCAAUUACCGAAUAACAUCAUUCAAACUGCAUAAUGCCAAAUCUAUUUUUUUUCCAAUUACAUUAUGCCAUAAAUGUGCGAAUCAACAUACAUGAUUUCACCUCAAACAAAUGGACUUUUUUUAUGAAUAAAUUUAAAAAAAAACGAUAGAAAAAUAGCUCAUAUUAGGGCCAUUUACCAGGUAAUGCAAAUUAAAACCAAGUCUUAUUUAUGUGUAUUAAAAAUUUCCAAUACCAUAUCAUAUCAUUUACACAAAAAAUGCAUAGAAUAUAAUUCGGAGAAGAAGGAAGAUAAGAGAAACUUAAACAAAAGAGCAUUUCUAUCUGUCCUAAGAUAGAAAGUAAACAUCAAAUUUAGAUAAUCUUACUUUAAAUACUUAUGUAGCAAGGACAUUCAUAAAAAUUAGAACAUAAUGUAAGCCUAAACAAUAAUAUAACGAUUGAUUUAUAUAAAGUGUCAAUAUAACAUUAUGCAAAAAAUUUAUACAUGUAAUAUGGGUUCAUAUCAAUAAAUGGAAUUGGAAGUAAAUUUCUGAAUCUAUGCAACCCAUGGGUCUUUGUUUACUACACAUUCUACAAAAAUAUGCAGUCAUAAGUUACAAUUUGAUGGAAUCACCUACCAAUUCUACUCACAUCAUAGGAAAUGUUUUCUAGCAGCUGGAUGGCUUGGAAUAUUUUGGGGCCAGAGAUGGACACAUUUCAUUCAUAUGAGGGUACAGGUCCACUGUAUUGUAUCCUGGCAGCUCCAUUCGAUACCAACCUCGUAUUUGAUAGAACAGAAGCUCGACGUCGUCCCCAUCAUCGCACCACUUAGGCAAGCCGCUUGAAUGAUCCUCGAAGCACCUUAGUGAGUAAGCAUCUUUUAUCUGCAUAAAAGACAAUGCUAUUCACAAAAUGCCAGAUGGGAUGCCUCAUGACAGAAAGUCACGCUUUUAAAGGCAAACUAGAUUAUAGUUUUCUCAAUCUUUGAAGAAAGUGACAUCCAUCUCUAGAUAGUAAAUUCAAGCAAUUAGGGUAAAAAAGAUAACCCAACUAGGGUCAAUCAGAUCGCACUUACAGUGAACUCUGUAACAUGAAUGGAGCUAGAAAUUGGAUCAAAGAGUCCUGCUGCUUUGUACAUUUCAAGAACAAAAGCUACACAAGAGGCGGACUUCCCGUCACUGUAUACCCAAUGGUCUUGCUCUGGAGUGUAAGCAGUUCAGCAAAAGAUGACCCCCUCAUUUCAGUUUCGUGUAUUAGAUUAGGAAGAUCCAAGCCCUGUAUGCAACACAAUCGUAAGGUAGCCAUAAAGUAAAGUAAGUGUAAUUACAACCAUAUAACAUUUGUUAACAGAAUGUCAUUCAAGAGACAUUAGAUUUCAGUUGCACCUCAGUGUGCAAAACAAGAUGCAUAACGUCACACAGACAAUUGCAAAUUGAAUGGGACGGUACCUUUGUUCCUAGUCACUUGUUGAGUGCUUCAUUCCAUAUGUUCGCAGCAUAGGCUGGUUGCACUUGGUUCCAUAGUCAUAACAGAAGCAACCUACAAUAAUACAAUGCUUUCUAUAAAAUGAGUGAACGGCACUCCCAUCACGCGAAUAAAGCACCCCACAUGGUGAGCAUAUUACAUGCAUCGUCAGUCAGGCUGAUAGCAACUCUUAAGAAAAAAUGAACAAAGUCUACUAUUUUGCUGUCUUAGUAUCAUAUAGGAGGCCAUAAAAAAUGAAUAAUUGUCAAACUAAGCCAGGUUCUUUUCCAUAACGUUAGCACUCAAUAGAGUCACAUGCGAACCUGCUAUUUGGCAAAAUCACUGUUCAUUUUUUAGCCUUUUGUUUUGUUCAGUUGAAUUCAUUCGAAAUCAUGGCAUGAUUGUCUAAUUUCAACUAGAACGUGUUGUUAGGAUCUAACACACGGCUUAAUAAUAUUUCAAGGUCUAUCAAAGUAAGAGUAAAUUGCUGUUUAGCAGUCAUGUUGAGAAGCAGAAACUAUUUCGUAUCCAGCAUCUAAGAAUCUCAAGGCAUCUACAGAUAUACCUUGGAAGUAACACAAGGCCUUAGUGCUAGAAAAUCGUCUAAGGCAACUGAAUGCACCCACAAAAUAUAUAUAAACAUAUAUGCACGUGUACAAUCUCUGUACCACAUGAGCAUCUAAUGGCGCCGGAUAAUUUGCGCCGAUGGUGUCUAUCCAGCUAAAAAGCAUGUUGUGAUAACCAUAUGGUUUCCCAUUCAUAAUCUGUGCAAACUCCCAUGCAGCAGCUCAUUAAAUUUGGCUCACAUAUCAGGAUGCAGUGGAAGCAACGCAAUGUGGGGAUUUGAGUAAUCUUUGUUAAGCUUGAACUCCCACCAUUUUCCCAUGGUAACACAGCAAUGACAUCUUCUCCCUGCAAUGAUAAGAACAAAACAAAACUUGCAUAAUCUCUAUUACUAUGUUAGACUUCUGUAGCACCUGACCCCUUUACCAACACAAAGGAACAAAGCAUGUAGCAAAAACCCAAAUGUGACCAUAAAUUAAUCAAGGUCUGCCUCAAGUAAAGGACGUCAUUUCAUCAAAUUCUAACCAUAAUCAUCAUCAGUAAGUUAUCGUCUCGUGUGUAAGGAUGGUCCUGAAGUUCAGUAGAAAAAGUUCAGACACUGCAUUCCCUAUGUUACAAAUAUGAUGAUGCUCCAAUAGAGCUUCUAGUAGAAGCCUAAAUAGGAUCAGCUGCAGUUCAACAUGAACCUGAAGCAGCAUGUCAUCGUUUACUUACUCAUCCUCUCUUACAAUCAAAAGUUUCUAUGGGAGCACAAAAAGGAAAGACCUAUCUUAUUAGAGAACAUAAGAUGAGCAAGGAGAUUUAAGGACAUAGGGGCGUGACUAAAGCACGCUUAAUAUGCAAAAUGGAACAAUCUCAAUGGGAACCAUAUUUGUGAGAGAAGAAGUCCAUGAUUCGACAAAAGUCACAUUUAUAAAGUAAUCACACAGAAAUACAAUGCCCCAAAAACCUAAGGGUUCAUGAAAUGUUAGAGAAACACAGCAGAAACCCUACUUGUCCUUUUCAAUAUGUAUGAGACCACACUUUGAUAAUCAGAGGACAUUAAAGCAGUAUUGUAUGAGAGUCUUUAAUGAUGAAUGACAGAUAAGCAUAGUGAAUUUUUUUUUCUUUUUUUUGGUCGGUAAGCACAGGGAAUUAAAGAGAUGGAGAAAUAAUGACUCAAACAAUUCUGGGGGUGUUUGAAACAUUUGAACGUUUGUCUGUUGGAUAUCCCCAUAUAGGAACAAGGUGGACAGUUAUUGUGGAAGACUGGCAUACUUACAGCCAUGUUAAUAUUGUGUCUAUGCAAUUGGUUUAAAACUUUACUUCACAAUUACAAUUGCAGAGACAGCAGCAGGCAAAAAGAUUGGAUGAAAUGUCGAACAUCAAAAGUAAUCCGUCAAUGUAUGGAAAAAAAAGAACAAGGAAUAGAAAAAAAUGCUUAAAAACAAUCGCAAGGUAAUCCUUUUCCUCAAAAGGCUUUUUCUCCACUAGUAUAUAUAAAAAUUAGGCCUUCAAACUGAAAAAGAAAUACACUUACAUGCAUAACCACCCUAUAUCUGUUUCCGAAUUACCUGUUCAUUAUCAUGUCCGGAUUCACCAACCCAAAGCUUUCCUUCAGCAUCCCUUAAGCACACAGCUGUGUGACCAGCGUAUGCGCCACUGACCCAUUUCUCUAGAGUCCCAAAACCACCCCCACUUUCCACGAAUUUUUGAAAUUGCAAUGAAGUCUCCAGAGUGGAUAUCAUCAAUGCUGAUGUUUGUAACCAAGGGCUGGGGACGUUGCUCAAAUGAAGCUCCCAUAUGCUUCUUGAGAAAACCAAUGUUAGAUUUCUCCCCUCACCCGGUAUUUGAAAACAAGGAAACACAUCCCACAGUGCUUGAAGGGUCCCUAGCAUCCCAGCUUGCAUCAGAAAGAUUGACACUCCUCUACUUUUCACCUGCAAUCAAAAUAAUGGAAAAUCAAAGUUUGACAACUCGCCAAUAUGCACAAGCAAGAGCAGAAGAGAAAAAAGAUAAUUGCAGCUUACAUAUUCAAACUCAGCUUUUCCUUCCCACUCUUUGAACUCAAAUGUGUGCUCACGAGAUAAAAGAUACUAGUCCCAUGUCACGCAGUAUGGGGUUGCAAAGACAUAAAUAUCCAUACAUGUCCAGCUAUGGGCUUUGCUGACCUGGAUGAGCAAUCCAAACUCAUGGUUACAAGCCGGAUACCUACAACUAGCUGUUAGUUUCCAUAUUCAGCAGAACUAGAUGCAAAAACAAGGACUAUGAAACAUCAACACGAGGCAGUACCCACCCAAACUGGAAUAGCCUCCAUAAGAUAAUUUGAUUUUACAUCAAACGAAACAAUUGUACUUGUAUGAGCAACCAAAUCACUAAAUCCUUCUUCAACCACUUAAAACCUAGACACAAAAGACUCAAGUGACCAACCAUGGUACCAAUUCGUGGAGCUUAAUCAAAGCACAAACAAGCAGAUGAAAGGAGAAGGAAAGAAAAAAACUUAGCUAGUGACGAAAUCCACUAGAAACAUAUUGAGGUAAGAACUGAAAAAUUCCAUCACUCAGAUUCCAACAUAAAUAACCAGAAUGAGAAAAGAGGAACAGUUGGGAUCAAGUGCAUGGCCCAAACAUCGAGGAUAUUCUCUAACGUCCUUUAAAUAAGUGAUUUUCUUUCACAACUCUAUAGAUAAGUAUGACCGCACACUUCAGUUGGUAAGAAAAAUACCGUAAGUAGAUAGAAACUCUAUCCAGUUCAGAGCUUUGAAUCCAUUAGAAAAAAUCGACCUCAAAUUAACUAAAAUAGAAAGCUCAAACUAAGUUAAUCGGAAAUUGGGAAAAGCUGCCAAACGAUGGCCAUUAGACCCCAUCAAACAAACUCCUACAGCCUCACAUCUCCUAGAAUUAUCACACAAUCGAACUGCAGUGAAUUGAAUUAAGCACUAACAUUCGACCAGAGAACCUUAAAAGCUCGUGAACAGUGACUGUCUCUCCACAUUACCAAGCCGCCACAAGCUCAAACAUCCCAAAAUCUUCCAGAAUCGCACUCAAACACAAGUAUUUCCAUUCCAUUCCGUUCCCCACUAUUCACCAAACAAAAAAGAAGACUUGGAAUCAUCACUCCAGUCCAUUCCUUUCCCCAUCAUUUCCCGAUUUCAUUCCAUUCCACCGUACCAAACCCGACGUAAUAGUCAACCAGAAAACCUCAUCUUCCAAAAUGGCACUCAAAACCAAAAGGAGACCAAGCAAAAGCGACGCGAUAAAACUAAAGAACGGACCUUGAUGUGAGGCGUGCCUCCGCCGAACUUGCUCCCGGUGUUGUUGUGGAACUCCCACCAAGCGGUCGGAGGAAAAAACGGCGCCGAGGAAGGCGGGCAACAGGUGCAGGGGACGGCGAAGGGCGUUGAGGAUGGGCCAGGACAGCUGCUUCGGCAAUAGAGGGAGUAUGUUCUCCAUGGUGGAACGGUGGUUUCGCGGCUCGAGAGCGCGGGUUGAGCAGAGAGGAGAACGUGAAGAGGAAGAGAAGUAGCAGAAAUUGGCUGACGAGAAGCCAUGGAAACUGGGGGGGGAGAGAGAGAGUCAUCUCUCCAGCGACGGUCCACUUCUUUAAGUGUCUCACACUGUAAAAGGUGUAGGGGCAAGAGGAGCCACUCGUUUUGAUUAUAUCCUUGGACGCUUGGUAAUUUAGGGUGCUUAACCAGUUAAAUGAAACAUUAAAGCAUCAUUGGGGCUGAAAAUAUUAUGUAUUCUUAUAUUAUGUAUUAAUGUUGGCAAAAAUCUUAAAUUAUAUCCAUCCUGACAUUAAUGUCUCGAAUUAGUAUUGAUUUCGUGGCAAACAAAAGUUUAAGAUUUUUAGAGACGAGAGGUAUUUCCACUUCAAAUAUAAGUUUAAGUGUAGAGAUGAGCAAUUAGAAGUCUCCACAAAAGAUGUAACCCUAUGGGAAGAUAUAUUGCCUUCCCACUCUCUUAUAGCUUGCCGUUAAACUGCGGCCAUUGAUAGCGUCAAAUCGGCUUAUAUUGCCUACCCCCACCCUCUUAUAUUGUUGCAACAACUUUAGCUACACCACCUUUUCAGGACUUGGUUAACAUCAAGAGUAUUCUAUAAAUGGUGUAUAUUUUCAUUUUGUAUGAAGCUAUAUGCAUGUUGUUAGUACGAAUUUGACGUUUAGCACGUUUUCACAGUAAUCAUGCAAUCUCCCUUAUUGUUAUAUUGUGUCUUGAGUUUGAGUAGAGGUGUCAAAAUGAGUUAUUGACCCAUUUAUGGACUCAUUUAAACAUAAAUGGGUUGUUAAUGGGUCAAGCCUAUUUCCUAAAGUACCCAUAAUGAGUUUUAAUGGGUUAAGACUGAGAUAUAUGAAUCUUAAAUGGGUCAAAGAACUUGCCCAUUUAAGACCCAUUUAUCAACCCACUAAAAAUAAACUCAUUUAUUUUAAGCCAAAACCUCACAAUCUCUCUCUUCUCUCUUUAACUUUACAAAAUAUUUAAAAAAAAAACCAAAAUUAUAAUUAUUUUUUUAUUUUUCUUUUCUUUUCUUUUCUUUUUUUCUUUUUUCUGUUUUCUUUCUUCUUCCUCUGGUCGUCGGCACUGCGAUGGCCGGCGACCGGCCAGGUGAGCCUUGGGCUCGCUAGAUCUGGCGAGGCGGAGGCCUCGCCGACGUCCAGCGAGACUCGAGCCUCACUAGAUCAGGUGAGGGGGCGAGCUUGAGGCUCGCCGGCGUCCGGCGAGGGGCGAGCUCAAGCUGGCUUGAUGUUGGCGAGCCUCGAGCUCGUCGGAUCUGGCGAGGCGGAGGCCUCAUCGACGUCUGACGAGGCUCGGGCCUCACCAAUCUGGCAAGACUUGGGCUCACCAGCGUCGGGCGAGCUCGAGCUCCCUGGAUUUGGCGAGCCUCAAGCUCGUCAAUGUUGGCAAGUUGGGCGAGCUCCAGGUCGCCUGUGGCUUGCCGCUGACCAUCAUUGUGGCCAGCAGCCGACCAAAGAAGAAGAAGAACAAAAAAGAAAAAAGAAAAUUAUAUUUAAAAAUAAAAAUAAAAAUAAUUAAAAAAUUAAUUUAAAAAAAAAAUUAAUAUUCGAUUUUUUAAAAUAUAUAUUUUUAAAAUUAUAAAAAAUGUCCAUUAAAUUUGCGUUGUAUAAAACCAUUUUAGCAAUACCAUUUUAUAUAUAUAAUAAGUUUUCUUAAAUUUAAUUAAAUGGGUCGGGUAUGGAUCGAAAAUUUUGUAUUGCAAUAAACGGGUUAAAUGGAUCGAUUUAGGUCGGAUCAUUUAUGACCUGAUCCAAACCCGACCCGAUCCACCCGUUUAACAGGUAUAAGUUUGAGCCCAUGUAUGGGCCCACAACUGAAGAAUCUAUUGCUCAAAGUCACGCACAAAAUGCAGUGUUCUUUUAUUAAUUAAUGCGCACGCAAGUCUUGGACUUUUUUCUCCACUUCAUUAAUGCAAUGCAUGCACGAAUCUCCUCCUGUGUCCCUUUAUCAUUUUUCUCAUUUUUGGUUCGAAUUCCCUUUUGUCAUUGAAGGAGCUGAACGUCCAUUUGUCGCCUUCACUCCAGAGCGCCCCCUCUUUCGGACUCCCCCUGGACCAGCGAAAUGGGAAAAUUCGGCGCCAAAGUCAACGUUGGAAACGCCGGCGACGGCGACGUUCUUGAGGCCUAGCCUCAAGAUUCGAGUGGAAUUGAGAGGGUGCUUCCAUUCCAGACAGCGGUGGAGAGCCGUGACGCUCACGGAGUGAUCGAGACCCAGAGAUUGGAUCCAAGCGCAGAGGCACGCGAGUCUUUUUCGCCAUUUUCAUGGAAUAGGGGUGGACGUUGGUGAUCUGGUUGGGGAAAGGAUGGAGCGUGAGGAGGAUGGUCAGGGACGCAUAUAGGAACGGACUCGACUUAGGGUUCAGGAACGGGUUUACAAAUCGGAUUGAGGUUGCGAAAUGGACCUACAUCUUUCUAGGAUGGAGAAGUUUUUUUCAGAAAUUGUCAGACGAUUUCAGGAAUUUGAAAGAAAUGAGGAGGGGCUAGAGCACAGGGGGAAUUUUAAUUUAUUUUGGCCAAACGUUCGAGCAAUAGUUUCGAAUCACUAAGGAGUAUAUAUAAAUUUCAGUACGGUGACCUCUUUGGUUCAGAUUGGAAAAGUAGUGUGCGGUGGCCAAUGGAUAAUGAUCUCGCUGCCCUCUAGCGAUAUGCAAGGGCCUGGCAGUGCAAUAUUGUGGGCUUAGUAGGGCUUAUUUGCUGGAUAUGCAUCGAUUUCUGCCAAAUAUAUGGCAACAACCGAGUGGCAGAGGUUGUUCUCAUGGGGACCACCAGGGCCAUGGUCGCCGUCCCCUGGGAUGAUUAAUUUAAACAAUUUGUUGAAUUGCUUAAUUCGACAAUUUCGUAUUCGAUAGUGUUGACUCCGUAACUUGCUUUCUCUGAUGAUAAAUGACCAAUAUCAUGCGUUUAGACCACAGUAAGCAUCGGCUCAGAGUCAGCGGUAACAAGUCAAUGAUUGACGCCCUUGAAAGACUUCUAUCCUUCCAAAGUCUAUUUUGACUUAGGCAAUUCCAUUUGUUUCUUCACAUACAUGUUCAAAUUUUUGAGUCAGACUUUCUCAUGUGCUGAUGACUUAAUUACUGCAUGGUUAUAUUAUUAAACUAAAUAAUUUGAUAGAUUAUGAUUGAUCUUAUUAAGCCAACCGCAUUUGAUAUUUUCACGUUAUUUGGCAUACAAAAUGUCGAUAUAAAUAGUGUAAUUCCGGGGGCCGAAGUUGUAAUUGGCUCAAAGGCGAACACGUCUUCAUGAGUAACACCGUCAAACUCCUUUUGAGAUUCUUGGAAUGUCUCCUACUUAGAUAACUCGAUCAGUUUCCUCUUUUUUCUAAUAGUAUAAUUUCCCUUUAUUAAUUUCCUCUAUUUAGAUCUAGUGUAUUUCUCUACUAGUACUUCAGCUCCAGGUGAAAUAAGGGGAUUAAAUUUAUCUGGUCGAUUAACUAUCAACAUCAAUUAAGAUUUAAUUUCUUUCUAUCUCUUUUCGUAAAUAUUUAUACACGAAAUUCUUAUUGUGUAUUUUUAUCAAUAAAUUAUUUUCAUUAUUUAAUAAUUCAUAUAUUUUACCCAAAAAAAUGAUUUAAAUUAAUUUUUUAAAUACCAAUUGUUCCCACACNNNNNNNNNNNNNNNNNNNNNNNNNNNNNNNNNNNNNNNNNNNNNNNNNNNNNNNNNNNNNNNNNNNNNNNNNNNNNNNNNNNNNNNNNNNNNNNNNNNNUUCUCUAGAAUAAAUAAGUUUCUUAAGAAGGUAUUUCACAAUUUCCAAGUUGUCUUUGAAUUAAUCGAGUCUUUCUUAAAUAUCAAUCUACAUAUUGGCUUUCUAAUUGUUGAAUGGGUUUAGUACCCAUGGAUAAUAAGUAAUGCUACAAAGACCUUAGAAGACAAAAAGGAUUUUCACCCUAUAUGAUGUCAUGUGUUCUCAUUGCCCUAAGAACAUAUGUUAGCUUGUCAUACUAUCUAAUGGGCUAGGAUGCAAAAGUCACAAUAUAGCCGUAUGUAGUAUGGCCAUUAAAAAUGCAGAAUAAACAUGGUUUCUUUUUAUUAUUAUUAUUUUUUUUACGAAUAAAGUGAUUCAUUUAUUCAAAACCAUAUUGGAAAUAUAUGACAUGAAUGAUAUAAAAUGUAACAGAAAAAGAAAUUUCUUGAAAUUUUGCAAAGUCGGAGGUGCCGCUCAAAUCGAGAAGUGCGGGUGGUCCCAGCAAAGUGACGUUAAUGUACAAGAAACAAAAGGUAGGAAAAGUAAUAAGAGCAACGUGCAGAAACGACGACGGCUUGGCGUGGAACGAGCAUGGCUUUAAGCAAACACAGAAACAGCACAUCUCGCGAUAUUUUGAUGUCGCGUAUUCUUCCUCUUCUUCUUCUUUUUCUAAACUGAUAAGGCUGCUCCGGAGCCUCUCUUCAUUUUCGUUUUUUUGUUUGUUUUUUCCUCCUCAUUUUUCCAACCACAUCCUCACCAUAACGCGCCUUCUCUCUUUUGUCCCCUAGCUCUCCCACUUUCUUUCGCCCGACUCUCUCUUCUUGUCUUGCUUUCUUUUUUUGGUUCCCGCCCAAACCCUUAAUGAAAGAUUAAUUGCUGUUUAGUAUUCCAAAGUCUAGCAUUAUCGGGCCCCAUCAUCGACCUAUCAAGUUCGUUAAACUCAGUCAUCAAUGGACUGACUAUUUUGUUGAACACGAGCUGCACCACCAUGGCAAGAAAAAGAAAAGUAAAAACUUAGGCAAGGGCUCAUUGAUUUCUAACACUUGAUCAUAAAAAUUUUUGAAAAGAAAUUUUAAUAUCACUGCUUUGAGGAUGGAUGCACUCUCAACAAGUGAACCCGAGUGAUCGAAUUCAAUAAUACGACAGAAUCAUCUCAAAGAUUUAAGUUUAAUAGUUAUUUUAUACGGCGAUUAUGAUAGGAACAUGAUAAUUUCGAGCGCCUGCAAUGUGAUGUCUUGAUGUAUCAUAGGAAUGUUAAUUAGAUAUGCAAACAGUAAAGAGGCAACGGCAUACCGGCAAUGACUUGGGUAGUAACAACGCAUCUAUGAGGCCUAUCCCUUAUUCGAUUUUUUUUUAUUUCUAUUUGUUUUUGUUCAUGUUUUUUUUCUCGAACCGCUCUAAUAUGAAUUAAAUAGUAGACAUCUUAAUAUAAAUUCAACAAUAGAAUUCUCCAUUUCAUUUUUGAAUUUGAAUGAGACUUUUUCUCUAAUUUUUUUACUAAUUCAUUUAGAUUACAUUUUAUAGUAUCACUAAAAUUUUAUUAUGUAAUUUAACUUAUUGUUAUAUCAUCCAUAUAAAAAUCAAAAUAUAAUCUAACUAAAUACAAUAAAUAAAAUCAAACAAAAUCGAAAUGCUCAUUAGAGCAUGGGAUAAUCAUAUUAUCGACAUUGUAGAAAACAGAAAUUCUAAUAAUUUUUAACUACUAACUAAAAUAUGUAAUGUGUUUGUAGGUAGUAUCUCAUUCUGUUUUCUUCUCACCCACUAGCUCUAUGCGCAAUUAUUGAGCCGUGACCAUGUGAAUGCUAGACUAAAGCCUCCCCUCAGCCGGGUUUUUUCCUGCUUUUUAUGUCCUUACCUUUUUCACUAAAUCUUUGCUGAAGAUAUGGUCCAUUAUGAGGAGGUGCUAGUUUUUUUCUAUGUUGUGUCCACUUCUGACCGGAGAGGACUUACUAUUCGGAGAGCGGGCUGCGUCCAAAACUUUCACAAGAAUUGCCAUUUAACUUCACCGCGGAAAAUUUAGGGUCAGGUCGUGUAGGGUUAGUUCAUAAAAAUUCACAAUCAGGGCCGCAAUGUUAAAUGUGAAAUAAUGCAAUGGAGAGAGAGAGAUUGUGGGAUUAUGAAUGUACUUUUAUUAGGGGUCAAAUUAUCGAUGAAUCUGAUCGUUAAAUUUCAUGAAAAUGGGAAUUGGACCUUUAAAUGAAAAUUUAUGUAUCGACAAUAAUUAAUCUUACAUAUUAGUAAGUAAUUGUUUCUCUUUAAAUCAUCCCUUAGUUGAUUUUUUUUUUCUUUUUGGUCUAAAGAUCUAGACUGCAUACAAAAUUGGUCUUGUGAAUUCAUUAGUACAGGUAAUAUUCUAAAUUUGAGUCAAGAUUUAUGCAAAGUAAAUAAGCAACACUACUCACGAAGAUUUUCCUAUUGAUUUCUAGAGGCAAAAAAGAGCAAUGCUAUGCAUAGGAGAACUGGACAUAUAUAUAUAUUAAGAUGGAUAGAAAAUGAUAAGGAAAAUAGUGCGGUAGCUCUCUUAAGAAAAUUUUGUUUUUAAUUUUUUAUUUUCCUUGGAAAGUCUAGAGAAUUUGGCAAUUAAGUAAACCAUAGUUUAACAUUCCAUAAUAAUUUUCCACCUCAUUCGGUGCACUAAUUUUUUGAUAUAUUUACAUAUUUAGCACCAUUUCGGGCAAGACAAAGAAAGAUAAGUAGGCUCAAAAGUUUAUCGGGUGCACGUUCGCAUGAGUUUCCUCGUGGUUAAAGCUGAAAUUGGCUCAAAGGCGAACGCGUGUUCUUGAGUAACACUGUCCCACUCCCUUUGAUGACGAUGACAUCAGAGACAAUUACCCGACACUAUUGAAAAGAGAGAGAGAGAGAGAGAGAGGGGGGGAAGAGGUCUUAUCGUGGCUUCCAAAAGAGGCCACUUGAAAUCUCUUAAAAAAAGUGAAAGUUAUGCGAGGUGGAGUGACAUCCAUAUAAAUAGACAAAUUGCUCAUUAUUUUGUUAAUAGAUUAUUGUCUAGAAAUGAAAAAGAAAAAAAAGAUGUAAAUAGUGAAGCAAUGAGGCAGCAAUAAAAUAGGAAACUUGUCAACCCCCCAUCCAUUAUAUUAAAUUAAAAUAUUAUUAAGUCCAUUGUCGGUCUAGAAAAUAAUUUGCACAUUCCCGAUUAAGAGUUGACACGUGGAAUAAUUGACUGGCAAAAACAACUUCAAACCCACACGUCACUUAUUCACGGUAAAUGUGUAUUGAGGUUUUAACAUCGACUAUGCUUCCAACAAUAUCCAUUCAAUUACUAGGUUUUUCGGCUAACAAUGUUUCUAUAUUUAGUUUAAUAUAUUCAAAUAAUAAGACCAAACAGAUAAUAUAUUCGAAUGUUCAAAAUUUUUACCCAUGGGGGUUAAUUAGGAAUGCCAACUAUUUAAUAAAACAUUGAAAAUAUUAUUAUUUCGUAGUAUCUAGAGAAUGAAAAUAAAUAAAAAAAGUCAAAGUCAUGCGAGGGUAGAGUAAAAGCAAUCAAAUCAUUAAAGAGAGAAAAAAUCAUUUUUAUUUAUUAAAGUAAUAGGUUAUAGUGUAGAAUGAAAACAAAAAAAAAAAUAUUCAAAACAAAAAGAAGAGUAAAAGCAUGCGACGACACCUAUCUAAUGUGCCAUUGCUCCAGGAGGCCUCCACGUAGCACCCGAGUUGUCUAUUCCACCGUCCAUCUCGCCGACACGACGGACGGGAAAAAAACCCACGCCGGACCCCCCCACCCCCGAAACGGCACAUGUUGGUGUCAGCGGGAGCGUCGGACCGGGCCCCGCCCCGGUUCACGAGGAUCGCCACCGAUGAUGUGGACAUGUCGAGAAGUGGGGCAGGGUCAAAGCAACGGACGGCUUGGAUUCAGCGGGGGCUUGGUCGUUCGGCUUGUCGUACGCCUUUUCAUGUGAUCACGUGAAUUGGGCGUACUACGGUGAGGGGGAACAAGGGGAGAGGGUGGGGCCCGUUGGGCCGGGGAAUGUAGUUAGGCCAUGAUGAUGGACGGCUGGAUGGACGGAUGAGUAUUUGGUUGAUGAAAAGGAGGAAGCGCCAUAAAUCGGUGAUUUCUCGGGGUCCUGAUUCCACGCAAUUGACAGUGUGAAUGUGAAAAUUGAUCCACAACGAACACAAUCAACGCCCCCUGACCCAGCAUCUAGUGGGGAGAAGGUUGUCAUUGAUGAUUAGGCCUUGUAAAUUGGUAUUUUCAUGGUUUGAAUAUAUUUGAUAAAUUUACCUAUACAAAAGUGCUACAAUAGCCGAAGGGGAGGCCAACCGUAGUCCAACCGUAGUCCAACAGAGAUCCAUAUUAGUUUGACGUGAUAUUGCUAUGGUUGUUAUAUUUGUUGUCCGACGAUGAUAUAACGUGAAAUUAUGUUUACGAUUACGCACUUCUGUAUUGAGCCGUGAUUUCCGUGCUUUUUCUGGCGGUAAAAUAUAACAUAUCUGAGACUUUCGACAGUGUAGUUGAUUAGAAUUCAAGACUUUGACCAAGUCCAAGUCUCUCCCUUUCUUCACCAAAACCGGUUCAUUCCCAUUUCCAACAGCAGGCGAAUGCCCUUGUUUCUGUAGGAAUUGGGUUACUGCCUUCAACCAGAGGAAGAGUCUUUGCUCGAUCCCUGGAUGCUGACUGGUGCUUCAGAUUCUCAAGAGCAGUUUCUUAGCUCUACUUCUUGAUGUGCAUCUUUGCCACUUGCAUGCAUCCGAAUCUUCUUUUUCAGUCCUAACUGGUAUGUUGCUUCGUCCUCAUUCCGUCUAUAAGAAUCAAAUAAAGACUCUCCAACUGAACAUCCUUAUUUAACUGGAUCAACAAGUAGAUCUGACGGAUUCUAUACGAAAUGAAGGGUUAAAUGACCUGAAUGGAGGUGGGUGGACGUAACUGCGAGAUGCAAUAAACUUCUCGGAGAGAGACCAAGAAACAGAGAGAGAGAAGGGGCGAGAAGAGAGGGGGGAAGAGCGACAACGGUGGAUUGCAGGCCGUCAAAAGGGUCGAGCUACGCCAUAACUCGCCAUUUCCGAAUACUAGAAAAGAUUUUUUUUAGCUCUAUUUCUCAUGAAUUUGGGUUUUUUGUUUUGAAAGUUCCUUUCCGGAUCUACUUUGGAUUUGCUUUGCCGGCAACGAUUCGGUCAAAAUCCAACGAUAUUCUGAUUCCUCACAUCUCCUUGUAAUUCUAGAAUUAAUUUUUUUCGAGUUGAUAUCCAAGUUGUCUUUGAGUUGAUCGUCUGGGUCUGUUUAAUAUUAAUUUGCAGUUUGGCCUUCCCGCUUGAAUACUCGUGGAUGUUAUUACUUGCUUGAGAAUAAUGCUAUGCGCGCUAGGAAAAUAUAAACAAGAUUGGUACUUCAUAUAAAUGGGUGCGCUCUCUUUGCCCACAGGUUGAUAAUCAAGACGACACAUGCCACGAGUUGAAGAUACAGCCUGGGAAAUUCGUGAUUAGACUGGAGGCAAGAAAUGGCGUUGUCCUUACUGCAGAUGAUACUCUGGAUCAGUGCACAAGAGUGAAAAGUCACUUUCUUAAACAACCAAAAGAAGGGAUUGCCUCUUGCGCAAAAGUGCCGGAUCACAUCAGCACACUAAUGGGAUUGAUACACAAUCAGGUGGCUUUAGUACUUGUGGUAGCUACAUUAUCUGCUCGAGAAUGAUGCUAUUCACUCUAAGAAGAUAUAAAAAAAUUGGAGACAAUAUAUAAUGGGGUGCACUCUUUUUGCUUGCAGGUUCGUAACAAAGAGGAUGUAGCCUGGAAAUUCGUCGAGAGACUGGGGGAUAACAAGUGGCGUUGUCAUCACUGCACGGAAGAAUUCUCUGGAGACCUUACAGGUGUAAAAGGUCACUUGCUUACAGUCCCAAAUGAAGGGAUUUCCGUUUGCACAGGAGUGCCGGACCACAUAAGAACGCUAAUGCGGUCGUUACUUGAUGCGGUGGCUGAAGAAGAGAGCAGAGGAGCCAACAGUCAAUCCUCCAUGGAGCCACAAUCACGUCACAUGCCGACUCAACUGUCGCCUUCAUUUUCACCAGAAAGCCUCGAAUUCUUGAGACCGUUAUUACCAACACCACGGAGGGCGACCAAAAUGGCAAACUUCACCCAACAGGAUGUCAUUGGGUCAAACUCUGACCAACAAUCACAAGCGGAGCGUCAGCUUCGUCAGAGUUCAGCAAUGCCAUUAUUGGUGCAAAGUAGUCAUGGUAUGUCCACGUGAAGUUUCUUUACAUUCAUCUAGGCGUGAAGAAAAAAAAUCUAUUACAUUUUUUAUAUAAUUAACUCUAUCUAAAAUGACUCAAACUUAUCUAUUUCCACAUCGCAUCAAUUCUAAAUUACAGAGGUAUCAUUGCAUUUUCUAUAUGUCCGAUAUCACUAUAUUUUUACAGCACAGUUUAUUUCAUUUAAAUAUUUAACUUACGAGCAUGCUGAUUUUCGUUGUAGAAAUCUCUCUCUGUGAUCAAGUUCUAGAUGUUUGUUUUAUCUGUACCCAUGACUUGAUUUGAAAGUCCCAGUGUUGACUGAUCUUACGCUUGAAUAUUUUAGUGCAACCAGCUUUGGUGUCCCCUCAACAUCAAAGUGUUCUGCGUCAAUCUAUUAAUCAUGAGAUGAGGGAUACACAGCAGAAUCCAACCAUUCCUCUGGAUAAUCUAGAUACCACCCGGCAACCUGAUCUUCGUGACUCUCCACCAGAGAAUCUUGUUGAAUCUCGUGAUGUAAUUGUAAACGCUCUUGACGAAAUGCAAACGAAUGAACAGCAUAAUCCAACAGUGGGAUCAUCAUUACAAAAUGAUUUAUCCCUUGAUGUGGACCAUACAAAUCGUUUACUGGAUUGGAGUCAACCGUGUGCAGUGGAAGGCGUUCCUCUAUUCAGCAAUACAAGUCCGACCAACGCUGUUGAGCAUCCCGAUCAGCUUUACCCUAGGUGUGAUGAGGAAGAUGGAAAUGAUACCCGUUUGUUCCCCUCGCAAACUCCAAUGGACAUAGAUCCCUCAAUUGCCUCACCGCAUUCAAGUGACUCUCAUGAUAAUUUGCAAGUUCUAGAAGCAGCAACAAAUGCAAUAGCCCCAUCAUCAUCACAAGGUAUGUCUGGAUUAAUCUAAAUUGUUCCUCUUGUUCUGUUGGAUUCUUAAAUAUCCCAGAUUAAUUUAUCGAAAUCUAACAUAUGUUUUUAUACAUUAGAUUUGAACAGGGGUUAUCCAAUCAUGACCGCAUGGAGCAUCAAUGCCAAUGAUGAAGAGAUAAGAAAGCUCAAAAGAAAAGUGGAAGAACUUGACGACAAAGAAGCUGACGUAAAGGAGCAGAUGGAGAUAGAGUCUUCUUCCUCAGUUCGGAAGAAGCCGAGGAAAACAGUUGAGAAAUGGCUGGAAAAAACAGAAAGAGCAAGAAAUAAUUUCCAAAUAAUUGGCCAAGCCAAUGGGGAAACUUUGCCUCCGAAGGAACAGGUGGUGACAUUGACGAGAGAAGUGGAAGAGCUCAUAAAACAAGCGCUUCCACAAACACUACUCAUAGAGGAGAGAGAUGCCAAAGGAGUCAAAUUUUUGGAACGAAAGCUAAUAGGUGAAGCGAUUCAUGGGAACAUCGAGUUUAUUUGGGGCCAUCUGAAGAAGAAUCGUGCAUGCAAAUUGGGUAUUUAUGGAAUGGGUGGUGUGGGGAAGACAACUAUCAUGAAGCGAGUACAUGAUAGACUUCUAGAAGAUGCAACCUUUGAUGGUGUGGUUUUUGUCACCGUGUCCAAAGAUUUCAGCAUUUCUAAGUUGCAAAUUGAUAUCAGGAAGGAGCUAAAAUUUGACGUUAAGGAGGUUGAGGAUGAGGAGAAACGAGCAGCAAUGUUGGCGGAGCAUUUAGAAAGAAGGAAGAAUUGUGUAUUGAUUCUUGAUGAUGUGUGGGAACACCCACUUCUUGACCUUAAAGAGGUGGGAAUCCCUGAUAGUGCAGAUGGAUUUAAGUUGGUCUUAACCACUAGAUCCUUUAAUGUGUGCUGCCAGAUGCGAUGCCAAGAGAAGAUAAAAAUUGAGCCUCUAUCUCAAGAAGUAGCCGAGAGAUUGUUUCUGGUGGAGCUUGGAUCCAAAGGGCCACCUAAUUUGGAAAUUGCGAAGUCCAUUGUUAAAGAAUGCGUAGGCUUGCCAAUUGGAGUAAUCACGAUGGCAAGAAGCAUGCUAGGAGCGACUGAUGUGUUUGAAUGGAGGGAUGCCUUGGAGAGAUUGAAAGAAUCGAGUAUUGGGCUAAAAGAUAUGGAGAACAAGGUGUUAAUGAUUCUGAAAUUCAGUUAUGAUCGCCUUGGUGAUCCCGAUGUCCAACAGUGUUUCUUAUCUUGUGCACUUUAUCCAGAAGACGAAUUGAUUUAUAAGUUCGAGAUGGUAGAAUUCUUUAUCGACCAAGGAUUAAUUGAUGGAUUGAAUACAAGGAAGAAACAAUACGAUAGAGGCCUCACCAUAUUGAACAAACUGAUAAAAGUUUGCCUAUUGGAAGAUGAUGGGGACUAUAUGAAGAUGCACGAUUUGAUUAGAGACAUGGCAUUGCAAAUCAUGAGUGCGACUUCAAUUGUAAAAGCAAGAAAGGGAUUGAAGAGGAUUCCACUUGAGGAAUAUUGGACGGAUGCUUUGGAGAAAGUGUCUCUAAUGAAAAAUAACAUUAGCGAAUUUCCGUUGAACUUGUCACCAAAUUGCCCCAAGCUAUCAACUCUUCUAUUGGAUUAUGGCUUGCAUGAUGUGGUCAUACCUGAUUCUUUCUUCAAAAAUUUAUGUGGGCUAAAGGUUCUAAAUCUAAGUAGAAUUGAUAUGACAGAACUUCCAAAUUCCAUCUCAGACUUGGUAAACUUGAGGGCACUAUUGCUUGGAGAUUGUAUGGAAUUGCGCCGUAUUCCUUAUCUAGGGAAGCUCACAUCUUUAAGAAAGUUGGACGCUAAAAACUGUAGGAGUCUUGAAGCGCUCGAGGGUUUGGAAAAGUUGGUGAACUUGAGAUACCUUGACCUUAUUAAAACACGUAUUGAGAGAUUGCCCAAAGGAACGUUGGACCAUUUAUUAAACUUGCAAUAUCUUAAAUUUCCGGCGGUAAAUGAAGAAGACAUUACAAAAUUGGGGGCAUUGGAGACAUUUGAAUGCUACCUUAAAAAUGUGGAUGAUUUUGACAAGUGUGUGAAGGCUAUUGAGCAGAGUAAUAACACUCGCUAUUACAACCUCAUCGUGGAUCUAGGAAAACCAGAGUUUUUUGUGCAAGUAAGUGAUGAUACUCGAUGUGGGAGUUUUGAGAAUUUGGGGAGGAGAGUCAUCAAUAGGGACUGGGGUCAUGCCAUUGUGAGUGUGGGAGGCGAAUGCACCGGCAUUUUUAUUUUGAUUCCCCGAGACGUGCAGGCAAUGAUGAUGAAAAAAUGCAACGGUACAACAAAUUUGUCUAGCAUAGGUCUGCUUAAAUACCUCGAAGAGCUAGAAAUAGAAAGAUGGGAAAACAUAGGGGUGCUAUGUGGAGAACGAGACGAAGAAGUAAUUAACAUCCACGACUCCCUCGCCCGAACCCCUAUGUCUCUCCUCUUCCCGAGCCUUAGGGUUUUGAAAAUAUGGAAAUGUCCGAAGCUGAAGUAUCUCUUUGGGCAUGGGUCUAAAUCCAACCUUCCGCAUCUACGAAAGAUUGAAAUAAAUGAAUGUGAGGAAAUGGUGGGGAUAAUAGCAGCAGUUACAUCCCCACCACCACAUCUGCUCCCAUUUUUCCCUAGUCUGGAAUCGAUUAAUGUUGAAUCCUGUGGUAAAAUGAAGAGAGCGGUGGAAUCUGAGUGGAUGCCCCACUUCCCUAAUCUGAGAUGGAUCGAAGUAACCGGAUGUGAGACGAUGGAUGAGAUAAUUAGAGGUCCUCCACCAUACUUGCUAGUUGAAGGGAUUCCUCUCCAAUCUCUUAUGGUAAAAUGUUGCGAUAACAUGAGAAAGUUGUUUCCGCAUGAAUGGCUGCUCCAUCUUCGAAAUCUGCAAGGUAUCGAUGUCUGUAACUGCGAAGGAAUGGUGGAGUUGAUAAGUGGAGCAGGACAACGCCAAGAAGGAAGUAUAAUGACUCCUGUAAACAACACCCCUUCAUCCUUCCAGCCUUCAAUUUCUCUCCCAAAGCUGGAUUUGUUGUGCUAUACGAUCUACCCCAGCUGAAGAGCAUAUGCGAAGUACCAAUAAGGUGCGAUUCCAUGAAAGAAUUGACGGUGUCCAGAUGCUCAGACCUGAAGGGGAUUCCUUUGCAACUGCGAUUGCGUGAUAUUGAGGAGCUUCCGUUUUUUUUUUGGUGGAAGAUGAGGAAAGGUGGAAGACGUUGAUGUGGGAUCAUCCCGAUGCUCAAGCUAUUCUUCAACCUUAUCUCAGAAAAGGGGAAGAUGCUAUAGGUUAAUGAGUUUAAUUGAUAUACGAUUGCUUCACUUCUUAAAAGUCCUUACAAAGAUGUAGCUUUUCUGUCUAUAUAGUCAUGCAGCUCUCUAACAGUGGCCUUUUGCAGAAUUGGAGGCCAAGGGAAAGUAUCUCCAGUGACUCUGCUCUUGAAGAAAGCCCUGUUGCUCAAUCAUGCUUUCCUGCAAAAUCGACUCGAGUUACCAUAUGAAUUGACUUUUUUCGUGUGGUCAUGCUUUGUGUAAUUUGAACGCGCUUGCAUGUUUUAUUGACUACUGGAAAUGAGUCAAUUUGGUCGAUAUUUCAGUUUAGUCAAAAAAACAACAGAUCUAAGGAUUUGGGAAGCCAGGGGACUAGUAGAGUUUGUUUCCUAUCUUAUCUUAUAACUGAAAGGACAAUUUAUUCAUACAUGCUCAGGUUGAGGAUCAGCUUUACGUAUAUCUAGAAUAUGCACAUCAUUAUUGUCUUGUCAGGCGGUAGGGGAAAGUCUUUCCCCCAUUUGGUUUUGCUCCCAAGUGAUGCUGCAAGUUUACCGUAUUUUCCCCUUAUGGUUGUUUGUAAUUUCGUGGAAUGUUUUUAGAAUAAUUUUGCAUCUCCUCUCUAUAAAAUGCAAAUAACCGAUGAAAUAUGUUGAAAAUAUCUCAUACUGAUUGUUUACAAGGUUUUAAUGGGCCUUACAUUUAUAUAAUUUACCUUCGCUUGUUCAAAUUUUUAGGUCGAACUUUCUCUUAUGUGCAAAUAGCAAUUUCUACAUGAAAUGAAGAGUAAACAUGCUUCCCUUUUUUUUUCUACGAUUAAAGUGAUUAUUCUAAGAAAUAUAUAAAGUGUGACAGAAAAAGCAACUCCUUGAAAUUUUGUAAAGUCGGAGGCGCAGCUCAGAAUGAGCUAUGACUCUCGGCUGCAUUGGAUUCUCUCUUCAUUUUCGUUUUCUUUUGUUCUUUUCCUCAUUUUUUAGCCAACAUCCUAACCAUAAGGCGCCUUUUCUCUUUUCUCUCUUAUCUCCCCCCUCCCCCAUUUCUUCGUACAACUCGCUCUUCUUUUCCUGCCUCUUUUUUUUUUUUUUUUUGGGGGGUUCUCUGCCCAAACCCUUAACGAAGACAACUAAUUGGUAUUUAGUUUUCCAAAGUGUAGCAUUAUUGAGCACCAUCACCGACCAUUAAGUUCGCUAAACUCAGUCAUCAAUUAAGUAACUAUUCUUGUUUAACAAGAGCUGCACCGACGUGGCAAGAAAAAGACAAACAAAAACUCAGGUAAGAGCUCAUUGAUUUUCAAGACUCCAUCGUAAAAAUCGAAGAAAAGAAACUAUGAAUAUGUGCUGGAUUUUUCUCUGCCGCUGUGUCCUUUUUGAACCACUUUUGAUCCAGAACUCUAUCAUUUUCAGCUCUCCCUUUCUGUUCCUUUUGGUGUUUUCACGCUGCUAAUUUCCUUCGCUCACGCGCACACACACACAUGAAGGAAUGUCAUGUUGAAAGUGGCCUCCUUUCGGCCAACCAGAGGGAGGGAACGGAAGGGACUUUUACUUCGGAGAGGGGGCCGCGUCCAAAAUUCUCAUAAGAAUUCCCGUUUAAAUUCACCAAAGGAAAUUCAAGAGUCGGAUUAUGUAACAGAUUUUUUUUUUUUUUUUGGCAGUCCUACGCUAUUCCUACUCUACACUCACUCGCAGACUUGUGCCCUGCCUCUUGCAGGGCGUGGGAGUCGCAACCCAAGCUCGAAACUUACGCGUCCCUAUCCCCCAUCCCCCCUGAGGAGGUGGGGAUUUGAACCCCUCACCUCCCCCUUCCAUGUUGAAAGGGUGGCCACUGGGAUUGUGUAACAGAUUGGUUCACAAGAAUUGCGCUCUUAUUAGAAAGGGUAGUGCAUAGAAGAUGUGAGAUUACAAAUGAUUUAUAUGGGUCAAUGGUCAAAUUAUCGGUGUNNNNNNNNNNNNNNNNNNNNNNNNNNNNNNNNNNNNNNNNNNNNNNNNNNNNNNNNNNNNNNNNNNNNNNNNNNNNNNNNNNNNNNNNNNNNNNNNNNNNNNNNNNNNNNNNNNNNNNNNNNNNNNNNNNNNNNNNNNNNNNNNNNNNNNNNNNNNNNNNNNNNNNNNNNNNNNNNNNNNNNNNNNNNNNNNNNNNNNNNNNNNNNNNNNNNNNNNNNNNNNNNNNNNNNNNNNNNNNNNNNNNNNNNNNNNNNNAUAGGAUUUAGCGAAUUGACAAUGCAAAAAUUGAGAGAGAAUAUGAAGUGAUUCUGUGCACUUUUGAAACUCUGUUAGUGUACAUUCUUGUAGUUUUUCCUUGUCAAAAUAUAUUGAUUUUCAACUUUCACUAAAAUGUCGCACAUUCAAUUAGGAAGCAUAUGAUUAAUAGUCCUAAUCAGCCAAGUCACAAAACAAAUCAUAAGAGAUCUAAUGCGGUUGUCACUAAGCCUCGAAUUGGUGGGAUGAUCUUUCCCAUGGCAAGAGCGGCUAACAUCACAAACUUCAUCUUCUAGGGAUUAAGUUAAAAUAUUAUGUUUGGCACUUACGGUGUUCUUAUACUUCAUAAUAAAUAUGUUAUUUAUUUUAUCAGUUAAUCUACCCUGAACAACAUGCUAAUAUUAGUUUAGAUAAUUUGUCAAUUUGGCUAUAGCUUGGAAUAAGAGACGAUAACAAUAUAAAUUCAAUAUUGAAAACUUUUUGUUUGAUUUUUUUUUCUCGCUUUUUAGUUAUUCUUUUAGCAAUUACCGAAUAACAUCAUUCAAACCUUGUAAUGCCGCAUCUAUUUAUUUAUUUAUUUAUUUCAAUUAGUUUACGGCUAAAAUGGGCGAAUCAACAUACAUGAUUUCACCACAAAAUAAAUGGACUUUUUUUGAAAAAAAAAUUAAAAAAAGAGAUAGAAUAAUGGCUCAUAUUAGAACCAUUUACCAAGUAAUGCAAAUUAAAACCAAGUCUUAAUUUUUUUUUAUGUGUAUUAAAAAUUUCCAAUAUCAUAUCAUUUCAUUUUACACAUAAAAUGAAUAGAAUAAACAUUAAAACCCUUUGUCCAUCGUAAGAUAGAAAGUAAACAUCAAAUUUAGAUAAUCUUACUUUAAAUACUUAUGUAGCAAGAACAUACAUAAAAAAUAGAACAUAAUGCAAGAACUAAACAGUAAUAUAACGAUUGAUUUAUAUAAAGUGUCAAUAUAACAUUAUGCAAAAAUUUUAUACAUGUAAUAUGGGUUCAUAUCAAUAAAUGGAAUUUGAAGAAGUAAAUUUCUGAAUUUGUGCAACCCACGGGUCUUUGUUUACUACACAUUCCACAAAAAAUAUGCAGUCAUAAGCUACAAUCUGAUGGAAUCAUCUACCAAUAUACAAAGUUCUAUUCACAUCAUAGGAAAUGUUUUCUAGCAAUCUGAUGGCCUCGAAUAUUUUGGGGGCAAAGAUGGACACAUUUCAUUCAUAUGAGGGUACGAGUCCAUUGUGUUGUACCUUGGCAGCUCCAUUCGAUACCUACCUCGUAUUUGACAGAAUGGAAUGGAAGCUCAAUGUCAUCCCCAUAAUUGAACCACUUAGGCAAGUGGCUUGAAUUAUUCUCGAAGAACCUUAGUGAGUAAUCUUUUAUCUGCAUAAAAAACAAUGCCAUUCACAAAAUGCCAAAUGGGAUUCCUCAUGACAAAAGUUCACGCUUCGAAAGGCAAACUAGAUUAUAGUUUUCUCAAUCUUUGAAAAAAGUGACAUCCAUCUCUAGAUAGUAAGUUCAAGCAACUAGGGUCAGAAAGAUAACCCAACUAGGGUCAAUCAAUCGCACUUACAGUGAACUUUGUAACUCGAAUGGAGCUAGAAAUUAGAUCAAAGAGACCUGCUGCUUUGUAUAUUUCAAGAACAAAAGCUACACAUGAGGCAGACUUCCCAUCACUGUAUACCCAAUCAUCUUGCUCUGGAAUUGUCAGCAGUUCAGCAAAAGAUGGCCCCCUCAUUUCCCUUUCGACUAUUAGAUCAGGAAGAUCCAAGCCCUAUAUGCAACACAAUUGUAAGGUCGCCAUAAAGUAAAUUGCAAUUUGAAUGGGAUGGUACCUCUGUUCCUAGUUGCUUGUUGAGUGCUUCAUUCCGCAUGUUCGCAGCAUAGGCUGGUUGCAUUUGGUUCCAUACUGUCAUAACAGAAGCAACCUACAAUAAUACAAUGCUCUCUAUAAAAUGAGUGAACCACACUCCGAUCAUGCGAAGAAAGCACCCGACAUGGCGAGCAUAUUACAUGCAUCAUCAGCCGGGCCGAUAAAAACUCUUAAGAAAAGAUGAACAAAGUCCACUAUUUUGCUGCCUUAGUAUCAUAUAGGAGGCCAUAAAAAAUGAAUAUUUGUCAAACCAAGUCAGAUUCUUUUCCACAAUAUUAGCACUCAAUAGAGUCACAUGCUAAUCUGCUAUUUGGGGAGAUCACUGUUCAGUUUUUAGCCUUUUGCUUUGCUCAGUUGAAUCCAUUCGAAAUCAUGGUAUGACUGUCUAAUUCCAGCAAGACCAUGCUGUUAGGAUCUGACACAUGGCAUCAUUAUAUUUCAAGGUUUAUCAAAGUAAGGGUAAAUUGAUGUUUUGUAGUUAGGUUGAGAAGCAGAAACUAUUUCAUAUCCAGCAUCAAAGAAUCUCAAGUCACCUACAACACAAGCCCUUAGUGUUAGAAAAUUGUCUAAGACAAACCGAAUGCACCCACAAAAUAUUUAUAAACACAUAUGCACAUGUACAAUCUCUGUACCACAUGAGCAUCCAAUGGCGGUGGAUAAUUUGCAUCGAUAGUGUCUAUCCAGCUAAAGAGCAUGUUGUGAUAACCAUAUGGUUUCCAUUCAUAAACUAAGCAUACUCCGAUGCAGCAGUCUCAUUGAAUUUGAUUUGCAAAUCAGGAUGUAGUUGGAGCAAUGCAAUGUGGGGAUUUGAGUCAUCUUUGUUAAGCUCAAACUCCCACCAUUCUUCGCAUGGGAGCACAGCAAUGACUUCUCCCUGUAAUGAUAAGAACAAAACAAAAAAUUGCAUUAUCUCCAUUACUAUAGUGGACUUCUGUAACAGCUGUCCCCUUUACCAACACAAAAGGACAGAGCAAGCAGCAAUAACCCAAAUGUGAAUUUAAAUUUGUUAAUCAAGUUCUGCCUCGAGUAAAGGACGUCAUUUCAUCGAAUUCUAACCAUAAUCAUCAUCAGUAAGUUGCCAUGUCUCGUGUAAAGAUGGGUCUUGAAGUUCAAUAGAAACAGUUCACACUGUAUUUGCUAUUUUACAAAUAUGAUGAUGCCACAAUAGAGCUUCUAGUAGGAGCCUAAAUAGGAUUUGCUCUAGUUCAUCAUGAACCUGAAGCAGCCUGUCAUCAUUUACUUACUCAUCCUCUCUUACAAUCAAAAGUUUCUACAGGAGCACAGAAAGGAAAGACCUGUCUUAUUAGAGAAGAUAAGAUAAGCAAGGAAAUUUAAGGACAUACGGGUGUAAUAUAAGCAAAAUUAAUAUGCAAAAUGGAACAAUGUCAAUGGAACUGUAUUUGUAAGAGAAGAAGUCUAUGAUUCGACAGAAGUUACGUUUAUACAGUAAUCGCACUGGAAUCCCAUGCCCCAAAAACCUAAGGGUUCAGCAUACGACAUAUUACAGAAACACCACAGUGAGCCUAGUUGUUCUUCUCAAUUUGUACAUGACAACCCUUUUAUAAUCAGAGAAUGUAUAAGCAGCAUCAUAUGGGUGUCUUAAAAAAUGAAUGGCAGAUGAGCACAGGGAAUUGAGGAGGAGGUGUAGAAAUAAUAACUCAAACAACUGGAAGGGGUGUUUCAGAUGUUUGAACGUUUGUUUGUUGGAUAUCCCAAUAUAGAAACAAUGUGGCCAAUUCUAGCCAGUUAUCAACCGGCAGCCAUGUUAAUAUUGGUUCUAUGCAACUGGUUUAAAAAUACACUUCACAAUUACAAUUGCAAAGACAGCAGUAGGCAGAAAGAUUGGAUGAAAUGUCAAAAUUCAAAAAUAUAUACAUCAAAAGCAAUCUAUCAAUGUUUGAAAACGAAGAACAAAAAGGAGCAGAUAAAAUGCUUAACAACAAUCGCAAAGUAAUUCUUUUCCUCGAAAGGCUUUUUCUCCACUAGUCAAUAUAAAAAUCAGUCCUUCAAACUGAAAGAGAAGUGCGCUUACACGUAUGACCAACCCAUGGCUGUUGCCAAAUUACCUGUUCAUUAUCAUGUCCAGAUUCACCAACCCAUAGCUUUCCUUCAGAAUCCUUUAAGCACACAGCUGUGUGACCAGCAUAUGCCCCACUGACCCAUUUCUCUAGAGUCUCAAAACCACCCCACCUCCCUUGAAUUUUUGAAAUUGCAAGGAAAUCUCCAGAGUGGAUAUCAUCAAUGCUGAUGUUUGUAACCCAGGGCUGGGGACGUUGCUCAAAUGAAGCUCCCAUAUGCUUCUUGAGAAAACCAAUGUUAGAUUUCUCCCCCUACCUGGUAUUUGAAAACAAGGGAAACACGUCCCACAGUGCUUGAAGGGUCCUUAGCAUCCCGGCUUGCAUCGGAAAGAUUGACACUCCUCUACUUGUCACCUGUAAUCCAAAUAUUGGAAAACCAAGUGUAACAACUUCUACUAUGCACAAAGGAGCAGAAGAGAAAAAAGAUAAUUGCAGCUUACAUAUUCAAACUCGGCUUUUCCUUCCCACUCUUUGAACUCGAAUGUGUGCUCACGGGAUAAAAAAUAGUAGUCCCAUGUCACACAGUAUGGGGUUGCAAAGACAUAAAUAAUACGUGUCCAGCUAUGGGCUUUGCUGACCUGGAUGAGCAAUCCAAACUCAUGAUUACAAGCCGGAUACCUACAACUAGUCAUCAGUUCAUAUUCAACAGAACUGGAUGCAAAAACAGGGACUAUUAACAUGAAUGGAUAGUACCCACCCAGAUUGGAAUGGCCCCCACAAGAUAAUUUGAUUUUACAUCAAAGGAAACAACCAUACUUGAAUGAGCAACCAAAUCCAAAUCACCAAAUCCUUCUUCAACCACUUAAAACCCAGACACAAAAAACUCAAGUGACCAACCAUGGUACCACCAAUUCGUGGAGCUUAAUCAAGUACAAACAAGCAGAGGAAAGGAAAAGAAAAGAAACCGUGGCAAGUGACGAAAUCCACUUAAAACAUAUUGAAGUAAGAAAUGAAAGAUUCCAUGACUCAGAUUCCAACAUAAAUAAGUAGAAUGAGAAAAGAGGAAUAGUUGGGAUCAAGUGCAAAGCCUGAACAUUGAAUGAUAUUCUCUAACAUCCUUUGAAUAAUUAAUUUUCUUUCACAACUCUAUACAUAAUGGUAUGAGUGCACGCUUCAGUUGGUAAGAAAAAUACCGUAAGUAGAUAGAAACUCUAUCCAGUUCAGUACUUUUAGUCCAUUGGAAAAAAUCAACCUCAAAUUAACCAAGAUAGAAAGCUCAAACUAAGUACUGAAGUCACCAAGACUUAAAUUGAAAACUGCGAAAAGCCGGUGGCCAUUAGACCCCAUCAACAAACCGACACAACCUCACAUCUACCAGAAUUAUCAUAAAAUCGAACUGCAGCGAAUUGAAUUAAGCAGUGACAGUAGGCAAGAAAACCUCAAAAGCUGGUGAACAGUGACCAUCUCUCCACAUUGCCAAACCGCCACAAGCUCAAACCUCCCAAAAUCAUCACAGAAUCGCACUCAAACACAAGGAUUUCCGUUCCGUUCCAUUAGGUUCCCGACUAUUCAACCAAAAAAAAAACCCAAGGCUUGGGAUCAUCACUCCAGUCCAUUGCUCUCCCCGUCAUUUCCCAAUUCCAUUCCAUUCAACCGUACCUAACAGAAAACCUUAUCUUCCAGAAUCGCACUCGAAACCAAAUAGAGACGAAGCCAAAGCGACGCGAUGGAACUAAAGGACGGACCUUGAUGUGAAGCGUGCCUCCCCCGAACUCGCUCCCGGUCUCGUUGUGGAACUCCAACCAAGCGGUGUUCUCGUAGAAGCAAGCUCUUUUCCACGCCAGAGUGCCGUUGGAGGGAGAAGCGCCGCCGCCGACGAGCCAUUGGACGGCGAAGGGCGUUGAGGAUGGAACAAGAGAGCUGCCGAGAAGCUAUGGAAAUUGGGGCGGGUCUCCCCGGUGACCCGGAUCAUGUAUCAAACUAUCAAAAGUGUGAUGUGAUAAUUGUAGAGGGGGAGAGGAGCGAUUCGUUUUGAUCGUCCUUGGACGCUUGGUAAUUACUAGUUAGUGUGCCUGGCCAAGUAGAUGAAACAUUAAAGCAUAAUCGGAGCUGAAAAUAUUCUGCAUUUUUAUAUUAUGUAUUAAUUCCACUAAAAAAAUCUUAAAAUAUAUCUACGGUAGUGAUAUUAAUGUUUUAAUUUUUUUAUGGCAUAGAAAACCUUAAAAAAAAAAGGUUUGAAAUUAGUAUUGAUUUCACAUUGAAUAAAAGUUAAAAUUUUAGAGGUAACCUAAAAAUAUUUUAAUCAUUUUAGUGUAGGGAUCGGCAAUUAGGAAUCUCCACGAAUGAUCUUAGCUUGUGGGAGCACAGAUACUUCGGGCUCGUAUGGUCUGUCCUCAAGUUCUUCAGGAGUGUCCCAUCCCACCUUCUUCUAUAUAGUCCUUUAAGAGAGAGGCGAAUUUUUCUUGGCCACUAGCAUAACUCUUCCGAUCUAUACUUCUGGCUCCUCCUAAUGGAUCAGCAACAGUUAAAUAAAUUUGAUCAAUAUGGAAAGCAAGAACUUAAAUUUGCUAAAUAACCGAUGCCCAACCAAGCUCGCCGUCAAACCACGGUCAUUGAUAGCUUCAACUUCACUUAUAUUGCUUACCCGCCCUCUUCUAUCGCCACGAAGACUUUCACUAUCCCGCUUUUUUAGGACUUAGAUAACAUCAAACAUCUCCAUCGCUGCUGGAUAAAAGUUGAAACAUCAUAAAGAAGUCAAUGCUUUGAAAAACUCUUCCUUAUAGUAUUUCAUCAAUGAUGUACUUCUUAAUUUUGUAUGAAGAAAUGUGUUUGUCAUCGGUAUGGAUUCAACAUUUACCUCAACUUUGUCGUAUCCAUGCAAUUAUGGAUUCAACAUUUACCUCAAUUUUGUCGUAUCCAUGCAAUCUUUCUUACUGUGAAACUGUGUCUUGAGCUUGAGCCCGUAUACAGGAAUCUAACCCACGUUCGAAGAAUUUAUUGAUCGAAGUCACGCACAAAAUGCAGAGUGUUCUUUUAUAAAUUAAUGUGCACGCAAGUCUUGGACUUUUCUCUGCUAUCUCCUACUGUCCUAUUAUCAUUUUUUCACUUUUUUGUUUGAAUCCCCUUUUUAUCAUUGAAGGAGCUGAACGUCCAUUUUUCACGUCCACACUUAACCAAAUCCAUUGGCGCUGGUUUCGGAUUCUUGUUCGAUCAGCGAAAUGGGAAAACUCGGCACCGAAGUUGGCGUCAGGAACGAUGGCAUUCUUGAGGCCUAGCCUCAAAAUUCGAGUGGCAUGGAGAGGGUGCUUCCGUCCCAAGCUCUGCUGGAGAACGGUGACGCUCAACGGGGUGAUCAGAGGCACAUGCGUACGGGCUUGGAGCAGGACGGGCAAACGGGGCCGCUUUGGAUUGGAGUGUGAGCUGUUUCCGCCAUUUUCAUGGAACUGCGAGGGACGCUGGUGGUGUGACCUGGUUGGGGAAAGGAUGGAGCUUGAGGAGGACGGUCAGGGACACGUAUUGAAACCCACUUGACUUAAGGUUCAAGAACGGGUUUGCAAAUCGGAUUCGGCUUGCGAAAUGGACCUGCAUCUAUCUAGUAUGGAGAAGUUUUUUCCAGAAAUUGUGAGACGAUUUCGGGAAUUUGAAAGAAACAGAAGGGGCCAGAGCACAGGGCAAUUUUAAUUUAUUUUGGCCAAACGUUCCAGCAAAUAGUUUCUUCGCCUAAAGACUUCCCUUUUUUCUUCGUAGAUUUUAGCAAAGGAAGUCCAUCUGCUCUUUGGAUUCUCAGAUGCUGAUCUCUUUUUGGGCUUCAGAUUGUAAGAAAAGAGAGAAUUUUGGGCAGCACUACUUAAGUCUCUGCGUUUAUAAAGGAUUUCAAACAUGAUAUUGCUCUAACUUGUCGAUCGAAAAUGUUGUGCCUCAUAUGCUGCUUCGCUCUUUUGGAUCAAAGCAACAUGACCCCAAUUAAACUUGUUUCAACAUUAAACUAUCGGGUAUAGAAUACUUGAUCCACUUAGUAAGGGUUUUGGCUUUUUAGCCUAUAAAAUUGAUUCCAAAACAAGGUGAUCCGGUCUUGUUCCCGAUUGGAUAUUCACUCGGAACCUAUUCUUGAACCGAUUUGAACCGGUUCCAAAAAUUUGGAAUCUAUUUGCAGACCAACUCCGACGGGAACCGGCACUUGAACCUAUUUUUCGAGCAGUCCAAUUUGGUUCCUAAGUAGAACCGCUUUGGUUGCACACCGGCUACAUUGCUUUUCCAUUUUCUCUUUUUGUCCUUGGACCGAUUUGUGUCAGUGCUGCUUCAAUAGACAGCCUGCCGAGAGGCCUUCAACUGCUAUGUUGCUUGAGCAUGCUUUCCUGCGAAUUUGAAGUUGCAGAUGACUUUUUUCAUGCGCCAUACAUUGUUGCAAAAGGAAUGUUAUAUUGUAAGUGCUCAUGUUUACUUAACCAAAAAGAUUAGAAAGAGGAAGUGCAGAAAACGUUAAUGGAGGUAAUUAUAAUGCUUGAGAUCCCGAAAACAUUCGUAAGUCCAAAUGGCGGAGUACAGCAGAGACCUCAAUGAAUGAGAGUUCAACAAGAAUAAAAUGUCAUUUCACACAUAAUCAACGCAAUCAUGCGAUAAGAACUUGAUAAAAAAUUUGCCCAAGGGCUUGUCAUGGCAGGCAGACGGGAAGAGGCUUACCUGAAAGGAGAUUUACCCAAUCUUUCAUCUUUACAUCGUCUUUGACCAUCUACCACAGACUCGAACACAUCUAACAAUCGAUCCAGCUUAUAUCAAAUUACCACCGAAAUCUAAUGCAAAGAAAGAACAUUAACCUCUUUGACUCAUAUCAAAUCCCAGCCCGACAAUGGUGGUCCCCUCCUUUAGGUAUCCAAAUCUAUUCUCUCUCUUUUUUUAAGGAAAUUCUUUACAUGAUCCAAGUGCUAACAAUACUCCUGACACGACAAUUCAAUUCUUCCGAUGAGAUUAUUUCAACAUUUAUAAUAAGAAUUUUUUUUAUGAUCCUUAACGUUCAUUCCCACCACCGCACUUGAAUGGAUCCAAGAUUCACUUUUUGAGAAGAUCAAAGUCUUAAAUUAAAGGACUAUUACAUCCUCCAGAUGGAGAAAUGCACUGGAGAAGAGGAAAGAGACUUGAAAGCCCAGCUCUUCGGUGUCCACGGCCGAGCGUCCUUGAGUGAACUUCCCCUGAUUUUUAGCCCAUAACAUGUGGUGGAUUGGUUGGCGAAUUGGGCUAUUGACACUCAACAUUCAUGCGUCCAAUUCUGUUACACGGACUAGGGGGCGCAGUCGAUUGCGCGCGUGGCUGCAUUGCUUGCUGAUACGCAUCUCAAUAAAAUUUUGCUUUCGAAUUUUUUUAACUCUUUUUUUUUUUUUUUGGCGUUUGAAAAAUAAGAUGGACAUUCCCCUGCCAUGAUAUGACCCAACAAUGGACAAGCCCGUAAGCAAUUCGACAACGUUGCUUAAUCUAGAUGUCCUCUUCUGAGUGCAUUCGAGUUAUAAACAUUUGUGUACGAAGGACAUCUAUUCAUCAAAACCAAUGUUCAUAUGGAGCCAAAAAAGCACCACAUCAGCAAACACAAGCUAGAACACAAAAAAAAAAAAAAAAGAGGAAAAAGAAAUGAUGAGUACAUUAGACGUGCUACAUUUUUUUCUUAUUAGUGCAAUCAAAUACUUCGUCAGUUCCAUUCGAUUUGAGAGAUUGAAAAUAUUGAUAUGAUGUACACUAAUACAACACCAUUUUAUAAGGGUCAAAUUCCUCAGUUCAACCAAAAAAAAAAAAAAUCAAACCAUUUUAUAAACAUUUGGAAUGUAAAGGCUUAAUUCUACGUGUCUAUGCAAUUUCAACAAGUUUUUGAUCAAACUAAAAAAGUCAACUCUAGUUUUUUUUCUUGACCGAGAAAUCUAGAUCGGGCGAGGGUCGCCGGCCCUCACUCACUUUUGGCCAAGGGCUGCCAUUGGUGGGUGCCGAAACCUCGUAGUGAGGGCCGACGAUCCUCGCCUAGAAUAGUCAAGGGCUAACAGGCCCUUGCUUGCAAUCAAUGAGCCCCUAGUUGUGAUUGGCAAGAGUCGUUGACCCCAAGCCAAGGCCCAACACCCUCGCCAACCAUUCCCCCACCAUUGCCGGCCCUUCCUGGCAAUGGUGAGGCGGUGGCAAGGGCUUGCAGCAAGCCUCGCCAUUCUCGCCAUUGGUUUCCAACUUUUUUUUUUAAUUUAGCUUUUUUUAAUUUAAAUAUAAUUUGUAUAAAAAAAAAAAAGCAUAUUUGGAUCAAAAUGACGUUAUUUAAGGCUUAUGUUUCAUGUUUUAGUCACAUUAUCACCACGUAGGAGAGAGAAAACAUUUUAAAAAGUCACAUCUGCAUUUUCCUUUAACUAAGCUAGAUGGAGUAAAUGGAAGGACUUGAGUGCACUAAUUUGACAAGUUUAGGUACUUGAUUAUACUUUUUAUAAGUUUAGAACUCAAUUGAACUUUCAUGAUAAGUUUUAAAUUUCAAGUGCACUUUUUUUACCUAUUAUCCUAUUUGAAAUAAAAACCAAACCAAAAAGACCCAAAUAAUUUCGGGUCAGUUUAGGUAUUUUUGACACCACUAAAAAGAGGCGAGUUUUAUAAGAAGCAUGCGAGUCAGCUUCUAACGUAUUACACAUUUAUACCUUUCCAUUUUUUUUUCUCACCUACACACUGUAUUUUUUUUCUUCCAAGAACCUCCCCUUUUUUGUCUUGCUUGCAGGGCAUUUGUGGAAGAAAAAAUAGCAAAAUCGAAAUUUGGAAAAAAUAAUGGGGCAUUUUUGGAAGAAAAAUUUCUUGUUCCCAUUCUGCUGCACACACUUCUUAUAAAACUCUCCUGUCUCGCCUCUUAGCGUUGGCAUCACAUUUCUCUCACCAAGCAUCUAGGGGAAAUGAAGAAGAUGAAGAUGAGAAAAUUGGUGGAUAUGAUCAUAGCUUCAAGAAGGAUUGCAUCUUCACAAUGGUGCACAAAAACAUCCCUCAUCAUACUUGUUUUGUGAGAAAAUUGCGGAAAAUUAUCUAAAAAGUUCUAAACCUAUUGCACUUUUGUCAAUUUAGUCAUAAACCUUUUAACAUUGCCAAUUAAAUCCUAAACCUUUUUACUUCUUGCCGAUUCAAUCCAUCCAGCCAAUUUUGGCCGGAAAAUGCUGACGGACGCCAGCAGUGCCACGUAAGAUUGCCGGUACUGACGUUGAAAUUUUUUAAUAAUAUUUUAAUAUUUUUUUGAAUUUUUUUCUAUUUUCCCUUUGUUUUCUUUCUUUUCUUUUUGGCUUUUUUCUUUUCCUUUUCAGGUGGCCGGCCACAGGCCACAACUAGCUGGCUGGCCUCGCCUGCCACAGGGAGGCCCAAUCGGGCAAGGAGGAGCCCUUGCCUAAGCGCAGCCCGACAAAGGUCUCCUGGGUGAGGCCAACUCUCACUCAGGCCAGGGCGGCCUCGCCCUCACCGAGGCGAGCGUCAACCUCACCCAAACUAGAUCUGGAGAGGCCGGCUCUCGCCCUUGGCCGGCUGAUGCUCGCUUAGGCGAGGGCGAGCCUCGGCGAGGGCUCCCCUCACAAGAUCUGGCGAGGGCUGACCCUCGCCUAGGCCAGCGUGGCCUCGCCUAAGCGACCCUUGUCAGGCCACGCCUGGGGGAGGGCUCCCCUCGCUAGGGCUUCUUCUCUUUCGGGUUGGGCCUCAUUUGUGGUGGGCGAGGCCAGCCGGCUAGUUGUGGCCGGUGGUCGUCCACCAAAAAAGGCCAAGAAAGCCAAAAAAAAAAAAAAAACAUAAAAAAGAGGGAAAAAAACAUAAAAAAAUAUUAAAAAUAUUAAAAAGUAUUAAAAAUUAUUAAUGUCAGCGCCGCGCGGUCCUACGUGGCACCGCCAGCGUCCACGUCAGCAUUUUUCGGCCAAUAUUGACCGGAUGAACUGAAUCGGCACGAAGUAAAAAGGUUUAUGACUGAAUUGAUAAAGGUAUAAUAGGUUUAGGACUUUUUGGGUAAUUUUCCCGAAAAAAUUGCAAUACCAAACGCUAAAGUGCAAGACGAGAGACUUUUAUAAGAAGUGAAUGGAAGUGAAGGUGCUUCCAAAAAGGGCAUUUUCGGAAGGAAAAGUGCUUGUGCAGCUAAGGGGGGAAAGAGGGGAGUCUUAUAAGAACUGAGGUAAAAGUACUUCCAAAAAGGGCAUUUUCGGGAAAAAAAAGUGCUGGUCAUAAGAGCUUUAUAAAUAGUGAUAUGGCUUCUUAUAAAACGUUUUAUACGAAGUCGGAAAAGUUUUGUAAGAAGUGACGUGGCUUCCUCUAUAAGGGCGAGGCAGGAGACUUUUAUAGGAAGUCAAUGAAAGCGAAACUGCUUCCGAGAAGGGCAUUUCGGCAGGAACAGUGCCUGUGCAGCUAAGGGGGAGACAGGAGAGUUUUAUAAGAACUGAGGCAAAAGGGCUUCCAAAAAGAGCAUUUUCGGAAGAAAAAGUGCCGGUCAUGAGAGCUUUAUAAAUAGUUACGUGGCUUCUUAUAGAACGUUUCAUACGAAGUCGGGAAUGUUUUGUAGCGGCUGACUUCGUAUAAAACGUUUGACUUCGUAUAAAACGUUUAAAUGUUUUAUACGAAGUCAGGAAAUUUUUGUAAGUGACGCGGCUUCUUUCUCAUGAAAAGCCCCCAGAGGACGCCGUUCUUCUUUUAAAACUCUCCUGGCCAGCACAUUUUUUUCAAUUCACUUCUUAUAAAACUCUUGUCUCGCCCCUUAGCAUUUGGCACCGCAUUUCUCUCACAAAACAAUUCACUCAUGGGGAAUGUUUUUACGCGCCAUUGUGAAGACGCGAUCAUUCCUGAAGCUGAAGCUGUGGUUAUAUCUGGUAAUUUUCUCUUCUUCAUCUUCUUCAUCUGUGAUUCACGGUCACCCAUAGACGUUUGAGUUGAGUUUGAUUCUUAUGUUAAAAUUUACGUACUUCAUUUCCUUGAGAUUCAAUUGUUUCGCUUAGAAAGUUUGUCAACUAGGUAAGGGCUGACGAUUAAGUGUUUGUUUUUCUCGCUUUUAAGCUUGUAAAGUACAGAGAACUAGUCUUUUGAUAGUUAAAAAAAAGUACAGAGGAGUAGUCUUGUAAAGGUUGAUCAACUGGUAGAAUUGUGUGGCAAUCAUUAUGAGACCGUGAUGUAAUGCCUCUUUAUUUUUCUAAUCCAUAGAUCUAUUUCCCCUGUCUACCAUACGUAAUGAAGAAGAGGGCAGUGAAGAAGUUGAAUUACAAGAUGAAUUCGCCAUCGUCAAUUUCCCCAUUCAAGGUGGAGAUGGCAAUAUCAUACCUAAUGAAGAAGAGGGCGGUCAAGAAGUUGAAUUACACGAUGAAUUGAUUGCCAUCAUUGUCCCCAUUCAGGGUGGAGAUGGCAAUACCAUACUUAAUGAAGAAGAGGGCGGUCAAGAAGUCGAAUUACACCAUGGAUUGAUUGCUGUUGUUGUCCCCAUUCUGGAUGGUAAUGGCAAUGGUGACGGCCAUAUUGAGGAUGGCGACAACAAUGUUGGUGACAAUGAAGUGGAGCAAGAGGUGCAGGAGGUGGAGAGUGAGCAGGACGGCAGCGAGGGGGCUGGUGGUGUGGGGGCUGUUGUUGGUCCUGCCAUUGCUGGUGAUAGAGCUGGCUUUAUUGUUCUGGCAAUGGUGCUGGUCGGGGCGCUCUUCCUGUGGAAGAUGCGGCUGAUAACUUUGCUGGAGUUGCUUUUGAUAGUGGUGGUAGUAUUGGCAGUAGCCUUGCUCCUUUGGGGCAUGGAUGGGCUAAACUUGAUAUGGGUCUUAAUCCUAAGACUCAAUGUUAUCUUAGUAUGAUGAAGAGAUUGACGCGUGGAUUGCCAUGUGAGAUGUCUAGGUGGACUUCUUUGGAUGAUUUUCAGUAGAACAUUUUUGUUGCAGGAACCUCUGUUUGUAUCCUUUCUUCAUCAUGUACACAUUUGUAUCAUUACUGGUUAUGCUGUCAAUCUACUUGGCAGGAAUAAACAUGUUCAUAAUUUAUUAACAGCUGAUUGUUCUCAUAUUGGUAAUAAUUUAAGUGCACAAUAUGUAAGGAAUGGGGUAAGUAACGGCCAAUAAAAGAUUAUCCCUAAAUAUUAUGCGAGAUCUAUAAGAUAAAUUAGCAACUCUCCUUUACCACAAAACCUGAUGGCAAUUUGAUGAACUGUCAUGUUUUCUUAGGAUUAGUAUGUGCACAAGUAGUUACGGAAUCUUAACUUUCACAUAAAAGGAUGGUCAGUAAGCUUUUCUUUACCCAUGAGCUUAGCUCUCCUUUUUACAUUCAGCUGGACUCAUCAAUGAUGGAGGGUCAUUUGAUUCAAUCUUCUACGUGAUGUUGAUGCAUAUAUGAUUACGUCUAAAUAGAUGUGACAAAUGGGUGGUGGACUAGAUUGAUUUUGGAUGGGUUAUAAAUAGGUUCAAUUCAAAUUCACCCAUUUAAUUGACGUUGACCCAUUUAUUUUCUACACAAUUUAUAUGAUACAUAGCCAAUCCAAACCCACCAACAUAACUCACAAUUUUUUUUAUUAAUACCAAUUAAGCAAUUAUCAAAUUAAAAAUAAUAAAAAUUAGUAGGGAUAAAUACACUCAAAAUUCUAAACUUAUCAUAAAAGUAUAAUUGAAUCAUAAAAUUAUUAAAAUAUGUAAAGUACUAAAAUUUAUCACGAAAAUUCAAUUGAAUCUAAAAAUUUUCAAAAAUAGUAAUUUAAGGGAUUUUUUUUUUUUUCCCGUUCACAGGCUCCCCUUCUCUCUCUCUCGCUCUCUCCCUCUCUCUCUAUACUCGCUUUUUGGAAUUAAAGAGGAGAAAAAUGGAUUUUUUGCACUAACCUCCUUCCACUUCCUCUGCUUCUUCACGAACGACCAUAAACCUUCACAAACCAAUCCCUUUUUUCUCUGCCAUGCUUUAGUCGCCGUGUCCUUUGCCCCGGAUGUUGCCGGUGACACCGUGGCCCAUCUCUGAGCUCGACGGCGAGAAUUGAGCCGCCUAGAUUCAUCUCGCGCCUCUAUCUCUCUCGUCCUCCCCUUUCGACUUCGGAUGGCGCUGAUUCGAGCCAUUGAGAUAAUUUCAUCUCAGAUUCACGGCCGAGUCGAGGCCUAGAUCUGAGAUCUAGGGCUCAAUCGAGCUCCACCGAAGGCGAGGGCUCAGUCGAGCUACACCAGAGGCGAGUCUCGGAUCUCGGCAUCUUGUCGGUGCCGGAGAAAUGGAGAGAGAUUGCCGUAGUGAAGGCUUGGUUAGAGAGAGAGGUGGGUUGGGUUUCUUGGUUCAAACGUGUUAAAGAGGGAGGAACUCUGGAAGUGAAGAACCCCAGGCAAUGCGAAGAUUGCCGCAGUAUGGUUUUUUGGGUUUGGCUCCAAGAAGCAAUGAAUCAAAAUGCGUUUCGGUUCGGUUCAAAUACUCGACCUGAACCGAAAUGAUACAACACCCAUCUUUUUUACCUAUCACCCGAUCUGGAAUGAGACACGAAUCAAGAAGACCCGAAAAUUUCAGUUUGGAUUGGGCCGGGUUUUUUCUGACGCCCCCAACGAGAGGGAAGUUUUAUAAGGAGUGUGUAAGUUGCCCCUUAGCAUUGGCAUCGCAUUUCUCUCACAAAACGUCUAGGGGAGAUGAAGAUAAAGAAAAAUGCCAGAUAUAACCACGGCUUCAAGAAUGCUCGCGUCUUCACAAUGGUACCCAAAAACAUUCCCCGCGAGACUCGUCUUGUGAGAGAAAUGUGAUGCCAAACGCUAAGGAGCGAGAUGGGAGAGCUUCAAAGAAACUUGAAUAGCUACUUCAACACACCCCGGCGCCAUAUCUCCCUCUCUUUGGUUCCGUUUUCCCUUUUUUUAUUCGUGGAUUAAGUAAUCGACAAUCAAGAGUACCCUCUCCUAUUCCUCAAUCUUAAGAUGCUGUCUGUCGGGGGACGUCGGAAAAUGAAGUAUCUCUAAUCAUAAAUCAAACAAUCAUCGACCCAAAAACAUCCGACAGCUGAUCUAGCUUCUUGGGAUUGUCCUCCUUCACUGUGGACAUGACCCCUUGGAGAGCGAAGAAAAAGAACAUCCAGCAUUAGGUUGACUUCUAACUUCUCCAUAGAUGCUCAUCGCUCCCAACUCGCCGUCGGUGGAUUUGAGCUGCGCCUACAAGAUCUAGGUUUGUCGAAUUUUUUUCCUAUCAAACGAGUUAACAGCUUCAACCAUGGAUUCUAACUGUAACUUUCUCUUUCUUUCAUCCACUCUCUCUCUCUAUAUCAGCACAACCAAGUUCAUCACUCUAAACUAAGUGGCCUCAAGUUCAUCAAUGCCAAGGGCAUUAGGAGCAAGAAAUUGAAGUACCAACCUUUCUUUAAAAUUUUGUGAGACUACUACCAACUACUUUUGUCCAAUAAAAUCUCACAUGAUACAUGAUUAUGAGAUCUUAAGCCCAAACAAUUCAAGGCCCCAAUUUGCGCCCCCUCUUAUAUAGCUCAACUCUUUAGACUUAAGCCAAACUCUAGUCUACGCUUGAGGGAGAUUGGUAGAAUAUUUUAAUAAAAUCAUAUCAUCAUCUAAUAGUUUAAAUUAUUAGAAUGGUUGUAAGUGGUCUCACAAAAUAUCAUGCUUCUCCCCUUCUUGAGGGAGUUUACACAACUAAACAUGCUAUUAGAUAGUGCAAGUGUGUGGACUAUGUAUAUUUUCUUCAAAAAAGAUAUUAAAUGCAUUUCUAGCAAUAUAGGUGUUACUUAGGCUCUAUUUGUUUCACAUAAAAUUUCCUUUAAAAAAACAUUUUCCUCAUUUUCUGGCAUUUGGAUAUCUUAAGAAAAUAAGUCAACUUAAUAUAUUUUCAUAAUUAAUAUAAAACAUAUGCUUAAAUUCAGAAAAAUGAUUUCCUAUUUUAAAAAUCAAAAAUCAUUUUCCGGAAUACGGUUAGACAUUGGCGCUUGUAACUAAGAUCUUCGUGCUUGAGCAUAGGAGCCCUAAUAUUCGUGUUCGGGUCCUCAAUUGUGGGACCCAAUUCCACAAUGGCCAAGCUCAAGACUCCGAUGACCAUACUAGAUCCCUAAUGGCCAUGCCUAAUACCGUGGUGCCCACUCCUAGGUCCCUAAUGGCCAUGCCCCACUACUCGAUUUUCAAGCCUAGGUCCAUCGAGACUGGGACUAGUUCCUUGAUGGUUGGGCCAAGGUCUACUAAGGCUAAGCCUAGGUCCCUUGAUGCUUAGCCCAAGACCCCGAUGGUCAUGGCUAAGUCCUUGGCAGUCUUGCUUGAGUACUCAGCUCCUACACCAAAAUCAUCGAUGCUUGAGCCUAGGUCCAUCAAGGCCAAACACAAGUCCACAUAGGUUGAGCAUGGGUCCUGGAUAGCCAUGUUGGGGUACUUGAAUCUCGUGCUCAAUUUACUAGCUGUCAAGCCUUGGUCCAUUAAGGUCAAGCCUAAAUUCAAAGAGGACGAACCUGGGUCGUCAGUGGCCUUGCCCGGGUGCUUAGCUCUCAUGCCCACAUCAUCGGCACUUGGACAUUGGUUCAUCAAGGCCAGGCUCGAUUCUAUGGCAAUCGGGACCAAGUCCCUUGAGGCUAAACAGAAGACACCUUAGUACCUGUGCCUAGGUCCCUGGUGGCCGUGUCCAAGUCAUCAUUACCCAAGCCUAGGACCCUCAUUGCCUAGGUACCUCGAUCCCUGCUCAAGUCAAUGGCGCUCAACCUCAGUUCCUCGACAACUGAGCUCGAUUUCCAUGUGGUCGGGCCAAAGAUCCCAAUGUCCAUGCAUGGAUACUCGGCUUCUAUGUCUAUGUCACUGGUGCAUGGGCUGGGUUCAUCAAAGCUAAGUCCGAGACCUUGGUGCUCAUGCUUGAGUUCCAGUGGUUACACUUGAGAAAGCCCAGCUCCUGCAAUUGAGCCCCUAGUGAGUAGGUAUCCCUCGGCUAGGUAUCCCUUAUAUCACAUGAAAAAUGAAUAUCUCUUUGGGAAAAUAAAACCAAGUUCUUCUUUGUAAAAAAUAAUUACCAAUUCAUGUUCAUAUUUCAACUGAACACUGACAAAUAUUGCCUUUUCCCUAGAAAAUAACUUAUUAUAAGGCUUUUUUUUUUUUUUUUUGGGAAGGUCAAAUCUUUUAUGAAACAAAUGAACCNNNNNNNNNNNNNNNNNNNNNNNNNNNNNNNNNNNNNNNNNNNNNNNNNNNNNNNNNNNNNNNNNNNNNNNNNNNNNNNNNNNNNNNNNNNNNNNNNNNNNNNNNNNNNNNNNNNNNNNNNNNNNNNNNNNNNNNNNNNNNNNNNNNNNNNNNNNNNNNNNNNNNNNNNNNNNNNNNNNNNNNNNNNNNNNNNNNNNNNNNNNNNNNNNNNNNNNNNNNNNNNNNNNNNNNNNNNNNNNNNNNNNNNNNNNNNNNNNNNNNNNNNNNNNNNNNNNNNNNNNNNNNNNNNNNNNNNNNNNNNNNNNNNNNNNNNNNNNNNNNNNNNNNNNNNNNNNNNNNNNNNNNNNNNNNNNNNNNNNNNNNNNNNNNNNNNNNNNNNNNNNNNNNNNNNNNNNNNNNNNNNNNNNNNNNNNNNNNNNNNNNNNNNNNNNNNNNNNNNNNNNNNNNNNNNNNNNNNNNNNNNNNNNNNNNNNNNNNNNNNNNNNNNNNNNNNNNNNNNNNNNNNNNNNNNNNNNNNNNNNNNNNNNNNNNNNNNNNNNNNNNNNNNNNNNNNNNNNNNNNNNNNNNNNNNNNNNNNNNNNNNNNNNNNNNNNNNNNNNNNNNNNNNNNNNNNNNNNNNNNNNNNNNNNNNNNNNNNNNNNNNNNNNNNNNNNNNNNNNNNNNNNNNNNNNNNNNNNNNNNNNNNNNNNNNNNNNNNNNNNNNNNNNNNNNNNNNNNNNNNNNNNNNNNNNNNNNNNNNNNNNNNNNNNNNNNNNNNNNNNNNNNNNNNNNNNNNNNNNNNNNNNNNNNNNNNNNNNNNNNNNNNNNNNNNNNNNNNNNNNNNNNNNNNNNNNNNNNNNNNNNNNNNNNNNNNNNNNNNNNNNNNNNNNNNNNNNNNNNNNNNNNNNNNNNNNNNNNNNNNNNNNNNNNNNNNNNNNNNNNNNNNNNNNNNNNNNNNNNNNNNNNNNNNNNNNNNNNNNNNNNNNNNNNNNNNNNNNNNNNNNNNNNNNNNNNNNNNNNNNNNNNNNNNNNNNNNNNNNNNNNNNNNNNNNNNNNNNNNNNNNNNNNNNNNNNNNNNNNNNNNNNNNNNNNNNNNNNNNNNNNNNNNNNNNNNNNNNNNNNNNNNNNNNNNNNNNNNNNNNNNNNNNNNNNNNNNNNNNNNNNNNNNNNNNNNNNNNNNNNNNNNNNNNNNNNNNNNNNNNNNNNNNNNNNNNNNNNNNNNNNNNNNNNNNNNNNNNNNNNNNNNNNNNNNNNNNNNNNNNNNNNNNNNNNNNNNNNNNNNNNNNNNNNNNNNNNNNNNNNNNNNNNNNNNNNNNNNNNNNNNNNNNNNNNNNNNNNNNNNNNNNNNNNNNNNNNNNNNNNNNNNNNNNNNNNNNNNNNNNNNNNNNNNNNNNNNNNNNNNNNNNNNNNNNNNNNNNNNNNNNNNNNNNNNNNNNNNNNNNNNNNNNNNNNNNNNNNNNNNNNNNNNNNNNNNNNNNNNNNNNNNNNNNNNNNNNNNNNNNNNNNNNNNNNNNNNNNNNNNNNNNNNNNNNNNNNNNNNNNNNNNNNNNNNNNNNNNNNNNNNNNNNNNNNNNNNNNNNNNNNNNNNNNNNNNNNNNNNNNNNNNNNNNNNNNNNNNNNNNNNNNNNNNNNNNNNNNNNNNNNNNNNNNNNNNNNNNNNNNNNNNNNNNNNNNNNNNNNNNNNNNNNNNNNNNNNNNNNNNNNNNNNNNNNNNNNNNNNNNNNNNNNNNNNNNNNNNNNNNNNNNNNNNNNNNNNNNNNNNNNNNNNNNNNNNNNNNNNNNNNNNNNNNNNNNNNNNNNNNNNNNNNNNNNNNNNNNNNNNNNNNNNNNNNNNNNNNNNNNNNNNNNNNNNNNNNNNNNNNNNNNNNNNNNNNNNNNNNNNNNNNNNNNNNNNNNNNNNNNNNNNNNNNNNNNNNNNNNNNNNNNNNNNNNNNNNNNNNNNNNNNNNNNNNNNNNNNNNNNNNNNNNNNNNNNNNNNNNNNNNNNNNNNNNNNNNNNNNNNNNNNNNNNNNNNNNNNNNNNNNNNNNNNNNNNNNNNNNNNNNNNNNNNNNNNNNNNNNNNNNNNNNNNNNNNNNNNNNNNNNNNNNNNNNNNNNNNNNNNNNNNNNNNNNNNNNNNNNNNNNNNNNNNNNNNNNNNNNNNNNNNNNNNNNNNNNNNNNNNNNNNNNNNNNNNNNNNNNNNNNNNNNNNNNNNNNNNNNNNNNNNNNNNNNNNNNNNNNNNNNNNNNNNNNNNNNNNNNNNNNNNNNNNNNNNNNNNNNNNNNNNNNNNNNNNNNNNNNNNNNNNNNNNNNNNNNNNNNNNNNNNNNNNNNNNNNNNNNNNNNNNNNNNNNNNNNNNNNNNNNNNNNNNNNNNNNNNNNNNNNNNNNNNNNNNNNNNNNNNNNNCCCUUCUUCUUCUUCUUCUUUGCCCCCUCUCUUGUUUUGUUAUAGAGGUAUGUUUGACUAAAUCGUUCGAUCAUUCUUGCUGGUGAUCUUUUUCUUGAGGGGAACUCAGAAACUGACCUUUCUUCUUCCUUUCAAUUUUUCUGGUCUUCAAAUUCCGACGACUAUUAUCCACUUCUCAUUCUACGAGUACUUUUGGAUUUUAGGCGACCCAUCAAUAGUUGUCCUUGGUUUUGCUCCCCAUCGCAAUUGUGAAUAAAGGGCUCAGUACACGAGACAAAUCGGCAAAAUAUUUAAUAGAACCUGUAUCAAAGAUGACACGUUUUCUACACAGUAAUCGCCAAUUCACAUUCCAGAAGGAAUCUACCACUUGAAAUACUAGUUCAGAAACUGACAAAAAUAGAGCUACAAGCCUACAACUCUCUUGCUUUCCUUCAUCGCCCGCGCACUCACCUCAUAUCCACACCCACAACAAUGAACUUUUUUUAUCACUCUUCUUCUCUUUCUUCUACCAGUUCUUUUUCUAUUAAACUGGAGAAGAAGUUCAUCAAGAAAGCUACCUCCGGGUUCAUUGCAAAUCCCCAUUAUAGGCCAAAGCCUUGGCCUGCUCCGAGCCACAAGGACAAAUGCAGGAGAAAGAUGGCUUCGAUAAAGAGUGAGGAAAUAUGGACCAAUCUUGAAGCUCAUUCUCUUGGGAAGACGGAUGGCGUACACUCAAUGGACAAGCAGCAAACAAUCUUGUAUUCUGCGGAGACAGCAGCAAGAUUGCCAACAAGCAAACAUCAUCCAUCCGCACGAUUCUGGGAGACUGCAAUCUAUUGGAAGUCAGUGGCCAAGAUCACAGACACGUGAGAGACUCUCUGAUGUCGUUCUUGUGACCAGAAUCCCUGAAGCAGUACGUGGGGAAAAUGGAUGAAGAAAUCAGAAAGCACAUCGAAUUGCACUGGCAGCGCAUGGAAAGAGCUGUGGUAUGUCAAUAUUCUGUAAAACUCCCACUGUUGCCUUGAUCUGUUUGAGAUAUAUCCAAUACAUAACAAGUUUAAGAUACAUAUGGCGUAUGCACUCAUUCUCUCAUAUAACUGGUGUUCACACUUGUAUGGCCUCCGCAUAUAUCGACUAAGAGAAUGAAUGCAUAGAUUAAAAGUGCAAAUAAUCUCUUCAAUAAACAAAAGAAGAGUAAAUGACACUAGUGUUUUGAUUUUUCCUAUAGGCAUGGCCCCUGAUGAAAAACCUUACAUUCAACGUUAUAAGCUCUCUUAUCUUCGGUGUUGAGGAAACAUCUGAAAGAGAGAAUUCUUGCAAAAUUUUCAAGAAAUGAUAGAGGCAAUGUGGUCGAUACCAGUAAAGCUGCCAUUCACACACUACACUAGGAGCCUCUGUGCAAGCUCUAGGGUCCAAGAUCUGUUGAAGGAGCUUGUAGCCUUGUACAGGAGAAGAAAGCAAAAAUAGAGCAGCGCAUUGCCACUCUUUAUCAAGACUUGAUCACGUGCCUGUUAAGUAGGCAUGAUGAAGAAAAUAAACAAGUUGUGACUGACAAGGAAAUUUUGCACAAUAUCAUGCUAAUCAUGGUUGCAGGACAUGAUACCUGUUCUGAUGACUUUUAUGCUGCGUCUUCUAUCAAAGAAUCCCUCUGUUUAAAAAGCUGUUCUUCAAAGUACACAUCCUCUAUUUCCGGCAUCUUUUUAGAUUUGCCGAAUCUGCAUAGGGAUUCCUGCAGCCCAAAAAGGAAGGAAAACAAAACUAAAAGAUGAAUUUGUUAAUUAAUGAAUCUAUUUUGCUGAUGGAAAAUGGAUGACUUGCCAAAUGUAAGAAAAGUCAAUACACAAAUUAUUCGAAGUUUCCGAAGUCAGAUGUCAACUUUAAUAACAAAGCUCAAAAGCAUGUUCUUCCCCCUUAUUGCAAUUCAUAAGCCUCUCUUGCUUUUGCAGAACAAGAAGAGAUAGCAAAAAGCAAGACUUCGAGGAUGGUUCCACCUGUUUUUGCUAGCUUCAGGAUAGCCUUCAAGGAUACCUCAUUCCUAAAGGCUGGCAAGUAAGGAUGCUUGUAACUUUUCCUAUCUCUUCAAAUACUUGCAUUAUCUGCUAUUUAUUCUCUCUAUCUGUGAAACCAGUCGCUUAAUAUACCUUUGGAACUUAACAUGUGAUUUAGAUCUUCUAGGCAUCAAGCAUGACACACAUGAUGAGAGCAUAUUCCUGGAGCCAUCAAAGUUUGAUACUGCUAAAUUUGAAAACCAGAAGAUAGUACCACCCUACAGCUUUAUUGCUUUUGGAGGAGGGCCUUGCAUAUGCCCAGGAAACGAAUUUGCGAGGAUUGAAAUCUUUGCUACAAUCCAUUAUUUGGUCACUCAGUACUCUUGGGAGUUAUGUUCAGAUGAUCAUUACAUGAGGGACCCAUGCCAGUACCUACUCAAGGACUACUGCUUUGGAUUGUGCCUAAGAAACAGAAAUGAUCUUUCCUUGACCAUCCAGGACUUCAACUAUGCCAGCUUUUCAGGACUUAGCUACAUCAAACAUCCCCAUUAGUGGAUAAAAGUUGAAACGCCAUUAACCCAAGAAAGAAGCCAGUGCUUUUAGAAACUCUUCUGGAUAACAUAACAAAGUGUAUUCUGCCAAUGGUGUAUGCUUUCAUUUUAUAUGAAGCUAUAUGCAUGUCAUCAUUACAAAUUUAAAAUUGAGCUUGACUGCCCAGUAUUCAUGCAAUUUUCCUUAUCUUAGCCCCUCCAGAAACUAUCAACGCUUGCUAUAUUAAUAAAACCAAAUGCUGUUUGAACAGAAAAAGGCCUAAUUUUUCUUUUGCUCUUCCAAUUUCUUUGGGUUGGUUUGAAUCUGAUUUAAUUUUUGUGUUUUUCCCUUCUUUCUUGCUUUUUACCUAACAAACCAUGAUAUUUCAACAAACAGUGAUGACAAAGCAUCAAAUUAUGACAAGGAGAUUCAUUUAUAUUGAUUGAAUCAUGCAAUAGUGAAGGUAAAAUUAUUUAUAUUAGUUGAAAGGUGAUCAUUCUUGACAUGGAGUGACAGCAAAAUACUUUCGUACUUUCUCUUUGUAAAGUGAAUAUUGUUUUACUCUUUUAUUUGAAAUCUAACAUGUAGAAAGUAAUUAACUAAGCUAAAUAAUAUAGAGUAAUUUGAGAAAUGGCAAUAUCUAUCCGAAUUCCGACAUGUCAACACAUUGAACUUUGAUGUAAUUAGAUAUAUCUGUGCACGUCAUACUCUAGUAUUCCAUUGAAUUACACCAUAAAUGCUUGAGUAUAUAUUUUGAUACUCAACCCAGUGUGCUUGCUGGUAGUCAAUAUUCACAAAGUUAAAUAAGAGAAUUACAGUGCAGAAAAUCAGCACAUCUUUGGCAGAUUCAACUUAGAAAUAAUUAAGAGGCAAAGGACCUAUAGGUUCUUAAGUCUUUGCAGAACUAGCGAAGAGCUCAAAAAUGCCAAGGCAGGCGAUUGGGAUGCAUGAGAUUCUGCAAAACCUUGAGAAGUGCAAAAGACAGGGGACAGCAGAGACAAAUGAUCAAUGCAAUCAACAGGCACAAAUGAUCAAUGCAAUCAUGCGAUAUGAACUUGAACAGAAAAUUGCCCAAGAGCUCAUUAUGUCAGGGCAAGCUGGAAGAGGCUUACCCUGAAGUGGAUUUACCCAAUCUUUCAUCUUUACAUCAUCUGUGAUCAUCGACCAUCGACUCAAAAACAUCUAACAGUUGAUCCAGUCCCUCCGGACUGCCCCCAACCGCCUUCAUUGCGUAGAUGGCCCUCUCGAGAGUGGACAAACAUCCAGCCUUAGGCUGCUAACUUCUCUGGACAAGCUCAUCACCUCCAAAUCCAACUUCAGAUGAGGCGACGGCUUCAACCAAGGAUUCUCGCUGUACAUUCUCUUCGCCUUCAUCCACGUGCCGUCCAGCACGAUCAAGUUCCUGACUUUGAACUCGGCUGCCUUGAGUUCAUCAAUGCUGAGCGCAUUCUUGGUCGGAAACAGAAGUACGAACCCGCGCGGCACCUCAAGUACGAAUUCCACAGAUUCUUCAAGCUCCAAGCUCGAAUUCGAUACAAGGUUUUGCGAUUUCCUAAUCACAAAUCCAUUCGACAGAACGUAUCGAGGCCCGGAGAUCGGAUUCGGGCGCAGAGACACGUGCGCGCCGGCUUGGAACAGGACGGGCAGACGUGCCGCAUCGGAUUGGUGGAGCGAGCCGUUUCCGACAUUUUUGCGGAGCCGCGGCGGGCGGUGGCGGCGAUCCGGCUGGGGAAGGAGGGAGCUUGAGGAGGAGGAGGGUGGCCGGGGACGCGUAUCGAAACGGGCUCGGAUUCAGGUUCGGGAACGGGUUCGCGAAUCGGAUUCGGGUUGUGAAAUGGACCCGCAUUUCCCCAGAAAUUGGGAGAUGAUUUUUGGGAAUCUUGAGAGAAACGGUAGGGGCCAGAGCGGGCAGUGGCGCUGUUUGGCCAAAACGGUCGAGCAAAUGGUUUUGAAUUUACUAAUGAGCGUGCCAGCGGCGGCCUCUAUGAUUCAAAUCCGAAAAAUAGUGUGCAUAGGCCAAUCGAUGACUGCCGCCAUCAGGUGAGGCUGAAUAUCAUGGCGGCGACCAAGUGGUGGAGAUUGUUCUCGUGGGUUUAUCAUGCUAUGAGACGGCAACCAUUGUAGCAAUGGUCGAAAUCAGGAUGAUGAAUGACCGAAAUCAUGCAUCUAGACACAGUAAGUAUCCACUUAGAUCAAAUGGUCAACAAGUUAACAAUUGAGGCCUUGAAGAUUUUAGCAGAGGAAGUUGAUAUGUUCUUUAGAUCCUUGGACGGCGGUUGCAUUUGCGCUUCAGAUUGUAAUAGCAGCCUCAGGGUUCCUCCUUUCGAAGUCUUCUGAGUAUGUAUCACUUAGACAUCCUAAGCUUCAUAUCAGCUGCUAAUAAUGCUGCGAAACUUCACAUAAAAUUGCCUUCUUGGAAUUUGCAUGAGUAGUGUCCAAUUUCAACCUAGUGAGGAACUUUUUGGCCAAAAAAAAAAAGAAAAAAUAAUUGGUUGAUGUUUCAAAUUAACCAAAGGACGAUGGAUCUAAAUAUCUAAGAAACUAAAGGACUAGCAAAGUCUACUUCCUGUUCGACUUAGAACUGAAAGGAAAAUUUAUAAAAUUUAUUAUUAUGAUUGAUCUUUCCAAAAUGUUGCCUCCUAAAGAAAAGGGAGAAUUUUGGGCGAUACCGCGUUUAAUUUGUUUGUGUUUAGAAAUGAUUUCGAACAUGAUAUUGCAUAAACUUGUUGAUUGAAAAUGUUGUGCCACACACGUUACUACUUGCUCUUUUGGAUCAAACCAACUUGACAUGGAUUGAACUGUUUCAACAUUAAACUAUUCAAAAUAUUUGAUCUGCUUACUGAUUUUAUCAUAUUUGGAAACACGGGCGGGCAAGUUUUCUUUUUGCCCUUUGUUGUCAAAAGAAGAAGAAAGAAUUGCAUAGCUAUCACCUCUAUUUUGACAAAUAUAGUAGCUUCCCAUGUCUGGGAUAAGACGAUGAAACUCGCAAGGGUUCAUCCUAAGUCGGCUUGUGCUUCGUACAAUGUCUUGUAACCGACUUGUUAGCUUAGUACCCCGAUUACCUUAUACUCCUUUUCUUCAAUUAUUAUUUUAAUACACAGAGAGAGGGCCAAUGCUGAGGUCUUGAUGAGCACCGACUACCCUUGAGCAACCACUUCAACACUUCCUGGAAGAGAGAGGAAACACACCUCCUUCUCUUCAUUUCCAUUUUCCUAUUAUUUUGUUUUUUUUUUUUUUGUGGUCUUUGCCUUUUAUUUUUUUAAAAUUUUUGCCUUUUUUUUUAUAUGUCACAUUAGCGCCAUGCAUUCUCAAAAUUUUUAGAAAUGUCAUAUCUCCACUUUCCAUCACUUAAAUUGAACGCAUCUAAUAACUUGAUUGCUUUAAUUAAAUUAGUUUACAACUUCAUAUUACUUUUAUCAUAAGUUCUAGAACUUAGGUGCCCAUAUUAAAAGAAAUGAAAGAAACGUCGAAGAUAGAGAGAGACAAGGGGCUGGUCUUGUGUCCGGUUCAUUCCGGGUCAGCAAGUCGAUAAUGUCACUAGCCAUGAAUUAUGGAGGAACUUGAUUUCAUUAACAGAGAAAAGCUGAAGGACAUAUUUCCUUUUUUCCCCCGAGAAUGACAGCACGUGAAUUCGGAGGAAGCUCCUAGAGGCACGGUCUGUCCUUAAGCCACACGUUAGAUAUAUUAUUGGUAAAUGGUAAUGAACAUCAUAGUUUCUUAUGGAAUGAUCCUCGGCAUCCUCAUGGGGUGUUGUUUGGAUGUUUAUCCCAAAAAACUAAUUUAUGAUGUUGCACUGGGCCUGAACUCUCUAGUUGCUGGUGUCAUUUGUAGAGAUGAGUGGGUUUGUCCUCCAGCAGGAUCAAAAUUGUUUGUGCAUAUUCAAGCAGCCAUAUGUGGAACGAUCUUUCUCCUGCUCUGCUUUUGAGGGUAGAGCAAUUUUCAAAGGAAAUUCCUCUGGAUGCUUCACCCAGGCAGAUGCUAGGAAGUGGGUAAGGGAUAAAAUGCAGAAGAUCUAAUCCAAGUUUGCAUAAAUUCAGCGUUGUAGCUUGGCUUGCUAUCUUGAACAGGCUGCAAACCUUGGAUGGGAUAAAAAGGGGGUCCUCCAUUGAUGACAAAUGUGUCUUAUGCUAUUCUUCCCAAGUCUAGGAAACCUUUGUUUUUUAGGGUGCCUUCUCAAAGGAUGGAGAUCUCUAAUGGGUUUGGUUAAAGUUUGUUGGAACGUUAAUAAUUGGGAUAGAAUGAGUUCUUUAGAGCUUGUAGAGGGAGGUCUUUGACUAAAAUCGUAUUGAAACUCAUUUGGAAUGGUGCCAUCUACUCUAUUUUGGGGAUAGGAAUGGAGUUUUUCACAAUCGUGCUGCUCCUCCGUCUGAUGGAGCUGUUAAAGUGGCGGUCUUUGGUGUGAGACUCCGCAUCAAGCUGUGGUAGGAAACAAAGAGUCUUUCGAAUGAUGCAGAGAAAGCUCUGUAUAUGAUAUUUUGGAUUGUUUGUUAAGUCUGGGCGUUUUCUGUUGUUCUUUCUAUACGCUUCAUAUACUAACCCGAAAAAAAGAGCUAACGGAAUUAAUUGCAAGUUGGAGGAUUUCAUAGCACAAAAAUGAUAAAGCAAGACCGUAUCUCAAUAUUGAGAUAUGGUUUUUUUUUUUUUAACCGACCAAAAAACAAAAGACCGUAUCUCAAUAUAAGAUUUGCAUUUACGGGAUUGGUUCUUAUUUUCUUUUUAUGGUUUCCAGUGCCACUCACCACGUGCAUCUUUCCAUGGAGGUUGGACCUGGCGGCUAGUUCCUUGAUGUUGGUCCGGUCCUAUAAUCCGAAAAGUCCUUUCCUGACUGCCAUUGACUCUGUUUUUCCAUUUCAUAAAAAUGCCCGACUUUUGAUCUUUCUCGAGUACCCCAAAAGCCUGACAAAUCCAUAAACUCCUGAAAAUUUAAACUGGCAACCUCCUGAAAUUCCUGACGCUAAUCCCUUCCGUGGUCCAGAUUGCCAGAGCAGCUUUGGUCCUUCCUUUUCAUCUAUGUUUGCUACUUUGGAAUUUCCAAUUUCGUCGGUUCUUGUCUAUAUCUGCUAUUUACCCACUCUGAGGGAUCCUCAGGUGGUUCUGCUUACUGGGUGAUAUUUCUUUCGUUUUUUUUUUUCGGUUGGAUGGUUACUAAGUGAUUGGGAAAGGGUUUAGUAUGGUUUCUUUUUUAUACAUGCAGAUCUUGGCUGACUUCAUUCUUUUCUAGUUAGCUCGAAGUUGUCUCCUCUCUCGUAGCUCAGAAUAAGUGAUGCCUAGAGAGGUUGAUCCAUUUCGGAGGCAUGUGGAGGUUGUGGCGAACAAGUGGAAGUGUAAGUUUUGUGGCAAGGAUUUUGGUGGAAGUGCUACAGGGAUCAGGGCACACCUCGUGGGGGCUCUGGGCUAUGGUAUUAAACUAUGCGAGAGAGUUGAUGAGCAUGUGGGAUCCCAAGCUUUGAUAUUGAUGAAAGGUAAAAGUGUGGCGGAUGCAACCAACAGGGUAUGGGCCAAAUUGUAGUCCUUGGUAGUGACCAUGCUUCGAGUCCCCAUAGUAUGCAGGACUUGAAUCGAAACGUCCCAGAGCAACCAUCUUGCCAUUGGCAGAAUGGAAGUGUUGCUGGUGCAGCUUCGUAGAUUGUCAGCAUCAAGAGACCUUGUGUCUCGUUGGCAUGCCAGUGGGUGAUGCAGAAUUGCCCCCGCAAGGGCCGCAACCCAAUGGGUCAAUUCAACGCUUGAAUGAUGAACAUGGAAACGAAAAAACUUCAUCUCUCCAGCAACCUGCAACCGAUCCCUUGGCUUCGAUUUUUCUUGAUCCAAAGUUAACUACCAGAGCUUUUUGAUCAGUUUAUUGAUCUGGAGACGAGGUAUGAACAACGGAAUAGUAGAGGGCCAUCACCAUUGCAAAGUCAUCGAUCCCUUAAUAACAGCGUGACAAAUGGGUUGCAUCAAGUCAACUAGACCUGGUGGUGCUGCGCCUGGUCCCCGUCUCAGUGACACAAGUACAAUUGGCACUCCCCAGCAUCCCAAUCAAACUCAUUUGGGCUUUGAUGAACAAUGGAGAGGUGAAAGCGCUCCAUGUCCGCAAAUAUCUUCAGCAGAGUGGGUGUCUUGUCUUCUCGAUAUGCCCUAUCAGCCACAGCAUUCCAUUCCAUCUUGUUAUUCUGAGGAAAUGCCAAUGAAUGACCUGCAGAAUUGAACGGGUGCAUCGUCGUCACAAAAUGAUCAAUCCCUUGACGUUCAAAUUGUUUGCAACACUGCAAUUAAAUCCCUAUUGCCGAAGUAGUUCCGCUGUCCAAUGCUACAAGUGUAACCAAUGCCGUUGAGCAUUUUAGUCAACAUCCACUUCUUAUAUGUGAUGAAGAAUGUGAAAAUGAGAGUAGUUCCUUUCCCUCACAAGCUUCAAUGGACAUAUCUCCGCCAAGUGUAUUACAGCCUUUCACUGGCCCUCAUUCUUUUGAGAAACUGGACGUAGAUUCCCAAGUUCCACAGGGCGGAACUAAGAAGGCCCAUUGUCAUUACAAGGUAUGCCUUGAAGUGAGCCUUCUCUUCUCUUUUCUACUGUCUCCUAUUUAACAUCUCCCACGUUUUCCUAAUUAUAGGUGUAUCCUUGAAUGUUUCAUAUGUGCACUUUCUCUUAUUUUUUAAUGAUGAUAUUAUAUGAGAAUAUCAAACAGACGUAGAUGUUAGUUUCAGUGUAGAUGUUUUGUGGGAUUAAGUCUAGAUUUUGACUCUACUUACGCUUGUGGCUNNNNNNNNNNNNNNNNNNNNNNNNNNNNNNNNNNNNNNNNNNNNNNNNNNNNNNNNNNNNNNNNNNNNNNNNNNNNNNNNNNNNNNNNNNNNNNNNNNNNNNNNNNNNNNNNNNNNNNNNNNNNNNNNNNNNNNNNNNNNNNNNNNNNNNNNNNNNNNNNNNNNNNNNNNNNNNNNNNNNNNNNNNNUUGAUUACAUGUUUCCCACAAGCUCCGAUGGACAUAUCUGUGAGUAGUCCAUCAUCACCGCAAGGUACAUGUUAAUUCAUCUAAACUGAUCCUUAUGUAUCCUGAUGUUACUUAAUUAGGGAGAAGCAUGAAUGCUUACAUUAGGAUCUAACACGUAGAAUUCUUGAUUCACAAUCAGCUAUUUAUAGAGUCAUCCAAACGCUGGCAACUUCGAAAAUAAUGGAGCCUUGAAAAGAAAGGUAGAACGACUCUACAAUAGAGAAGCUGACAUAAAGAAUGAUAUAGAAUUUGCUGCAUCUCUAUCUCUGAAGAAGCGGAGAAUAGAAGUUGUGAAUUGGUUGACAAACGUGGAAACGCAGAGGAAAAAUUUCCAAAGUCUUAACCAGCGAGCGCAGAAAAUUUGCGACCACAAUAACAGGUGGAUAUGUUGAUGGAAGAAGCGGUAGGCCUUAUCAUAAAAAGCAAAUUUCCAGAAGGACCGUUUGAGGUGGGAGAUGCCAAAGUCAAUAUAUUAUUAGAACGAAAGUUGCAGGGAGGAAAGGCAUUUGACACAUACUAAGAAGAUCUUGCGGUAACUAAUAGAGGAUCGCAUAUCAUGAUCAGGCAUUUACGGUAUGGGGGGUGUCGGGAAAACAACCAUUAUGGUGCACAUACAUAAUAGGCUCCUAGAAAAAGAAAAUCAUAUUAAUGCAUUGUGGAUUGCUGUGUCACAAGAUCUCAACAUACAUAAGUUGUAAGGUGACAUUCAGCUAAUAUAUUCAAAAAAAAUUUCAUGCAUGGGUGUUAAUUUGGAUAAUGCUAACUAUUUAUAAAACAUGAAAAUAUAUAUNNNNNNNNNNNNNNNNNNNNNNNNNNNNNNNNNNNNNNNNNNNNNNNNNNNNNNNNNNNNNNNNNNNNNNNNNNNNNNNNNNNNNNNNNNNNNNNNNNNNCUCGUGUUUUUGGGUCAUUAAAAAAAAUAAAAAUCUUUCUUUAGCAACUUCUCAAAUUGGUAAAUUGUUGAACGGAUGAUAUUAAGGAGCAAAUCAUUAAAAUGUGGGGGCCAUAAUACAUAUGCCUAAUGUGGCGCUACGCGUCAACUUGCUCUAUCUAUUUGGAGAAUAAAUUCGGCUUUCGACGAUAAAUUUUUUCCUCGAGUUGCGCAUGCAUGUCCAGGAACAAAUGGGAGAAGAGAGAUACAUCGUCCAACUAAUGCUAGAAAUAAGAAAGGAUUGAUGUGGUAAAUGACUUUACAAAAUAAUAUGGUAAAUUCUAAGUAUUUAUUUGAGUCAAUAUAUAUUUGAAAACUCAAUAGUAUCUCGUCACUUCAUGUUAUAUAUCAUUUAAUAUGUCAAAUCUCGAACAUUGUACUAAUAAAAUCACUCUAAAACUCAAUUAGACCAGCUCCAAGUGAGCACCUCAAAGGUAAGAACUUGAGUUCACUUAUGAUUAUCAAGGCCCAUUGGUAAUAAAUAAAUAAAUAAAUAAAGGAAAAGGGUGAGAAAUAUCAUGUGGUGUCGCCGGCGCUGACGUGGAUAAAAUUUAUAAUUUUUUAAUAAUUUUUCAAUUGUUUUUCUUUUAUCAUUCUCCGUACCCCUUGGCUAAUGAGGUUGUCGGCUGACCAUCGUUGGCCAUAGGCCGGUCAGGGUGACGGCCCUUACGCCUUUGUCGACCACAGGUGAGCACGUCGGCCCCCCUAGAUCUAGGCGAGGGCCUAAACCCUCACUUGUUGGCCGAUGAGAGCCUUCGUGCCCUCAGCAGCCACAGGCGAGGACGUGAAGGCCUUUGUUCGUGGCGGGCAAGGACUGCAACACCAUAAGCGAGGCCGUUGUGGCCAUCACUUGGAUUUGGGCAAAGGCAUUGUGCCCUCGCUUGGAUUUGGGCGAGGGCCACCGUGCCCUCACCCACCACGAGCGAGUGCUACCACGGCCUCGUUUGCGGCUAACGAGGGCGUAGAAGCCUUGGCUAGCCAAUGGGCAAUGAUUUCAACCCUUGCCUAGGUUUGGGUGAAGGCCCACGUCCUUGUCGAGCGCAGUGGCCCUCACUAGUGGCUGUUAAUGGUGCGGGGACCCUUGCCUCGACCAGCCUGUGGCCGACGAUGGUUGGCUGGCGACCUUGUCGGCCAAGGGGCUAAGGAGAAAGAAUUUUUAUUUUUAUUUUUAGAAAAAGAGAAAAAAAAAAUGGAAAAAAAAAUAUUUAAAAAUUAUAAAAUUGGUGUACGUCAGCAUCGGCAAUUUCUAGCUUAAACUUGUUGGAUAUAUUGAAUUGGUAUCAAUAUGAAAAUGAUUAGAAUUAAAUUGAUCAAAUGAAAAGUUUAUGACUGAAUUGGUAUUAAUGCAAAAGGUUUAUCACUUUUUUUUGUUACUUUUCCCUCAAAAUAGGUCACUUGAAAUCUCAUUUGGUUUCGUCUCUAAAAGAAAUGAAAGUUAUGUGAGGUCGAAUGGCAUCCAUAUAAAUAGACACAAAUUGUUCAUUAUUUUGGUAAGAGGUUAUUGUUUAGAAAUGAAAAAGAAAAGGAUAAAAAGGUGAAAGCAUGAGGUGGCAACUUAAUAAGCCACAAGUCAACUCUCCAUGCACUAUAUUAAAAUGAGAUUUUAGUAGGUUAAUUGUUGAUAUAAAAAAUAAUUUGCAUAUUCACAAUUAGGCGCUGACAUGUGGAAGAAUUCAAUUACAAAAAUAAUUUCACAUACACACGUCACUUGUUCAUAGUAAGUGUGUAAUGGGGCUUUAAACACUACGUAUCUAAUAAUAAACAAUUAGCUUACUAGGUUAUUUGGUUAACUAUUUUUCUUUAUUUAGUUUAACACAAUAUUUCACUAUUAAUUAAUUAGACCAAAUAGAUCGCAUAUUCAGAUAUUCAAAAUUUUCAUGCACGGGGUUAAUUUGGAUAAUGUUAACUAUUUAUUAGAAUAUUGGAAAUAUAUUAUUUCGUAGAAGGUAAGCAGGAAAAAAAGAAAGAAAGCUAAAGAUACAUGUGGCGGAGUAAAAACAAUCGGAUCUUUAAGAAGGGAAUAAAUCAUUUUUAUUAUUUUAGUAAUAGGUUAAUAUGUAGAAUGGAAUAGAAAGGAUAUAAAAAAGCGAAAGCAUGCGAGGACAACAAUGUAGGGGGCAACAUGCCAAUUCUCGAUAAGGCCUCCAUCUCAUGGAUUCUCCUUCAUGUGGCACUGGAUUUUCUUAUUCAAGUGGUUAAAGAUGCGACAAAAGCUUUAGUUGAAAUAGUUUUUGGGAUUACGACCCAAAAGAAAAAAUUAGUUUUUGGGACAACGAGGGAUCUACCUAACACGGCAUCAGAAAUUCAGCAAAUUAAUAAUCUAAGCAGCAGCCGUGGAAAUUCGCUCAGUUUUUUUUUUUUUUUUUUUUUUGAACGGAACGAACAUAGUAUUAAGAUGAAAAGGCCUUACAUCCCGCGGCUAGAGCAUCCGCGCAUAAAUUCGCUCAGUUUACGUUGCAUAUUUGGCGAUUCUCUUUUGCAGGAGACAAUAGCUCGAGAUGCUAACGUGGGCAAGGGUUCAUGAUUGGAGUAGUCUGCAAUAAAAUAAAGCAUAUAUGGACCCUUCAACAGUAUUGUUGAUCAGGAUUCAAGACUUUGAACAAUGCCAACUCUCUCUCUCUCUCUCUCUCUCUCUCUCUCUCUCUCUCAUUAAAAAAUAAAGAAAUGACGAAGAAAAGACGGAGACAUUUCCUGCGCGCGUUCUUAGCGACUGUUGCGUUGUCUCUUAUGGCAAAAUUCCUUGUGACUCUUCACCAAAAGCUGUUCAUUCCCACGUGCAGCAGCAGGCCUGUGCCUUUUGUUUCUCUGGGAGUUUGCUGGAGUCCUGGACGCUGACCAGUGCUUCAGAAUCUCAAAAACAGCUUCUUAUUUCUACUUCUUGAUUUGCAUCUUUGCCACUUACAUGCAUCCGAAUCUUCUUUUUCGGCCCUAACUGGGAUGUUGCUUCGUCUUCAUCUUUGCCAUUUUCCAUUUGUAAAAAUUAAGGAUAAACUCUCCAACUGUCCUUAUUUAACCGGAUCAAAUAUAUGCGCAUCGGACAAGUAAAUUUGAUGGAUUUUAUGUGAAACGAAUUCUGUCGGGUUGAAUGAUCCGGAUGUAAUUGGGUGGACGUAGGUGUGAGAUGCAAUAACCUUCUGUGAAUUUUCUGAUGGCAAACAUAUACACGUGCUUUGAUUUUCUUUUUAAAGUCGAGAUUAUGCUUCAUCGUAUUUUACAAAUCAUUUUUCUAUGCAUGAAAGUUGCUCCGUGUUUGGGUCAUCUACAUAAAUUAAAGAUCUAGGCUUGAUCAGUUUAUGAGGAUUUAUAGAAUGUUCCAUGAUCUUCCAAGUAAUCGGGUUUUGUGCUUAUGUCUUUGGGUAAAAAAACGGUCUUUCUUCCGCAACUUCUCAAAUUGGUAAAUUGGUAAAGGGAUGAAAUUAAGGAGAAUAGCCUUAAAGUAUGGGAGAAAAAAAAAGAAUUGUACUGUCCAUGUUAUUGACAUCAUAAUCUUUAAAAAUCAAAACUAUUUAGGGUACGUAACUGAAAUGAUAUCUGUACCUUGCGAAGGGUAACUUACAUGCUCUUUGGUGGUUAUAUUGUUUGUUUCCAUGUGUUUGUAUUUUUCUCCAUGACAUUAUUCAUUUGUUCUCUUCCUUAACAAACAGAACAUCACAGUAGUGGAUACAUUAGAAUGACACAAAAUUUUGGAUAGAAGAUAAAAGGGGAAAAUGAGUACUUUUUUUUUUAUCGGAAUAUUUUUAAAACAAUGCAAUAAAUUCUAACUGAUUCUUUUAGUUAAUUGAUGUAUUUCAAUGUUCAAUGAGAUUCUGUCACAUCAUUUUACAAAUCAUUUUAGUGUAUUAAAUCUCUAAUAUUAUACUAAAUAAAGCACUCUAAAUUCAACUACACCAACUAUAAGGGAGCACUCAUCGAAUUAACAAGAACUCGAGUUCACUAAUGACUAUUAAGGCGCAUUGGUGAAAAGGAAAAGAAAAAGGCAAAGGAAGGCAAAGGGGGAAAAAAAGAGGGUUGGGGGCAGGGGUCUCAUCGUCUCAUUAUAUUUCUCUGAAAGAAACAGUACGGAGAGAGAUCGAGAAAUACAGAGAGAGGGGAAGAGCGACGACAGUGGAUUGCAGCCUGUCCAAAGGGAAUCACCAUUUUCGAACCCUAGAAAACAGAUUUUAGCUCUAUUUCUCACAAAUUUUGUAGUUUUGUUUUAAAGUUAACAUCUGAAUCUCUUGUGGAUUUUGCUUCGCCAGCAACGAUUCGGUCAAAAUCAAACGAUAUUUUGUUUUAAAAUUAAUUCUGACAUUGAUUUUUUUUUCUUUAGAGUAGAUUGGGUCUUUCUCAUGUAAAAAAUAGCAAGUUAUACUUGGGUCUGUCCGUAGCUUUUCUUAAUAUUAAUCCAAUUUAAUGGAAAUUAGUAGAUGAUAAAUUUGUCACAAAUUCACAAGUUUUGGGUUUUUGGUGUAAAAAUUGGUUUGAGAUAAAUUUGUUAUAUGCGUAUUAAUUUGGAAUAUUUCCUAAUAUUAACAUUAUUAGUGGUUCUUUUAGUUUAUAGAUAGAAAAUUCGGUCGCCACUUUUCAAGUCAUUUUAAUGUAUCAAAUCUCACUCUAAAUACUAUUGAGGCACGUUAUUAAGGGGUCUAAUCGUCUCAUUUGAUAGGGAAUUUGCGGAAGAGAACAGUGCUGGUCAUGUGAGCUUUACAAAUGGUGAUGUGGCUUCUUAUAAAACGUUUUAUACAAAAUCAGGAUGUUCUGUAAGAAGUGACGUGGCUUCUCAUAUUGGGCAAGACAGGAGGCCUUUAUAAGGGGUGAAUGGAAGCCUUUAUAAGGGGUGAAUGGAAGCGAAAGUGCUUCCUUAAAGGGUAUUUUCGGAAGGAAGAGUGCUCGUGCAGCUGGAGGGAGAGACAUGUGAACUUGGAGGCCAAAGUGCUUCCAAAAAGGGCAUUUUCGGAAGAAAAAGUGCUGGAAAUAGUGAUGUUGGCUUCUUAUUAAACGUUUUAUACGAAGUCAGAACUUUUCUGUACCGACAAAAAAAGAAGAAGAAGAAAAGCUCUGUAAGAAAUGACGUGGCCUGACUCCGUCAGGAACGUUUAAAUGUUUUAUACGAAGUCAGGAAAGUUCUGUAAGAAGUGACGUGGCUUCUUAUAUAUAAACCCCAACAGCUUCGUAAACCCGAGAAAAUAUUGGGUGGUCCGGGACCACCACGUCAGCGUGGUCCCCGGCCACUCACGAGGUGCCAUGUGGAGGGGUGGGCCCCACUUGGUGUCCUCUUCGCUUUUUCUCUUGCUCCUCGACGCAGUGCUCCUCUCUCUCCUCUCUCUCUCCCAAAUAACUCUCGGCUGAUGGCUCGGCUCGGCUCGGUUGGCAGAAGAAAGCACGGGUCAAUGGAUAAUAAAUGCGCAGCCCUCCCGCUUAAAAUUUCUCUCUCCUCACUUGAAUAUUUUCUGGGCUCUCUCUCUCCUCGCGGACGAGCUGCACUUCCUCUGUUUCCUUCUCAGCGUAUCCCACCCCCUCCGCCUCCGCCUCCCCAAAAAGCCUCGCCGGUCCGUCGCCUCCUCCAAGAGCCCCGCCAAUCGCAGCUGGUUCCCGAUCCCCUUUGCUUCCGACUGUUUCCAACGCCGAGAUUGAGCGUAAGGUUUGUGCUCGCCUGGGUCUCUAGGCAACUUCUGGGCCUCCCUCCCUCCGGCGAACUCGUCAUCAACUCCGACUCCGAGCCGCCGUCGCCGCCGCCGAUGGCGUCCUCCGUCUCUGGCAUCUACUCGUCCUUCCCCUCCCUCAGGCCGAAGACACCGCCAGCCUCCGCCGCGAAGUCGUCGGCCUUCGGCAGGAGGGAGGCGGCCUCGGUCUCGUUCCCGAGCGGCGCCAGGCUCCCCGCCGUCGACCGGGUGCUGUCCCUGUCCGACGAACUCCCUCUCUCUCUCCACCCUCCCCCUUUCCGAUUGGCGAACCACCGCGAGCAGCCGACGAACCAGGAAGCGAACCUAAUAUUUUCUCCCUUCUCCGACGCUCGAUGCCCUCUCUGCCCUCUACCCCCGACGCUCGACGGCCGAUUUAGCUCGCCUCUCCCACGACCUCCACGCUUUUGGCGGUUCUUCCCCCGCGGUUCGGUGAGGUCUCGGGUAUGCCCUCGUGCCGCGUCUCUUCUUCCUUGCUCAGCAACACUGGACUGCCUCUCUCUCUCUGAGUGUGUCUCUCUGUGCAUUCUUUCAUCCAUGAGGCAAGCAUUUCGACUAGGGUUCAGGGGUUUCGCCACCCCCUUCUUUGAGGUUCGUCCGGGUACCUCUCAUUUUUGCGUGAACCCAGCGUGAAUUUUAUAGUCUUUCUUUCCAUAUGACUACAAGCGACUGCUAAGCGACAAUGCGACGACAGUUUCGAAUCCUGGGUUUCGCUCUGUGAUGCUAAGCGUUGCUUUGGUUCCUUAAAAAGUUGCUGACUUUUUCGCAUGUUGUAGCUUCUUGGUUGCUCCGAGAUUUUGGGUUGGUCGUUCUAUCGUCUUGCUCGGAGCCAGCGAAAUGUUGUCCAAAAGGGGCAUGUCGAAUUCGUCGACACCUGAGUCGGCGGCGAUUUCUGAGGACAGGGAAGAAAUCGAAAGGAUUGGUGGCUUCAGUUCCUAGUUCUACCAAAAGUCAUGUCAAGGUAUUGUCUUUUAAUCGAACCUAUCGUUCCACCUGUGUUUUGGGGACUUGACCAUUCAGCAUUCAUUUUUUCUGCAGAAAAAUUCUGGUGCAAGCAUUGGUGAAGUCGUGUUGCCUAAUAAUGACCCGGCCAAAAUUGAGGCAAUGACAUUUCACGAAUUGAGAGCUACAUUGAGGUGGGGAUGAAUUGUUUUAGUUGCAAGCGUGUGAUAGUCGUUAUAGCGUUUCCUGCGCAACCUUUACAGUAAGCAAAACUCAAGUUUUUCUAUUUGAUGCUUGCAAAGGAGAUUAUUGAGCAGGAAGUGAAUAUUAUUGAUGGAAAACCAUGAGGUCUUGAGAAUUUGCCUUCAACAAAGAGCAAGGUCUUGAGAAUCUGCUUCGUUCGGGUCAAGAUGGCGAGCUCCACAGCCGCACAAGUCCACGGUCUUGUGCUGUAUGGUCCGGGCUUGUAGCUCUGUCGACGGCAAAAGCAAGGUUUACAGAGAACUCGGUCCGUCUCCCUCGCCUAAUUCCAUUAUGUUGUCUUUCUCGAAUGCUUUCAUGUGGGUAGUUCUUCUUUUGGUUAGAUUAAGAUGGAGUGCUCGGUUCAUUUGCAAAUGCGCAAGAUGAUAGAUGGUUCUUGCUUUUUUGAGAAGUUCUUUGACAUGUUGUUUUAGACUGCUUGCGAAGAAAUCCAGACCGAUUUGUGGUAAAAUGAAAAAGAAAGAGUGAACUUUUCCAGAUUUUAUUGGUCAUACAAUCAUGUCUUUCGUGUAAAAUUUGAAGUCAGUAAGUAUCUUUUGGGCCUGAAUCUUUCUCAUGAGGCCUCUUGCUUCACAUUAGGUGAACUCCCAUGUGUGAGUGGUUCUUGCUUUUUAAGUUAUCACCCUAGUGGAAAGAUUCUUCAUUUCUUGUUCCUCGGUGUUCCAAAUAUGCUUUGUUUCAGAGUUUGCUCUUCGGAAUUUCAAACCAGCGGUUCAUUUGAUAUCUAUGGUUGCCGUUGCAAGGAAGUUAUGUCAAACAUGUUGGAAAUAGAUGAGUUUUGCAAAAUGUGACUCCUGUAAGAGGACUUGAAGUCAAGUUUAAUUUUCUUGUACAAUCUGACAUGAAUUCUGAGAAAUGUAAGCAAAAGUGUUUCUGGGAUGUUGGUGGGGUAAAAAUCUUUGCAGUUCGGCUUUUAUGUAAAAUUUGCAUUUCUUUUUCUCCAGGGUUGUUUUCACUAAAAAGGAAGAUUGAAGAUGCAGUUCAACGCACUGAGAAGAUGGCUCCUACUGCACUGCAAAUUGAAGAAGCUAAAUGGAUUAAGCUUGAUGGACUGAUUCGAGAUUACAACCUUUGGGAUGAUCCUGAUAAAUCCUAUGAUGUUCUUGUGAAGUUGGCAGACAUGGCCAGAGCAGUCGAUGCCCUGAGGGAUUUAACUUACAAGGUGGUGUGGAAUGCCAUAUUCAUCUCACAGAAUAAGCUUUUCCGCCCAGUAGGUGUGGAUUAAGUUGGGCAAUUGUUGGGUCAAUGGUUUGCCCAUUAUAAGCUUGUCUUGACUCUUCUUCCGAGAUUAACUUGAUUCUUAAUGUGUUAAUGACUGUCAUAUCUAGUUUAACUGUAUCAAUUAAAGGAAGUGCAAUUGCUGGCUUUAGUUGACUUUUAUCUGCUGAAAUUUGCAGGCGGAAGAAGCAAAGCUGAUAACUCAACUGGUGGAGAUGGAUGCUAUUAAUUAUGCUCUUUUUGAGCAGGCAUACGCUUCGUCUUUGGAUAUGAGUAAGUUUUUGGACUGUUAUGAGAUGUUAAAGCUUCUUAAGGGACCAUAUGAUGUGAAUGGAGCGUCGAUGGUCAUCAAAGCUGAAUCCAAUGGCAAUUACCAUGAGGUUUGAUAAUCUAACUUCAUUUCUAGAAUAAUUAUGCAUGUGCAAAGAGAUGAUGUUUAUAUCACACUCUUCCGUUGUAAUAUACAUUGAUGUAGAAUAGAUGCAGAGUCUCUGGUUCCCGCUUCUUUAUAAUACUUACGCCAAAAUAUAGGAGUUUCAAAGAACUUGAGAAUGAAAAAACUGCAUAUAUAUGUACAUAUAAGGGUGGGACAUUAUUAGUGGAAUCUUGUUAGUAUAUAUGUAUGCUUGUGCGCAUCACCAUUUCAGUUACUUCUUAUUUACGAAUCUCUUUGCUUGAUGACUUAGAUGUCUUGAAAAUCAAUUGUGGGAUUUCUCCAGGGUUUAGUGGAUAUUUAAUUUAUUGUCUAGUAUCCUUCUUCCUGUGGGAGGUAUUUUGCAUGUCCCUCCCCUGAAUUCCAACUCAGAAGUAAACAUUAAGUGAUAAUGUGGUGGCUAUCAAAAGAAUAAUGAGAAAAAAGAAAAGUGAGAAUUUGAUCAGUAUGGAUAGUGGUUCGAUAUUAUUCUCCACUAUGAGGAUACUUAUGUUAUGAGGAUACUUCAUUUUGACAUCAGUAUGAACUAGGACAGGGAAUGAUAAGUUGCCAAUCUAUUUGCAUAUGAAAGAUGAAAUCUUGGAAAAUAGCGGACUGUAAUAUUCAUCUAUAAUGGGGAUAUAUUCCUUUUCCAUUAGCUAAUUCAAUGAAGUUCACUCAGUUUUGUUGACCCAAAAAAAAAAAAAGAAUCUUUUGGGCUUAAGCCUCUGCUGGUUCCAAUCUCUCUGUCUCUCAUGCAUUUGCUAAUCCAGUUAUGGGCUGAAAAACUACUGAGAAUGUACCAAAAAUGGGCUGAGAAGCAAGGUUAUUGAGGGAGGAUUGUAGAGAAGCGUCAGGCAACAAAUGGUGGAAUCACUUCUGCAACGGUUGAAUUUGAAUUUGAUUAUGCAUAUGGUUUUCUUCAAGGGGAGAGGGGUGUUCAUCGAAUGAUAAGUGGUUCAGAAACUGGAUCAACAAUUGAUGAGGUAGGUUUACAAUUAUCAUUUUUGUUUUGAUGAAACAUUGACUUUUGUAUAUUGCUAUUGGUUUUUGACUUCUUUUUAACAAUGAGCUCUGAAUGAUUUGUUUCUUCUCUUUCCAGAGAUUCAGAAGGCAAAAGUGGCAUCUUGUUAGUGCAUCAUUAAUAUCAAGAAACAAUUUAAAGUGUAUUAAAGACACGACAACAUGUAAAUGACCGUGUGCAAGGAAAAACACAUUGGAAUUGAAAGAUUGAUUGUUUCUGUGGCUCUUUCUUGAAAUCAAAGCAGCUAAAUAUGAACUUGUACUCAUGGCACCUUAUUGUAUAUAUUUGGGUAAAUUCUUUCUUGAUCUUAUCUUAAUUACACACUUAGAUAUUUGUGUGGCACCUAGAUGUCUACACGUAUCAUAGAGUCUAACAUUGGCUAAAAAAUAUAAGAUAUGCAACUUCAAAUGGUGUGGAUUAAUUUUGCACAUGAGCUUAAGGUUGAUUUAGUUCACUCAAAAACAUAGCCAAGGGAAUUGUUGCAUUUCAUGGGAUCCAACCAUUCAAGUUGUUUCUUUUUAUAGUUUAUCUGCUUCUUUUACAAGUGAAUUGAAGGUCGAGAAAAGCCUUUUCUGUGUAAUGUGUUUCUGUUCUGCUACAUCAUUGGCCCCUAAAUUCCUGUCAGUUCCUCAUUUUAGUACUCAAAAUUAUAUCGACAGCCUAGCAGCUGUCGAUAUAAUUCCUCUGUUCCGUGAUUCGGCCCCUGACCUAAAAAUUAGUGAGGAGGAUUUGCUAAUCUCGUGCCCAUCGUCAUCGCCUGAAGUAAAAGUCAUUGAAGGCCGGUCUGGAGUUGUUAUUCAGCAUGUUCCUACUGGUUUUGUUGUCCAAUCUUUGGGUAAUGAGUUGUCUAUUCCCUUAUUUGUUAGGGUUGACCUUCCAACUCAAAUUUGUUUACCAAUGAUUUCCGCAAUCUGGUUUUGACUUUACAAAGAAGCAAAUGCCUAUUCCUCAACACACGUUCAUGAUUGCCUGUCUAGUACGACAUUUUGUGAUUGAGAAAUAAGAUCUCAAAAUUUUUAUCCCAGGUGAAAGGAGCAUUUUUGCAAAUAAGAUUAAGGCCCUCAACCGGUUGAAGGCUAAACUUCUUAUCGCAGCCAGAGAUGUAGGAGUUCCAGGCAUAAAUGGCUUCAAGAAGGAAAAUGUGUUCGAUGUAUGGGGAGACAAGGUCCGAAGAUAUGUUCUUUCCCUCGCAAGCAUGUGAAAGAUGUAAGAAGUGGUGUUGAAAUGCCUGACCUGUAUUCUGUUUUGGACGGUAAUAUAGAACCUCUGAUUGGAGCUCAUAUCCAGAUGAGACUCUCAAAUGACAUGCCUCCACAGUAAAGCAGCUUUUCCCAAUUCGCUCUAUUAAUUUAUUUCUCUGCGUUGGUUCUUCAUCCCAAAGUUUUAUCCCUUGAAGUUUAUUUUUAUGUUAAAAACAAGACAAUUGUUCCUUUGUCAUACAUGUAUCUACGCCUGAAAUUUAUUUUGUUGACAAAACCAUAAGUUGGGAAAAAAGAAAGUGACCCUUCGGUAGGCAUUUUGACUGGGGGCACUGAUAGAUUUUAGCUAAAAAAUUGAAGGUAGUCCGAUCAAAUUCCCAUCACACGCGUGUAAACUACUCAAGAUCAAGACUAUUGUCAUGAACUAGGCAUAUGAAGUUACCAGUAUGUCCGGGUAGUCGAGUUUCUUUGUUGGUUCAUGAUCUUUAGUAAUUCUAACUGUCGGCAAUAAGUAAUUCUAAUUCCACCAAACAUUGCUCAAAGUUCGAUGAGUAUGUAUAAGAUGUGUGUUCACAGAAUUCGGAAUGAUGUAAUUAAGUUUACAUGUUGACAUCCCAAUGUUUGAUUUGGUGCGAGGAGCAGGCGUGCCAAUUAAACGCACGAGGUAGAUUCAUUUCUUGAUGCUACUGUUCCCUUUGAGCUUCAGCCUCUGUCUUCUCACUUGGUUUAUGAAGUCAGUGGGCAUGAUAAGUUCAUGUUAUGAGCAUGAAUAACUAAGAAAGAAGCAGUAAUAAGCAGUUCAGGAUUUAUGAAGAAGCAAUUGCAGUUCAUUGAUAUAGAUAAAAGUUUAAAGAUGGCAAAAACAUGUCGAUAGAUGAUGAUAAUAAUUAGCAGUUCAGGCUUUAUCCUGGCCUUUGUGAAGUUUGCUGGGACUUCCUGGUAUAACCAACAUAACAAUUCCAAGCAAAUAUCCCUUAUCAUGCAAAGACAAAUUCCAGGAGCCUUCGUAGUUGUCAAGGAAUCAAGCAAACAGUAAUACACUUGAGCAGCUGGAGGAUUCCAUAAAAUAAUGAAACUUGCUAAUUACAUUUGUCUAAAACAUUGCCGACAUUUUCACACCUAAUUAUGGGAACAUCAUCAUCUUCAGGUCUACCACGUUCAUGUACAAAAUUCAAGAGCCAAAAAUGACAUUGCUGAUACGUGCUCCUUUGAGGUUCUCUAACAACAAGACGCAAGCAAGGAUCCAUGAAGACUGAGCAGCAGACGGUUGUAGACAACCGUCUUUCCAGACUAACUUUUAAAUUAAAAAAAAAACAUCCACCAGAUAAUCAGAUUGAAUUGCGAACCAGAACGGUUGUACCUACAACUUGCACUCAGCAUUUCAGCAUUUCAGCAUUUUUCCCCUCGCCGGCUUUGGCAUCAGAAUGUAUGUUCAAAAACUUGCACAGAUUUUUUCGAAAGUGAUUUCAAUGUUCCAUCAUAACUCUUCCUCCAAAAGAUGCCUUGUAAAAUAAUCUAGAAAAACCCAGAUCACUCCACAGGGCCCAGACAAAGUAAAUACAGACAGCCCCUUCAUCUCUUCCUUCUUUUUUGCCCCCUUUUGCUAAGCAAAUUUCAUCAAAAAAACUUUCCCUUGCUAGUGGCUUCAACAUGAAUGACAAUGACAAUAAAAGCUCAAUACUUUUCAGCAAACAGCAUCUAGGAUGAUGCUGCCGGACUACCUUCGCAGUCCAUUCACCAAGAUCCCAAAAGAGAUGACAGAACUAAAGCUGGAGAAUCAGGCCAAUAGGACUAUGAUCACUAUCGGUGAUAUCAGGAAGGAUGUACGAGUCAUGAACUUUAUUUGCUAUAGAUUCUGAAAUGAGAAAAUAAUCGAGCUGCCACCCUGUAGAUUGCAAGAGGAUAGUUAACAGGUGAUAAUACCUAUUUCCAUAUGCUUCAUCUGAUAAGACAACGAUAUGCAUAAUGACUUAACAAAAAACAAAAGCUUGUCAUUGCUCAUAUUAUCACCAUUACAGGAGAGAAGUGUAACAUUAGAUAUAUAAUGUUCCAUCAAGUAGAUCUAUGUAUACCUUUAUUUGUCUUCCUCCCACCAUGCUGAUAACCCCAAUAAGUAUAACCAACAGCAUGAGGAUACUGUCUUCUAAAGGUAUCAACAAAGCCCCUCGACAGGAAGUUGGUCUCAAAAGAUUCCCUUUCUUCAAUUGUAAAUCCAGCACUUCUUUUAUUUCCCUGGAGUCUCAUGACAAUCAAAUUAAUGACAGAAAUAAGAAACAUUAGACGUAUUAAGAACUUCUGUUUCGGGAUGCCAAACAGCCUAAAUUGUGAUUUUUAUCAACCCCCCAACACAAAACCCCAAACACCCCCCAACAAAAACCCAAAACAAAAUUCAGUUGUAUGGAGGAAAAGCCUGAUUACAGUCCUCUGUUUUGGGGUUUUUCCCCUCUUUUAAGUGGGGUGGGGGGCAUAUGGUGUGGCCAGGACAUUGUCCUGUGACAGUUAAAAAGCUCAUGCAAAUUAUUAAUGCACCUAGUCAAUCAAAGGCAGAAAAGGCACAUUGAUUGUUUCCCUUACCGCAGGAUCAUAAAUGUCUAUUUCCUGAUGGGCACAAUUCAGAUCGCCAGUCAAAAUCACAGGCUUCAACUUUUCAAGUUCCUGUAUUGCCAACAGCAAGCACAAAUUUGAGUAAGAGAUGAAACAAUAUUGAAACAGAAUAAAAAUAGUAGUCUAUCGGAAAACCUUCAUAGGUUGUAGAAUUGAUCCAUGAUAUGGUUAAUAAUGACUCCUGAACAAAAGUCUAAAUAGCUUUAUCAAAAAACAAAAGGGUUACAUAGUGCUGAACAUACUUUAUGUAGUUACCAAGAGAUGGAUCCCACUGUGAAAUCCUAUACAUCUGACAUAAAUAAGCAACAUAAUUAAUGAAUCAUACUUGAAAGUGUGUAACAGAGUAAACCAAUGAAAUAGAUUGAUACCAGUCUUCUCAGGCCAUCGCCAGAAUUAGGAAAGUAACCACUCAAGAGAUAGAAUGAAUCAAACUCUGCAGUGACAAGCCGUCCCUCAGAAUCAUGAUAUGAUAUGCCCAAGCCAUAUGUAACUUAAAGGGGCUUUAUCUGCACAAAAAAAAUACUAGUAAUAACCUCAAAAAUAAUAAUCCAAAAAAGCCAAAUGUAGGAGAAAACCAGAAGGCACGGUAUCCACCUUACACAAAUUAAUAUAGAGAGAAGGUAGUACUUUUGCGUUUCUGACAUACAAAGUGCAACUCAUGCCGAUUUUAUUAUUCAUCCAACAUCACUUGAGAUGCUAAUUAUAUCUCAUAAGCAACUUAACUGAUCAUUGGCUGUGAUCUUUAUUUAAGAUGAGAAGCAUUUCAUUCGAAUAUACACAAAGCAAAUGGACUAACCCUACUACAAGCAUAUUAUUAUAGCAUUUAACUAGAUUAAAACAUCAGAAUAUCUAUACAGACUCCGACAUUCUUGGUCAAAAUAUGACAAUUCAUUGGGGUCAAAUGCACUCGCAGUAACAAAUCAGAAUGCCUCUGAACUGCAACAGUAGGUAGGGAGCUAGUCCUUCAACCCAGUCAUUCCGUGAACUCUUCCCACAUGCUUUACAAUAACAAUUUACAAGCCUCAGAAACAACCAUAGAAAUACAAAAAAGGACUUACAGGUUUCAUUAUCAUUUUGAGAAAAAGUGUGAUGCAAAAAAUUUCAUUUUCAUAAAAAAAUUGCUCUUUGUUGAAGGCAAAUUCUCAAGACCUCAUGGUUUUCCAUCAAUAAUAUUCACUUCCUGCUCAAUAAUCUCCCUUGCAAGCAUCAAAUAGAAAAACUUGAGUUUUGCUUACUGUAAAGGUUGCACAGGAAACGCUAUAACGACUAUCACACGCUUGCAACUAAAACAAUUCAUCCCCACCUCAAUGUAGCUCUCAAUUCGUGAAAUGUCAUUGCCUCAAUUUUGGCCGGGUCAUUAUUAGGCAACACGACUUCACCAAUGCUUGCACCAGAAUUUUUCUGCAGAAAAAAUGAAUGCUGAAUGGUCAAGUCCCCAAAACACAGGUGAAACGAUAGGUUCGAUUAAAAGACAAUACCUUGACAUGACUUUUGGUAGAACUAGGAACUAAAGCCACCAAUCCUUUCGAUUUCUUCCCUGUCCUCAGAAAUCGCCGCCGACUCAGGUGUCGACGAAUUCGACACGCCCCUUUUGGACAACAUUUCGCUGGCUCCGAGCAAGACGAUAGAACGACCAACCCAAAAUCUCGGAGCAACCAAGAAGCUACAACAUGCGAAAAAGUCAGCAACUUUUUAAGGAACCAAAGCAACGCUUAGCAUCACAGAGCGAAACCCAGGAUUCGAAACUGUCGUCGCAUUGUCGCUUAGCAGUCGCUUGUAGUCAUAUGGAAAGAAAGACUAUAAAAUUCACGCUGGGUUCACGCAAAAAUGAGAGGUACCCGGACGAACCUCAAAGAAGGGGGUGGCGAAACCCCUGAACCCUAGUCGAAAUGCUUGCCUCAUGGAUGAAAGAAUGCACAGAGAGACACACUCAGAGAGAGAGAGGCAGUCCAGUGUUGCUGAGCAAGGAAGAAGAGACGCGGCACGAGGGCAUACCCGAGACCUCACCGAACCGCGGGGGAAGAACCGCCAAAAGCGUGGAGGUCGUGGGAGAGGCGAGCUAAAUCGGCCGUCGAGCGUCGGGGGUAGAGGGCAGAGAGGGCAUCGAGCGUCGGAGAAGGGAGAAAAUAUUAGGUUCGCUUCCUGGUUCGUCGGCUGCUCGCGGUGGUUCGCCAAUCGGAAAGGGGGAGGGUGGAGAGAGAGAGGGAGUUCGUCGGACAGGGACAGCACCCGGUCGACGGCGGGGAGCCUGGCGCCACUCGGGAACGAGACCGAGGCCGCCUCCUUCCUGCCGAAGGCCGACGACUUCGCGGCGGAGGCUGGCGGUGUCUUCGGCCUGAGGGAGGGGAAGGACGAGUAGAUGCCAGAGACGGAGGACGCCAUCGGCGGCGGCGACGACGGCUCGGAGUCGGAGUUGAUGACGAGUUCGCCGGAGGGAGGGAGGCCCAGAAGUUGCCUAGAGACCCAGGCGAGCACAAACCUUACGCUCAAUCUCGGCGUUGGAAACAGUCGGAAACGAAGGGGAUCGGGAACCAGCUGCGAUUGGCGGGGCUCUUGGAGGAGGCACGGACCGGCGAGGCUUUUUGGGGAGGCGGAGGCGGAGGAGGUGGGAUACGCUGAGAAGGAAACAGAGGAAGUGCAGCUCGUCCGCGAGGAGAGAGAGAGCCCAGAAAAUAUUCAAGUGAGGAGAGAGAAAUUUUAAGCGGGAGGGCUGCGCAUUUAUUAUCCAUUGACCCGUGCUUUCUUCUGCCAACCGAGCCGAGCCGAGCCAUCAGCCGAGAGUUAUUUGGGAGAGAGAGAGGAGAGAGAGGAGCGCUGCGUCGAGGAGCAAGAGAAAAAGCGAAGAGGACACCAAGUGGGGCCCACCCCUCCACAUGGCACCUCGUGAGUGGCCGGGGACCACGCUGACGUGGUGGUCCUGGACCACCCAAUAUUUUCUCCGUAAACCCAGCACGGAGAGGGACGAAAGUGGAUUGCAGCCCGUCGAAAGAAAGGGUCGAGCUACACCCGAAAUCUCCAUUUCCGAGCACCAGGUAAGGGAUUUUAGCUCUAUUUCUCACGAGUUAGGGAUUUUCGUUUUCUUAAAAGUUUAAUAUCCAGAGCUAUGUAGGGUUUUGCUUUACCGGCAACGCUUUGGCCGCCAAAAUCCAAUCAUAUUUUGAUUACCCACAUCUCCUCGAGUCUAUAGGGAUUUCACAGAGUUCUAGUUGGAGUCAGAUUCCAGAGAAACGAACUCUCCAAGUCCUCCUCUCUGCGCCGCAGGUGAACAGUGUGUGCCGCCUGACUUCUUGGCUGCCGUUUGGUUCAACUUUGGGGAAAUGCUUACAAUCUCAAAUAGCUUUGAAAAAUAAUUUUAGCAAAAACACCGUUUGGCAAAACUUGCAUUUCUAAUUAGCUUUUGCUUUUUUUUUUAAAAAGUCUAAAAAUAAAAUCCGGUGGCCGGCUAACUGCCGGACGGCCAAUUUGGCCGCCGGACCGCCAAAUCGGGCAGCCUGAGGUCGCGGAGGCCAGAUCUAGCCACAGGACCGCCAGAUCUAGCCUCUCGACGGCCAGAUCUGGCGGUUGAGGUCGCUUGGGUCCGCGCGACCUCAGGUGGCGUCGCCUGGUUCGCGCGCGCCAGGCGACGCCACCUGGGUCGCGGGUUGCACCACCCCGGGCGGUGGUCACCGAGGACGCGCGACCCCCACGCGGUGGUGGUGGUUGCCGGAGAAGCCGAACUCUCAAGCGGCGGGGAAGACGAAGACGAACGGAGAAGAAGAUGAGACGAACGGAGAAGAUGAACAGUAAUGACGAUGAACAGUAAACUUGCAUCUCUGAAAUGCCCAAUGCAAAAAGCUAGUCCUACCCAACAUUCAGCUUUCAACUUUUCAAAUGCCCACAUUUCGAAAAUGAGCAUUCGAAAACCAUUGCCAAACACACAAAAUUUUCCCCAAGGGGCUUUGGGGGCUCAAAGCCCCUUGGGAAAGUCCAACCAAACGCCCCCUAAAGUCUUUUUUUGAGGCGGCGACUUGUCAAAUCUCAUAAUUUUAGAAUUAAUUAUUUUCUUGAGAAGGCAGUCCGCAAUUCCCAAGGUGGCUUUGAGUUAGAUCGGGUGUUUCUCGUCUCAAAAAUAGCAAAUUAUUUUUGGGUCUGUUGGAUAUUAAUGUGCAGUUUGGCUUUCCCGCUUUAGUACUUGCGGAUGCUAGUGUUUGCUCGAGAAUAAUGCUGUGCGCGCUAGGAAAAUAUACACAAGAUCGGUAGGUUAUAUAGUUGGGUGUGCUCUCUUUGCCUGCAGGUUGAUAAUCAAGACAACAAGAUGCCGCGACCUGAAGAUAUAGCCUGGAAAUUCGUGGUUAGACUGGAUAACAAGAGAUGGCGUUGUCCUUACUGUCAUAAAGUGUCCUCUGGAUCAGUCACAAGAGUGAAAAGUCACUUUCUUAAACAACCAAAAGAAGGGAUUGCCUCUUGCACAAAAGUGCCAGAGCACAUACGCACGCUAAUGGAAUUGUUACUCAGUCAUGAGGUGACUUUAGUACUUGUGGUAGCUACAUUAUAUGCUUAGUAAUAUUGCUAUGCGUGCUAAGAAGAUAUAUAAAAAAAUGGGGAUAAUUUAUGAAGGGGCGCGCUCUGUUUGCUUGCAGCUUCAUAACAAGGAUGAUAUAGCCUGGAAAUUCGUCAAUAGAGUGGAGGACAGCAAAUGGCGUUGUUAUUACUGCAGUGGAGAAUUCUUUAGAGACCUUACAUGGGUGAAAGGUCACUUGCUUGGAGUCCCAAAUGAAGGGAUUUCCAUUUGCACACUAGUGCCGGACCAUGUAAGAAAGCUAAUGCGGUCGUUACUUGAUGAGGUGGCUGAAGAAGAGAGCAGAGAAGCCAACAGUCCAUUGUCCAUGGGGACUUUGUUCUCGCCAGGCCUCGAAUAUACGUUGGAACAGUUGCACUUCAACCAACAGGAUGUCAUUGGGUCAAACUCUGACCAACAAUCACAAGAAGAGCGUCAGUUUCAGCAGAGUCCAACUAUGCCGUUAUUGGUGCAAAGUAGCCAUGGUAUGUCCGUGUGAAGUUUCUUUACAUUCAUCUUGGCACGGAGAAUAAAAAAUCAUUAUAUUUUUCGUUUUAUUAACUCUCUCUAGAAUAACUCAAAUUUAUCUAUUUUCAUAUUUCAUCGAUUCCAAAUUAUAGUAAUAUCAUUGCAUAUUAUAUAUGUCCGUCAAUUAGCCACGGAACCAGAGUCACGUGACACAGAAGUGCUGGACCACAUAAGAAAGCGUAAUGACCUCGAUGAGAUGGCCGAAGAAGAGAGCAGAGUGGUGGCUGAAGAACAGAGCAGAGAAGCCCAUGGUCAAUCCUCCAUCGAAUCAAAUUCCCGUUACAUGCCGACUCAAGCUGAGGUGGCUGAAGAAGAGAUCAGAGAUGCCAACCGUCAAUUUUCCACGGAACCACAGUCGCGUGACAUGCUGUCUCCAGCUGUUCCUCGGUCAUCACAAAGCUUGGAAGAUAUAGAAAACUUAUUCACAACAGAGUGGGCGACCGACUUGGAAAACUUAGACUAUGACCUAGAGCAUCAUUUUCGUGAGACUUUGGCAAUGCCGCCACCGGCGCAAAAUAUCCAUGGUAUGUUCAUGUGAAGUUUCUAUACAUGCAUCUAGGCAUGGAGAAAAAACAUCUAAUAUAUUUUUCAAUGCAAACACGUCGGGAUUUUUAACCAAAGUGGAGAGUAUUAAAUAUCUCCGAUAAAAACGAUCUUCCUAUGGGACUUUCCAAAUGUGAAGAAAGUCAAAUCACCUAUUCCUUAAUAACAGUGCAUUGAAUGUGUUGCACGUGUCCAUUGGACCCUUUGGAUCCACUAGACUAACUACAGUAGGUAUUCUUUCGUGUUCUAAUCAACUAUAUUCUUUCGUGUUCUAAUCAAGUAUAUCCUAAUUUUGAUGAACUUCACACGGAUGAAAACAUACCAUUUUCAACGAUGGCUUUAGCAGAAGUAGAAUCGGAUCUUCCUGAUCCGCCAUGUCAGCCACAAUAUUCCAAUCGAUCUCCUUAUCCCGAGGAAAUGCAAAUGAAUGACCAGCAGACUCCAGCAGGGGCAUUACCAUUCCAGGAUGUUCCAUUCCCUGUUGUAGGUAAUUCAAAUUGCUUGCAGGAUUGCAAUCGGCACUCUCAAUUGCAAACUCCAAUGGACGUAGAUCACUCAGUUGUAUCACAGCGUAGAAUCGACUCUCACAUUAAUGAGGCAACAAUCGUUGAUUUGCAAGUUCCAGAGGUGACAACGAUUACAAUAAGCCCAUCAUCAUCACAAGGUGUGUCUUGAUUUAUCUAUGUAGAUACUGUCAUUUGGUUAGAUCCUUAAAUAUCUAACAUAUUUAUUUUUAUAAAAUAGACAUGAACAACGGUUCUCCAACCAUGAACGCAUGGAGGACACCCCAAACUCGAAGAUGUAUAAAAUGGACUACGCAAGAGGACAGGGCGGUCGACAUUGCAAACCUCCCAUUAGAUGGUGCAACAAGUUACUCAAGGGCAUCUACCCCGCUAUCUUCAAUCCACCCCGAUUCGCCACAUGAUCUGUUGCCCAAUUUAAGUCAGUCUCUAACAUUAAAUGCAGAACAGAAUCCGACCGCGCCAUUGCCAUCGCAAAACCGCCUGCUCCAUGGUAACACUUCUCAGAAUGAGUCACAGGGGUCCAUUUUCCCUGGUGCCAUUGCAUCAGGUGCUCGACUCACUAACAUGGCCCCAACCAACGCUCCUCAGUAUUCUAAUCAACCACAUCAGAGCUUUCACAGGCAGUGUGGACAUGGCACUGGUUUAUCUGCUCCACGGGAUCCCAUGGACACAGAGCCACCUAUUUCAUCACAACCUGGAUCUCCCAUUGUUGAGGGCCGCAAUUUCCUUCCGCAGAUUUCAGAGGACAUCAUAAAUACAACUGGCCCAUCAACAUCAGAAGGUAUAAUACUAUCGAUCUAUUAAAUGGGUCUCGUUGACCUGCCUCAUCACAUUUUGUUAAGUAUACUUACUAAGGAAAUACUUUUCUUCUCAAUGCAUUGAUUACUCAUAAUACAAGAGGGACAAUGCAUUAAUAAUUACAAACUUUCCUUAAUUGGUAAUUACCAUUCAUGUGGUCUGUUUACAAACACCUCGUUGCUUUGUUAUGGUGAGUAAGAAUGUUUCGAUCAGAGUCUAAUGCGUGAAGUUGUGGCUUAUAAAUUAGUGAUGCCGAAAGGUGCACCAGUAGGGGCAUCAUCAUUCCAGUGUGAUCAAUUACUUGGUGUAGGUAAUUCAAAUCUGGAUUGCAAUCAGCCACGUAUAUCUAGUGUAACAAGUGUAACCAACACUGUCCCGCAUUCUAACCGACCACUUCCAUGCUGCAAUGGAGAAUGUGGAACUGAAACCAGUUCGUUUCCCUCGCAAGAUUCGAGGGGCAUAUGUCCCGUAACUGCAUUACAGCCUACCAGCGGCCCUCACAUCGAGGCAACACUCGUCAAUUUGCAAGUUCUGGAGAAUGGAGCAAAUAUGGCUGGUCCAUCACUAUCACAAGGUACUUCUUGAUUUACCUAAAUAGAGACUGUCACUCCAAAUUAAUCAUAGGUAUUCCAGCUCGAGUGAGCAUUGAUGCUUUCAUUGCAGAAGUAGCCUUCCUUGUAUUAUUAACUCUCUCUAGUAUAACUCAAAUUCAUCUAUUUCCAUACCUGAUCUUGUCUCAAUUACUGUGGUAUCGUUGCAUAUUAUGCAUGUCCGAUGUCACUUACUUUACUGCACGGUUUCUUUCAUCAAGAUAUUUAAGCCGUGCAUGUUGAUUUUCAUUGUGGAUGUUUUUUGUGACCAAGUUGUGUGUUGUUUUACCUGUAUGCAUGGACACUCCAAUAUUUUAGUGCAACCAGCUUUGGUGCCCCCUCAACAUCAAAGCGUUUCACAUCAAUUCAUUAGUCCUAGACAAGGAAUGCGCAGCAGAAUCCAACAGGGCUAUCAUCGUCACAGAAAAAUCAUAUAGUCCCAUGUCACCCACAAGCUCCAAUGAACAUGGAUCCCUGUAUCCUCUCAUCAUCACAAGCUCCAAAUAAUGCUCCUCCACGUCCUCAGAUUCAACGUCGUGGAAUAGGCCUGAUGGGCCCAUCAUCAUUACCGGGUAUAUAGUUAUUUACCUAUAUUAAUCCUUAUGUAUCACCAUGUUACGUUAUUAGGGAAGCAAGAAUGCUAUAAUGAGACCGAAGGAUUUAAUUGCAGAAUUAGAUAUGAACAAGGGCGUGCCAUUGACGAGUCAUACAAACAUAGACAACAACUUUGAAAAGAGUAGCCAUUUGAAAAGAAAAAUAAAGCGACUCUACAGUAGAGAAGCUGACAUAAAGGAUGAGUUAAAAUUUGCCGCGUCUCUAUCCCUAAAGAAGCCGAGAAUGGAAGUUAAGAAUUGGUUGGCAGAUGUGGAGAAUCUUAGAAAUGAUUUUCAUGGUAUUGAAGCAACAAGUGAAAAUUGUUUGCCGCCACACCAGCAGGUUGUACUGAUGCAAGAAGCAGAAGAACUUAUAAAACAAAGCAAAUUCCUAGAAGGACUAUUUGUGGCGAGAGAGACCAGAGUCAAUAAGUUGUUAGAACGAAAGUUGGUGGGAAAGGCAUUUCAAAGAAAUACAGCAGAGAUUUUGGAGUACUUAGUGGAGAAGCAAAUAUCCCGACUAGGCAUUUAUGGAAUGGGGGGUGUUGGUAAAACGACUCUUAUGAUGCACAUACAUAAUAGACUCCUCGAAAAAGCAAACUAUGGCAAUGUGCUGUGGAUCACCGUGUCACAGGAUUUUAACAUAGAGAAGUUGCAGGACAACAUUUGGGAGGCACUACGUUUAGACAUACCACGAGAAAAGGAUGUGAAGAAACAAGCAGCAAUGUUGUCCGAUUGUUUAACCAAAAUAGAGAAGUUGACAAUAAUCCUCGAUGAUGUGUGGGAACAUUUUGAUCUUGAAAAGGUGGGAAUCCCUAUUAGAGCCAAUGGACUUAAGCUGGUCGUAACCACUCGAUCCUCUAGUGUUUGCAGCCAGAUGCAUUGUCAAGAGAAGAUAAAAAUUGAACCUCUAUCUCAAGAAGAAGCUGAGAGUUUAUUUUUUGAGGAGCUUGGAUCCGAAGUGGCCUUUAAUUUGGAAAUUAAAGCAAUUGUGAAGUCCAUUGUUAAAGAAUGUGCAGGCUUGCCGCUUGGAGUCAUCACGAUGGCAACAAGUAUGCGAGAAGUGACUAAUAAGUUUGAAUGGAAUGAUUGCUUGGAGAAAUUGAAUGAAUCGGAUAUGAGGCAAAUAGAUAUGGAAAAGAAAGUCCUAAUGAUUCUAAAAUUCAGUUACGAUCGCCUUGGGAAUUGUGAAGUUCAACAGUGUUUCUUAUCUUGUGCACUUUAUCCAGAAGAUCAAUUGAUUGGUAGGAUCGAGUUGAUAGAAUUCUUUAUUGACCAAGGAUUGAUUGGUGGAUUGAAUACGAGGGAGAAACAAUAUGAUAGAGGCCUCACUAUACUGACCAAACUGGAAAAUGUUUGUCUAUUGGAAGCUUAUAAGAAAAGUGAUUUUCCACAGAGAGAUUAUGGGGAAGGGAUGAAGAUGCACGAUUUGAUUAGAGACAUGGCAUUGCACAUCAUGAAUGCGACUUCGAUNNNNNNNNNNNNNNNNNNNNNNNNNNNNNNNNNNNNNNNNNNNNNNNNNNNNNNNNNNNNNNNNNNNNNNNNNNNNNNNNNNNNNNNNNNNNNNNNNNNNNNNNNNNNNNNNNNNNNNNNNNNNNNNNNNNNNNNNNNNNNNNNNNNNNNNNNNNNNNNNNNNNNNNNNNNNNNNNNNNNNNNNNNNNNNNNNNNNNNNNNNNNNNNNNNNNNNNNNNNNNNNNNNNNNNNNNNNNNNNNNNNNNNNNNNNNNNNNNNNNNNNNNNNNNNNNNNNNNNNNNNNNNNNNNNNNNNNNNNNNNNNNNNNNNNNNNNNNNNNNNNNNNNNNNNNNNNNNNNNNNNNNNNNNNNNNNNNNNNNNNNNNNNNNNNNNNNNNNNNNNNNNNNNNNNNNNNNNNNNNNNNNNNNNNNNNNNNNNNNNNNNNNNNNNNNNNNNNNNNNNNNNNNNNNNNNNNNNNNNNNNNNNNNNNNNNNNNNNNNNNNNNNNNNNNNNNNNNNNNNNNNNNNNNNNNNNNNNNNNNNNNNNNNNNNNNNNNNNNNNNNNNNNNNNNNNNNNNNNNNNNNNNNNNNNNNNNNNNNNNNNNNNNNNNNNNNNNNNNNNNNNNNNNNNNNNNNNNNNNNNNNNNNNNNNNNNNNNNNNNNNNNNNNNNNNNNNNNNNNNNNNNNNNNNNNNNNNNNNNNNNNNNNNNNNNNNNNNNNNNNNNNNNNNNNNNNNNNNNNNNNNNNNNNNNNNNNNNNNNNNNNNNNNNNNNNNNNNNNNNNNNNNNNNNNNNNNNNNNNNNNNNNNNNNNNNNNNNNNNNNNNNNNNNNNNNNNNNNNNNNNNNNNNNNNNNNNNNNNNNNNNNNNNNNNNNNNNNNNNNNNNNNNNNNNNNNNNNNNNNNNNNNNNNNNNNNNNNNNNNNNNNNNNNNNNNNNNNNNNNNNNNNNNNNNNNNNNNNNNNNNNNNNNNNNNNNNNNNNNNNNNNNNNNNNNNNNNNNNNNNNNNNNNNNNNNNNNNNNNNNNNNNNNNNNNNNNNNNNNNNNNNNNNNNNNNNNNNNNNNNNNNNNNNNNNNNNNNNNNNNNNNNNNNNNNNNNNNNNNNNNNNNNNNNNNNNNNNNNNNNNNNNNNNNNNNNNNNNNNNNNNNNNNNNNNNNNNNNNNNNNNNNNNNNNNNNNNNNNNNNNNNNNNNNNNNNNNNNNNNNNNNNNNNNNNNNNNNNNNNNNNNNNNNNNNNNNNNNNNNNNNNNNNNNNNNNNNNNNNNNNNNNNNNNNNNNNNNNNNNNNNNNNNNNNNNNNNNNNNNNNNNNNNNNNNNNNNNNNNNNNNNNNNNNNNNNNNNNNNNNNNNNNNNNNNNNNNNNNNNNNNNNNNNNNNNNNNNNNNNNNNNNNNNNNNNNNNNNNNNNNNNNNNNNNNNNNNNNNNNNNNNNNNNNNNNNNNNNNNNNNNNNNNNNNNNNNNNNNNNNNNNNNNNNNNNNNNNNNNNNNNNNNNNNNNNCGCCGUAUUCCUUAUCUAGGGAAGCUCAUAUCUUUAAGAAAGUUGGAUGCCAGUAACUGUGCGCGUCUUGAAGCGCUUGAGGGUCUAGACAAGUUGGUGAACUUGACAUACCUUGACCUUAUCAAAACACAUAAUGCGAGAUUGCCCAAAGGAACACUGGAGUGUUUACUAAACUUGCAAUGUCUUAAAGUUUCGGCAAUAAAUGAAGAAACAAAAUUGGGGACAUUGGAGACAUUUGAAUGCUACUCUGAAAAUGCGGAUGAUUUUAACAAGUGUGUGAGGGCUAUUGGGCAAAGUAAUAAUCCUCUCUAUUACGGCCUCAACAUGAAUAUAGAAAAAUCAAACUUUAUUGUGGAAGUAAGUGAUGAUACUCGAUUUCGGAAUUUGGGGAGGAGCGUCAACAUUGGGGAGUGGGGUCAUGCUAUUUUGAGCGUGGGAGGGGAAUGCACUGGCAUUUUUAUUUUGAUUCCCCGAAAUGUGCAGACGAUGAGAAUGGGAAAAUGCAAGGGUAUAACAAAUUUGUCUAGCAUGGAUCCGCUUAAAUACCUUGAGGACCUAGAAAUAGAAGAAUGGGAAAACUUAGAGGUGCUCUGUGGAGGACAAGACGAAGAAGUAAUCGACGUCCCGGCCCCAACCCUCACCCCUCACCCCUUCUCGAGCCUUAUAUUUUUGAAAAUAAAGGAAUGUUCAAAACUGAAGUAUCUCUUUGGACAUGGGUCUAAAUCCAACCUUCCGCAUCUACAAGUUAUUGGAAUAGCGAAUUGUAAGGAAAUGGUGGGGAUAAUAGCAGCAGUUACAUCCCCACCACCACAUUCGCUCCCAUUUUUGCCUAGUCUGGAAGGUAUUAUUGUUUGGGGCUGUGGUAAAAUGAAGAGAGCGGUGGAAUCUGAGUGGAUGCCCCACUUCCCUAAGCUGAGAAACAUUGUAGUAUACAAAUGUGAGAAGAUGGAGGAGAUAAUCAGAGGUCCUCCUAAAUGCGUGCCGGUUGAAGGGAUUUCUCUCUAAUCUCUUAAGGUAGUACAUUGCGGUAGCAUGAGAAAGCUGCUUCCGCAUGAGUGGCUGCUCCAUCUUCGAAAUCUUCGAUGUAUCUAUGUCAAUGACUGCCGAGGAAUGGAGAAGAUGAUAUGCGGAGCGGGACAAGGUCAAGAAAGAAGCAUAACGACUCCUGUCAACAGCACCCCUUCAUCCUUCCUGCCUCCAAUUUCUCUCCCAAAGCUAGAGCAGUUGAAUCUAUCCGAACUACCCCAGCUAAAGAGCAUAUGCGAAUUCCCAAUAAGCUGCAAUUCCAUGGAAGAGUUGUUUGUGUACGAUUGCCCAGAAUUGAGGGGGAUUCCUUUGCAAUUGCGAUUGCGUGAAAUUGAGAAGCUUCCGCAUAUUUGGGUGGAAGAUGAGGAAAGGUGGAAGACGCUGAUGUGGGAUCAUCCCGAUGCUCAGGCUAUUCUUCAACCUCAUCUAAAAAAAAAGGGAUACCCUAGAGGUUAAUGAGUUUAAUUGAUAUAUGAUUGCUUCACUUCUUAAAAGUCGUUGCAAAGAUGUAGCUUUUCUGUCUAUAUAGUCAUGCAGCUCUCAUAGUGGCCUUUUGCAGAACUUUUCGCCAAGGGAAUGGUUCUCCUGUGACUCUGCUCUUGAAGAAAGCCUUGUUGCUCAACCGUGCUUUCCUGCAAACUCGACUCAGGUUGCCAUAUGAAUUGACCUUUUCUGUGUGGCCAUGCUUUGUCUAUUUUGAAUGCGAUCACAUGUUUUAUUGACUACUAGAAAUAAGUGAAUCUGGUCGAUAUUUCAGGUUAGUCAAAAAGCAACGGAUCUGAAGAUUUGGGAAGCCAAGGGAAUAGCAAAGCCUGUUUCCUAUCUUGUCUUAUAACUGAAAGGACAAGUUAUUAUUAUGGAUUUAUCUCCUUGGGAUAUUAGCCUUCUAAGAAAAGAGGGAAUUUUGUGCAGCACUACCUUUAAUCUGUUUUUGUUUAGAAAGGAUUUCAAAUAUGAUAUUGCUUUAACUUGUCGAUCGAAAAUAUUGUGUCAAAUACGCUGCUUCCCUCUGUUGGAUCAGAGCAACAUGACCCCGAUUAAACUUGUUUCGACAUUAAACUAUCGGGUAUAGAAUACUUGAUCUGCUUAGUAGUUGUAUCAUAUCUGGAAACGUAGGCUGGGAAGUUUUCUCUUCACCCGUUGUCAUACUUUGAGUUAGAAAUGUAAAAAGACGAAGAAGAAAGAAUUGCAUAGUUAUCGCCCCUCUUUAAAUGCCUCAAAGUUGUGGAUAGAUGGAGAAACCUACAGCUUCAGCUCAAGUUACCAAAAAUUAGAGCAGUAACCACUAGCAAGUCAAUGGAAAAAGGGCCAGCUUAUAGGACGUGGCACUUUUGAAAGUGUUUACAUUGCAAGCAACCAGUAAGUUAGCUCUGGGAAUCUUAGACACGUUCCAUUUUUUAAGAUAUCCAGUCAGCUAAACUUUGACAUAUUAAGUGACAGAAAAACCGGAUCUCUAUGUGCACGGAAGGAGUUUGAGCUAUCGCCUAAUGAUCCAAAUUUAGCUGAGUGCAUCAAGCAGUUAAAGCAGGUAAUGUUUUUGUUAUGCUCUGGGAUCCAAUCUAUUCUCUCAUCUGAUCUAAAUAUGCUGGGAGGAAACUUUCUUUCAUCAUUUCCAGGUAAUUGAUUGUUACUACAGGAAAUUCAGGUACUUAGCCAGCAUAGACAUCCGAACAUUCUGCAGUAUUAUGUCAGGGAAAUUGUGAGUCACAUUUCCACAGCACCUAUGCAUCCCAGCUCAAUGGGCGUUCAUUAUUUGACUCGCCAAAAUUUCAACAUAUUCAUACGUACUCAGGUUGAGGAUUGGCUUUACGUAUAUCUAGAAUAUGCACAUCACGAUUCAAUAGACAAGUAUAUCCAAGAGCGUCUUGGGACCCUAACAGACUCGGUUGUCCACACUUUACCCACUAUAUUGUGGCUGGAUUGGCUUCCCUGCAUGUUAACAACUCCAUACAUGGGUAAUUCUAAACCAUUGAUCAAGCAUCAUGAGAUGGCUUGUGCAGGGAUUUAAAGGGAGCUAAUUUAUUUGUGGAUGCAUCUGGGAUAUUCAAACUUGCUGACUUUGGAAUUGCUAAACAUGUGAGUUUUUACCUCUUCACUGCAAGACAACUCAGUGCAUGUAGAAAUUACUUGAUGAUCUGUGGUGCAUUCGAAUGUGAAGUCAGGGACCCAGGGUGACUGCGAACUUCUCAUUAUUGGUUUGUGGCAUUUCAUAUGUGCAAAAAUCUAUCACAGGUGGAUGAAAUGUUAUUAAGUAAUUUUCUUCACUUUUUUUCCCAUUGUUUCAGGUAAAGUUACCAUGUUGCAUAAACAGGAAAAGAUUUCUUGCUUUAAAUAGAUGCCGAAACCUAAUGAGAGUUCUUUCCCUUUCUACUGGUUUCUAAAAAGUUCCUAAGAGCAGUAGUGAAUAGAACGCAAUACCUUUGGCAAAAGGUUGUGGUGUUGUUUUUGCUGCUCCUCUGCAUUCCAAAAUAGGAUAGAAUUUAGUCAGAGUAAGCAAGGGCCUCCUUCCUAACAUGGGGUAAAUAAAAGUGUAUUGAUCCAUAGAAUGGAAUUCUGGAUAGUAGCCAAGGUGUUGUUGCUCUCUUUUUGAGUUCUCAAGCAUUUGCUGAGGUCAUGUUGUUGAUUGCUUCAAGUUGAAAGUGGUUGAUUCAGUAAUCAAUCUGAUGUAUCUAUGUCUAUAAAGAUGUUGCUAUUUUAUCCAGUGUUCCAUGAACACACCAAGUAGUCUUCAGCUUUACUAAUGCUGUACCAUUUCUUAGCUAACCGGACAAGCAGCUUGCUGCUCUUUGAAGGGAAGUCUAAACUGGAUGGCUCUAGAGGUACUCUGCUUUUGUUAACGUUAAUGCGGCAUUCUUUUUUAGUUGUGGCGGAAUGAUGGAAUAAUAUGUCUUGCAACUCAUACAAUCCUUGAUGGUGAAUAAUUACAGCACGGAUCUCAAUCAUACUGCCGACAUGUGGAGUUUGGGAUGUACUAUUACCGAAAUGAUUACUGGGAAACCUCCUUGGACUAUGAGUGAGUAAGUACGCUGCACUGUUUUUUUUUUUUUUCAUUUUCUCUCUAUCCUUCCUGGUAAUACGCUUCCAAGCAAAUCUGUGUUGUCGUUUUCUGUUGGAAGUUCGGGCCAUGCGCAUUACCAUUUGGUGUGUGAUCUGUGUCAUGAGUUUCUAUUUAAGGUUGAAUUAUUAAUGCAGGCUCAAGCUAUAUUUAAGGUGAUGCGAAGUUCUCCAGUAAUACCUGAGACGUUAUCUGCCGAGGGAAAGUAGCUGCGGAGAGGCCUUCUGCUGCUAUGCUACUUGAGCAUGCUUUCCUGCAAAUUUGAAGUUGCAAAUGAUUGACUUAUUUCAAGUGUUGUACGUUGUCGCAAAAGGGAUUUGUUGUCCUGUAAAGUUCCAUAUUUACUAAACCAAAAGGAUCACACGGUCCAUAGAUGUGAUGAAGUACUUGUAUAUUGACAAAAUAAGGCACAUACUUCUCUUGCAUGGUCUGACUGGCGGCAUACCAAUCUAGGCAAUUUGACAGUGUUGCUUAAUCUAAACCUUUUACUGCAUAGUGCAUUCUUACCAAAAACAUUUUGUACGAAGUACAUUUAUUCAUCAAAAUGGAAUGGUAUUGAUUUGGCUCCAAAUAAGCAAUAGGUCACGAAACACAAGCAAGAAAACCCAGAAAAGAAAAAAGAAAAAGAAAACCGAAGCUAUAGUGCAUCAGAAUUCCUAAACUCAUUUUGAAAGUAAAUACUUUGUCGGUUUGGUGGGAGAAACAUUGGCAAGUUUGGCAAACCUGCAAUGUCUUCGGAUUGCGGUAGUGAAGGGAGUAGUAUCGAAAUUAUGGGCAUUGGAGGCUCUUGAUUCUUCCCUUCAACAGUGUCGUUGAUCUCAAUAAAUACAUGAGAUUUCUCCAACCAAAAUGGCCCUCAUCAUAUUGUCACCAAAUUCCAGUGAAUCAAGAAAAGCCAUUGUGGUCUGCUUGCAAAUGUAAAUGAUCAUGAUGAUCCAAGAUUUGCAGCUUCCGAGAGGGGAAUUCACGUCGAUUGUUGCGAUUAUGCUCUUGUCAGGGCAGUAGGGGAAAGUCUUUCGCCUGAUGGUUUUGCUCCCAAGUGAUGCUGCAAGUUUGCCGUAUUUUCCCCUUAGGGUUGUUUGUCAUUUUGUGGAACAUUUUUAGAAUAAUUUUGCAUCCCGUGUCUAUAAAAUGCAAAUAGCCGAUGAAAUCUAUUGAAAACAUCUCAAGCUAUUCAUUUACGAGAUUUUAAUGGUUCUUAUAUGUAUAUAAUUUACCUUCCCUUACUUGUUCAAAUUUUUAGGUUGGACUUUCACUUAUGUGAAAAUAGCAAUUUGUGCGUGAAUUGCAAAGCAAACAUACUUCCUUUUUUUCUAUUUUUUUUCUACAAUUAAAGUGAUUCCUCUAUCCUAAUGCAUACCGGAAAUAUAUGAUAUGAAUGACAAAGUGUAACAGAAAAAUAAACUCCUCGAAAUUUUGCAAAGUCGGAGGCGCCACUGAGGCCGAGCGAUAUCUCUCGGUUGCAUUGGAUUCUUUCUUCGAUUUCAUUUUCUUUUGUUCUUUUCCUCAUUUUUGAACCAACAGCCUAACCAUGAGGCGCCUUUUCUCUUCUGUCCCUUAUCUGUACUCCUUUUCUUUCGUACAACUCGUUCUUCUUUCGCUGCUUUUUGGAUUUUUUUUUCUUGGUGUCCUCUGCCCAAACCCUUAAUGAAGACAACUAAUCGGUGUUUAGUUUUCCAAAGUGUAGCAUUAUUGAGCACCAUCAUCGACCAUCAAGUUCGCUAAACUCAGUCAUCAAUUAACUAACUGUUCUUGUUAAACAGGAGCUGCACCAACGNNNNNNNNNNNNNNNNNNNNNNNNNNNNNNNNNNNNNNNNNNNNNNNNNNNNNNNNNNNNNNNNNNNNNNNNNNNNNNNNNNNNNNNNNNNNNNNNNNNNAGAUCCAAACUACAUAUGAAACUGGACUCGUAAUUGGGAAAACAUGAAUUUAGCAUAUUAUACAUUGCUCCUAAAUAAUUUUAUGCACAUGCCAAAUAACAAGUACAUGUAUAAGUUAAGGCAAAUAGGUCUUUAGCAAAUUGACAAUGCAGAAACCGAGAGAGCGUAUGAAGUGAUCUUUGCAUUUUUGAAACUCUGUUAGUGUACAUUCUAGUAGUUUUCCCUUGUCAAAAUAUACUGAUUUUCAACUUUCGCUGAAAUGUCACACGUUCAAUUGGGGGAGAAUAUGAUCGAUAGUCCUAAUUAGCCAAGUCACAAAACCAAUCAUAUAUUUAAAUAGUUCAGAAAUCUUUCUGUUCAUUCUAAUUAAUAAUCGCAUCAAAGAAUUUUUCCCUAAACCUUUAUAUUCAGUCAUAGUUACUACUUUUCAGUUCACUCUUUGAAAGAUUCCCAUGAUCUCUUCAAAUAAAUUAAAAUACAAUUCAGGGUUAGUGGUCGUAACUUUAUCUAUUAGGUAUAUAGCUUAAUGCUCAUUUUGAAUGAGGGCAAAAGGUCACCCCGUUUACAUUCACGUGUUUGUCACAUUGUGAUGGGAAAAUGGGAACGAAAUGCAAGUUCAGAGGCACAGGAUGCAACUUUCUAAAUUUCCAUUUUCAAAUGCAUUGGGUUCCCUUUUCCCCAGUCAUCUCUUCUUAAUCAUCCCGGUGCAAGGACAGGACUUUCCCUGGACAGUGAUGCACAACAAGCCAUUAUCAUUGUACUGAAGUGAAUCUGUUUCCUUUGAUCGUGGACGAUUCUAUGCUCCCGAAAUCGGGGUAAUAUAUGAUGGGGUGCGCUCUAUUUGCUUGCAGGUUCGUAACAAAGAGGAUAUAGCUUGGAAAUUCGUCAAUAGAUUGGAGGACAGCAAAUGGCGUUGUUAUUACUGCCGUGGAGAAUUCUUUAAAGACCUUACAGGAGUGAAAGGUCACUUGCUUGGAGUCCCAAAUGAAGGGAUUUCCAUUUGCACACAAGUGCCGGACCAUGUAAGAAAGAUAAUGCAGUCGUUACAAGAUGAGAUGGCUGAAGAAGAGAGCAGGGGAGCCAAUGGUCAAUCCUCCGCGGAACCACAGUCACGUGGCAUGCCCGCUCAAGCUGAGGUGGCUGAAGAAGAGAGCAGAGAGGCCAACGGUCAAUCCUUCACAGAACCACAGUCACGGGGCAUGCUGCCUCAACCUGAGGUGGCUGAAGAAGAGAGCAGAGAAGCCAACAUUCAAUCCUCCACGGAAACACAAUCCCGCGACAUGCCCACUCAAGCUGAGGUGGUGGCUGAAGAAGAGAGCAGAGAAGCCAACGGUCAAUUUUCCAGGGUCUGUUGAAUAUUAAUCUGCAGUUUUGCUUUCCUGCUUUACUACUUGUGGAUGCUAUUAUUUGCUUGAGAAUAAUGCUAUGCGCAUUAGGAAAAUGUACACAAGAUUGAUAGGUUAUAUAAUCGGGCGUGCUCUCUUUGCCUGCAUGUUGAUAAUCAAAAUGACAAGAUGCCGCGAGUUAAAGAUGCCGUGAGUUAAAGAAAUAGCCUGGAAAUUCGUGAUUAGACUGGAGGGCGAGAAAUGGUGUUGUCCUUACUCUGGAAAAGUUACAAGAGUGAAAAGUCACUUUCUUAAACAUUCAAACAGAGGCAUUUCUCCUUGUAAAAAAGUGCCGGAGCACAUAAGCAUGCUAAUGGAUUGGUUACACAAUCAGGUGCCUUUAAUGCUUGUGGUAGCUACAUUGUUUGCCUGAGAAUGAUGCUAGCGUGCUAAGAAGAUUUAUGAAAAAUGGGGAUAAUAUAUGAUGGGGUGUCGCUCUAUUUGCUUGCAGGAUCGUAACAAAGAGGAUAUAGCCUGGAAAUUUGUUGAUAGACUGGAGGACAACAAAUGGCGUUGUCAUUACUGCCGUGUAGAAUUCUUUGGAGACCUUAUGGGAGUGAAAGGUCACUUGCUUGAAGGGAUUUCCAUUUGCACGGAAGUGCCGGACCACAUAAGAAAGCUAAUGCGGUCAUUACUCGAUGAGGUGGCUGAAGAAGAGAGCAGAGAAGCCCACGGUCAAUCCUCCGUCGAACCAAAUUCCCGUGACAUGCCGAGUCAAGUUGAGGUGGCUGAAGAAGAGAUUAGAGAGGCCAACCGUCAAUUUUCCACGGAACCACAGUCGCGUGACAUGCUGUCUCCAGCUGUUCCUCGGUCAUCACAAAGCUUGGAAGAUACAGAAAACUUAUUCACAACAACAGAGUGGGCGACUGACUUGGAAAACUUAGACUAUGACCUAGAGCGUCAUUUUCUUGAGACUUUGGCAAUGCCGCCACCGGCGCAAAAUAUUCAUGGUAUGUUCAUGUGAAGUUUCUAUACAUGCAUCUAGGCAUGGAGAAAAAACAUAUAUUAUAUUCAAACACGUCGGGUUUUUUAACCAAAGUGGAGACUUUUAAAUAUCUUCUAUAAAAACGAUCUUCCUAUGGGACUUUCCAAAUGUAAAGAAAGUCAAAUCACCUAUUCCUUAAUAACAGUGCAUUGAAUGUGUUGCACCUGUCCAUUGGACCCAUUGGAUCCAAUAAACUAACUACAGUAGGUAGUCUUUUAUGUUCCAAUCAACUAUAUCCUAAUUUUGAUGAACUUCACGCAGAUGAAAACAUACCAUUUUCAACGAUAGCUUUAGCAGAAGUAGAAUCGGAUCUUCUUGAUCCGCCAUGUCAGCCACAAUAUUCCAAUCGAUCUCUUUAUCGCGAGGAAAUGCAAAUGAAUGACCAGCAGACUCCAGCAGGGGCAUUAUCAUUCCAGUAUGUUCCAUUACCUGCUGUAGGUAAUUCAAAUUGCUUGCAGGACUGCAAUGACUCUCAAUUGCAAACGCCAGUGGACGUAGAUCCCUCAAUUGCAUCACAGCGUACAAAUCACAUUACUGGGGCACAAAUCAAUUAUUUGAAAGUUCCAGAGGCAGCAACAAAUACAACAGGCCCAUCAUCAUCACAGGGUUUGUAUGGAUUAAUCUACAUUGCUACUAUGGUUAUAUUAGAUACUUGAAUAUCUCCAUAUUAUUUUAUUGAAAUCUAACAUAUGAUUUUUUAAACAAGAUAGGAACAUGGAUUAUCCAAUCAAGAACAUGCUGAGCAUCAUUGCAUAUUCUAUUUGUCUGAUAUCAGUUUUUAUCACACCAUUACUUUCUUCAAAAUAUUUAACUCUAAUGCGGUCGUUACUCGAUGAAGUGACUGAAGAAGAGAGCAGAGAGGUGGCUGAAGGACAAAGCAGAGAAGCCAACCGUCAAUCCUCCACGGAACCACAAUCACGUGACAUGCCUGUAAGACAAAAUAAUUUAUAUACAGAAGCCAGGAUCAAUUAAAGACAAACCUCCAGCCAUUGUUUUGUUCACAUUCGUCAGAAAACCUGAAAUCAAAGAAAAUUGGGGACACUCUACUACCCAAUUCACUCUCGUACUGAUGGUGUAUUCUGAAUGAGAGGGUUUGAGUUAGACAUUGUCAUCAUCCGUCAGAAAUGAACGUACGUUCCUAUUUAUACACUGUCUCCCAUCAAGACGGGCGGUUGUCACCAAAUGGUACGAAGCGUGGAAAACUUUAUGUUGAACAGUCGCAACCUUUAGAGAAAAUAAAUGUGGGAUCAUAAAAAUAAAUAACAUUCUCCCACUUGAUCCCAUCAUUUUCAUUAUACAGAUUAUCCAACUAAUUCCACAAAAACUUUAUGCUUAAAGAAAAGAAACAAAACACAUGGAUCAUGGCGACAUGUCCUCUAAGAGUGAGUAAUAUCUUCCAUGUAUCACAAUGCACCUUAUUUCUUUAAUGUCAGCCUAUAUGUGACAACAAAUCUUAAUGAAUAAACCCCAUGUUUAUUCCAAAACCAAUGAUAAAUGUUAUUCUCAUAAACAACAAAAUGUGUACACAAAAAUUGAGAAUCAACAUUACAACUGAAUAAGAGUUUCAUACAACAAAAAUCGUUCAUAUAACGACAAAUUACAUAAUGGGACCUAUUCCCAUACUAGUUACAUGAUCCUUAUACUUCAUUGGUGGCAUGCCUUUAGUUAAAGGAUCGGCUAUCAUCAAUUCAGUGCUAACGUGUUCAAUGACCACUUUAUUCUCCUUAACACGUUCCCUUAUGGUUAAAUACUUAAUGUCGAUAUGCUUACUUUGACUGCCACUUUUGGCAUUUUUAGCCAUAAAAACCGUAGCUGAAUUGUCACAAUAUAUUCUUAAUGGCCUAGAAAUUGAAUCAAUAAUUCUAAGCCCAGCAAUGAAACUCUUCAACCAUACACCAUGCGAGGUAGCCUCAAAACAAGAAACGAACUCAGCCUCCAUAGUGGAAGUAGCAGUCAAAGUCUACUUGGCAUUUCUCCAUGACACGGCUCCGCCAGCUAAUAUAAAAAUGUAUCAAGAUGUUGAUUUUCGUGAAUCAAUGUAUCCCGCAAAGUCCGCAUCCGAAUAACCAACCACUUCCAGGUUGUCAGUCCGUUUAUACAUAAGCAUAUAGUCUUUGGUACCUUGAAGGUAUCUCAUCACUUUCUUUGCAGCUCUCUAGUGGUCUAAACCUGGAUUACUCUGAUAUCUUCCCAACAUUCCCACAGCAAAAGCGAUGUCAGGUCGAGUGCAAACCUGAGCAUACAUUAAGCUUCCAACAACAGAAGCAUAUGGAAUGUUGUGCAUUUGUUCCCUUUCUAGAUCGUUCUUCGGGUAUUGGUUCAAAUUGAACCUGUCACCCUUCACAAUGGGUGCUAUACUUGGUGAACAAUCUUUCAUCCGAAAUCUCUCUAGAACCUUAUUGAUAUAGGUUUCUUGAGAUAGUCCUAAAAUGCCUCGAGGUCCAUCUCUAUGGAUCUUAAUGCCAAUGACAUAAGAUGCCUCACCCAUAUCCUUCAUGUCAAAACUCCUAGAGAGAAAUUGUUUCACCUUAUGUAGCAACCACUUAUCAUUGGUUACAAGUAGUAUAUCAUCCACAUACAGUACAAGGAAACAAAUUUUGCUCACACUGACCUUCUGGUAUAUACAUUGAUCCAUGACAUUCUCUACAAAACCGAAUGAAGAGAUGACUUCAUGGAACCUUAAGUACCAUUGGCGGGAUGCUUGUUUCAAGCCAUAUAUAGAUUUCUUAAGUUUGCACACCAAAUGCUCACCUUUACUAGAGGAGAAUCCUUCAGGUUGUUUCAUGUAAACCUCCUUCUCUAGUUCUCCAUUGAGGAAUGCUGUUUUCACAUCCAUCUGAUGUAAUUCCAUAUCAAAAUGGGCAAUCAAAACCAAAACAAUACGAAGAGAAUCUUUCUUAGAUACAGGAGAAAAAGUCUCCGUGUAGUCGAUUCCUUCCUUUUGAGUGAAUCCUUUGGCAACAAGUCUAGCUUUAUAUCUUUCAAUGUUACCCAAUAAAUCAUUCUUAGUUUUGAAGACCCAUUUACAACCAAUGGCCUUCACACCAUUAGGUAACUCAACCAAAUCUUAAACUUUGUUAGAUGCCAUUGAACUCAUUUAUUCCUUCAUGGCAUUGUACCACAAAUUGGAUUUAUCACUAUCCAUGGCUUGUGAAAACGUUUUGGGAUCAUUCUCAGCUCUAAUAUUGUAGUCAAACUCUUGUAAAUACACAAUAUAAUCACUAGGAAUAGCCGAUUUCUUUAUUCUAGAAGAUCUUCUCAAUUUUGCAUCGACAUUCUCUUGAGGUGCGUGUUGCUUAACUAGUUGUUCAACAGUUUCUGGUAAUUAUUGAACAACUGGAUCUACUAGAUCAAUAUCAACAGGUUGUGGAACUUCAACGAUUGGUUGUUCAAUAGCCGGUUGAACUGAAUAGGCAUUAUAAGCAACGACCAACCCUAAACUUGAGGUGGGAGGAUGAAUGUCUGGAUGAUCUUUCUUAGGAACAAGGUCCUUCGAUUGAUCACUCCCACUAAUCAAGUCAUUUUCAAGAAAUUUAGCAUUUCUUGAUUCCACAAUCCUAGUAGUGUGAGAUGGACAAUAAAAUCUGUAUCCCUUAGACCUUUCGGCAUAUCCAAUGAAAUACCCACUUAUGGUCCUUGGGUCCAACUUCUUUUCUUGUGGAUUAUAAACUCUCACUUCAGACGGGCAUCCCCAAACGCGCACAUGAUGCAAACUCGGUUUCCAACAUUUAAAUAAUUCAAAAGGUGUCUUUGGGACAGCUUUGGUCGAAACUCGGUUUAAUAUGUACACUGCCGUCUUAAGUGCUUCAGUCCACAAAGAUUUAGGAAGUUUGGAGCUGCUAAGCAUGCUACGCACCAUGUCCAAUAAGGUCCGAUUUCUUCUUUCCGCUACGCCAUUUUGGUCCGGAGAACCAGGCAUAGUAUAUUGGGCAACUAUCCCAUGCUCUUGAAGAAACCUUGCAAAUGGACUAGGUGCUUGUCCAUCUUCAGUGUAUCUACCAUAGAAUUCUCCACCCCUAUCUGAUCUCACGAUCUUAAUUUGCUUAUCGCAUUGUUUCUCUACUUUCACCUUAAAUACCUUAAAGGCAUCUAAUGCUUCAUACUUAUUAUGAAUCAAAUAGAGAUACAUGUAACGUGAGUAAUCAUUUAUAAAAGAGAUGAAGUAUUUCUAACCACAAGAGUCCAUAUCCGAACUACAAAUAUCCCUGUGUAUGAUUUCUAAUAUUUCUGUACUCCUCUUGGCACCUUUUUUUGUCUUGUUAGUCUGAUUUCCCUUUAUGCAGUCCACACAAGUAUCACAAUCAGUAAAAUCUAAAGUACCGAGUACUCCAUCAUUUACUAAUCGCUUGACUCUUUCUAUGGAAAUAUGUCCCAAUCUCCGAUGCCACAACAUAGAGGAAUGUUCUUUCACAACACAUCGUUUUAUACCAACUUUAUCAUGAACAUGCAUCGCAUCAUAAUAGGCAUUGUCUUGUAAAUUAAUUCGAAAAAGACCAUCAGACAAAAUACUACUCCCAACAAUUUUAAAUUUAAAUGAUAAACAAAAGUUUGAAUCUGAAAAGUUAAAAAAGUAUCCCAAAGGUACAAGUCUUGAAACUGAAAUUAAGUUUCUAGAAAAACUAGGAACAUAAAAGGUCUUUUCCAAAUUUAAAACAAAACCACUAUUGAGAACUAGUCUAUAUGUCCCAAUAGCUUCUACAUGCGAACGCAUCUUAUUUCCUGAAUAGAUGCUUUGUUCACUUCCCACUGGCUUCCUGUGGUUUUGAAAACCCUACAAGGAAUUCGAAAUAUGGAUUGUAGAUCCAGAAUCAAUCCACCAAGUGUUGUGACUUACAUCAAUCAUAUUAGAUUCAUAACAAACACGAGAUUUGAUUACCUUUCUUCUCAAGCCAAGCCUUAAAUUUGACACAAUCCUUCCUUAUAUGCCCCUUCUGUUUAUAAAACAAGCAUUUGGAUUCUUUCUUAAUGUCAGCUUGGGGAGGUAUUUUACCUUUUCCCUUAUGCUUGCCAUAGCCCUUAUUCUUUCCUUGUAUUGUCAAAUGAGCCACUUUCUCCCAAUUCCAUAACCAGUCUUUCUUCGUCUUGAACACACAUGGUCAUGAGUUCAUUAAUAGACCAUUUAUUCUUAUGUGUGUUAUAAGAGAUCUUGAAAGGUGCGUAUUGUUGUGGGAAAGUGUUCAGAAUAUAAUACACAAGGAAGGAUUCAGAUAUCUCAACCUCAAGGUUCUUAAGCUGAGUUGCAAUGUUCCUCAUUUGCAUGAUGUGCUCACGCACACCUCUAACACUAGUGAGCUUCAAUGAUGAAAACUUCAUAAUCAGGGUCAUGGCAUGCGCCUUCUCAGAACUUUCAAAUUGCGCAUCUAUGGCCUCCAAUAAAGCCUUAGCAUUGCUAUGCUGAGCAACCGAACCACAAAUACUAGGAGAUAUCUGAGCUCUUAUAAACAUAGCACAAACAUGGUUGGACCGCUCCCAUUGGUUAUAAAGAGCUAUCUCAGCUAGAGUGCUCGAAUCAGUAGGAGCAGGUGGUUCGUCUUUCCUUAUAGUAUAGUCAAUGUCCAUCCACCCCAAUUGAAGAAGAACCGACUCCUUCCAAACUUUAUAGUUCUCACCAUUCAGUAUGGGAACAUCAAACUUAAAUUCAGAGAAAUUCACAUGUUGCGAAACUGCAUAUCAAAUAAUCAUACUUAUGUCACAAAAUUUGAGGCAAAUAUGUAUAAAUAAAUCAUAUUUUACCAAUGUAAACAUGUCACAAUAUGAAUCACAUAACAUAAAAACUUCAUGUGGGCUAAGUUUUUAAUUUAAAUAGAUUCAUAAUUACUUCAUGAAGAAACUACCAUAUUAUAUGCAUUUUCUUAAUCCCUAUGGGUAAAUUAAGAAAAAUAAUAUGAUAUUUCAUCCUAAUUAAUCAUAUUAAUAUAAUGAAAAUUCAUGUGGGAUAAAAUUCAUCAUAUUAAUAUAAUUAAUUACAAUCAAUGUCCGUUUUUAAAUAUGAUCCGGAGGCUUUUAAUAUAUAAUUUAAUUAAUUAAAGAUGUUGUGGCCACUCUCUAAUUAAUUAAUUAAUUAUAUUGACCAUUGGACAUUUAAUUUCACGCAUAAAAUAUUCAUAACAAUGCAUGAAAUGACAUAAUAUAUAAAUACAUCAAGGGCAUAACAGUAAAUAAAUAAAUUGGCCAAGGGCAAGAUUGCAAAAAACAAGAAAAUUUGAGGCAAAAGCGUAAAUAGAAGCCGCAUGGAGGAGACGCCAGGCACGCGCCUGUUCCCGCGGCAGGCGCGUGGUCCAUACGCGCGCGGUUCAGCGCGCGUGCGCGUGCAACACACACACCUAGCAACUGCCACGCUCGUGGAUCCCACGCACGCAACGGUUGAGCGCCCGUGAGAGCGCGUGGCGCGUGGAUUCCACGCCCCUGCAACCGCAGUGCGCGCGUAGGCUCCACGUGCCUUCUUCCUCACACGAACAGAAGCUUUUCUUCGCCAUUCCGCCGCGGUUUCGCCGGCUAUUUCUUCUCCGGCCGGCCAUUUCUUCUCCAGCAGCCCAUCUCAGACAGAAAUAAAUAAUGAGUUUUGAAGAGCAUGCCGGAAAAAUCACACGGGUCCAAGUUUCGGUGAAAAUGAGCAAAAAUUGGCCCCAAAAUCAUACGAAAAUUUCCUAAAACACAAUUCCUUCAACCACUGCGACUUCCACCGCCCGAUUAGCCUCCGGCGAUCACCGAUAUGCCGAAAUAACUCAUGACUAAUAUUCCUCAUGGCGGUGCGACCGUGCGGGUCCGAAAUCAUGGGGUGGGUCGCCGGAAUUUGCUUGGAAUUUGGGAGUUUCUCUGUUGGCCUCAAAACUCCGAAUUACUGUUCAUGUUCAAAAUGCCCAAAAAACACACCAAAAAUUCGAGAAAAACAAGGCAGAGGCACUAGACAUGCUCUGAUACCAAAUGUAAGACAAAAUAAUUCAUAUGCAGAAGCCAGGAUCAAUUAAAGACAAACCUCCCGCCAUUGUUUUGUUCACGUUCGUAAAAAAACCUGAAAUCAAAGAAAAUUGAGGACACUCUACUACCCAAUUCACUCUCGUACUGAUGGUGUAUUCUGAAUGAGAGAGUUUGAGUUAGACAUUGUCAUCAUCUGUCAGAAAUGAACGUACUUUCCUAUUUAUACAUUGUCUCCCAUCAAGACUGGCGGUUGUCACCAAAGGGUACGAAGCGUGGAAAACUUUAUGUCGAACAGUCGCAACCUUUAGAGAAAAUAAACGUGGGAUCACAAAAAUAAAUAACAAUGCCCACUCAAGCUGAGGUGGAGGCUGAAGAAGAGAGCAGCGAAGCCAACGAUCAAUUUUCCACGGGGCCUUUACUCUUACCAGGAUUUUUCGAGUAUAUGGAACAGUUAAACUUCAGCCAACAGGUGCAAAAUUGCCAUGGUAUGUCCAUGUAAAGUUUUUAUACAUUCAUCCAGGCGCGAAGAAAGGAAAAAUCAUUAUAUUUUUCAGAUUAGUAACUCUCUCUAUAAUAACUCAAAUUCAUCUGCUUCCCUAUCAUAUCGAUUCCAAAUUACAGUUGUAUCAUUGUAUAUUCUAUAUGUCCCAUAUCGUUAUCUUUUUACCGCAUGGUUUAUUUCAUCAAAAUAUUUACUUAUGAGCAUAUGUUGAUUUUCGCCGUAAAUAUUUGUUUUUUAAUCAAGUUCUAGACAUUCGUUUUACCUGUACCCAUGGCUUGAUUUAAAAGUCCCAUUGUUGAUUUAUUUUACGCUCAACUUUUUUAGUGCAACCAGUUUUGGUGCCCCCUCAACAUCAAAAUGCUCCACAUCAAUCCAAGACAAGGAAUGUGCUUCAGAAUCCAACUGCACAAUCAUCAACAGCUCUAAGGGAUAUGGAUUUACGUAUCCUAUCAUCAUCACAAGCUUCAGAUGUUGCUCCACAGUGGCCGACCGAUGUUUCAAACUUCAACCAACAGGGAUAUCAAUGGGCCAAACUCUGGCCAACAAUCACAAGCAGAGCGUCAGUUUCCUCAGAGUUCAACAAUGCCGUCACUGGCACAAAAUCGCCAUGGUAUGUUAAUGUGAAGUAUCUAUACAUUCAUCUCGGCGGGGAGAAAAACAUCUAUUAUAUUUUUCAACGCAAACAUGUUGGAUUUUUUAACCGAAGUGGUAACUUUUAAAUAUCUCCGAUAAACAUGCUUUUUCCACACAACUGUUCAAAUAUGAAGAGAGUCAAUAACCUAUUCCUUAAUAACCAUACAUCCAAUGUGUUACACGUGGCCACUGGACCCACUGGAUCCAGUAAACUAACUACAAUAAGCAUUCUCCCGUGUUCCAAUCAACCAUAUCCUAACUUUGAUGAACAAAACACAGGUGAAAGUUCCACGAUGGCUUUAGUGGAAGCGGAAUUGUAUUUUCAUGAUCUGUUAGAUUAGUCACAAUGUUACUUUCAAUCUCAAAUGCAAAUGAUUGCCCAUCAGACUCCAGCAGGGGCGUCAUCAUUCCAGGAUGAUCAAUUACCUACUGUAGAUAAUUCAAAUUGCUUGCCGGAUUGCAAUCAGCACUCUCAAUUGCAAACUUUAAUGGACAUAGAUCCCUCAAUUGCACCACAGCAUACAAGUGACUCACACAUUAUUGAGGCAACAACGGUUGAAUCUCAAGUUUCAGAGGCGGCAACAAAUGCAACAGGCCCAUCGUCAUCACAAGGUGUGUUUGGAUUAAUCUUCAUUGUUACUAUAUGGUUCCACUAGACUCUUAAAUAUCCCCAAAUUAUUUUAUCGAAAUCUAACAUAUGUUUUUUUUGUAAAUUAGAUAUGAAUAGGGGUUCUCCAGUCAUGGACGUACGGAGCAUCUAUGCCAACGAUGAAGAGAUAAGAAACCUGAAAAGAAAAGUGGAAGAACUUGACGACAAAAAAGCUGUCAUAAAGGAGCAGAUGGAGAUAGAGUCUGCUGCUUCCUCUGUUCGGAAGAAGCCGAGGAUAUUGGUUGAGAGAUGACUGAAAGAGACAGAAAGAGCAAGAAAUAAUUUCCAAAUAAUUGGCCAAGCCAAUGUGGAAACUUUGCCACCAAAGGAACAGGUGGAGACAUUGACGAGAGAAGUGGAAGAACUCAUAGGAAAAAUGCUUCCACAAACACUACUCAUAGAGGAGAGAGAUGCCAAAGGAGUCAAAUUUUUUGAACGAAAGCUAACAGGUGAAGUGAUUCAUAGGAACAUUAAGUUGAUUUGGGAUUGUCUGAAGGAAAAUCAUGUAUGCAAAUUGGGUAUUUAUGGAAUGGGUGGUGUUGGGAAGACAACUAUUAUGAUGCACAUACAUAAUAGACUUCUCAAUGAUGCAACCUUCGAUGGUGUGGUUUUUAUCACUGUGUCCAAAGAUUUCAGCAUUUAUAAGUUGCAGAGUGAUAUUGGGGAGGCAUUAAAAUGUGGCAUUAAGGAGGUUGAGGAUGAGAAGAAAUGAGCAGCGAUGUUGUUGGAGCAUUUAGAAAGAAAGAAGAAUUGUGUAUUGAUUCUUGAUGAUGUGUGGGAACAUCUUGAUCUUGAAGAGUUGGGAAUCCCUAUUAGAGCACAUGGAUUUGAGUUCAUCUUAACCACUCGAUCCUUUGAUGUGUGCUGCCAAAUGCAAUAUCAAGAAAAGAUCAAAAUCAAGCCUCUAUCUCAAGAAGAAGCCGAGAGUUUGUUUUUGGAGGAGCUUGGACCCGAAAUGCCACUUAAUUUGGAAAUUGAAGCAAUUGUGAAGUCCAUUGUUAAAGAAUGUGCAGGCUUGCCGAUUGGAGUAAUCACGAUGGCGAGAAGCAUGCGAGGAGUGACCGAAGUGUUUGAAUGGAGGGAUUCCUUGGUGAAAUUGAAAGAAUCGACUAUUAGACAAACAUAUAUGGAAGGUUUUAAGAAUUUUGAAAUUUAGUUAUGAUUGCCUUGGUAAUUCUAAUGUCCAACAAUGUUUCUUAUCUUAUGCACUUUAUCCAAAUGAUGGAUUAAUUGGUGGAUUGAGUACGAGUAAUGAACAAUAUGAUAGAGGGCUCACCAUAUUGAACAAAAUGAGAAAUGUUUGCCUAUUGGAAGGUCAGCACAAGAGAGGGAUGUGGAUGAAGAUGCAUGAUUUGAUUAGAGACAUGGCAUUGCAUAUCAUGGGUGUGACUUUCAUUGUAAAAGCAAGAAAGCAAUUGAUGAGGAUUCCAUCCGAAGAAUAUUGGACUGAUGCUUUGGAGAAAGUUUCUCUAAUGAAUAAUAACAUUAAAGAUUUUCCAUUGGACAUGUCGCCAAAUUGCCCUAACCUAUCAACUCUUCUAUUAAAAAAUGGCUUGUCGCAUGAUGCGGUCAUCCCUGAUUCUUUCUUCAAAAAUUUAUGCGGGCUAAAGGUUCUAGAUUUGAGUGGAAAUGAUAUGACAAAACUUCCAAAUUCCAUCUCAAACUUGGUAAACUUGAGAGCACUAUUGCUCAGACAUUGUCAGGAAUUGCGCCGUGUUCCUUAUCUAGGAAAGCUCACAUCUUUAAGAAAGUUGGGCGCUGAAUACUGUAGGAGUCUUGAAGUGCUUGAGGGUUUGGAAAAGUUGGUGAACUUGAGAUACCUUAACCUAACUGGAACACAUAUUGAGAGAUUGCCCAAGGGAAUGUUGGACCAUUUAUUACACUUGCAAUAUCUUAAAUUUUCGGUGGUAAAUGAAGAAGACAUUACGAAAUUGGGGGCAUUGAAGACAUUUGGAUGCUACCUUAAAAAUGUGGAUGAUUUCAACAAGUGUGUGAAGGCUAUUGAGCAUAGUAAUAACCCUCGCUAUUACGACCUCAAAGUGGAUCGAGAAAAACCAGAGUUUAUUGCGAAAGUAAGCGAUGAUACUCAAUUUGGGAAUUUGAGGAGGAGAGUCAUCAUUUGGGAUUGGAGUCAUGCCAUUUUGAGCGUGGGAGGCGAUUGCACCAGCAUUUUUAUUUUGAUUCCCCAAGAUGCGCAGAUAAUGAUAAUGAGAAAAUACGACGGUAUAACAAAUUUGUCUGGCAUGCGUCUGCUUGAAUACCUUGAGGAGCUAAAUAUAGAAGAAUGGGAAAACUUAGAGGUGCUCUAUGGAGGACAAGACAAAGAAGUAAUCGUCAUCCAUGACUCCCUUACCCCAACCCCUACCUUUCCGCUCUUCCCCAACCUUAGGGUUUUGCGAAUAGAAAAAUGUACGAAAUUGAAGUAUCUCUUUGGGCAUGGGUCUAAAACCAACCUUCCGCAUCUACGAGACAUUCUAAUAUAUGGAUGUGAGGAAAUGGUGGGGAUAAUAGCAGCAGUUACAUCCCCACCACCACAUCCGCUCCCAUUUUUCCCUAGUCUGGAACAGAUUACUAUUGAAAAAUGUAAUAACAUGAAGAGAGUGGUGGAAUCUGAGUGGAUGCCCCACUUCCCUAAUCUAAGAAGAAUCUAAGUAUUCAAAUGUGAGAAGAUGGAGGAGAUAAUCGAAGGUCGUCCCCCAUACUUGCCAGUUGAAGGCAUUUCUCUCGAAUCUCUUACGGUAAUAGAUUGCGGUAACAUGAGAAAGCUGCUUCCGCAUGAGUGGCUGCUCCAUCUUCGAAAACUUCGAAAGAUCAUGGUCUCAUCGUGCAAUGGAAUGGUGGAGAUGAUAAGUGGAGCGGGACAAGGUCAAGAAGGAAGCUUAACGACUCCCUGUAAACAACACCCCUUCAUCCUUCCAGCCUUCUUCAAUUUCUCCCCCAAAGCUGGAGUGGUUGGGACUACUCAAUCUACCCCAGCUGAAGAGCAUAUGCGAAGUCCCAAUAAGCUGCGAUUCCAUGAAAAAUUUGACGGUGUACGGAUGCCAAGAACUGAAGAGGAUUCCUUUGCAACUGCGAUUGUGUGAAAUUGAGGAGCUUCCACAUAUUUGGGUGGAAGAUGAGGAAAAGUGGAAGACGCUAAUUUGGGAUCAUCCCAAUGCUCAGGCUACUCUUAAACCUUAUCUCCUAAAAGGGAAUCACACUAAUAGAGAAAGUCCUUUAUUUUGGGAGGGACCGAGUCCUCCAAGUGCUAUAGGUUAAUGAGUUUAAUCGAUAUACAAUUGCUUCACUUCUUAAAAGUCCUUAUAAAGAUGUAGCUUCUCUGUCUAUAUAGUCAUGCAGCUCUAAUAGUGGCCUUUUGCAGAACUGUCCACCAAGGGAGAGGAUCUCUAGUGACUCUGCUCUUGAAGAAAGCCCUACUGCUCGACCAUGCUUUCCUGCAAACUCGACUCAGGUUGUCAUAUAAUUUGACUUUUUUCGUGUAUAUUUUGAAUGUGUUCGCAUGUUUUAUUGACUAUUGGAAAUGAGUCAAUCUGGUCGAUAUUUCAGGUUAGUCAAAAAACAACGGAUCUGAAGAUUUAGGAAGCUAAGGGACGAGCAAAGCCUGUUUCCUAUCUUGUCUUAUAACCGAAAGGACAAUUUAUUAUUAUGGAUUGAUCUUCCUAGAAUAUUAGCCUUCUAAGAAAAGAGAGAAUUUUGGGCAGCACUACCUUUUAAUAUGCUUGUGUUUAGAAAGGAUUUCAAAUAUGAUAUUGCUAUAACUUGUCGAUCAAAAAUGUUGUGCCACAUAUGCUGCUUUGCUCUCUUGGAUCAGAGCAACAUGACUCUGAUUAAACUUGUUUCGACAUUAAACUAUCGGAUAUAGAAUACUUGAUCUGCUUAGUAGUUGUAUCAUAUCUGGAAACGUAGGCUGGAAAGUUUUCUUUUCACCCUUUGUUGUAAAAUUUCACCUCAACCCCACUUUGAGUUAUAAAAUAAAAAUCCAUCACCCCUCUUUUGAUUCCUUGAAGUCGUAAAUAGAUGGAGAACCCUACAGCUUCAGCUUAAGUUGCCAAAAGAUUAGAGCAGUUACCACUAGCAAGUUAGUGGUGAAAAGGCCAACUUAUUGGACAUGGCACUUUCGGAAAUGUUUACAUUGCAAGCAACAGGUUAGCUAGCUCUGGUAAACUUUGACAUGUUCCAAUUUUCUAGAUAUCCAGUCAGCUAAACUUUGACCUAUUAGGUGACAGAGAAACCAGAUCUUUAUGUGCAUUGAAGGAGUUUGAGCUAUUGCCUAAUGAUCCAAAUUCAGCUGAGUGCAUGGGGCAGUUAAAGCAGGUAAUGUCUUUGUUAUGCUCCGGGAUCCAAUCUAUUCUCUCAUCUGAUCUAAAUAUGCUGGGAGGAAAUUUUUUUUUAUCAUUUCUAGGUAAUUGAUUGCUUUGCUACUACAGGAAAUUCAAGUACUUAGCCAGCUUAGACAUCCAAACAUUCUGCAGUAUUAUGGCAGUUAAAUUGUGAGUCACCUUUCCACGGCAUCUACACGACCCAGAUCAAUGGGCAUUCAUAAUUUUACUUACCGAAAUUCCAACAUAUUCAUACAUACUUAGGUUGAGGAUCAACUUAAAAUAUAUCUAGAAUAUGCACAUCACGGUUCGAUAGACAAGUAUAUUCAGGAGCAUCUUAGGACCCUAACAGAAUCGGUUGUUCACACUUUUACCCUCCAUAUUGUGGCUGGAUUGGCUUCCCUGCAUCUUAACAACUCCAUACAUGGGUAAUUCUAAACCAUUGAUCAAGUAUCAUGAGAUGACUUGCAUACUAGAUUAGGAUGAUUGGACCUUCUUCUUUGUCCCUAUAGACCUGUUAAAACUCUUUGGCUUGCGCAGGGAUUUAAAGGGAGCUAAUUUAUUUGUGGAUGCAUAUGGGAUAGUUAAACUUGCUGACUUUGGGAUUGCUAAACAUGUGAGUUUCCACCUCUUCACUGCAAGACUACUGAGUGCAUGUAGAAAUUCCUUGUUGAUCUAUGGUGCAUUCGAAUGUUAAGUCAGGAACCCAGGGUGACUGCAUACUUCUCAUUAAUGGUUUGUGGCAUUUCAUAUAUGCAAAAAUCCAUUAUAGAUGGAUGAAAUGUUAUUGAGUAAUUUUCUUCACUUUUUUUCCCAUUGUUUCGGGUAAAGUUACUAUGUUGCAUAAACUAGAAAAGAUUUCUUGUUAUAAAUAGAUGCUGAAACCUACUGAGAGUUCUUUCCUUUUCUACUGGUUUCUAAAAAGUUCCUAAGAGAGGUAGUGAAUAAAACGCAAUACCUUUGGCGAAAGGUUGUGGUUUUGUUUUUGCUGCUUCUCUGCAUUCCCAAAGAAGGAUAGAAUUUAGUUAGAGUAAAGAAAGGCCUCCUUCCUAACAUGGGGUUAAUAAAAGUGUAUUGGUCCAUAGAACGGAAUUCUAGACAAUAGCCACGGUACUGUUGGUCUCUUUUUUGAGUUCUCAAACAUUUGCUGAGACCAUGUUGUUGAUUGCUUCAUGGUCAUUUUUCUCAGUAAUGAGCUAACAUAAGUUGAAAGUGGUUGAUUUAGUUAUCAAUCUGAUGUAUUUAUAUCUAUAAAGAUGUUGCUAUUUUAUCCAGUGUUCCAUGAACACACUAGGUAGUCUUCGACUCUACUAAUCUCUUACCAUUUCUUAGCUAACCGGACAAGCAGCUUCUUGCUCUUUGAAGGAAGUCUAAACUGGAUGGUUCCCGAGGUACUCUGCUUUGGUGAAUGUUAACGCUGCAUUCUUUUUUUGUCGUGACGGAAUGAUGGAAUAAUAUAUCCAGCAGCUCAUACAAUCCUUGAUGGCAAAUAAUUACAGCACAGAUCUCGAUUGUAUUGUCGACUUGUGGAGUUUGGGAUGUACUAUUACCGAAAUGAUAAUUGGCAAACCUCCUUGGAGUGAGUAUGAGUGGGUAGGUACGCUGCAUUGCUUUUUCAUUUUCUCUGUUUGUCCCUCCAAGUAAUACGCUUCCAACCAAAUCUGCAUCGUCGUCUGGAAGAGAUUAUUGUUUGGGACUGUGGUAAAAUGAAGAGAGCAGUGGAAUCUGAGUGGAUGCCCCACUUCCCUACUCUGAGAAGAAUCACAGUAUAUGAAUGUGAGAAGAUGGAGGAGAUAAUCGAAGGUCCUUUCUCAUACGUGCCAGUUGAAGAGAUUUCUCUUGAAUCUCUUGAAUCUCUUGAAGUAGCAAAUUGCAAUAACAUGAGAAAGCUGUUUCCGCAUGAGUGGCUGCUCCAUCUUCGAAAUCUUCAAAGGAUCGAGGUCGAUUAUUGCAAAGGAAUGGUGGAGAUGAUAAGCGGAGCCAGACAAGGCCAAGAAGGAAGCACGGUGACUCCUGUAAAUAACACCCCUUCAUCCUUCCAGCCUCCUAUUUCUCUCCCAAAGCUGAAGUUCUUGGGUCUAUGGUCUUUGCCCCAGUUGGAGAGCAUAUGCGAAGUCCCAAUAAGCUGCGAUUCCAUGAAAGAAUUGACAGUGUCCGGAUGCCCAGAACUGAAGAGGAUUCCUUUGCAACUGCGAUUGCGUGAAAUUGAGGAGCUUCCGCGUUUAUGGGUGGAAGAUGAGGAGCAGUGGAAGACGCUGAUGUGGGAUCAUCUCGAUGCUCUGGCUAUUCUUCAACCUUAUCUCCAAAAAUGGAAAUACGCUGUAAGUAAUGAGUUAAUUGUAUACGAUUGCUUCACUUCUUAAAAGUCUUUACAAAGAUGUAGCUUUUCUGUCUAUAUAGUCAUGCAGCUCUAACAGUGGCCUUUUGCAGAACUGGACGCCAGGAGAAAGGAUCUCCCUUGGCACUGCUCUUGAAGAAAGCCCUGCUGCUCGACCAUGCUUUCCUGCAAACUCGACUCAGGUUGCCAUAUGAAUUGACUUUUUUCGUGUGGCCAUGCUUUGUGUAUUUUCAAUGCGAUUGCAUGUUUUAUUGACUACUGGAAAUUAGUCAGUUUGGUCGAUAUUUCAGGUUAGUCAAAAAACAACGGAUCUGAAUAUUUGGGAAGCCAAGGGACUAGCAGAGGUCUGUUUCCUAUCUUGUCUUAUAACCGAAAUGAAAAUUUACUAUUAUUAAUUUAUCUUCAUGGAAUAUUAGCCUUCUAAGAAAAGAGAGAAUUUUGGGCAACACUACCUUUAAUUUGUUUGUGUUUAGAAAGGAUUUUAGAUAUGAUAUUGCUCAAACCUGUCGAUCCAAACUGUUGUGCGAUAUACGCUGCUUCGCUCUUUUGGAUCAGAGCAACAAGACCUCGAUUGAACUUGUUUCGACAUUAAACUGUUGGGUAGAGAAUACUUGAUCUGCUUAGUAGUUGUAUCAUCUCUGGAAAUGUAGGCUGGGAAGUUUUCUUUUCACCCUUUGUUGUAAAAAUUCACCUUAGCCCCACUUUGAGUUAAGAUGUAAGAAGAUGAAGAAGAAAGAAUUGCACAGCUAUCAACCCUCUUUUAAUGCCUCUAAGUCGUGGAUAGAUGGAGAACCCUACAACUUCAGCUCAGGUUGUCGAAAGAUCAAGCAGUUACCACUAGCAAGUCAAUGGCAAAGAGGCCAGCUUAUUGGAUGUGGCACUUUCGGAAAUGUUUACAUUGCAAGCAACUAGUAAGUUAUCUUUGGGAAACUUUGACAAGUUCCAUUUUUUUUCGAUAUCCAGUCGGCUAAACUUUGACAUAUUAAGUGACAGAGAAACCAUAUCUCUAGGUGCAUGGAAGGAGCUUGAGCUAUUGCCUAAUGAUCCAAAUUUAGCUCAGUGCAUGAGGCAGUUAAAGCGGGUAAUGUUUUUAUUAUGCUCUAGGAUCCAAUCUAUCCUCUCAUCUGAUUUAAAUAUGCUGGGAGGAAACUUUCUUUCAUCAUUUCCAAGUAAUUGAUUGCUUUGCUACUACAGGAAAUUCAGGUACUUAGCCAGCUUAGACAUUCGAACAUUAUACAGUAUUAAGGCAGUGAAAUUGUGAGUCACCUUUCCACGGCGUCUACGCAUCCCAGCUCAAUGGUCAUUCAUUAUUUGACUCACCAAAAUUUCAACAUUUUAUACAUACUCAGGUUGAGGAUCAUCUCAACAUAUAUCUAGAAUAUGAACAUCAUGGUUCAAUAGACAAGAAUAUCUAGGAGCGUCUUGGGACCCUAACAGAAUUAGUUGUUGCACUUUUACUCGCCACAUUGUUACAAAAUUGGCUUCCCUGCAUGUUGACAACUCCAUAUAUGGGUAAUUCUAAACCAUUGAUCAAGCAUCAUGAGAUGACUUGCGUAUUGGAAUAGGAUGAUUGGACCUUCUUCUUUGUGCUUACAGACCUGUUAAAACUCUCUGACUUGCGCAGGGUUUAGAGGGAGCUAACUUAUUUGUGAAUGCAUCUGGGAUAUUCGAACUUGCUGACUUUGGGAUUGCUAAACAUGUGAGUUUCCACCUCUUCACUACAAGACUACUGAGUGCAUGUUGAAAUUCCUUGCUGAUCUGUGGUGCAUUCAACUGUGUACUUCUCAUUAUUGGUUUGUGGCAUAUCAUAUGUGCAAAAAUCUAUCGUAGAUGGAUGAAAUGUUAUUGAGUAAUUUUCUUCACUUGUUUUCCCAUUGUUUUGGUUAAAGUUACUAUGUUGCAUAUAUGGGAAAAGAUUUCUUGCUAUAAAUAGAUGUCGGAACCUAAUGAGAGUUCUUUCCUUUUCUACUGAUUUUUAAAAAGUUCCUAAGAGCGGUAGUGAAUUUGUAAUACCUUUGCCAAAAGGUUGUGGUGUUGUUUUUGCUGCUCCUCUGCAUUCCAAAAGAAGGAUCAAAUUUAGUCAGAGUAAAGAAGGGCCUCCUUCCUAACAUGGGGUAAAUAAAAGUGUAUGGGUCCAUAGAACGAAAUUCUGAACUAUAGUCAAGAUAUUGUUACACUCUUUUUGAGUUCUCAAGCAGCAUUGGCUGAAGUCAUGUUGUUGAUUGCUUCAUGGUCUUUUUUACUAAGUAAUGAGCUAACAUAAGUUGAAAGUGGUUGAUUCAGUUAUCGAUCUGAUGUAUCUAUGUCUAUAAAGAUGUUGCUAUUUUAUCCAGUGUUCCAUGAACACACCAAGUAGUCUUUGGCUUUAAUAAUGCCAUACCAUUUCUUAGCUAACCGGACAAGCAACUUACCGCCCUUUGAAUGGAAGUCUAAACUGGAUGGCUCCAGAGGUACUCUGCUUUUGUGAACGUUAAUGCUACAUUCCUUUUUUUGUCGUGGCAGAAUGAUGGAAUAAUAUAUCUUGCAGCUCAUGCAAUCCUUGAUGGCGAAUAAUUACAGCACAGAUCUCGAUCAUUCUGCCAACAUGUGGAGUUUGGGACGUACUAUUAUUGAAAUGAUAACUGGGAAACCUCCUUGGAGUGAGUAUGAGUAAGUACGCCGCAUUGCCUUUUCAUUUUCUCUGUUUGUCCUUCCAUGUAACACGCUUCCAACCAAAUCUGCGUUGCCGUUUUCUGUGGGAAGUUCAGGGUCGUGUACAUCGCCAUUUGGUAUGUGAUCUGUGUCAUGCGUUUCUGUUUAAGGUUGAAUCAUUAAUGUAGGCUCAAGCUACAUUUAAGGUGAUUUGAAGUUCUCUAGCAAUACCUGAGACGUUAUCUGCCGAGGGAAAGGAUUUCCUGCAAUGCUGCUUUCGAAGACAGUCUGUCGAGAGGCCUUCAGCUGCUAUGCUACUUGAGCAUGCUUUCCUGCAAAUCUGAAGUUGCAGAUGACUGACCUAUUUCAAGUGCCAUAUGUUGUCACAAAAGGGUUGUUGUCCUGUAAAGUUCCAUAUUGACUAAACCAGAAGGAUCACACGGUCCAUAGAUGUGAUAAAGUACUUGUAUAUCGACAAAAUAAGACGGAUGUUCCUCUUGCAUGGUCUGACUAGCGGCAUACUGAUCUAGGCAAUUUAACAGUGUUGCUUAAUCUAAACCUUUUAGUGUAGAGUGCAUUCUUAUCAUAAACAUUUUGUGCGAAGUACAUUUAUUCAUCAAAAUUGAAUGGUAUUGAUUUGGCUCCAAAUAAGCAACAGAUCAGUGAAACAAAAGCAGGUAAACCCAGAAAAGAGGAGAAAAAGAAAAUCGAAGCGAUAGUGCAUCAGAAUUCCUGAACUAAUUUUGAAAGCAAAUACUUUGUCGGUUUGGUGGGAGGAACAUUGGCAGGUUUGGCAAACCUGCAGUGUCUUAGGAUUGCAUUAGAGGCUCUUGAUUCUUCCCUUCAACAAAUACAUGAGAUUUUCUCCGACCAGAGUGGCCCUCAUCACUAUCACCAAAUUCCGGUGAAUCAAGAAAAGCCAUCGUGGUCUGUCUCUGAAUUUAAAUGAUGAUGAGGAUCCAAGAUUUAUAACUUCCGAGAGGAGAAUCAACGUUAAUUGUUGUGAUUAUGCUCUUGUCAGGGCAGUGAGGGGAAAGUCUUUCCCCUAUUGGUUUUGCUCCCAAGUGAUGCUGCAAGUUUACUGUAUUUUCCCCUUAUGGUUGUUUGUCAUUUCGUGGACCAUUUUUAGAAUAACUUUGCAUCUCCUCUCUAUAAAAUACAAACAACUGAUGAAAUCUGUUGAAAAUAUCUCACACCGGUCUUUUACAAGAUUUUAAUGGGCCUUACAUUCAUAUAAUUUACCUUCACUUGUUCAAAUUUUUAGGUUGGACUUUCUCUUAUGUGCAAAUAGCAAUUUCUGCUUGAAAUGAAGAGUAAACAUGCUUCCCUUUUUUAACUAUUUUUUCUACGAUUAAAGUGAUUCCUCUACCCUAUACUAGAAAUAUAUAAAGUGUCACAGAAAAAGAAACUCCUCGAAAUUUUGUAAAGUCGGAGGCGCAGCUCAGAUUGAGCUAUGACUCUCAACUGCAUUAAAUUCUCUCUUCAUUUUCGUCUUCUUUUGUUCUUUUCCUCAAUUUUUAGCCAACAUCCUAACCAUAAGGCGCCUUUUCUCUUUUGUCCCUUAUCUCUCCCCCUUUUCUUCGUACACCUCACUCUUCUUUUCCUGCCUCUUUUUUUUUUGGUUCUCUGCCCGAACCCUUAACGAAGACAACUAAUUGGUAUUUAGUUUUCCAAAGUGUAGCAUUAUUGAGCACCAUCAUCGACCAUCAAGUUCGCUAAACUCAACCAUCAAUUAACUAACUAUUCUUGUUUAACAGGCCAGGCCAACGCUCGCUUGGGCAAGGGCGAGCCCCGGUGAGGGCUCCCAUUAUUUAAAAAUAUUUAAAAAUUAUUAAAAAAUUAUUAAAAAUGAUCUACGUCAGCGCCAGCGGUCCUACGUGGCACCACCAAUGUCCACAUCAGCAUUUUUCGGCCAAAAUUGACCAGAUGGACUGAAUUGGCAAUAAGUGAAAACGUUUAAGACUGAAUUGGCAAAAUUAAAAAUGCAAUAGGUUUAGGACUUUUUGGACAAUUUUCCCGAAAUAAUUGCGAUACCAAAUGCUAAAGGGCAAGACGGGAGACUUUUAUACGAAGUGAAUGGAAGCAAAGGUGCUUCUGAAAAGGGCAUUUUCAGAAGGAAAAGUGCUUGUGCAGCUAAGGGGGGAAAGAGGGGAGUCUUAUAAGAACUGAGGUAAAAGUGCUUGCAAAAAGGACAUUUUCGGAAAAAAAAAAAGUGCUGGUCAUAAGAGCUUUAUAAAUAGUGAUAUGGCUUCUUAUAAAACGUUUUAUACGAAGUCGGAAAAGUUUUGUAAGAAGUGACGUGGCUUCCUCUAUAAGGGCAAGGCAGGAGACUUUUAUAAGAAGUCAAUGAAAGCGAAAGUGCUUCCGAGAAGGGCAUUUCGGCAGGAACAGUGCCUGUGCAGCUAAGGGGGAGACAGGAAAGUUCUAUAAGAACUGAGGCAAAAGGGCUUCCAAAAACAGCAUUUUCGGAAGAAAAAGUGCCGGUCAUGAGAGCUUUAUAAAUAGUUACGUGGCUUCUUAUAGAACGUUUCAUACGAAGUCGGGAAUGUUUUGUAGCGGCUGACUUCGUAUAAAACGUUUGACUUCGUAUAAAACGUUUAAAUGUUUUAUACGAAGUCAGGAAAUUUUUGUAAGUGACGCGGCUUCUUUCUCAUGAAAAGCCCCCAGAGGACGCCGUUCUUCUUUUAAAACUCUCCUGGCCAGCACAUUUUUUUCAAUUCACUUCUUAUAAAACUCUUGUCUCGCCCCUUAGCAUUUGGCACCGCAUUUCUCUCACAAAACAAUUCACUCAUGGGGAAUGUUUUUACGCGCCAUUGUGAAGACGCGAUCAUUCCUGAAGCUGAAGCUGUGGUUAUAUCUGGUAAUUUUCUCUUCUUCAUCUUCUUCAUCUGUGAUUCACGGUCACCCAUAGACGUUUGAGUUGAGUUUGAUUCUUAUGUUAAAAUUUACGUCCUUCAUUUCCUUGAGAUUCAAUUGUUUCGCUUAGAAAGUUUGUCAACUAGAUAAGGGCUGGUGAUGAUGUGUUUAAUGCACUUUUGUAGGUCAGAUUUGGCGAUUAUGUGUUUGUUUUUCUCACUUUUAAGCUUCUAAAGUACAGAGAACUAGUCUUUUGAUAGUUACAAAAAGUACAGAGAAGUAGUCUUGUAAAGGUUGAUCCACUGGUAGAAUUGUGUGGCAAUCAUUAUGAGACCGUGAUGUAAUGCCUCUUUAUUUUUCUAAUCCAUAGAUCUAUUUCCCAUGUCUACCAUUCGUAAUGAAGAAGAGGGCAGUGAAGAAGUUGAAUUACAUGAUGAAUUUGCCAUCAUCAAUGUCCCCAUUCAAGGUGGAGAUGGCAAUACCAUACCCAGUGAAGAAGAGGGCGGUCAAGAAGUUGAAUUACACGAUGAAUUGAUUGCCGUCAUUAUCCCCAUUCAGGGUGGAGAUGGCAAUACCAUACCUAGUGAAGAAGAGGACGGUCAAGAAGUUGAAUUACACGAUGAAUUGAUCGCUGUUGUUGUCCCCAUUCUGGAUGGUGAUGGCAAUGGUGACGGCCAUAUUGAGGAUGGCGACAACAAUGUUGGUGAGCAUGAAGUGGAGCAAGAGGUGCAGGAGGUGGAGAAUGAGCAGGACGGCGGCGAGGGGGCUGGUGUGGGGGUUGUUGUUGGUCCUGCCGUUGCUGGUAAUAGAGCUGGCUUUAUUGUUCUGGCAACGGUGCUAGUGGGGGCGCUCGUCUUGUGGAAGAUGCGGCUGAUAACACUGUUAGAGUUGCUUUUGAUGGUGGUGGUAGUAUUGGCAGUAGCCUUGCUCCUUGGGCGCAUGGAUUGGCUAAACUUGAUAUGGAUCUUAAUCCUAAGACUCAAUAUUAUCCUAGUAUGAUGGAGAGAUUGACGCGUGGAUUGCCACGUGAGAUGUCUAGGUGGACUUCUUUGGAUGAUUUUCAGUAGAACAUUUUUGUUGCAGGAACCUCUGUUUGUAUCCUUAUUUCAUCAUGUAUACAUUUGUAUCAUUACUGGUUAUGUUGUCAAUGUACUUGGAAGGAAUAAACAUAUUCAUAGUUUAUUAACAGCUGAUUGUUCUCCUAUUGGUAUAAUUUAAGUACGCAUACGUAAGGAAUGGAGUAAGUACGGCCAUAACGAUUAUUCUCUAAUUUUAUGCGAGACUUAGAUAAAUUAGCCUCCCUAUACCAUAAAACCCGGUGGCAAUUUGAUGAACCGUCAUGUUUUCUUAGGAUUAGUAUGUGCACAAGUAGUUACGGAAUCUUAACUUUCACGUAAGAGGAUGGUCAGUAAGCUUUUCUUUGCCCAUGAGCUUAGCUCUCCUUUUUAUAUUCAGCUGGACUCAUCAAUGACAGAGGGUCAUUUGAUUCAAUCUUCUAUGUGAUGUUGAUGCAUAUAUGAUUACAUAUAAAUAGACGUGACAAAUGAGUGGACUGAAUUGAUUUUGGAUGGAUUAUCAAUAGGUUCAAUUCAAAUUCACGCAUUUAAUUCACGUUGACCCAUUUAUUUUCUGCACAAUUUAUAUGACACAUAGCCAAUCCAAACCCACCAACAUAACUCACAAUUUUUUUUAUUAAUACCAAUUAAACAAUUAUCAAAUUAAAAUAAUAAAAAUUAAUAGGGAUAAAUACACUUAAAAUCCUAAAAUUUGUCAUGAAGUAUAAUUAAAUCCUAAAAUUUAUCACAAAAAUUCAAUUGAAUUUUAAAAUUUUCAAAAAUAGUAAUUUAAGGGAUUUUUUUUCCCCUUCGCAGGCUCCCCUUUUCUCUCUCUCCAUGCCCGCUUUUUGGAAUUAAAGAGGAGAAGAAUGAAUUUUUCGCACUAACCUCCUUCUACUUCCUCUGCUUCUUCACGAACGACCAUAAGCCUUCACAAACCGAUCCCUUUUUUCUCUGCCAUGCUUUAGUCGAGCCGUAGCAGUUGUCCUUUGACCCGGAUGUUGCCGGUGACACCGUGGCCCGUCUCUGAGCUCGACGGCGAGAAUUGAGCCACCUAGAUUCAUCUUGCGCCUCUAUCUCUCUCGUCAUCCCCUUUCGACUUCGGAUGGGGCUGAUUCGAGCCAUUGACAUAAUUUCGUCUCAGAUUCACGGCCGAGUCGAGGCAUAGAUCUGAGAUCUAGGGCUCAAUCGAGCUCCACCAAAGGCGAGGGCUCAGUCGAGCUACACCAGAGGCGAGGGCUCUUGGGAGUUAUGUUCAGAUGAUCAUUACAUGAGAGACCCAUGCCAGUACCUACUCAAGGACUACUGCUUUGGAUUGUGCCUAAGAGACAGAAAUGAUCUUUCCUUGACCAUCCAGGACUUCAACUAUGCCAGCUUUUCAGGACUUAGCUACAUCAAACAUCCCCAUUAGUGGAUAAAAGUUGAAACGCCAUUAACCCGAGAAAGAAGCCAGUGCUUUUAGAAACUCUUCUGGAUAACAUAACAAAGUGCAUUCUGCCAAUGGUAUAUGCUUUCAUUUUAUAUGAAGCUAUAUGCAUGUCGUCAUUACAAAUUUAAAAUUGAGCUCGACUGCCCAGUAUUCAUGCAAUUUUCCUUAUCUUAGCCCCUCCAGAAACUAUCAAUGCUUGCUAUAUUAAUAAAACCAAAUGCUAUUUGAACAGAACAAGGCCUAAUUUUUCUUUUGCUCUUCCAAUUUCUUUGGGUUGGUUUGAAUUUGAUUUAAUUUUUGUGUUUUUCCCUUCUUUCUUGCCUUUUACCUAACAAACCAUGAUAUUUCAACAAACAGUGAUGACAAAGCAUCAAAUUAUGACAAGGAGAUUCAUUUAUAUUGAUUGAAUCAUGCAAUAGUGAAGUUAAAGUUAUUUAUAUUAGUUGAAAGGUGAUCAUUCUUGACAUGGAGUGACAGCAAAAUACUUUCGUACUUUCUCUUCGUAAAGUGAAUAUUGUUUUACUCUUCUAUUUAAAAUCUAACAUGUAGAAAGUAAUUAACUAAGCUAAAUAAUAUAGAGUAAUUUGAGAAAUGGCAAUAUCUAUCCGAAUUCCAACAUGUCAACACAUUGAACUUUGAUGUAAUUACAUAUAUCUGUGCACGUCAUACUCUAGUAUUCCAUUGAAUUACAGCAUAAAUGCUAGAGUAUAUAUUUUGAUACUCAACCUAGAUACUCAACCCAGUGUGCUUGCUGGUAGUCAAUAUUGACAAAGUUAAAUAAGAGAAUCACAGUGCAGAAAAUCAGCGCAUCUUUGGCUGAUUCAACUUAGAAAUAAUUAAGAGGGAAAGGACCUAUAGGCUCUUAAGUCUUUGCAGAACUAGUGAAGAGCUUUAAAAUGCCAAGGCAGGCGAUUGGGAUGCAUGAGAUUCUGCAAAACCUUGAGAAGUGCAAAAGACAGGGGACAGCAGAGACCUCAGUUAAUGCAAAUUCAACAGGCACAAAUGAUCAAUGCAAUCAUGCGAUAUGAACUUGAACAGAAAAUUGCCCAAGAGCUCAUUAUGGCAGGGCAAGCUGGAAGAGGCUUACCCUGAAGUGGAUUUACCCAAUCUUUCAUCUUUACAUCGUCUCUGAUCAUCGACCAUCGACUCGAAAACAUCUAACAGUUGAUCCAGUCCCUCUGGACUGCCCCCAACUGCCUUCAUCGCGUAGAUGGCACUCUCGAGAGUGGACAAACAUCCAGCCUUAGGCUGACUUCUAACUUCUCUGUACAAGCUCAUCACCUCCAAAUCCAACUUCAGAUGAGGCAACAGCUUCAACCAAGGAUUCUCGCUGUACAUUCUCUUUGCCUUCAUCCACGUGCCGUCCAGCAAGAUCAAGUUCCUGACUUUGAACUCAGCUGCCUUGAGUUCAUCAAUGCUGAGCGCAUUCUUGGUCGGAAACAGAAGUACCGACCCGCGCGGCACUUCAAGUACGAAUUCCUCAGAUUCUUCAAGCUCCAAGCUCGAAUUCAAUACAAGGUUUUGCGAUUUCCUAACCACAAAUCCAUUCGACAGAACGUCAUGAGCUGACUGGCAAUCUAAUAUGGAAUCAAAAUCAGCUCCUCGAUGACCAAUUUGAGACAUCCAAACAUGGUCUAUCGAUUCAAUAAUCCCCUUCUUGCCCAUUCGAAAACUGAUAACAGGUUUGCUGGUACUUCUAGACAAGACUCCACAAGCGCGCGAGUUCUGCGGCACCUUGGAAUCCUCUGAAACCUCCCCACCGUUUGGGGCAAUCGAACCGCAGUCCCUUUCAUCCCCAGGACAAUAAGCUCCAUUCGAUUCGACGACCGAAUUAGGGCUUCCCACCUCCACUCCAGAUACCAAUCCAUUGGCGCUGAUUUCGCGGUCUUGCUCGAGCGGCGAGAUCGAGAACUCGACGCCGGAGUUGACGUCGGAAACGGCGGCGACGGCGACGUUCUUGAGCGCUAGCCUCAAGAUUUGGGUGGAAUUGAGGGGGUGCUUCCGCUCCAGGCUGUGCUGGAGGACAGUGACGCGGACGGGGUGGUCGAGACGCGGAGAUCGGAUCCGGGUGCAGAGGCACGUGCGCGCCGGCUUCGAGCAGGACGGGCAAACGGGUCACUUCGGAUUGGUGGAGCGGGCCGUUUCCGCCAUUUUCGCCGACCGCGGCGGACGCUGGCGGCGAUCCGGCUGGGGGAAGGAGGGAGCUUGAGGAGGAGGAGGAGGAUGGUCGGGGACGCGUAUCGAAACGGGCUCGGAUUCAGGUUCGGGAACGGGUUCGCGAAUCGGAUACGGGUUGCGAAAUGGACCCGCAUUUUCCCAGAAAUUGGGAGAUGAUUUUUGGGAAUCUGAAAAAAACGGUAGGGGCCGGAGCGGGCGGGGGCGCUGUUUGGCCAAAACGGUCGAGCAAAUGGUUUUGAAUUUACGAAAGAGCGUGCCAGCGGCGGCCUCUGUGAUUCAAAUCCGAAAAAUAGUGUGCAGAGGCCAAUCGAUGACUGCCGCCGUGAGGCAAGGUUGGAUAUCAUGAUAGCGACCAAGUGGUGGAGAUUGUUCUUGUGGGUUUAUCAUGCCAUGAGAUGGCAACUACUGCGGCGAUGGUCGAAAUCAGGAUGAUGAAUGACUGAAAUCAUGCAUCUAGACCACAGUAAGUAUCCACUUAGAUCAAAUGGUCAACAAGUUAACAAUUGAGGCCCAUGAAGAUUUUAGCAGAGGAAGUUGAUAUGUUCUUUAGAUCCUCGGACGGCGGUCGCGGUUUGCACUUCAGAUUGUAAUAGCAGCCUUGGGGUUCCUCCUUUCAAAGUCUUAUGGGUAUUUAUCACUUAGACGUCCUAAGCUUCAUAUCAGAUGCUAAUGAUGUUGCUGAACUUCACAUGAAAUCGCCUUCUUGGAAUUUGCAUGAGUAUUGUCCAAUUUCAACUUGGUGAGGAACUUUUUGGCCGAAAAAAUAAAUAAAUUUGGUUGAUGUUUCAGGUUAGCCAAAGGACGAUAUAUCUGAAUAUCUAAGAAACCAGAGGACUAGCAGAGUCUACUUCCUGUCUGGCUUAGAACUGAAAGGAAAAUUUAUAAAAAUUAUUAUAUGAUUGAUCUUUCCAAAAUGUUGCCUCCUAAAGAAAAGAGAGAAUUUUGGCCAAUACCGCCUUUAAUUUGUUUGUGUUUAGAAAUGAUUUUGAACAUGAUAUUGCAUAAACUUGUCAAUUGAAAAUGUUGUGCCACACAUGUUGCUACUCUCUCUUUUGAAUCAUACCAACUUGACAUGGAUUGAAUUGUUUCAACAUUAAACUAUUUAGAAUAUUUAUUCUACUUAGUGAUUUUAUCAUAUUUGGAAACAUAGGCCGGCAAGUUUCUUUUCGCUCUUUGUUGUCAAAAGAAGAAGAAAGAAUUGCAUAGCUAUCACCUCUGUUUUGACAAAUAUAGUAGCUUCCCAUGUCUGGGGUAAGACGGUGAAACUCGCAAGGGUUCGUCUUAAGUCAGCUUGUGCUUCGCACAAUGUCCUGUAACCGACUUGUUAGCUUAGUACCCCAAUUACCUUAUACUCCUUUUCUUCAAUUAUUAUUUUAGCACACAGAGAGAGGACCAAUGCUGAGGUCUUGAUGAGCACCGACUACCCUUGAGCAACCACUUCAACACUUCCUUGAAGAGAGAGGAAACACCCCUCCUUCUCUUCGUUUCCAUUUUCCUAUUAUUUUGUUUUUUGUUUUUUUUGGUGAUCUUUGCCUUUUAUUUUUUAAAAUUUUUUGCCUUUUCUUUGAGAUGUCACAUCAGCACCAUGCGUUCUAAAAUUUUUUAGAAAUGUCAUAUCUCCACUUUCAAAAGAAAUGAAAGAAACGUUGAAUAUAGACAGAGAAGGGGCUGGUCUUGUAUCCAAUUCAUGCCACGUCAGCAAGUUGGUAAUGUCCCUAGCCAUGAAUUAUGGAGGAACUUGAUUUCAUUAACAGAGAAAAGCUAAAGGACAUAUUUCUUCUUUUUCCCCCAAGAAUGACAGCACGUGUAUUCGGAGGAAGCUCCUCGAGGCACGGUCCGUCCUUCAGCCACAUGUUAGAUAUAAUAUUGGUAAAUGGUGAUGAACAUCAUAGUUUCUUAUGGAAUGAUCCUUGGCAUCCUCAUGCGGUGUUGUUUGGAUGUUUAUCCUAAAAAAUUAAUUUAUAAUGCUGCACUGGCCCUGAACUCUCUAGUUGCUGGUGUCAUUUAUGGAGAUGAGUGGGUUUGUCCUCCAGCAGGAUCAGAAUUUUUUGUGCAUAUUCAAGCAGCCAUAUGUGGAACGAUCUUUCCCCUGCUCUGCUUUUGAGGGCAGAGCAAUUUUCAAAGGAAAUUCCUUCGGAUGCUUUACUCAGCUGAUGCUUGGAAGCGAGUAAGGAUAAAAUGCAGAAGAUCUAAUCCAAGGCAUAAAUUCAGCUUUGUAGCUGCUUGCUAUCUUGAACAGACUGCAACUUGGACGGGAUAAAAUGGGGGUCCUCCAUUGAUGACAAAUGUGUCUUAUGCUCUUCUUCCCGAGUCUAGGAAACCUUUGUGUUUUGAGGGUGCCUUCUCAAAGGAUGGAGAUUUCUAAUGCGGCUGGUUAAAGUUUGUUGGAAUGUUAAUAAUUGGGAUAGAAUGGGUUCUCUAGAGCUUGUAGAGGGAGGUCUUUGACUAAAAUCGUAUUGAAACUCAUUUGGAAUGGUGCCAUCUACUCUAUUUUGGGGAUAGGAAUGAAGUUUUUCACAAUCAUGCUGCUCCUCCGUCUGCUGAAGCUGUUAAAAUGGCGGUCUUUGGUGUGAGACUUCGCAUCAAGAUGUUGCAAGAAACAAAGAGUCUUUCGAAGGAUGCAGAGAAAGCUUUGUGUAUGUUAUUUCGAAUUGUUUGUUAAGCCUGGGUGUUUUCUGUUGUUCUUUCUCUAGGCUUCAUAUACUAACCUGAAAAAAAGAGCUAACGGAAUUAAUUGCAAGUUAGAGGAUUUCACAGCACAAAAAUGAUAAAGCAAGACCGUAUCUCAUGAGAUACGGUUUUUUUUUUUUUUUUACCGACCAAAAAACAAAAGACCGUAUCUCAAUAUAAGAUUUGCAUUUUACGGGAUUGGUUCUUAUUUUCUUUUUAUGGUUUCGAGUGCCACUCACCACGUGUCAUCUUUCCAUGGAGGUUGGACCUGGCCGCUGGUUCCUUGAUGUUGGUCCGGUCCUGACUGCCAUUGACUCUGUUUUUCCAUUUCAUAAAAAUGCCCGACCAUUGAUCUUUCUCGAGUACCCCCAAAGCCUGACGAAUCCAUAAACUCCUGAAAAUUUAAAUUGGCAACCUCCUGAAAUUCCUGACGCUAAUUUCUUCCGUGGUCCAGAUUGCCAGAGCAGCUUCGGUCCUUCCUUUUCAUCUAUGUUUGCUACUUUGGAAUUUCCAAUUUCGUCGGUUCUUUUCUAUAUCUGCUAUUUACCCACUCUGAGGGAUCUUCAGGUGGUUCUACUUACUGGGCGAUUUUUCUUUCGUUUUUUUUUUUUUUUUGGUUGGAUGCUUACUGGGUGAUUGGGAAAGGGUUUAGUAUGGCUUCUUUUUUACAGAUGCAGAUCUUGUCUGACUUCAUUCUUUUCUAGUUAGCUCGAAGUUGUCUCCUCUCUUGUAGCUCAGAAUAAGAGAUGCCUAGAGAGGUUGAUCCAUUUCGGAGGCAUGUGGAGGUUGUGGCGAACAAGUGGAAGUGUAAGUUUUGUGGCAAGGAUUUUGGUGGAAGUGCUACAGGGAUCAGGGCACACCUCGUGGGGGCUCUGGACUAUGGUAUUAAACUAUGCGAGACAGUUGAUGAGCAUGUGGGAUCCCAAGCUUUGAAAGUGAUUAAAGGUAAAAGUGUGGCGGAUGCAACCAACAGGGGAGGCGCAUCUAUUGAGGUAAUGGGACGAAGAAGUGACGGCAUGGGCCAAAUUGUAGUCCUUGGUAGUGACCAUGCUUCGAGUCCCCAUAGUAUGCAGGACUCGAAUCGAAACGUCCUAGAGCAACCAUCUUGCCAUUGGCAGAAUGGAAGUGUUGCUGGUGCAGCUUCAGUAGAUUGUCAGUAUCAAGAGACCUUGUGUCUCGUUGGCAUGCCAGUGCGUGAUGCAGAAUUGCCCCCGCAAGGGCCGCAACCCAAUGGGUCAAUUCAACGCUUGAAUGAUGAACAUGGAAACGAAAAAACUUCAUCUCUCCAGCAACCUGCAACCGAUCCUUUGGCUUCGAUUUUUCUUGAUCCAAAGUCAACUACCAGAGCUCUUUGAUCAGUGUAUUGAUCUGGAGACGAGGCAUGAACAACGGAAUAGUAGAGGGCCAUCACCAUUGCAAAGUCAUCGAUCCCUUAAUAACAGCGUGACAAAUGAGUUGCAUCAAGUCAACUAGACCUGGUGGUGCUGCGCCUGGUCCCCGUCUCAGUGACACAAGUACAAUUGGCACUCCCCAGCAUCCCAAUCAAAACUAAUUUGGGCUUUGAUGAACAAUGGAGAGGUGAAAAUGCUCCAUGUCCGCAAAAUCUUCAGCAGAGUGGGUGACUUAUCUUCUCGAUAUGCCCUAUCAGCCACAGCAUUCCAUUCCAUCUUGUUAUUCUGAGGAAAUGCCAAUGAAUGACCUGCAGAAUCGAAUGGGUCCAUUGUCAUCACAAAAUGAUCAAUCCCUUGACGUUCAAAUUGUUUGCAAGACUGCAAUUAAAUCCCUAUUGCCGAAGUAGUUCCGCUGUCCAAUGCUACAAGCGUAACCAAUGCCGUUGAGCAUUUUAGUCGACAGCCACUUCUUAUACGUGAUGAAGAAUGUGAAAAUGAGAGUAGUUCCUUUCCCUCACAAGCUUCAAUGGACAUAUCUCCGCCAAGUGCAUCACAGCCUUCCUCUGGCCCUCAUUCUUUUGAGAAACCGGACGUAGAUUCCCAAGUUCCACAGGGCGGAACUAACAAGGCCCAUUGUCAUUACAAGGUAUGCGUUGAAGUGAUCCUUCUCUUCUCUUUUCUACUGUCUCCUAUUUAACAUCUCCCACGUUUUCCUAAUUAUAGGCGUAUCCUUGAAUGUUUCAUAUGUGUACUUUCUCUUAUUUUUUAAUGAUGAAUGUUAUAUGAGAAUAUCAAACGGAUGUAAAUGUUAGUUUCAGUGUAGAUGUUUUGUGGGAUUAAGUCUAGAUUUUGACUCUACUUACGCUUGUGGCUUGUUUUGAAAAUUCAAUGGUUGAUUGAUCAGGAUUGUUAAUGAUGAUUUUAAUCUGCUUUACUUUUGCAACCAGCUUCCAGGCACCCUCCAUGUCAAAGUCUUCUAGAUCAACCUCUUAAUCUUGAGACGAUGAACACAGAGCAUCACCCAAGCGUGUCAUCGUCAUCAUCACAGAGUAACCAGUUCUUGAUUACAUGUUUCCCACAAGCUCCGAUGGACAUAUCUGUGAGUAGUCCAUCAUCACCGCGAGGUACAUGUUAAUUCAUCUAAAUUGAUCCUUAUGUAUCCUGAUGCUACUUAAUUAGGGAGAAGCAUGAGUGCUUACAUUAGGAUCUAACACGUAGAAUUCUUGAUUCACAAUUAUCUAUUAAUAGAGUCAUUCAAACGCUGGCAACUUUGAAAAUAAUGGAGCUUUGAAAAGAAAGGUAGAAUGACUCUACAAUAGAGAAGCUGACAUAAAGAAUGAGUUGGAAUUUGCUGCAUCUCUAUCUCUGAAGAAGCAGAGAAUAGAAGUUGUGAAUUGGUUGACAAACGUGGAAAAGCAGAGGAAAAAUUUCCAAAGUCUUGAACCAGCCAGCGCAGAAAAUUUGCGACCACAAUAACAGGUGGACAUGUUGAUGGAAGAAGCGGGAAGACCUUAUCAUAAAAAGCAAAUUUCCAGAAGGACCGUUUGAGGUGGGAGAUGCCAAAGUCAAUAUAUUAUUAGAACGAAAGUUGCAGGCGGGAAAGGCAUUUGAGACAAAUAAAUACUAAGAAGAUCUUGAGGUGCCUAAUAGAGGAUCGCAUAUCAUGAUUAGGCAUUUACAAUAUGGGAGGUGUCGGGAAAACAACCAUUAUGGUGCACAUACAUAAUAGGCUCCUAGAAAAAGCAAACCAUAUUAAUGUAUUGUGGAUUGCUGUGUCACAAGAUCUCAACGUUUAUAAGUUGCAAGGUGACAUUUAGAAAAAAUUUCAUGCAUGGGUGUUAAUUUGGAUAAUGCUUACUAUUUAUUAAAACAUUGAAAAUAUAUCAUUUCGUAGAUUCUAAGAAGGAAUAAUAAUAAAAAAUUAAAGUAACGUGAGGUGGAGUAAAAACAAUCACAUCUUUAAGGGGUAAUAUCACCGAAAACCCAAAACUGGUACAUAUGCUCUAAAAUUAUUUUUAAACUUAAAUUGAUAUAUUUAUGGUAAAUUUAUCCUUUAAUAAUUUUCAUUAAAUUUUACAAUUAAAUUAUUAAGUUGGAUGACAUGUGGUAAUUGAUGAGUAUAUCAAUUUGGGAUUUUACCUUCAAUUUAUCAUAUGUGUAUGAAUUUGUAGUUUUUUGUAGUAUUAAUCAAAUGUAACGGAAAUCAAUGGAUGAUAAAUUUGUCACAAAUUCACAAGUUUUGAAUUUUUGGUGUAAAAAUUAGUUCGAGAUAAAUUUAUUACAUGUGUAAUAAUUUGGGAUUUUUGUAAUAUUAACCCUAUUUAAUUAGAGUAGAUUAAAAAAGGAUAUGAUAAAAUUAUAAGUGGUUUUUUUAGUUUAUAGAUAUAAAAUUCGGUCACGUCAAUCUAAGUACUAUUGAGGCACGUUAUUAAGGGGUCUAAUCGUCUCAUUCAAAAGGGCAUUUUCGGAAGAUAAAGUGCUGGUCAGGAGAGCUUUAUAAAUAGUGAUGUGGCUUCUUAUAAAACGUUUUUUGUCCUGACUUGGUAUGAAACGUUUUUUGUCCUGACUUGGUAUAAAACGUUUAAAUGUUUUAUACGAAGUCAGGAAAGUUUUGUCAGAAGUGACGCGGCUUCUUUCUUAUAAAAUGGCCCCAAAGGAUGCCCCACUCGACAUCACAGCACGGAGAGACGGAGGAGUAGAGAGAGAGAGAGGUGAAGAGCGACGACGGUGGAUUGCAGCCCGUCGAAAGAAAGGGUCGAGCGACGCCUGAAAUCUCCAUUUCCGAGCACCAGGCAAGAGAUUUUACCUCUAUUUCUCACGAGUUUGCGAUUUUCGUUUUUUUAAAAGUUUAAUAUCCGGACCUAUGUAGGGUUUUGCUUUACCGGCAACGCUUCGGCCGCCAAAAUCCAACCAUAUUUUGAUUACCCACAUCUCCUUGAGUCUAGAGGGAUUUCGCAGAGUUGUAGUUGGAGUCAGAUUCGAGAGAAACGAACUCUCCAAGUCCUCCUCUCUGCGCCGCAGGUGAAGAGUGUGUGCCGCCUGACUUCUUGGCUAAGCCACCUUUCGGGGCGGCGACCUGUCGAAUCUCGUAAUUCUAGAAUUAAUUAUUUUCUUGAGAAGGGAGUCCGCAAUUCCCAAGGUGUCUUUGAGUUAGAUCGGGUGUUUUUCGUCUCAGAAACAGCAAAUUGUUCUUGGGUCUGUUGGAUAGUAAUGUGCAGUUUGGCUUUCCCGCUUUAGUACUUGCGGAUGCUAGUGUUUGCUUUACACAAGAUCGGUGGGUUAUAUAGUUGGGUGCGCUCUCUUUGCCUGCAGGUUGAUAAUCAAGACAACAAGAUGCCGCGACCUGAAGAUAUAGCCUGGAAAUUCGUGCUUAGACUGGAGGGCAAGAGAUGGCGUUGUCCUUACUGCCAUAAAGAAUCCUCUGGAUCAGUCACAAGAGUGAAAAGUCACUUUCUUAAACAAGCAAAAGAAGGGAUUGCCUAUUGCACAAAAGUGCCAGAGCACAUACGAACACUAAUGGAAUUGUUACUCAAUCAUGAGGUGACUUUAGUACUUGUAGUAGCUACAUUAUCUGCUUGAGAAUAGUGCUAUGCGCACUAAGAAGAUGUAUAAAAAAUAGGGAUAAUAUAUGAUGGGGUGCGCUCUAUUUGCUUGCAGGUUCGUAACAAAGAGGAUAUAGCUUGGAAAUUCGUCAAUAGAUUGGAGGACAGCAAAUGGCGAUGUCAUUACUGCAGUGUAGAAUUCUCUGGAGACCUGACAGGACUGAAAGGUCACUUGCUUGGAGUCCCAAAUGAAGGGACUUCCAUUUGCACACAAGUGCUGGACCACGCAAGAGCACUAAUGCUGUUGUUACUCGAUGAGGUGGCUGAAGAAGAGAGCAGAGAGGUGGCUGAAGAACAGAGCAGAGAAGCCCACGGUCAAUCCUCCAUCGAACCAAAUUCCCGUGACAUGCCGAGUCAAGCUGAGGUGGCUGAAGAAGAGAUCAGAGAAGCCAACCGUCAAUUUUCCACGGAACCACAGUCGCCUGACAUGCUGUCUCCAGCUGUUCCUCGCUCAUCACAAAGCUUGGAAGAUAUAGAAAACUUAUUCACAACAACAGAGGGGGCGACCGACUUGGGAAACUUAGACUAUAACCUAGAGCGUCAAUUUUAUGAGACUUUGGCAAUGCCGCCACCGGCACAAAAUAUCCAUGGUAUGUUCAUGUGAAGUUUCCAUCGAUGCAUCUAGGCAUGGAGAAAAUAUAUCUAUUGUAUUUUUCAAUGCAAACGCGUCGGGUUUUUUUAACCAAAGUGGCGACUUUUAAAAAUCUUCUAUAAAAAUGAUCUUCCUACGGGACUUUCCAAAUGUGAAGAAAGUCAAUCACCUAUUCCUUAACAACAGUACGCAUUGAAUGUGUUGCAUGUGCCGAUCGGACCCACGGGAUGCAAUAAACUACAGUACGCAUUUUCUCGUGUUCCAAUCAGCCAUAUCCUAAUUUUGAUAAACAACACACAGGUGAAAGCUUGUCACGUUCAGCGAUGGCUUUAGCAGAAGGAGAAUCGUUUCUUCUUGAUUCGCCAUGUCAGCCACAAUGUUCCAAUCGAUCUCCUUAUCCCGAGGAAAUGCAAAUGAAUGACCACCGAACUCCAGCCGGGGCAUUAUCAUUCCAGUAUGUUCCAUUACCUGCUGUAGGUAAUUCAAAUUGCUUCCAGGACUGCAAUGACUCUCAAUUGCAAACUCCAGUGGACGUAAAUCCCUCAAUUACAUCACAGCGUACAAAUCACAUUACUGGGGCACAAAUCAAUGAUUCGAAAGUUCCAGAGGCGGCAACAAAUACAAUGGGCCCAUCAUCAUCACAAGGUUUGUAUGGAUUAAUCUACAUUGCUACUAUGGUUAUGUUAGAUCCUUGAAUAUCUCCAUAUUAUUUUAUCGAAAUCUAACAUAUGAUUUUUUAAACAAGAUAGGAACAUGGAUUAUCCAAUCAAGAACAUGCUGAGCAUCACUGCAUAUUCUAUAUGUCCGAUAUCACUUUUUAUCACAUUAUUACUUUCUUCAAAAUAUUUAACUCUAAUGCGGUCGUUACUCGAUGAGGUGGCUGAAGAAGAGAGCAGAGAGGUGGCUGAAGGACAGAGCAGAGAAGCCAACCGUCAAUCCUCCACAGAACCACAAUCACGUGACAUGCCCACUCAUGCUGAGGUGGAGGCUGAAGAAGAGAGCAGGGAAGCCAACGGUCAAUUUUCCACGGGGCCUUUAUUCUCACCAGGAUUCCUCCUCGAAGAUAUGGAACAGUUAAACUUCAGCCAACAGGAUGUCAUUUGGUUAAACUCUGCCCAACAAUCACAAACAGAGCGUCAGUUUCAUCAGAGUUCAACAAUGCCGUCACAGGUGCAAAAUAGCCAUGGUAUGUCCAUGUAAAGUUUUUAUACAUUCAUCCAGGCGUGGAGAAAAGAAAAAUCAUUAUAUUUUUCGUAUUAGUAACUCUCUCUAUAAUAACUCAAUUUCAUCCGCUUCCAUAUCGUAUCGAUUCCAAAUUACAGUUGUAUCAUCGCAUAUUCUAUAUGUCCGAUAUCAUUAUCUUUUUACCGCACCGUUUAUUUCAUCAAAAUAUUUACUUAUGAGCAUAUGUUGACUUUCGCUAUAAAUAUAUUUUUUUUAAAUCGAGUUCUAGACGUUCGUUUUACCUGUACCCAUGGCUUGAUUUAAAAGUCCCAUUGUUGAUUUAUUUUACGCUUGCCUUUUUUAGUGCAACCAGUUUUGGUGGCCCCUCAACAUCAAAAUGCUCCACAUCAAUCCGAGACAAGGAAUGUGCUGCAGAAUCCAACUGCACAAUCAUCAACAGCUCUAAGGGAUAUGGAUUUACGUAUCCAAUCUUCAUCGCAAGCUUCAAAUGCUGCUCCACAGUGGCCGACAGACGUUUCAAACUUCAACCAACAGGAUAUUAAUGAGCUAAACUCUGGUCAACAAUCACAAGCAGAGCGUCAAUUUCCUCAGAGUUCAACAAUGCCGUCACUGGCACAAAAUAGCCAUGGUAUGUUCAUGUGAAGUAUCUAUACAUUCAUCUAGGCGGGGAGAAAAACAUCUAUUAUAUUUUUCAACGCAAACACGUGGGAUUUUUUAACGGAAGUGGUGACUUUUAAAUAUCUCCGAUAAACAUGCUUUUUCCACACAACUUUUCAAAUAUGAAGAGAGUCAAUAACCUAUUCCUUAAUAACAGUACAUCCAAUGUGUUGCACGUGGCCACUAGACCCACUGGAUCCAGUAAACUAACUACAAUAAGUAUUCUCUCAUGUUCCAAUCAAUCAUAUCCUAAUUUUGAUGAACAACACACAGGCGAAAGUUCCACGAUGGCUUCAACGGAAGAAGUGCCGAAUUCUCAUAAUUUGCUAUGUCAACCACAUUGUUACAUUCAAUCUCAAAUACAAAUGAAUGACCAGCAUACAAGUGACUCUCACAUUAUUGAGCCAACAACGGUUGAUUCGCAAGUUCCAGAGGCGGCACCAAAUGCAACGGGCCCAUCCUCAUCACAAGGUGCGUUUGGAUUAAUCUUCAUUGUUACUAUAUGGUUCCACUAGAUUCUUAAAAAUCCCCAAAUUAUUUUAUCAAAAUCUAACAGAUGUUUUUUUAUAAAUUAGAUAUGAACAGGGGUUCUCCAGUCAUGGACGUACGGAGCAACUAUGCCAACGAUGAAGAGAUAAGAAACCUGAAAAGAAAAGUGGAAGAACUCGAUGACAAAGACGCUGUCAUAAAGGAGCAGAUGGAGAUAGAGUCUGCUGCUUCCUCACUUCGGAAGAAGCCGAGGAUAUUGGUUGAUAGAUGGCUAAAAGAGACAGAAAGAGCAAGAAAUAAUUUCCAAAUAAUUGGCCAAGCCAAUGCGGAAACUUUGCCACCAAAGGAACAGGUGGAGAAAUUGACGAGAGAAGUGGAAGAACUCAUAGGAAAAACGCUUCCACAACCACUGCUCAUAGAAGAGAGAGAUGCCAAAGGAGUCAAACUUUUGGAACGAAAGUUAACAGGUGAAGGGAUUCAUAGGAACAUUGAGUUGAUUUGGGACCGUCUGAAGGAGAAUCAUGCAUGCAAAUUGGGUAUUUAUGGAAUGGGUGGUGUUGGGAAGACAACUAUUAUGAUGCACAUACAUAAUAGACUUCUCGAAGAUGCAACCUUCGAUGGUGUGGUUUUUAUCACUGUGUCUCAAGAUUUCAGCAUUAAGAAGUUGCAGAGUGAUAUUUGGAAGGCAUUAAAAUGUGGCGUUAUGGAGGAUGAGGAUGAGAAGAAACAAGCAGCGAUAUUGUCGGAGCAUUUAGAAAGAAAGAAGAAUUGUGUAUUGAUUCUUGAUGAUGUGUGGGAACGUCUUGAUCUUGAAGAGGUGGGAAUCCCUGUUAGAGCUGAUGGAUGUAAGUUGAUCUUAACCAGUCGAUCCUAUUAUGUGUGCUGCCAGAUGCAAUGUCAAGAGAAGAUAAAAAUUAAACCUCUAUCUCAAAUAGAAGCCGAGAGUCUAUUUUUGGAGGAGCUUGGAUCCGAAGUUCCACUUAAUUCGGAAACUGAAGCAAUUGUGAAGUCCAUUGUUGAAGAAUGUGCUGGAUUGCCAAUUGGAGUCAUCACGAUGGCAAGAAGCAUGCGAGGAGUGACUGAUGUGUUUGAAUGGAGGGAUUCCUUGGUUAAAUUGGAAGAAUCAAGUAAGGGGCAAACAGAUAUGGAGAAGAAGGUCUUAAUGAAUCUAAAAUUUAGUUAUGAUCGCCUUGGUAAUCCUGAUGUGCAACAAUGCUUCUUAUCUUGUGCACUUUAUCCAGAAGAUGAAUUGAUUGAUAAGUUCGAGUUGGUAGAAUUCUUUAUUGACCAAGGAUUGAUUGGUGGAUUGAAUGCGUGGACAGAACAAUAUGAUAGAGGCCUCACCAUAUUGAACAAACUACGAAAUGUUUGCCUAUUGGAAGAUCAUGGGAGCGAGACGAAGAUGCACGAUUUGAUUAGAGACAUGGCAUUGCACAUCAUGAGUGCAACUUCCAUUGUAAAGGCAAGAAAGUGGUUGGAAAGUAUUCCAUCUGAGGAAUAUUGGACAGAUGCUUUGGAGAAAGUUUCUCUGAUGGGAAGCAAAAUAAGUGAAAUGUCACCAAAUUGUCCUAAACUAUCAACUUUACUACUGAAUGGAAGCUUGUUAGAGGAUGCGGUCCUCCCUGGUUCUUUCUUCAAACAGUUAUGUGGGCUAAAGGUCCUAAACCUGAGUGACUGUGAACUAACGGAACUUCCAAAUUCCAUCUCAGAUUUGGUAAACUUGAGGGCACUAUUGCUUAGAAGGUGUCGGGAAUUGUGCCAUAUUCCUUAUUUAGGCAAGCUCACAUCUUUAAGGAAGCUGGACGUUAGUGACUGUUUUGAGCUUGAAGAAGUGCCCGAGGGUCUGGAAAUGUUGGUGAACUUGAGAUACCUUGACCUAUGUUUUUCAUUGACCGUUGAAUUACCUAAAAUAAUACUGGGGGGUUUGCUAAACUUGCAGCAUCUUAAAGUUUAUUUUCUAGAUGGACAAGACAUGACAAAAUUGAGGGCACUGGAGACACUCAAAUGCUUUUUUGAAGAUGCGAAUGAUUUCAAUAAGUGUGUGAGGGUUAUUGAACAGAGUAACCUUCUCUGCUAUUAUUAUCUUUGUUAUUAUAUCGACAAAAAAUAUCAUGAUGAGGAAGAAUGUGAUAUUACUCAGGACAGGGAAGUCAAAAUUUGGGGGUGGGAUCAUGCUAUUGUGAGUGUGGGAGGGGAAUGCACCGGCAUUUUUAUUUUGAUUCCCCAAGACGUGCAGAAAAUGACGAUUUGUUGGAACGGUAUAACAAAUUUGUCUAGCAUAGGUCCGCUUGAAUACCUUGAGGAGCUAGAUAUAGAAGACUUAAACAACUUAGGGGUGCUCUGUGGAGGAGAAGACAAAGAAGUAAUCGACAUCUUUGCCCCAGCCCUUGCGCCUCUCCUCUUCUCGAGCCUUAGGGUUUUGAAAAUAUGGAGUUGUCCGGAACUGAAGUAUGUCUUUGGGCAUGGGUCUAAAUCCAACCUUCCACAUCUACGAGAGAUUGAAAUAGGGGGAUGUGAGGAGACGGUGGGGAUAAUAGCAGCAGUUACAUCCCCACCACCACAUCCGCUCCCAUUUUUCCCUAGUCUGGAACAGAUUAGCAUUACAGGCUGUUACGAGAUGAAGAGAGCGGUGGAAUCCGAGUGGAUGCCCCACUUCCCUAAUCUAAGAAGAAUCAAAGUAUCCGGAUGUGAGAUGGAGGAGAUAAUCGGAGGUCCUCCCCCAUACUCGCCGGAUGAACAGAUUUCUCUCGAAUCUCUUGAGGUAAGCUAUUGCGAUAAAAUGAGAAAGCUGCUUACGUAUGAGUGGCUGUUCCAUCUUCGAAAUCUUCAAAGUAUCUCUGUCACUUACUGCAAAGAAAUGGUGGAGUUGAUAAGCGGAGCGGGACAAGGCCAAGAAGGAAGCAUAACGACUUCUGUAAACAACACUCCUUCCUCCUUCCAGCCUUCUUCAAUUUCUCUCCCAAAGCUAGAGUGUUUGGAGCUACGCUAUCUACACCAGCUGAAGAGCAUAUGCGAAGUCCCAAUAAGCUGCGAUUUCAUGAAAAGAUUGGACGUGUGCAGAUGCCCAGAACUGAAGAGGAUUCCUUUGCAACUGCGAUUGUGUGAAAUUGAGGAGCUUCCGUAUAUUUUGGUGGAAGAUGAGGAAAAGUGGAAGACGUUGGUGUGGGAUCAUCCCAAUGCUCAGGCUAUUCUUCGACCUUAUCUCCGAAAAGGGCCACGCUGGCCUCCAAAUGCUAUAGGUUAAUGAGUUUAAUUGAUAUACGAUUGCUUCACUUCUUAAAAGUCCUUUCAAAGAUAUAGCUUUUCUGUCUAUAUAGUCAUGCAGCUCUAAUAGUGGCCUUCUGUAGUACUGAACACCAAGUGAAAGCAUCUCCUGCGACUCCACUCUUGAAGAAAGAACCCUGCUGCUCGACCAUGCUUUCCUGCAAACUUGACUCAGGUUGCCAUAUGAAUUGACUUUUUUUGUGUGGCCCUGCUUUGUCUAUUUUGAAUGCGAUCGCAUGUUUCAUUGACUACUGGAAAUGAGUCUAUCUGGUCGAUAUUUCAGGUUAGUCAAAAAGCAAUGGAUCUGAAGAUUUGGGAAGCCAAGGGAAUAACAAAGUCUGUUUCCUAUCUUGUCUUAUAACUGAAAGGACAAUUUAUUAUCAUGGAUUGAAUUUCUUGGGAUAUUAGCCUUCUAAGAAAAGAGAGAAUUUUGUGCAGCACUACCUUUAAUCUGUUUUUGUUUAAAAAGGAUUUCAAAUAUGAUAUUGCUUUAACUUGUCGAUCGAAAAUAUUGUGUCAAAUACGCUGCUUUGCUCUGUUGGAUCAGAGCAACAUGACCCCAAUUAAACUUGUUUCGACGUUAAACUAUCGGGUAUAGAAUACUUGAUCUGCUUAGUAGUUGUAUCAUAUCUGGAAACGUAGGCCGGGAAGUUUUCNNNNNNNNNNNNNNNNNNNNNNNNNNNNNNNNNNNNNNNNNNNNNNNNNNNNNNNNNNNNNNNNNNNNNNNNNNNNNNNNNNNNNNNNNNNNNNNNNNNNUACUUUGAAUUAGAAAUGUAAAAAGACGAAGAAGAAAGAAUUGCACAGCUAUCACCCUCUUUAAAUGCCUCGAAGUUGUGGAUAGAUGGAGAACCCUACAGCUUCAGCUCAAGUAACCAAAAAUCAGAGCAGUAACCACUAGCAAGUCAAUGGAAAAAAGGCCAGCUUAUAGGAUGUGGCACUUUUGAAAGUGUUUACAUUGCAAGCAACCAGUAAGUUAGCUCUGGGAAUCUUAGACAUGUUCCAUUUUUUUAGAUAUCCAGUCAGCUAAACUUUGACAUAUUAAGUGACAGAAAAACCAGAUCUCUAUGUGCAGAGAAGGAGUUUGAGCUAUUGCGUAAUGAUCCAAAUUUAGCUGAGUGCAUCGAGCAGUUAAAGCAGGUAAUGUUUUUGUUAUGCUCUGGGAUCCAAUCUAUCCUCUCAUCCGAUCUAAAUAUGCUGGGAGGAAACUUUCUUUCAUCAUUUCCAAGUAAUUGAUUGCUUUGUUACUACAGGAAAUUCAGGUACUUAGCCAGCAUAGACAUCCGAACAUUCUGCAGUAUUAUGUAAGGGAAAUUGUGAGUCACAUUUCCACAGCAUCUAUGCGUCCCAACUCAAUGGGCGUUCAUUAUUUGACUAACCAAAAUUUCAACAUAUUCAUACAUACUCAGGUUGAGGAUUGGCGUUACAUAUAUCUAGAAUAUGCACAUCACGAUUCAAUAGACAAGUAUAUCCAGGAGCGUCUUGGGACCCUAACAGAAUCGGUUGUCAGCACUUUACCCGCUAUAUUGUGGCUGGAUUGGCUUCCCUGCAUGUUUUUUUUGGUAAAGAGGCUUCCCUGCAUGUUAACAACUCCAUACAUGGGUAAUUUUAAACCAUUGAUCAAGCAUCAUGAGAUGACUUGCAUAUUGGAUUAGGAUGAUUGGACCUUCUUCUUUGUGCCCCCAGACCUGUUAAAACUAUUUGGCUUGUGCAGGGAUUUAAAGGGAGCUAAUUUAUUUGUGGAUGCAUCUGGGAUAUUCAAACUUGCUGACUUUGGGAUUGCUAAACAUGUGAGUUUUUACCUCUUCACCGCAAGACUACUCAGUGCAUGUAGAAAUUCCUUGCUGAUCUGUGGUACAUUCGAAUGUGAAGUCAGGGACCCAGGGUGACUGCAUACUUCUCGUUAUUGGUUUGUGGCAUUUCAUAUGUGCAUAAAUCUAUCAUAGAUGGAUGAAAUGUUAUUAAGUAAUUUUCUUCACUUUUUUUCCCAUUGUUUCAGGUAAAGUUACCAUGUUGCAUGAACGGGAAAAGAUUUCUUGCUGUAAAUAGAUGCCGAAACCUAAUGAGAGUUCCCUUUCUACUGGUUUCUAAAAAGUUCCUAAGAGCGGUAGUGAAUAGAACGCAAUACCUUUGGCAAAAGGUUGUGGUGUUGUUUUUGCUGCUCCUCUGCAUUCCAAAAUAAGGAUAGAACUUAGUCAGAGUAAGUAAGGGCCUCCUUCCUAACAUGGGGUAAAUAAAAGUUUAUUAAUCCAUAGAAUGGAAUUCUGGACAGUAGCCAAGGUGUUGUUGCUCUCUUUUUGAGUUCUCAAGCAUUUGCUGAGGCCAUGUUGUUGAUUGCUUCAUGGUCCUUUUUCUCAGUAAUGAGCUAACAUGAGUUGAAAGUGGUUGAUUCAGUUAUCAAUAUGAUGUAUCUAUGUCUAUAAAGAUGUUGCUAUUUUAUCCGGUGUUCCAUGAACACACCAAGUAGUAUUCAGCUUUACUAAUGCCGUACCAUUUCUUAGCUAACCGGACAAGCAGCUUGCCGCUCUUUGAAGGGAAGUCUAAACUAGAUGGCUCUAGAGGUACUCUGCUUUUGUUAACGUUAAUGCGGCAUACUCAGAGGUCCUCCCCCAUACUCGCCGGAUGAACAGAUUUCUCUCGAAUCUCUUGAGGUAAGCCUUUGCGAUAACAUGAGAAAGCUGCUUACGUAUGAGUGGCUGCUCCAUCUUCGAAAUCUUCAAAGUAUCGAGGUCACUGAGUGCAAAGGAAUGGUGGAGUUGAUAAGCGGAGCGGGACAAGGCCAAGAAGGAAGCAUAACGANNNNNNNNNNNNNNNNNNNNNNNNNNNNNNNNNNNNNNNNNNNNNNNNNNNNNNNNNNNNNNNNNNNNNNNNNNNNNNNNNNNNNNNNNNNNNNNNNNNNNNNNNNNNNNNNNNNNNNNNNNNNNNNNNNNNNNNNNNNNNNNNNNNNNNNNNNNNNNNNNNNNNNNNNNNNNNNNNNNNNNNNNNNNNNNNNNNNNNNNNNGGAGCUUCCGUAUAAAACCUGUUCAUUCCCAUUUCCAGCAGCAGGCGAGUGCCCUUGUUUCUCUAGGAAUUGGGUUUCUGCCUUCAACGAGAGGAAGAGUCUUUGCUCGAUCCCUGGAUGCUGACUGGUGCUUCAGAUUCUCAAGAACAGCUUCUUAGCUCUACUUCUAUUUGUGCAUCUUUGCUACUUGCAUGCAUCUGAAUCUUCUUUUUCUGUCCUAACCGGUAUGUUGCUUCGUCCUCAUCUUUGCCAUUUUCCAUUUGUAAGAAUCAAAUAGAGACUCCAACUGAACAUCCUUAUUUGCCUGGAUCAAAUAUGUGCCCACUUAACAAGUAGAUCUGAUGGAUUCUAUGCGAAAUGAAGGGUUAAAUGACCUGAAUGUAGGUGGGUGGACUUAACUGUGAGAUGCAAUAAACUUCUCGAAGAGAGACCAAGAAAUAGAGAGAGAAGGGGCGAGAAGAGAAAGAGAGGAAGAGCGACAACGGUGGAUUGCAGCCCGUCGAAAGGGUCGUGCUACGCCACAAAUCUCCAUUUUCGAACACUAGACAAGGUUGUUCUAGCUCUAUUCCUCACGAACUUGGGAUUUUUGUUUGUAAAGUUAAUAUCCGGAUCUAUUUUGUAUUUUGCUUUGCUGGCAACGAUUCGGUCAAAAUCCAACGAUAUUUCGAUUCCCCACAUCUCCUUGUAAUUCUAGAAUUAAUUAUUUUAUAGAGAAUGUAGUCCGCAAUUCCCAAGUUGUCUUUGAGUUGAUCCGGUGCUUCUUGUGUCAAAAACAGGAGAUUAUUCUUGGGUCGUUGAAUAUAAUUUGCAGUUUGGCUCUCCUGCUUUAAUACUUGUGAUGCUGUUAUUUGCUUGNNNNNNNNNNNNNNNNNNNNNNNNNNNNNNNNNNNNNNNNNNNNNNNNNNNNNNNNNNNNNNNNNNNNNNNNNNNNNNNNNNNNNNNNNNNNNNNNNNNNAUGCUAUGCGCGCUGAGAAAUAUUCAAAUGAUCUCUACGUUAUAUGAUCAAGUGCACUUUCUUUGCCCGCAGGUUGAUAAUCAAGACGGCAAGAUGCCGCGACUUGAAGAUAUAGCCUGGAAAUUCGUGAUUAGACAGGGCAAGAAAUGGCGUUGUCCUUACUGCAAAAUUGAAUACUCUGGAUCAGUCACAAGAGUGAAAAGUCACUUUCUUAAACAACCAAAAGAAGGGAUUGUCUCUUGCACAAAAGUGCCGGAGCACAUAAGCACGCUAAUGGAAUUGUUACAGAGUCAGGUGGCUUUAGCACUUGUGGUAGCUAUAUUAUGUGCUUGAGAAUAAUGCUAUGCGUGCUAAGAAGAUUUAUAAAAAAUGGGGAUAAUAUAUGAUAGGGGUGCGCUCUAUUUGCUUGCAGGUUGAUAACAAAGAUGAUAUAGCCUGGAAAUUCGUCGAUAGACUGGGGGAAAACAAAUGGCGUUGUCAUCACUGCAGGGAAGAAUUCUUUGGAGACCUUACAGGAGUGAGAGGUCACUUGCUUGAAGCCCCAUAUAAGGGGAUUUCCAUUUGCACAGAAGUGCCAGACCACGUAAGAACGCUAAUGCGGUCUUUACUCGAUGAGGUGGCUGAAGGAGGGAGCAGAGACUUGGCUGAAGAACAGAGCAGAGAUGCGGAGCCACAGUCGCGUGACGUGCUGUCUCCAGCUUUUCCUCCGUCAUCACAAAGCUCGGAGAGGGCGACUGACAUGGAAAACUCCAACUAUGACCUAGAGUGUCGUUUUCAUGAGACUUCAGCAAUGCCGUCACUGGCACAAAAUAUCCUUGGUAUGUUCAUGUGUUUCUAUACAUGCAUCUAGGCAUGGAGAAAAAACAUCCAUUAUAUUUUUCAAUGCAAACACGUCGGGUUUUUUAACCGAAGUGGAGACUUUUAAACAUCUCCAAUAAAAACGAUCUUUCUACGGAACUUUACAAAUGUGAAGUAAGUCAAUUACCUAUUCCUUAAUAACAGUGCAUUGUCCACUGGACUCACUGGAUCUAAUAAACUAACCAUAGAAGGCAUUUUCUCGUGUUCCAAUCAACCAUAUCCUAAUUUUGAUGAACAACACACAGGUGAAAGCAUGUCAUGUUUGCCAAUGACUUUAGCGGGAGUGGAAUCGUUUCUUUUUGAUUUGCCAGAACGGUCACAAUGUUCCAUUCAAUCUCAAAUGCAAUUGAAUGAUCAGCAGACUCCAGCAGGGACAUUAGCAUCCCAUUAUGAUCAAUUACCUGCUGCAGGUAAGUCAAAUUGCUUGCGGGAUAGUAAUCAGCACUCUCAAUUGCAAAUUCCAGUGGACAUAGAUCCCUCAAUUGCAUCACAGCAUACGAUCGACUCUCACGUUAUUUGGGUAACAAUCCUUGGUUUGCCAAUUCCAGAGGUGGCAGCAGAUACAAUAGGCCCAUCAUCAUCAUCACAAGAUGUGUCUUGAUUAAUCUAAAUAGAUACUAUCAUUUCGUUAGAUCCGUAAAUAUCCUCAAAUUAUUUUAUUGAAAUUUAACAUAUGUAUUUUUGUAAAAUAGAUAUGAACAGGGGUUCUCCAAUCAUGAACGUACGGAGGACACCACAACCUCGCAGAUGGAUGGAACAGGUGGUGCAGGAGGACAGGGCGGUCGACAUCGCAAACCUCCCAUCGGAUGGUGCAACAAAUCACUCUAUCGCAUCUCCCCUGCCAAAUUCAUUGCUUGAUGAUGGGCCAAAUGAACUGUUGCCCAUUUUACCUGGGUAUCUAACAUUAAAUCCACAACGGUAUCAAUGUGCGUCAUUGCCAGCACAAAACCACCAGCUCCUUGAUAAUACUUUUCAGAAUGAGUCACGGGGGUCCAUUUUGCCUGGUCUCAUUGCAUCAGAUGCUCCACUCACUAACGUGGCCACAACAAACACUGCCCGGCAUUUUAAUCAACCAGAUCAGACCUUUCACAGGCAGUGUGAAGGUGGCACUGGCUUAUCUCCUCUACCGCUUUCCAUGGACAUAGAGCCACCUCUUCCAUCACGACCUUUCAAUGGACCUCCUAUUAUUGAGCCAUUUAAUUCCCCUCCGCAGAUUCCAGAGGACAUCUUAAACACAACUGGCCCAUCAACACCGGAAGGUAUAAUACCAUCGAUCUAUUAAAUGGGUCUCGAUAACGCUUAUUAACAAAAUCCAUAUUAUAUUUAUCAUUCAUGUGGUCUCUUGUAAACCCCAUGUUGCUUCUAUGGUGAGUAAGAAUGUUUCAAUUGGAGUCUAAUGCAUGAAGUUGUGGCUUAUAAAUUAGUGAUGCCAGAAGGUGCACCAGCAGGGACAUCAUCAUUCCAGUAUGAUCAAUUGGUGUAGGUAAUUCAAAUCUGGAUUGCAAUCAGCCACGUAUAUCUAGUGUAACAAGUGUAGCCAACACUGUCCCGCAUUCUAACCUAUCAUUCGAAGCUGCAAUGAAGAAUGUGGAACUAAAACCAGUUCGUUUCCCCUGCGAGAUUCGAGGGGCAUAUGUCCCAUCACUGCAUUACGGCCUAUUAGGUGCCCUCACAUCGAGGCAACACUUGUCAAUUUGCAAGUUCUGGAGAAUGGAGCAAAUAUGGCUGGCCCGUAACCAUCACAAGUGACUGUCUUGAUUUACCUAAAUAGAUAGUCAUUCCAAAUUAAUCAUAGGUAUUCCAACUCGAGUGAGCGUUGAUGUUUUCAUUGCAGAAGUGAUCCUUCUUUGUAUUAUUAACUCUCUUUUAGUAUGACUCAAAUUCGUCUAUUUCCAUAUCUAAUCUUUUCUCAAUUACCGUAGUAUCAUUGCAUGUUAUGUUUGUCCAACAUCACUUACUUUACGGCAUGGUUUUUUCAUCAAAAUAUUUUACUUAUCUGCAUGUUGAUUUUCCUUGUGGAUGUCUUUUGUGACCAAGUUCUAUGUUGUUUUACCUGUGUGCAUGGACACUCCAAUAUCUUAGUGCAACCAGCUCUGGUGCCCCCUCAACAUCAAAGUGUUCCACAUCAAGCUCCAAAUAAUACUCCUUCAGCUCCUCAGAUUCAACGUCGUGGAACAGGUCUGAUAGUCCCAUCGUCAUUGCCAGGUAUAUAGUUAUUUACCUAAAUUAAUCCUUAUGCAUCGAUCACCAUGUUAUGUUAUUAAGGGAAGCAAGAAUGCUAUAAUGAGACCGAUGGAUUUAAUUGCAGAAUUAGAUAUGAGCAAGGGUGUGCCACUAACGAGUCACACAAACAUAAACAACAACUUUGAAAAGAGUAGAGCUUUGAAAAGAAAAAUAAAGCAACUCUACAGUAGAGAAGCUGACAUAAGGGAUGAGUUAGAAUUUGCCGGGUCUCUAUCACUAAAGAAGCAGAAAAAGGAAGUUGAGAAUUGGUUGGCGGAUGUGGAGCAGCUCAGAAAAGAUUUUCAGAGUAUUGAAGCAACAAGUGAGGAUUGUUUGCCGUCACACCAGCAGGUGGAUACACUGACGCAACAAGCAGAAGACCUUAUGAAACAAGGCGAAUUCCCAAAAGGACUAUUUGGGGCGAGAAAGACCAAAGUCAAUAAGUUGAUAGAACGAAAGUUGGUGGGAGAGGCAUUUAAGAGAAAUACAACAAAGAUUUUGGAGUACUUAGUAGGGAGUCAAAUAUCCCGACUAGGCAUUUAUGGAAUGGGGGGUAUUGGUAAAACCACUCUUAUGAAGCACAUACAUAAUAGACUUCUCGAAAAAGCAAAUCAUGAUAAUGUGUUGUGGAUCACCGUGUCACAAGAUUUUAACACACAAAAGUUGCAGAACGACAUUUGGGAGGCACUAAAUUUAGGCACACUACAAGAAAAGGAGGUGGGGCAACGAGCAGCAAUGUUGUCCGCUGUUUUAACCGAAAGAGAGAAGUUGAUCAUAAUCCUUGAUGAUGUGUGGGAAGAUUUCAAUCUUGAAGAGGUGGGAAUCCCUGUUAGAGAAGAUGGAAAUAAGUUGGUCUUAACCACUCGAUCCCUUGAAGUAUGCCGCCGGAUGCAAUGUCAAGAAAUAAAAAUCGAACCUCUAUCUCUAGAAGAAGCUGAGGAUUUAUUUUUUGAGGAGCUUGGAUCCAAAGUGGCCCUUAAUUUGGAAACAAUUGUGAAGUCCAUUGUUAAAGAAUGUGCAGGCUUGCCACUUGGAGUCAUCACGAUGGCAGCAAGCAUGCGAGGAGUGACGAAUGUGUCUGAAUGGAGAGAUUGCUUGGAGAAAUUGAAAGAAUCAGAUGCCCCAACGGAGAUGGAAAAGAGAGUCUUAAAGCAACUAGAAGUCAGCUACGAUCGCCUUGAGAAACGUGAAGUUCAACAGUGUUUCUUAUCUUGCGCACUUUAUCCAGAAGAUAGAUUGAUUGAUAAGGUCGAGUUGAUAGAAUUCUUUAUUGACCAAGGACUGAUUUGUGGAUUGAAUAUGAAUACGAGGGAGAAAGAAUAUGAUAGAGGCUUCACCAUAUUGAGCAAACUGGAAAAUGUUUGCCUAUUGGAAGAUUAUGGAGAAAACAUGAAGAUGCACGAUUUGAUUAGAGACAUGGCAUUGCACAUCAUGAGUGCAACUUCCAUUGUAAAAGCAGGAAAGUGGUUGGAAAGUAUUCCAUCUGAGGAAUAUUGGACAGAUGCUUUGGAGAAAGUUUCUCUGAUGGAAAACGAAAUAAGUGAAAUUCCAUUGAACAUGUCACCAAAUUGUCCUAAACUAUCAACUUUACUACUGAAUGGAAGCUUGUUAAAGGAUGCGGUCCUCCCUGGUUCUUUCUUCAAACAGUUAUGUGGGCUAAAGGUUCUAAACCUGAGUGACUGUGAACUAAUAGAACUUCCAAAUUCCAUCUCAAAUUUGGUAAACUUGAGGGCACUAUUGCUUAGAGAGUGUCGGGAAUUGUGCCAUAUUCCUUAUUUAGGGAAGCUCACAUCUUUAAGAAAGUUGAACGUUGGUGGCUGUUCUAAGCUUAAAGAAGUGCCCGAGGGUCUGGAAAUGUUGGUGAACUUGAGAUACCUUGACCUACGUUUUUCAUCGACCGUUGAAUUACCUGAAAGAGUACUAGGGGGUUUGCUAAACUUGCAGCAUCUUAAAGUUUAUUUUCUAGAUGGACAAGACAUGACAAAAUUGAGGGCACUGGAGACACUCAAAUGCUCUUUUGAAGAUGCGAAUGAUUUCAAUAAGUGAACAGAGUAACCCUCGCUGUUAUUAUUAUCUCGGCAUGGCUCAAAAAGAUAUUUCUUAUUAUCGUGAAGCAUGUUAUUCUACUCAUGAGGAAUACCGUGAUAUUACUCAAAUUGAGAAUCGGAAGAGGGAAGUCAAAAUUUGGGGGUGGGAUCAUGCUAUUGUGAGUGUGGGAGGGGAAUGCACCGGCAUUUUUAUUUUGAUUCCCCACACCCGUGCAGAAAAUGACAAUGAUUGGUUGCGACGGUAUAACAAAUUUGUCUAGCAUAGGUCCGCUUAAAUACCUUGAGGAUCUAUGUAUAGGAUACUCAGAAAACUUAGGGAUGCUCUGUGGAGGAGAAGACGAAGAAGUAAUCGACAUCCUUGCCCCAGCCCUUGCGCCUCUCCUCUUCUCGAGCCUUAGGGUUUUAAAAAUAUAUGAUUGUCCAAAACUGAAGUAUCUCUUUGGGCAUGGGUCUAAAUCCAUCCUUCCGCAUCUACGAGAGAUUGAAAUAUAUGGAUGUGAGAAAAUGGUGGGGAUAAUAGCAGCAGUUACAUCCCCACCACCACAUCCGCUCCCAUUUUUCCCUAGUCUGGAACAGAUUAGCAUUAGUCGCUGUAACAAGAUGAAGAGAGCGGUGGAAUCUGAGUGGAUGCCCCACUUCCCUACUCUGAGAGGAAUCACAGCAAUUUAUUGUGAGAAGAUGGAGGAGAUAAUCGGAGGUCCUCCCCCAUACUCGCCGGAUGAACAGAUUUCUCUCGAAUCUCUUGAGGUAAGCCGUUGCUAUAACAUGAGAAAGCUGCUUACGUAUGAGUGGCUGCUCCAUCUUCGAAAUCUUCAAAGUAUCGUGGUCAGUCACUGCAAAGGAAUGGUGGAGUUGAUAAGCGGAGCGGGACAAGGCCAAGAAGGAAGCAUAACGACUUCUGUAAACAACACUCCUUCAUCCUUCCAGCCUUCUUCAAUUUCUCUCCCAAAGCUAGAGUGUUUGAAGCUACGCUAUCUACACCAGCUGAAGAGCAUAUACAAAGCCCCAAUAAGCUGCGAUUCCAUGAAAAGAUUGAAAGUGUACGGAUGCCCAGAACUGAAGAGGAUUCCUUUGCAACUGCCACUGCGUGAAAUUGAGGGAGCUUCCGCAUAUUUAUGAUGGAAGAUGAGGAAAAGUGGAAGACGGCUGAUGUGGGGAUCAUCCCGGAUGCUCAGGCUAUUCUUUCAACCUUAUCUCCAAAAAGGGUCAAAUGCUAUAGGUUAAUGAGUUUAAUUGGAUAUACGAUUGCUUCACUUCUUUAAAAGUCCUUUCAAAGAUAUAGCUUUUCUGUCUAUAUAGUCAUGCAGCUCUAAUAGUGGCCUUCUGUAGUACUGAACACCCAGGUGAAAGCAUCUCCUGCGACUUCACUCUUUGAAGAAGAACCCUGGCUGCUCGACCAUGGCUUUCCUACCAACUUGGACCUCAGGUUGCCAUAUGAACUGACUUUUUUUGUGUUGCCAUGCUUUGUCUAUUUUGAAUGCGAUCGCAUGUUUCAUUGACUACUGGAAAUGAGUCUAUCUGGUCGAUAUUUCAGGUUAGUCAAAAAGCAAUGGAUCUGAAGAUUUGGGAAGCCAAGGGAAUAGCAAAGUCUGUUUCCUAUCUUGUCUUAUAACUGAAAGGACAAUUUAUUAUUAUGGAUUGAUUUUCUUGGGAUAUUAGCCUUCUAAGAAAAGAGAGAAUUUUGUGCAGCACUACCUUUAAUCUGUUUUUGUUUAAAAAGGAUUUCAAAUAUGAUAUUGCUUUAACUUGUCGAUCGAAAAUAUUGUGUCAAAUACGCUGCUUUGCUCUGUUGGAUCAGAGCAACAUGACCCCAAUUAAACUUGUUUCGACGUUAAACUAUCGGGUAUAGAAUACUUGAUCUGCUUAGUAGUUGUAUCAUAUCUGGAAACGUAGGCCGGGAAGUUUUCUUUUCACCCUUUGUCAUACUUUGAAUUAGAAAUGUAAAAAGACGAAGAAGAAAGAAUUACACAGCUAUCACCCCUCUUUAAAUGCCUCGAAGUUGUGGAUAGAUGGAGAACCCUACAGCUUCAGCUCAAGUAACCAAAAAUCAGAGCAGUAACCACUAGCAAGUCAAUGGAAAAAAGGCCAGCUUAUAGGAUGUGGCACUUUUGAAAGUGUUUACAUUGCAAGCAACCAGUAAGUUAGCUCUGGGAAUCUUAGACAUGUUCCAUUUUUUUAGAUAUCCAGUCAGCUAAACUUUGACAUAUUAAGUGACAGAAAAACCAGAUCUCUAUGUGCAGAGAAGGAGUUUGAGCUAUUGCGUAAUGAUCCAAAUUUAGCUGAGUGCAUCGAGCAGUUAAAGCAGGUAAUGUUUUUGUUAUGCUCUGGGAUCCAAUCUAUCCUCUCAUCCGAUCUAAAUAUGCUGGGAGGAAACUUUCUUUCAUCAUUUCCAAGUAAUUGAUUGCUUUGUUACUACAGGAAAUUCAGGUACUUAGCUAGCAUAGACAUCCGAACAUUCUGCAGUAUUAUGUAAGGGAAAUUGUGAGUCACAUUUCCAUAGCAUCUAUGCGUCCCAACUCAAUGGGCGUUCAUUAUUUGACUCACCAAAAUUUCAACAUAUUCAUACAUACUCAGGUUGAGGAUUGGCGUUACAUAUAUCUAGAAUAUGCACAUCACGAUUCAAUAGACGAGUAUAUCCAGGAGCGUCUUGGGACCCUAACAGAAUCGGUUGUCAGCACUUUACCCGCUAUAUUGUGGCUGGAUUGGCUUCCCUGCAUGUUAACAACUCCAUACAUGGGUAAUUCUAAACCAUUGAUCAAGCAUCAUGAGAUGACUUGCAUAUUGGAUUAGGAUGAUUGGACCUUCUUCUUUGUGCCCCCAGACCUGUUAAAACUAUUUGGCUUGUGCAGGGAUUUAAAGGGAGCUAAUUUAUUUGUGGAUGCAUCUGGGAUAUGCAAACUUGCUGACUUUGGGAUUGCUAAACAUGUGAGUUUUUACCUCUUCACUGCAAGACUACUCAGUGCAUGUAGAAAUUCCUUGCUGAUCUGUGGUACAUUCGAAUGUGAAGUCAGGGACCCAGGGUGACUGCAUACUUCUCAUUAUUGGUUUGUGGCAUUUCAUAUGUGCAUAAAUCUAUCAUAGAUGGAUGAAAUGUUAUUAAGUAAUUUUCUUCACUUUUUUUCCCAUUGUUUCAGGUAAAGUUACCAUGUUGCAUGAACGGGAAAAGAUUUCUUGCUGUAAAUAGAUGCCGAAACCUAAUGAGAGUUCCCUUUCUACUGGUUUCUAAAAAGUUCCUAAGAGCGGUAGUGAAUAGAACGCAAUACCUUUGGCAAAAGGUUGUGGUGUUGUUUUUGCUGCUCCUCUGCAUUCCAAAAUAAGGAUAGAACUUAGUCAGAGUAAGUAAGGGCCUCCUUCCUAACAUGAGGUAAAUAAAAGUUUAUGAAUCCAUAGAAUGGAAUUCUGGACAGUAGCCAAGGUGUUGUUGCUCUCUUUUUGAGUUCUCAAGCAUUUGCUGAGGCCAUGUUGUUGAUUGCUUCAUGGUCCUUUUUCUCAGUAAUGAGCUAACAUGAGUUGAAAGUGGUUGAUUCAGUUAUCAAUAUGAUGUAUCUAUGUCUAUAAAGAUGUUGCUAUUUUAUCCGGUGUUCCAUGAACACACCAAGUAGUAUUCAGCUUUACUAAUGCCGUACCAUUUCUUAGCUAACCGGACAAGCAGCUUGCCGCUCUUUGAAGGGAAGUCUAAACUAGAUGGCUCUAGAGGUACUCUGCUUUUGUUAACGUUAAUGCGGCAUACUCAGAGGUCCUCCCCCAUACUCGCCGGAUGAACAGAUUUCUCUCGAAUCUCUUGAGGUAAGCCUUUGCGAUAACAUGAGAAAGCUGCUUACGUAUGAGUGGCUGCUCCAUCUUCGAAAUCUUCAAAGUAUCGAGGUCGCUGAGUGCAAAGGAAUGGUGGAGUUGAUAAGCGGAGCGGGACAAGGCCAAGAAGGAAGCAUAACGACUUCUGUAAACAACACUCCUUCAUCCUUCCAGCCUUCUUCAAUUUCUCUCCCAAAGCUAGAGUGUUUGAAGCUAUGCUAUCUACACCAGCUGAAGAGCAUAUACAAAGCCCCAAUAAGCUGCGAUUUCAUGAAAAGAUUGGACGUGUACGGAUGAUUGACUUAUUUCAAGUGCCAUACGUUGUUGCAAAUGGAUGUUGUACUGUAAAGUUCCAUAUUUACUAAACCAGAAUAAUCACAGGGUCCAUAGAUGUGAUGAAGUACUUGUAUAUCGACGAAAUAAGAUGCAUGUUCCUCUCGCAUGGUUUGACCAGUGUCAUCCUACGAUCUAGGCAAAUUUGACAGUGUUGCUUAAUCUAAACAUUUUGUAUGAAGUACAUUUAUUCAUCAAAAUUGAAUGGUAUUGAUAUGGCUCCAAAUAAGAAACGGAUCAGCAAAACAAAAGUAAUAAAACCCAAGGAAAGACAAAAGUAAUAAAACCCAAGGAAAAAGGAAAAGAAAAAGAAAAUCGAAGUGAUAGUGCAUCAGAAUUCCUGAAUUGGUGGGAGGAACAUUGGCAGGUUUGGCAAACCUGCAACGUCUUAGGACUUGGGAAGUGAAGGGAAAAAUAUCAAAGUUACGGGCAUUGGAGGCUCUUAAUUCUUCCGGACAGACCACAAUGGCUUUUCUCUAUUCACCGGAAAUUGGUGAUGGUGAUGAGGGCCACUCUGAUUGGAGAAAUUUCAUGUAUUUGUUGAGAUCAACGAUGAUGAUGAUCCAAGAUUUGCAACUUUCGAGUGGAGAAAUUUCAUGUAUUUGUUGAGAUCAACGAUGAUGAUGAUCCAAGAUUUGCAAUUUUCGAGAGGAGAAUCAACGUUGAUUGUUGCGAUAAUGCUUGUCAGGGCAGCAGGGAAAAGUUUUUUCCUGGUGGUUUUGCGGCUUUUGCCCCCAAGUGAUGCUGCAAGUUUGCUGGAUUUCCCCCUAACGGUUUUUUGUCAUUUCCCGGAACGUUUUUGGAAUAAUUUUGCAUGUUGUUACAAAGAUCUCAUGCGGUUCGUUUACAGGAUUUUAAUAGGCCUUAUAUUUAUAUAAUUUACCUUCACUUACUCGUUCAAAUAUUUAGGUUGGAUUUUUUCCUAUGUGCAAAUAGCAAUUUUUACGUGAAAUGCAAACUAAACAUGCUUCCUUUUUAUUAUUAUUUUUUCUGCAAUUAAAGUGAUUCCUCUACCCUAAUGCAUACCAGAAAUAUAUUCAAAAGUGUGACAGGAAAAAGAACUCCUUGAAAUUUUGCAAAGUCGGAGGCGCUUUUUAGACCAAGCGAUGUCUCUCGGCUGCAUUGAAAUAUGUCUUCGUUUUCGUUUUCUUUUGUUCUUUUCCUCAAUCUUCAANNNNNNNNNNNNNNNNNNNNNNNNNNNNNNNNNNNNNNNNNNNNNNNNNNNNNNNNNNNNNNNNNNNNNNNNNNNNNNNNNNNNNNNNNNNNNNNNNNNNGCUGUUUUUUUUUUUUUUUUGUGUGUUCUCUGCCCAAACCUUAAUGAAGACUACUAAUUGGUGUUUGGUCUUUCAAAGUGUAGCAUUAUUGAGCAUCAUCAUCAACUCAUCAAGUUCGCUAAACUCAGUCAUCAAUUAACUAACGAUUCUUGUCUAACAGGAACUGCACCAACGUAGCAAGAAAAAGAUAAACAAAAACUCAGGCAAGAACUCAUUCGUUUUCAAGACUCGGUCAUAAAAAUCGAGGAAAAGAAACUAUGAAUAUGUGCCGGAUUUUUCUCUGCUGCCGUGCCCUUUUUAACCUACUUUUGACCCAGAAUUCGACCAUUUACAGCUCUCGGUUCCUUUUGUGUGUUUUCACACUGCUAAUUUCCUUCAUUCACACACGAAGGAAAGUCGUGUUGAAAGUGGCCUCCUUUCGGCCAACCAGGAGGAGGGAACGGAAAGGACUUCACUUCGAAGAGCGGGCACGUCCAAAAUUCUCAUAAGAAUUCCCAUUUAAAUUCGCCUGGAAAUUUAGAGUCGGGUUGUGUAACAGAUUGGUUCACAAUAAUUGCACUCUUAUUAGAAAGGGCAGUACAAUCACAAGAAUGUGAGAUUACAAAUGGAUGUUAUUAUGGGUCAAAUUAUCAGUGUUUUUCUUCGUUAAUUUUUAUGAAGAUGCGAUUGAAACCUUUGAGCUCGUAACAGUAAUUUAACUUAAAAACUAUUGAGUUAUUAUAGUCUUUAAAUCAUUCUUGGGACAUUUUUUUUUUCUUUUGGAUCUGAAGAUCCAAACUACAUAUGAAACGAGUCCCGUGAUUGGGAAAACACGAAUUUAGCAUAUUAUGCUUGCUCCUAAAUAUUUUUAUGUGGAUGCCACAUAACAAGUACCUAUAUAAGUUCAUGCAAAUAGGAUCCAACGAAUUAACAAUCCAAAAUUUGAGAGAAAAUAUGAAGUGAUUUUGUGCAUUUUUGAAACUCUGUUAGUGUACAUUCUUGUAGUUUUUCCUUGUCCAAAUAUACUGAUUUUCAACUUUCACUAAGAUGUUGCAAAUUCAAUUAGAAGCAUAUAAUUAAUAGUCCUAAUUAGCCAAGUCACAAAACCAAUCAUAAGAGAUUCAUUGCGGUUGUCACAAAGUCUUGAAUUGGUGGGAUGGUUAUUCCCAUGGCAAGAGCGGCUAACAUCGCAAACUUCAUCCUCUAGGGAUUAAGUUAAAAUAUUACCUUUGGCACUUAAGGUGUUCUUAUACUCCAUAAUAAAUAUGUUACUUAUUUUAUCAAUUAAUCUACCCUCAAUAAUAUGCUAAUAUUGGUUUAGAUAAUUUGUCGAUUUGGCUAUAACUUGGAAUAAGAGACAAUAACAAUAUAAAUCUAAUAUUGAAAAAAAUUUGUAUGAUUUUUUUUUUCACUUAUUAGUUAUUCUUUUAGCAAUUACCGAAUAACAUCAUUCAAACUGCAUAAUGCCAAAUCUAUUUUUUUUUUCCAAUUACAUUAUGCCAUAAAUGUGCGAAUCAACAUACAUGAUUUCACCUCAAACAAAUGGACUUUUUUUAUGAAUAAAUUUUUUAAAAAAAAAAGAUAGAAAAAUAGCUCAUAUUAGGGCCAUUUACCAGGUAAUGCAAAUUAAAACCAAGUCUUAUUUAUGUCUAUUAAAAAUUUCCAAUGCCAUAUCAUAUCAUUUACACCUAAAAUGCAUAGAAUAUACAUUCGGAGAAGAAGGAAGAUAAGAGAAACUUAAACAAAAGAGCAUUUCUAUCUGUCGUAAGAUAGAAAGUAAACAUCAAAUUUAGAUAAUCUUACUUUAAAUACUUAUGUAGCAAGCACAUUCAUAAAAAUUAGAACAUAAUGUAAGCCUAAACAAUAAUAUAACGAUUGAUUUAUAUAAAGUGUCAAUAUAACAUUAUGCAAAAAAUUUAUACAUGUAAUAUGGGUUCAUAUCAAUAAAUGGAAUUGGAAGUAAAUUUCUGAAUCUGUGCAACCCAUGGGUCUUUGUUUACUACACAUUCUACAAAAAAAUGCAGUCAUAAGUUACAAUUUGAUGGAAUCACCUACCAAUUCUACUCACAUCAUAGGAAAUGUUUUCUAGCAGCUGGAUGGCUUGGAAUAUUUUGGGGCCAGAGAUGGACACAUUUCAUUCAUAUGAGGGUACAGGUCUACUGUAUUGUAUCCUGGCAGCUCCANNNNNNNNNNNNNNNNNNNNNNNNNNNNNNNNNNNNNNNNNNNNNNNNNNNNNNNNNNNNNNNNNNNNNNNNNNNNNNNNNNNNNNNNNNNNNNNNNNNNNNNNNNNNNNNNNNNNNNNNNNNNNNNNNNNNNNNNNNNNNNNNNNNNNNNNNNNNNNNNNNNNNNNNNNNNNNNNNNNNNNNNNNNNNNNNNNNNNNNNNNNNNNNNNNNNNNNNNNNNNNNNNNNNNNNNNNNNNNNNNNNNNNNNNNNNNNNNNNNNNNNNNNUAAAAAAGAUAACCCAACUAGGGUCAAUCAGAUCGCACUUACAGUGAACUCUGUAACAUGAAUGGAGCUAGAAAUUGGAUCAAGAGUCCUGCUGCUUUGUACAUUCAAGAACAAAAGCUACACAAGAGGCGGACUUCCCAUCACUAUAUACCCAAUGGUCUUGCUCUGGAGUGUCAGCAGUUCAGCAAAAGAUGACCCCCUCAUUUCAGUUUCGUGUAUUAGAUUAGGAAGAUCCAAGCCCUGUAUGCAACACAAUCGUAAGGUAGCCAUAAAGUAAAGUAAGUGUAAUUACAACCAUAUAACAUUUGUUAACAGAAUGUCAUCCAAGAGACAUUAGAUUUCAGUUGCACCUCAGUGUGCAAAACAAGAUGCAUAACGUCACACAGACAAUUGCAAAUUGAAUGGGACGGUACCUUUGUUCCUAGUCACUUGUUGAGUGCUUCAUUCCAUAUGUUCGCAGCAUAGGCUGGUUGCACUUGGUUCCAUAGUCAUAACAGAAGCAACCUACAAUAAUACAAUGCUUUCUAUAAAAUGAGUGAACCGCACUCCCAUCACGCGAAUAAAGCACCCCACAUGGUGAGCAUAUUACAUGCAUCGUCAGUCAGGCUGAUAGCAACUCUUAAGAAACAAUGAACAAAGUCUACUAUUUUGCUGUCUUAGUAUCAUAUAGGAGGCCAUAAAAAAUGAAUAAUUGUCAAACUAAGCCAGGUUCUUUUCCAUAACGUUAGCACUCAAUAGAGUCACAUACGAACCUGCUAUUUGGCAAAAUCACUGUUCAUUUUUUAGCCUUUUGUCUUGUUCAGUUGAAUUCAUUCGAAAUCAUGGCAUGAUUGUCUAAUUUCAACUAGAAUGUGUUGUUAGGAUCUAACACACGGCUUAAUAAUAUUUCAAGGUCUAUCAAAGUAAGAGUAAANNNNNNNNNNNNNNNNNNNNNNNNNNNNNNNNNNNNNNNNNNNNNNNNNNNNNNNNNNNNNNNNNNNNNNNNNNNNNNNNNNNNNNNNNNNNNNNNNNNNGCAUCUAAGAAUCUCAAGGCAUCUACAGAUAUACCUUGGAAGUAACACAAGGCCUUAGCGCUAGAAAAUUGUCUAAGGCAACUGAAUGCACCCACAAAAUAUAUAUAAACAUAUAUGAACGUGUACAAUCUCUGUACCACAUGAGCAUCUAAUGGCGGUAGAUAAUUUGCGCCGAUGGUGUCUAUCCAGCUAAAAAGCAUGUUGUGAUAACCAUAUGGUUUCCCAUUCAUAAUCUGUGCAAACUCCCAUGCAGCAGCUCAUUAAAUUUGGCUCACAUAUCAGGAUGCAGUGGAAGCAACGCAAUGUGGGGAUUUGAGUAAUCUUUGUUAAGCUCGAACUCCCACCAUUUUCCCAUGGUAACACAGCAAUGACAUCUUCUCCCUGCAAUGAUAAGAACAAAACAAAACUUGCAUAAUCUCUAUUACUAUGUUAGACUUCUUAGCACCUGACCCCUUUACCAACACAAAGGAACAAAGCAUGUAGCAAAAACCCAAAUGUGACCAUAAAUUUAUUAAUCAAGGUCUGCCUCAAGUAAAGGACGUCAUUUCAUCAAAUUCUAACCAUAAUCAUCAUCAGUAAGUUAUCGUCUCGUGUGUAAGGAUGGUCCUGAAGUUCAGCAGAAAAAGUUCAGACACUGCAUUCCCUAUGUUACAAAUAUGAUGAUGCUCCAAUAGAGCUUCUAGUAGGAGCCUAGAUAGGAUCAGCUGCAGUUCAACAUGAACCUGAAGCAGCAUGUCAUCGUUUACUUACUCAUCCUCUCUUACAAUCAAAAGUUUCUAUGGGAGCACAAAAAGGAAAGACCUAUCUUAUUAGAGAACAUAAGAUGAGCAAGGAGAUUUAAGGACAUAGGGGCAUGACUAAAGCACGCUUAAUAUGCAAAAUGGAACGAUCUCAAUGGGAACCAUAUUUGUGAGAGAAGAAGUCCAUGAUUCGACAAAAGUCACAUUUAUAAAGUAAUCACACAGAAAUACAAUGCCCCAAAAACCUAAGGGUUCAUGAAAUGUUAGAGAAACACAGCAGAAACCCUACUUGUCCUUUUCAAUAUGUAUGAGACCACACUUUGAUAAUCAGAGGACAUUAAAGCAGUAUUGUAUGAGUGUCUUUAAUAAUGAAUGACAGAUAAGCAUAGGGAAUUUUUUUUUUUUUUUUGGGUCGGUAAGCACAGGGAAUUAAAGAGAUGGAGAAAUAAUGACUCAAACAAUUCUGGGGGUGUUUGAAACAUUUGAACGUUUGUCUAUUGGAUAUCCCCAUAUAGGAACAAUGUGGACAAUUAUUGUGGAAGACUGGCAUACUUACAGCCAUGUUAAUAUUGUGUCUAUGCAAUUGGUUUAAAACUUUACUUCACAAUUACAAUUGCAGAGACAGCAGCAGGCAAAAAGAUUGGAUGAAAUGUCGAACAUCAAAAGCAAUCCAUCAAUGUAUGGAAAAAAAAGAACGNNNNNNNNNNNNNNNNNNNNNNNNNNNNNNNNNNNNNNNNNNNNNNNNNNNNNNNNNNNNNNNNNNNNNNNNNNNNNNNNNNNNNNNNNNNNNNNNNNNNNNNNNNNNNNNNNNNNNNNNNNNNNNNNNNNNNNNNNNNNNNNNNNNNNNNNNNNNNNNNNNNNNNNNNNNNNNNNCCAACCCAAAGCUUUCCUUCAGCAUCCCUUAAGCACACAGCUGUGUGACCAGCAUAUGCGCCACUGACCCAUUUCUCUAGAGUCCCAAAACCACCCCACCUUCCACGAAUUUUUGAAAUUGCAAUGAAGUCUCCAGAGUGGAUAUCAUCAAUGCUGAUGUUUGUAACCCAGGGCUGGGGACGUUGCUCAAAUGAAGCUCCCAUAUGCUUCUUGAGAAAACCAAUGUUAGAUUUCUCCCCUCACCCGGUAUUUGAAAACAAGGAAACACAUCCCACAGUGCUUGAAGGGUCCCAAGCAUCCCAGCUUGCAUCAGAAAGAUUGACACUCCUCUACUUUUCACCUGCAAUCAAAAUAAUGGAAAAUCAAAGUUUGACAACUCGCCAAUAUGCACAAGCAAGAGCAGAAGAGAAAAAAGAUAAUUGCAGCUUACAUAUUCAAACUCAGCUUUUCCUUCCCACUCUUUGAACUCAAAUGUGUGCUCACGAGAUAAAAGAUACUAGUCCCAUGUCACGCAGUAUGGGGUUGCAAAGACAUAAAUAUCCAUACACGUCCAGCUAUGGGCUUUGCUCACCUGGAUGAGCAAUCCAAACUCAUGGUUACAAGCCGGAUACCUACAACUAGUUGUUAGUUUCCAUAUUCAGCAGAACUAGAUGCAAAAACAAGGACUAUGAAGCAUCAACACGAGGCAGUACCCACCCAAACUGGAAUAGCCUCCAUAAGAUAAUUUGAUUUUACAUCAAACGAAACAAUUGUACUUGUAUGAGCAACCAAAUCACUAAAUCCUUCUUCAACCACUUAAAACCUAGACACAAAAGACUCAAGUGACCAACCAUGGUACCAAUUCGUGGAGCUUAAUCAAAGUACAAACAAGCAGAUGAAAGGAGAAGGAAGAAAAAAACUUAGCUAGUGACGAAAUCCACUAGAAACAUAUUGAAGUAAGAACUGAAAAAUUCCAUCACUCAGAUUCCAACAUAAAUAGCAGAUGAGAAAAGAGAACAGUUGGGAUCAAGUGGCAUGGGCCCAAACAUCGAAAGGAUAUUCUCUAACGUCCUUUNNNNNNNNNNNNNNNNNNNNNNNNNNNNNNNNNNNNNNNNNNNNNNNNNNNNNNNNNNNNNNNNNNNNNNNNNNNNNNNNNNNNNNNNNNNNNNNNNNNNAGUGAUUUUCUUUCACAACUCUAUAGAUAAGUAUGACGCACACUUCAGUUGGUAAGAAAAAUUCGUAAGUAGAUAGAAACUCUAUCCAGUUUAGAGCUUUGAAUCCAUUAGAAAAAAUCGACCUCAAAUUAACUAAAAUAGAAGCUCAAACUAAGUUAAUCGGAAACUGGGAAAAGCUGCCCAAACGAUGGCCAUUAGACCCCAUCAAACAAACUCCUACAACCUCACAUCUCCUAGAAUUAUCACACAAUCCGAACUGCAGUGAAUUGAAUUAAGCACUAACAUUCGACCAGAGAACCUUAAAAGCUCGUGAACAGUGACUGUCUCUGCACAUUACCAAGCCGCCACAAGCUCAAGCAUCCCAAAAUCUUCCAGAAUCGCACUCAAACACAAGUAUUUCCAUUCCAUCCCGUUCCCCACUAUUCACCAAACAAAAAACAAGACUUGGAAUCAUCACUCCAGUCCAUUCCUUUCCCCAUCAUUUCCCGAUUUCAUUCCAUUCCACCGUACCAAACCCAACGUAAUAGUCAACUAGAAAACCUCAUCUUCCAGAAUGGCACUCAAAACCAAACGGAGACCAAGCAAAAGCGACGCGAUAAAACUAAAGAACGGACCUUAAUGUGAGGCGUGCCUCCGCCGAACUUGCUCCCGGUGUUGUUGUGGAACUCCAACCAAGCGGUCGGAGGAAAAAACGGUGCCGACGAAGGCGGGCAACAGGUCCAGGGGACGGCGAAGGGCGUUGAGGAUGGGCCAGGACAGCUGCUUCGGCAAUAGAUGGAGUAUGUUCUCCAUGGUGGAAUGGUGGUUUCGCGGCUCGAGAGCGCGGGUUGAGCAGAGAGGAGAACGUGAAGAGGAAGAGAAGCAGCAGAAAUUGGCUGACGAGAAGCCAUUGAAAUUGCGAGAGAGAGAGAGUCACCUCUCCAGCGACGGUCCACUUCUUUUUAGUGUCUCGCGCUACACUAUAAAAGGUGUAGGGGUAAGAGGAGCCACUCGUUUUGAUUACAUCCUUGGACGCUUGGUAAUUUAGGGUGCUUAACCAGUUAAAUGAAACAUUAAAGCAUAAUCGGGGCUGAAAAUAUUCUGUAUUCUUAUAUUAUGUAUUAAUGUUGGCAAAAAUCUUAAAUUAUAUCCAUCGUGACAUUAAUGUCUCGAAUUAGUAUUGAUUUCGUGGCGAACAAAAGUUAAGAUUUUUAGAGACAAGCUAGAGGUAUUUCCACUUCAAAUAUAAGUUUUAAGUGUAAAGAAGGGCGAUUAGAAGUCUCCAUGGAGGACCUAACCCUAUGGGAAGAUAUAUUGCUUACCCACCCCCUUGUAGCUUACCGUCAAACUACGGCCAUUGAUAGCUUCAAAUUGGCUUAUAUUGCCUAUCCCUCACCCUCUUAUAUUGCCUCAACAACUUUCACUACACCGCCCUCUCAGGACUUAGUUAACAUCAAGAGUAUCCUUUUAUUUAUAUGUUGUCAGUACGAACUUGACAUUUAGCUUGAUUUCGCAAUAACCAUGCAAUCUUCCUUGUUGCUAAAUUGUGUCUUGAGUUUGAGCCGAAUCCACACCUUAUUGCUCAAAGUCACGCACGAAAUGCAAUGCGCACACAAGUCUUGGACCUUUUUUCUCUACUUCAUUAAUGCUAUGCUUGCACGAAUCUCCUCCUGUGUCCCCUUAUCAUUUUAUCUUCUUUUUUUGGUUCGAAUCCCCUUUUGUCAUUGAAGGAGCUGAACGUCCAUUUUUCGCCCUCACUCCACAGCGCUCCCUAUUUCGGAUUCUCGCUCGAUCAGCGAAAUGAGAAAACUUGGCGCCGAAGUGGACGUCGGAAAUGGCGGUGAUGGCGACGUUCUUGAGGCCUAGCCUCAAUAUUCGAGUGGAAUUGAGAGGGUGCUUCCAUUCCAGACAGUGGUGGAGAACUGUGACGCUCACGGGGUGAUCGAGACCCCGGAGAUUGGAUCCGAGCACAGAGGCACGUGAGUCGUUUUCGCGUUUUCAUGGAACAGGGGUGGACGUUGGUGAUCUGGAUGGGGAAAGGAUGGAGCUUGAGGAGGAUGGUCAGGGACGCGUAUAGAAACGGACUCGACUUAGGGUUCAAGAACGGGUUUACAAAUGGGAUUCAGGUUGCGAAAUGGACCUGCAUCUUUCUAGGAUGGAGAAGUUUUUUCCAGAAAUUGUGAGACGAUUUCGGGAAUUUGAAAGAAACGAGAAGGACCAGAGCACAGGGCAAUUUUAAUUUAUUUUGGCCAAACGUUCGAGCAAUAGUUUCGAAUUACUAAGGAGUAUAUAUAAAUUUCAGCACGGUGACCUCUUUGGUUCAGAUCGGAAAAGUAGUGUGGGGGUGGUGUCUCGCCGCCCUCUAGCGAUACACAAGGGCCUGGCAGUGCAACGUUGUGGGCUUAGUAGGGCUUUUAGGGCUUAUUUGCCGGAUAUUCAUCGAUUUCUGGCCGAAUACAUGGCAACAACCAACGGCGGAGGUUGUUCUCAUGGGACAGCCACAGCCAUGGUCGCCGUCCCCUGAAAUGAUUAAGUUAAACAAUUUGUCAAAUUGCUUAAUUCAACAAUUUCGCACUCAACAGUGUCGACUUCGUAACUCACUUUCUCUGAUGAAAAAUGACCAAUAUCAUGCGUUUAAACCACAGUAGGCAUCGGCUAAGAUCAAAACGUUCAGAUUCAGCCGCAACAAGUCAACGAUGAGGCCCUUGAAAGACUUCUAUCCUUCCAAAGUCUUUUCUUGACUUAGGCAAUUCCAUUUGUUUCUUCACAUACUUGUUCAAGUUUUUGGGUUAGACUGUCAUGUGCUGAUGACUUAAUUAUUGCGUGAUUAUAUUAUUAAACUAAAUAAUUUGAUAGAUUAUGAUUGAUCUUAUUAAGCCAACUGCAUUUGAUAUUUUCACGUUAUUUGGCAUACAAAAUGUCGAUAUAAAUAGUAUAAUUCUAGGGGCUAAAAUUGUAAUUGACUCAAAGGCGAACGCGUAUUUGUGAGUAAUACCGUCAAACUCCUUUUGAGAUUCUCCUUCCAAGGCAUGUUCUCCUACUUAGAUAACUCGAUCAGUUUCCUCUUUUUUUCAAUAAUAUAAUUUAAUUUCCCUUUAUUAAUUUUCUCUAUUUAAAUCUAGUGUAUUUCUCUACUAGUGUUUUCGCUCCUGGUGAAAUAAGGGGAUUAAAUUUAUUUGGUCGGUUAACUAUCAACGUCAAUUAAGAUUUAAUUUCUUUCUAUCUCUUUUUGUAAAUAUUUAUACACAAAAUUCUUAUUGUGUAUUUUUGUCAAUAAAUUAUUUUCAUGAUUUAAUAAUUCAUAUAUUUUACCAAAAAAAUUAUUUAAAUUAAUUUUUUAAAUACCAAUUGUUCCCACACACAUAAUGCAUAGCGGGUGAUAAAUAAAAAGCAGAAGAUCCUCAUAGGAGAAAAGGAGCCCGCGUAUAGCACGAUUUCAUUCUCUAGAAUUAAUUAUUUUCUUAAGAAGGUAUUUCACAAUUUCCAAGUUGUCUUUGAAUUAAUCGAGUCUUUCUUAAAUAUCAAUCUACAUAUUGGCUUUCUAAUUGUUGAAUGGGUUUAGUACCCAUGGAUAAUAAGUAAUGCUACAAAGACCUUAGAAGACAAAAAGGAUUUUCACCCUAUAUGAUGUCAUGUGUUCUCAUCGCCCUAAGAACAUAUGUUAGCUUGUCAUACUAUCUAAUGGGCUAGGAUGCAAAAGUCACAAUAUAGCCGUAUGUAGUAUGGCCAUUAAAAAUGCAGAAUAAACAUGGUUUCUUUUUAUUAUUAUUUUUUUUUUACGAAUAAAGUGAUUCAUUUAUUCAAAAGCAUAUUGGAAAUAUAUGACAUGAAUGAUUUAAAAAGUAAAGAAAAAGAAAUUCCUUGAAAUUUUGUAAAGUCGGAGGUGCUGCUCAAAUCGAGGAGUGCGGGUGGUCCCAGCAAAGUGACGUUAAUGUACAAGAAACAAAAGGUAGGAAAAGUAAUAAGAGCAACGUGCAGAAACGACGACGGCUUGGCGUGGAACGAGCAUGGCUUUAAGCAAACACAGAAGCGGCGCAUCUCUCGAUAUUUUGAUGUCGCCUAUUCUUCCUCUUCUUCUUCUUUUUUUUAAACUGAUAAGGCUGCUCCGGAGCCUCUCUUCAUUUUCGUUUUUUUUGUUUGUUUUUUCCUCCUCAUUUUUCCAACCACAUCCUCACCAUAACGCGCCUUCUCUCUUUUGUCCCCUAGCUCUCCCCACUUUCUUUCGCCCGACUCUCUCUUCUUGUCUUGCUUUCUUUUUUGGGUUCCCCGCCCAAACCCUUAAUGAAAGAUUAAUUGCUGUUUAGUAUUUGUUGACGCCUCAAAUUUUAAUUAAGUUUAUUUUAUCUUAUUAAUUAAUUUUUUAUUUUAUUUAUCUUGUCUUUUUUCGAAAUAAAAACAGCAAAGCAAAGCAAAGCAAAAGAAAAAAAAAAGAAAAAAAAAAAAGAGCAGCCUUUGUAUGGGCCCUCGGCCCAUUUCGUCUCAGCCCAGCCCCCCCCACUUCUUCUUCUUCCUCGCGCAGUUGCAGUGCACAAGCAGAGGGCGCGACGCCGGAGCGGAGGGGAGGAGCAACAAUGGCGCACGUGGAGCAGGGGGCGGCUGGCGUCGGAUAAGAACGUGGGAGGGGCAGCUGGCGUCGGAUGGGACGCCGGUUCGGCCGGCGGAGGCCGCUUGGCGCACGGGGACCGGCGGUCGAAGCUCCGUCGACCGGCUGCUCCCUCGCCUAUAAAUAGGCCCCCGUUUCCGUUGUCGAAGGGGCACGCCAGAAGAUCGCAAGCUUGGAAACUUCUUCCUGAGAGACUUCGGAGGAGGUUGAAGGGCGAGCGAGAGAGAACUCGGGUCGCGAGUUCGGCUGACCUCCCACUGAGAGACUUCGGGGGAGGCUGCCGGCGAGCGAGUCCGAGGUGGUCAGAUCCGGCCGGUGGAGGCUCGGAUCUGGCCGGAAGAGAGAGAGGCCUGCGAGCUCCGAGAGAUCCCCUGAGAGACUUCGGGGAACUCAAAGAGCGAGCAACGACCUCCCUCCGAGAGACUUCGGGGGAGGCCGGCGGCGAGCGAACCCGGAUCUGCGAGAACUCGAGAGCGGAGAGAGGAGAGAGAUCGAAGCCGCGAGCAUUCAAGCUUCCCCCGAGAGACUUCAGGGGAGGCUCGACGCUCGCGAGCCCAGAUCAAAGGGAGGGAGCAGAGUUCGGGCACCCUCCGCCGUCGUAGCCGCCGCCGUCGCCACCGUUCGCCGUUCAAGCUGCCGUUCACGGACAGGUAGUGCUACCGCCGCCGCCGCCGUCGCCGUCGCCGUCGCCGUCGCCAUAGCCUCCCCCCCCUCUCCACAGUUCAACCGCCGUCGCCGCCGUCACCGUCGUCCCCGCGGUUGUGCCUCGGCCCUCUCCCCCCUCGGCGCCGCGGAUUCGCAAACCCUAGAUUUCCGGGUCACGAAGCGGAUCCGGGUUUGGAAAGCGGGUAGGGUUUUCGCGAUUUAAGGGGCGGCGGAAACCGGGUCGGGAGUUGGGUCGGACCCGGGUAGGGUUUCGCUAGGAACCCGGGUCGUCGGGCCGGGCCGGGCGUCCCCAAACGCCCGACCACGGCGUCGUUUAAAAAAAAAAAAACGAUGAAAAAUCUGACUCGGGCCCGCGUUUGGGUCGCCGACCCGGGUCGGACCCAACCCGCGGAUCCGACCCGGGUCGGUUUUAUUUUGUUAUUUUAAUAUAAAAUAAUAAAUAUUUUAUUUUCAAAAAAAAAAUCAAAAAAUGUUUUAUUUUCAAAAAAUAUUUAAAAAUGUUUUAAUUUCCAGAAAAUCAAAAAUAUUUAAAAAAUAUUUAAAAAAUGUCGAAAAAUGUUUUAUUUUCUAAAAAAUCGUGAAAAAUCAAAAAUAAUUUAUUUUCCAAAAUAUUUUGAAAAAUAAUAAAAAAUAUUUUAUUUUCCAAAAAAGAAAAUUAAAAAUAUGCCAAAAAUCCAAAAAAAACCAAAAAUUCAUGAAAAAACAAAAAAAAAAAUUCAGAAAAGCCAAAAAGACAUGUGUUUUUCAAAAAAAAAAACCCAAAAAAUCCCUUUUGCGUCCAAAAAUAAAAAAAUGACUCAAAAAAUGUUUUUCCUCCAAAAAAUGCAUGGAAAAUCUCUCAAACAUCCAAAAAAGCCUUAGAAUCCUUAGGGUUUAAACAAAGAUUAAGUACCGAAAGGGCAUUAGUGAUUAACUAAUGUAAUCAAGUCCCCGAUCCUAAUUUCUCUAGUUACGCAGGAGCGAGUAUUUCUCCCGAUACUUCGCUUGGGUUUUUAAUCGACCCACUCCAAAUCGAUUAGUGGCGACUUCAUUUUAAAAAUUGAUUUAUAGGUUAAAAACUCAAACUAUUAAAGUCGUGAAUUGAUGAACUUGGGAGAGUAUGGGCAUAAUUAAAAUUAGCCGAGCCAUUAGCCUUCUUUUUUUGGUUCCCCGCCCAAACCCUUAAUGAAGAUUAAUUGCUGUUUAGUAUUCCAAAGUCCAGCGUUAUCGGGCCCCAUCAUCGACCUAUCAAGUUCGCUAAACUCAGUCAUCAAUGGACUGACUAUUUUUGUUUGAACACGAGCUGCACCAACAUGACAAGAAAAAGGAAAAUAAAAACUUAGGCAAGGGCUCAUUGAUUUCUAACACUUGAUCAUACAAAUUUUUGAAAAGAAAUUUUAAUAUCAUUGCUUUGAGGAUGGACGCACUCUCAACAAGUGAACUCGCGUGAUCAAAUUCAGUAAUACGACAGAAUCAUCUCAAAGAUUUAAGUUUAAUAGUUAUUUUAUACGGCGAUCAUCAUAGGAAUGUGGCAAUUUCGAGCGCCUGCAAUGCGAUGUCUUGAUGUAUCAUAGGAAUGUUAUCUAGAUAUACAAACGGCAAAGGAGCAACAACAUAUCGGCAAUGACUUGGGUAGUAAUGAUGCAUCUAUGAGGCCUAUCCUUAUUCGAUUUUUUUUCUAUUUGUUUUUGUUCAUGUUUUCUUUCUCAAACCACUCUAAUAUGAAUUAAAUAGUAGAUAUCUUAAUAUAAAAUCAACAAUAGAAUUCUCCGUUUCGUUUUGGAACUCAUCGAAUGAGACUUUUUCUCUAAUUUUUUUACUAAUCCAUUUAGAUUACAUUUUAUAUUAUCACUAAAGUUUUAUUGUAAUUUAACUUGUUGUUAUAUCAUCCAUAGAAUAAUCAUAUUAUCGAUAUUGUAGAAAACAGAUAAAUAAAAUCAAACAAAAUCGAAAUGCUCAUUAGACCAUAGAAUAAUCAUAUUAUCGAUAUUGUAGAAAACAGAAAUUUUAAUGAUUUUUAACUACUAACUAAAAUAUGUAAUGUGUUUCUAGCUAGUAUCUCGUUCUGUUUUCUUCUCACCCCCUAGCUCUAUCCGCAAUGAUCGAGCCGUGAUCAUGUGAAUGCUUGACUAAAGCCUCCCUUCAGCCGCGUUUUUUCCUGCUUUUUAUGUCCCUACUUUUUUCAGUAAAUCUUUGCCCAAGAUAUGGUCCAUUAUGAGGGGGUGCUGGUUUUUCUAUGUCGCGUCCGCUUCUGAACCACCUUUUUGAACCAGAAUUCCACGAUUUCUGGCCUCCCUUUCCCUGUUUCUGUUCCUUCGUGCGUUUUCACGCUGCUAAUUUCCUUCAUUCACACCCCGCGGGAAUGCCGUGUGGAAACUGGAAAGUAGCCUCCAGUCGACCAUUUCGGUCAGCCAGAAGGAGGGAGCGGAGAGGACUUUUAUUUGGAGAGCAGGCUGCGUCCAAAACUUCCAUAAGAAUUAUCAUUUAAAUUCACUGCGGAAAAUUUAGGGUUAGAUCGUGUAAGGUUGGUUCAUAAGAAUUCACAAUCAGGAAUGCAAUGGAGAGAGAGAGAGAGAGAGAGAUUUAUGGGAUUAUGAAUGUAUUUUUAUUAGGAGUCAAAUUAUCAGUGAAUUUGAUCGUUAAAUUUCAUUAAAAUGCGAAUGAGACCUUUAAACGGAAAUUUAUGUAUCAACAAUAAUUAAUCUUACAAAUUAGUAAGUAAUUGUUUCUCGUUAAAUCAUCCCUUAGUUGAAUUUUUUUUUCUUUUUAGUCUAAAGAUCUAAAUUGCAUACAAAAUUGGUCUUGUGAAUUCAUUAGUAUAGGUAAUAUUCUAAAUUUGAGUCAAUAUUUAUGCAAAGUAAAUAAGCAGCAGUACUCACGAAGAUUUUCCUAUUGAUUUCUAGAGGCAAAAAAGAGCAAUGCUAUGCAUAAGAGAACUGGAUAUUUAUAUAUAUUAAGAUGGAUAGAAAAUGAUAAGGAAAAUAGUGCGGUAGCUCUCUUAAGAAAAUUUUGUUUUUAAUUUUUCAUUUUCCUUGGAAAGUCUAGAGAAUUUGGCAAUUAAGUAAACCAUAGUUUAACAUUCCAUAAUAAUUUUCCACCUCAUUCGGUGCACUAAUUUUUUUAUAUAUUUACAUAUUUAGCACCAUUUCGGGCAAGACAAAGAAAGAUAAGUAGGCUCAAAAGUUUAUCGGGUGCACGUUCGCAUGAGUUUCCUCGUGGUUAAAGCUGAAAUUGGCUCAAAGGCGAACGCGUGUUCUUGAGUAACACUGUCCCACUCCCUUUGAUGACGAUGACAUCAGAGACAAUUACCCGACACUAUUGAAAAGAGAGAGAGAGAGAGAGAGGGGGGGAAGAGGUCUUAUCGUGGCUUCCAAAAGAGGCCACUUGAAAUCUCUUAAAAAAAGUGAAAGUUAUGCGAGGUGGAGUAUAAAUAGACAAAUUGCUCAUUAUUUUUGUUAAUAGAUUAUUGUCUAGAAAUGAAAAAGAAAAAAAAAAGAUGUAAAUAGUGAAGCAAUGAGGCAGCAAUAAAAUAGGAAACUUGUCAACCCCCAUGCAUUAUAUUAAAUUAAAAUAUUAUUAAGUCCAUUGUCGGUCUAGAAAAUAAUUUGCACAUUCCCGAUUAAGAGUUGACACGUGAAAUAAUUCACUGGCAAAAGCAACUUCAAACACAUAUGUCACUCAUUCACGAUAAAUGUGUAUUGAGGUUUUAACAUUGAUUAUGCUUCCAACAAUAAUCCAUUAAAUUACUAGGUUUUUCGGCUAACAAUUUUUCUAUAUUUAGUUUAAAAUAUUAAAAUAAUAAGACCAAACAGAUAAUAUAUUCGGAUGUUCAAAAUUUUUACCCAUGGGUUAAUUAGGAAUGCCAACUAUUUAAUAAAAUAUUCAAAAUAUUAUUAUUUCAUAGUAUCUAGAGAAUGAAAAUAAAUAAAUAAAAAAAGUCAAAGUCAUGCGAGGGUGAAAUAAAAGCAAUCAAAUCAUUAAAGAGAGAAAAAUCAUUUUUAUUUAUUAUAGUAAUAGGUUAUAGUGUAGAAUGAAAACGAAAAAAAUAUAAAUAAAAGAAAGGGUAAAAGCAUGCGACGACACCUAUCUAAUGUGCCAUUGCUCCAGGAGGCCUCCACGUAGCACCCGAGUUGUCUAUUCCACCGUCCAUCUCGCCGACACGACGGACGGGAAAAAAACCCACGCCGGACCCCCCCCCCCCACCCCCGAAACGGCACAUGUUGGUGUCAGCGGGAGCGUCGGACCGGGCCCCGCCCCGGUUCACGAGGAUCGCCACCGAUGACGUGGACAUGUCGAGAAGGGGGGCAGGAUCAAAGCAACGGACGGCUUGGAGGUGUGGUCGUUCGGCUUGUCGUACGCCUGGCCAUGUGAUCACAUGAAUCGGGCGUACUACGGUCAGGGGGAACAAGGGGAGAGGGUGGGGCCCGUUGGGCCGGGGAAUGUAGUUAGGCCAUGAUGAUGGACGGCUGGAUGGACGCGUGGUCGUUCGGCUUGUCGUACGCUUGGCCAUGCCAUAAGUCGGGGAUUUCUCGGGGUACGGUCAGGGGGAACAAGGGGAGUGUGAAUGUGAAAAUCGAUCCCCAAUGAACACAAUCAACGCCUCCUGACCCAGCAUCUAGGGGGGAGAAGGUUGUCAUUGGUGAUUAGGCCUUGUAAAUUGGUAUUUUCAUGGUUUGAUUUUAAUUUGAUAAAUUUACCUAUACAAAAGUGCUAAAAUAAUCUAAGCGGGGAGAUCAACCAUAGUCCAACAGAGACCAAUAUUAGUUUGACGUGAUAUUGCUAUGGUUGUUACGUUUGUUGUCCGACAAUGAUAUAACGUGCGAUUAUGUUUGUGACUACGGACUUCUGUAUUGAGUUGUGAUUUACGUGCUUUUUCUAGCGGUAAAAUAUAACAUAUUUGUAACUUUUAACAAGGUCGCUAAUUCUGUUAAAAAAAAAACAGGGUCGUUGAUUAGAAUUCGAUACUUUGACCAAGUCCAAGUCUCUCCCUUUCUCUCACACAUAGAAACAUGAUGAAAUGAUAAACGACGGAGACGUUUCUUGCGCGUGUUCUAAGCAAGUGUGCUGUUUUCUCUUAUGGCAGAGUCCCUCUCGAUUCUUCACCAAAACCUGUUCAUUCCCAUUUCCAGCAGCAGUUGAAUGCCCUUGUUCCUCUAGGAAUUGGGUUUCCGCCUUUGAAAGAAGAUGAGAAAGAAGUAGUCGAGAGAAGAGGAGAAGAGAAUUUUCUUUGUAUUAUGUAUAUCAUUCAAUGUACAAUGUCUACUAUGUUUAUAAUACAAAAUGUGUAUAAGAAAAGCAAGUAAAUAUUUUACAAUUUGGAUCCGAUUAGAUCCGAUACUAAAUGAUCGUGAUUGAUCUUGAAUGAUGUUGUGAAUCUUCAUGUGUAUCUUCUAACAAUCCCACUCAAGUUGAUGGCUUGUAAAUAUCCGAGAUGCCUAGCUUGCUUAGAAGAUACGCGUGCUGGCUUUGACACAAGGGUUUAGCGAAGACGUCCGCUGGUUGCUCUUCUGUUCGGAUCCCCAGUGUCUCGAUUAUCCCUUGUUGGAUCUUUUCUCGUGCAAAAUGGCAGUCCACCUCUAUGUGUUUCGUUCUUUCAUGAACUAUUAGGUUUGAGGCAAGUUUGAGGGCCGCAUCAUUAUCCCAAAACAAUUUGGUUGGCCCUUCAACUUGUACCCCAAGAUCUCGAAGAAAUCCACGUAGCCACACUACCUCACAUGUGGUCUUUGCCAUGGCUCGAUAUUCCGCUUUUGCUGAGGAUAAUGAAACAGUCGGUUGCUUCUUUAUCUUCCAUGAAAGUAAAGAAUCCCCUAACUUGAUACAGAAACUUGUUAUGGACCUUCUGCUCAUCGAACAUGUCGCAUAAUCUGCAUCACAAUAUGCAGUCAUCCUCAUAUCACAUUUCUUGGAGAGGAGAAUCCCAAGACCUGGACAUUUCUUCAAAUAUUUUACCACUUUGAGUGUUGCAUUCAUGUGGGACUGCUUUUGAUUGUGCAUGAACGACUAGGAGUUUGCACAGCAUAACUGAUAUCCGGCCUGGUUAUAGUUAAAUAUAUGAGUUUCCUAACAAGUUUCUGAUAAGUCAUUGGAUCCUCAAUGUAGGAUCGGGUUCUUAAGAGAUUCCAGUAUCAUACUCUGCUGUGGUCAAUUUGAUAUUUUGCUUGAUUGGAAUUACAACCGGCUUACAUCCUGACAGUCCGACUUCUGAUAUGAUUUCUAAGGCAAAUUUUCUCUGGUUGAGAGAUAUUCCUUGGUCUUAACUAACUGGACAAGCAGCUUACUGCUCUUUGAAGGGAAGUCUAAACUGGAUGGCUGCAGAGGUACUCUGAUUUUGUGAAUGUUAAUGCUACAUUCCUUUUUUUUAACAUGGUGGAAUGAUGUAGUCUAUCCUGCGGCUCAUACAAUCCUUGAUGGCAUAUGAUUACAGCACAGAUCUCAAUCGUACUGCUAACAUCUGAAGUUUGGGAAGUACUAUUUACAGGAAACCUCCUUGGAGCGAGUAUGAGCGGGNNNNNNNNNNNNNNNNNNNNNNNNNNNNNNNNNNNNNNNNNNNNNNNNNNNNNNNNNNNNNNNNNNNNNNNNNNNNNNNNNNNNNNNNNNNNNNNNNNNNUUUUCUCUGUUUGUCCUUCCAAGUAAUAUGCUUCUAACCAAAUAUGUGUCACCGUUUUCUGUUGGAAGUUCGGGACUGUGCAUAUUACCAUUUGUUAUGUGAUAUGUGUCUUUAUUUUCUAUUUAAGGUUUAAUCAUUAAUGUAGGGUCAAGCUAUAUUUAAGGUGAUGCAAAGUUCUCCACCAAUACCUAAGACGUUAUCUGCUGAGGGAAAGGAUUUCCUGCAGUGCUGCUUUUGAAGAGAGCCUGCCGAGAGGCCUUCAGUUGUUAUGCUACUUGAGCAUGCUUUCUUGCAAAUUUGAAGUGAUGACUGACUUAUUUCGAGUGCCAUACCUUGUUGCAAAAGUGAUGUCGUACUAUAAAGUUCCAGAUUUGCUAAACCAAAAGUAUCAUGAGGUCCAUAGGUGUGAUGAAGUACUUGUCUAUCGACAAAAUUAAAUGCAUGUCUGAGAGGUGGCAUACUUUGAUCUAGGAAAUUUGACAGUAUUGCCUAAUCUAAGCGGAGAUCUAGGCAAUUUGAAAGUCUUGCCUAAUCUAAACAUUUUACUAUGGAGUGCAUUCUUAUCAUAGACAUUUUGUCUAUUACUUUAAUUUCAUCAAAAUUGAAUGGUAUUGAUAUGGCUCCAAGUAAGCAACAAAUCGGCAAAACACAAGCAAGAAACCCAGAAAAGAAAAAGGAGAAAGAAAAUCCAAGUGAUGAUGCAUCAGAAUCCCUGAAAUAAUUUUGGAAGCAAGUACUCCGUCGAUUUGGUUGGGGGAACAUUGGCAGGUUUGGCAAACCUGCAGUAUCUUAGGAUUGGGGAAGUGAAGAGAAGAGUAGCAAAGUUAUGGGCAUCGGAGGCUCUUGAUUCUUCCUUUAAGAAUGUCGAUCUCAACAAAUACAUGAGAUUUCUCCAACUAGAGUGGCUCUCAUCUCCAUCACCAAAUUCCGGAGAGUUAAGAAAAGCCAUUGGGUGUCUGUGGAUGUAAAUGAUGAUGAUUCAAGAUUUGUGACUUCCGAAAGGAGAAUUGACGUUGAUUGUUGCAAAUAGCUCGUGACUUGUGUCUAUAUUUCAUCUUGUGUCUAUGAAAUGCAAAUAGCCCAUGAAUUUUGUUUAAAAUAUCUCACGUCGUUCAUUUACGAGAUUUUAAUGGGCCUAAUAUUUAUUUAAUUUCCCUUCAACUAUUUGUUCAAAUUUUUGGGUUGGACUUCCUCAUGCGUGCGUGAUGGCGUUAUUGCACGAGUAUAUUGCGUUAUCUACUCAUCACCAAUACAUCGCAAGAUUCAUCGUGACAGGAGCUUUUGCUCAUGGGGCUAUGAAAAAGUUAAGUGCUAAAAAAUAUCAACUCUAUAUUUUUGAUGAUAUACUAAACAAUUUGAAAGACUAUGAUUGGCCUUAGUAAGUAAGUCACAUUUUACAUUUUCACGUUAUUUGGCACACAAAAUGUCGAUAUAAUUAGUAUUAAUUCAGGGGCCGUAAUUGUAAUUGGCUCAAAGGUGAGUGCAUCUUCAUGAGUAAUACCGGCAAACUCCUUUUGAGAUUAUCCUUCCUAGGGCAUGUUCUCCUACUUAGAUAACCUGAUAAUUUUCCUCUUUUUUCGAAUAGUAUAAUUUAAUUUCCCUUUAUUAAUUUCCUCUCUCUAGAUUAGUGCAUCUCUCUACUCGUGCGUUCGUUCCUGGUGAAAUAAGGGGAUUAAAUUAAUUUUGUCGGCUAACUGUCAACAUCAAUUAAGCUUUCUCUCUCUCUCUUCAUAAAUACUAAUACACACAUCUCUUACUGUGUAUUUUUAUCAAUAAUUUCUUUUCAUUAUUUAAUAAUUCAAAUAUUUUAUAAACAAAGACUUGAAUUAAAAUUUGUAAAAAUUUGUAAAUACCAAAUGUUCCCACACGCAUAACGUGUGUAUCGGGUGAUAAUAAAAAGAGGAAGAUCCCCAUUGGAGAAAAGAGGUCCAGAUAUAUUAAUACGGUUUCAUUCUCUAGGAUCAAUUAUUUUCUUGGGAAGGUAGUUCGCGAUUUUCGAAUUGUCUUUGAGUUGACCGGGUCUUAAGCGACUUUUUUUUCUUAUGACUCUCGCCUGCAUUUGGACUCUUAUCUCCAUUUUCGUUUUCUUUUGUUCUUUUACCAAACCCUAACCAUAAUGCUCCUUUUCUUUUUUGUCCCUUUGUUCUCGCCCUUUUCUUUCGUACAACUCGCUCUUCUUUUCCAGCUGUUCUUUUUUUCUUUUCUUUUUUUCGGUUCUCUGCCCAAACCCUUAAUGAAGACUAAUUGGUGUACGAUGAUAUUGAGCGCCAUCGUCGACCGAUCAAGUUCGCUAAACUCAAGUCAUCAACGGACUGACUAUCCUUGUUUGAACAGGAGCUUCCACCAGCGUGGCAGGAAAAUGAAAGCAAAAACUCAAGCAAGAACUCAUUGAUUUUCUAAGAUUUGGUCAUAAGUAUCGAUGAAAAGAAACUUUAAUACUGCUGCUCCGAGAAUGGAAGCACUCCCAACAAGAAAACCCAAGUGAUCGAAUUCAAUUCACGGCGGAUGAUGCGAGUUUAACAGUCAUUCUCUACGACAAUCACAAUAGCGAUGCAGUAAUUUUGAACUCCCCAGUGAGAUGUCUCUUGAUGCGGCAGAGGAAUCCGAUCUAUUACUUUUUUAUAUCAUCACUAAAAUUUUGUUACAUAAUUUAAUUUACAAUUGUAUCAUCUACAUGAAAAUUUGAAAUACGAUCUAACUAAACGGAAUAAAUCGAAUCUCACUAAAUCGAAAUGUUAAACAGAAAAUAGAAUGCCCAGAUGAGAAUCUGACUUGACAGUCUAGAAAAAAACUGGAAUUCUUUCUGAUAAAUCUUUAAGUUCUAACUAAAACAUGUACUGUGUUUCUAGCUGAUGUCUACUUCUGUUUUCCUUUCUUGCCGACUAGCUCUAUACGUAAGGACCGGGUCGUGAUGGUGUGAAUGCUUCGCCGGGGAGUCUCGACUAAAAGCAGCCUCCCUCCGACCGGGAUUCUCCUGCUUUUCACCUUUUGCUUUUCACACUAAAUCUUUGCUGAAGAUAUGGUCAUUCAUCGUGAGGGUGUGCUGCAAUUUCUCCGCUGCCGUGUCCUUCUUGACCACGCUCUUCUCCUCAUCAGAGCAAUCUCCACCGAAGCCCACCGACAGUUCCACUUGCGCUCUUCUUUUAUUUCAAGUCUUUUUCAACUUUCUCUGCUUUCGGUUCCGCAUGGCCCGACCAUGUCCCCUCGUCCUUGUCUCGGUGUUCAGUUAGUCGACACGUUUCCACCGUAUCGUGUCUCACGAGAAUUUGCUCUCCAUUUUUGCAGAAUUUCAGCUCUUCCCUUUCUGUUCCUUUUUUGUGUUUUCACACUUCUAUUUCCCUUCCUUCGCACUCGCACGAAUGCCGUGUCGAAAGUGAACUCAAGUUGACCAUUUCGGUUCACAAAAAUUCGCAAUUUUAUUGGAAACGGUCUGUAAUUUUAUAUGCGAAAGAAUGCAAUAGAGAUUGAGAAUGCGAGAUUACAAAUGCUUUUUUCUUAAUAAGGGGUCAAAUUAUCAGUGAAUUUGAUUGCUGAAUUUCAUGAGAAUGCGGAUAGGACCUUUAGGUGAAAAUCAGUGUCAACAAUAAUUUUCCUCAUAAGUUAGUAAGUUGUUAUUUUCUCUUUAAAUCAUCCCUUCAUUGAUUUUUUUUUUCUUUUUGUCUAAAGAUCCAAACUGGAUGCGAAAUUGAUCUCGUAAAUUAAUUAGUGUAUGUAAAAAAAGAAAAGAAAAGAAAAGAAGAAGAUGAUGUUUUUAUAAUAACUAUAAUAAAUUUGCAUGGAGCACUCCUAUUUUAAUCAAGCUUGCUUUGUUUGAUUAAACUAAACCAGGGUCAUCAAGAAAAACAGCUCUAGUGCGAACGUCCCGAUCGGCUGGAUUCAAUGUUGAUUUAUUUAAAGUAAAGCGAGUUUAAUGUCGCCGUCGCGAUCGUGACCAACUUCGAUUGUGCGCCUUUUCUCUUUUGUCCCCUAGCUCUCCCACUUUUCUUAUGCCCAACUCUCUCUUCCUUUGUUGCUUUCUUUUUCGUUCUGCGCAAACCCUUAGUGAAGACUAAUUGGUGUUUAGUUUUCCAAAGCGGGGCAUUAUGGAGCACCAUCAUUGACCCAUCAGGUUCGCUAAGCUCAGUCAUCAAUUAACUAACUAUUCUUGAUUUGAUUGAACAGAAGCUGCACCAACGUGGCAGGAAAAAGAUAAAAUCAGGCGAGAACACAUUAAUUUUCUAAGACUUGGUCAUAAGUAUUGAUGAAAAGAAACUUUAGUACCGCUGCCCUGAAAAUAGAAGCACUCCCAACGAGUGAAUCCGAGUGACAAUUCAAUUAUUUGACGAAAUCAACUCAAUGACGUAAGUUCAAUAGUUACUCUUUACGGUAAUUACGAUAGUCAUGCUACAAUUUUGAGCAUUGCAAUGAGAUGUUUCAUGAUGUAACAAAAGAAGCCAAUUUAGUCGUGCAAAGAGGUGGCAUUACGACCACAACAUCAGCAAUGAUUGGGGCAGCAAUGACACAUCAAUGAGGCCUAAUCUUAGUGGACUUUUUUUUUUCCCUUUUUACGGAUAAAAUAUGAAUUAGAUAAUUGAUCUCUUAAUAAUAAAUAGAUAAUAGGAAAUAUGAUUCUCCAAUUUCUUUUUGAAUUCACCAUAUGGCAUUUUUUUUGCUAUUUUUUUCAUUUACUAAUUCAAUUCUAUUACUUUUUUAUAUAGUCACAUAAGUUUUAUUACAUAAUUUAUUUUACCAUUGUAUCAUUUACAUGGAAAUUCGAAAUACGAUCUAACUAAAUGGAAUAAAUAGAAUCUCGCUAAAUCGAAAUGUUAAACAGAAAAUGGAAUGGCCAGAUUAGAAUCUGACUUGACAUUCUAGAAAAUACAGGAAUUCAUUCUAAUAAUCUUUAACUAGUAACUGAAACAUGUAGUGUGUUUCUAGCUGAUAUCUCGUUCUGUUUUCCUUUCUGUUCCACUAGCUCUACACGCCACGGCCGGGUCGUGACGGUGUGAAUGCUUAGUCGGAGUCUCGACUAAAAGCCUUCCUUCGGCCGGGAUUCUCCUGCUUUUCACACUGGAUCGUUGCUGGAGAUACGGUCAUUCGUCAUGAGGGAGUGCUGCAAUUUCUCCACUACUGUGUCCUUUUCGACCCCAUUAUUGCCCUCAUCAAAGCAAUCCACCGAAGCCCGCCGAAAGUUCCACUUGCGCUCUUCAUUUAUUUUGCGUCUUUUUCGACUUUCUCUGCUUUCGGUUACGCAUGGCUCGACCAUGUCCCCUCGUCCUCAUCUUCGCGUUCAGUUAGUCAACACGUUUCCACCGUAUCGGGUCCCACCAGAAUUUGCUCUCCAUUUUUGCAGAAUUUCAGCUUUCUCUUUCUGUUCCUUCGUGUGUUUUCACACUGCUAUUUCCCUUCCUUCGCACGCGCAGAAAUGCCGUGUUGAAAGUGGCCUCGAGUCGACCAUCUCGGUGAACCGGAAGUAGGGAGCGGGAAGGACCUAGAAUUCCCGUUUAAAUUUACCUCGAAAAUUUCAGGGCUGGGUCGUGUAACAGGUCGGUUCGCAAGAAUUCACAAUGAAAGUUUUCACAAUUUUAAAUGCGAAGGAAUGUAAUAGGGAUCAAGAAUGCGGGAUUACAAAUGUAUUUCUUUUUAUAGGAGAUCAAGGUAUCACUGAAUUUGAUUGCUGAAUCUCAUCAGAAUGUGGAUAAGACCUUUCCGCGAAAAUCUAAAUGUCAACGGUAAUUUUCCUCAAAAGUUAGUAAGUUAUUAUUUCCCUUUAAAUCAUCCCUUCGUUGAAAUUAUUUUCUUUUUAUCUAAAGAUCCAAACUAUAUAUACCAGACUUAUCUCGUAAAUUAAUUAGUGCAUGUAAAAUUCCAAGUUUGAUUUUAGAUUUAUGCGAUGUAAAUAAGCAGCACUACUCCCAAGGUUUUCCUAAUUAAUGUAAUGCAAAUCAUUUCUAGAGGAAUAAAAGAGCAAAUGCUAGACAUAAUAAAAUUGAAUAUUAUAUGCGCGCGCCCGCAUAUUUAUAUAUAAAGAUGGAUGGAGUAUGAAGAGGAAAAUAGUGUGGUGGCCUUCUUAGGUAAGUUUUGAUUUUAAUUUUUGAGAGUUCGGCAAAAAAAGUGAAUCACAUUUUAAUGCUCAACAAUACUUUUCCACCUCAUUUGGUACACUGAUUUUUUAAAAUCUUUAUAUAAUUAGUACUAUUUUGCCCCCCACCCAAAAAAAAAAAAAAAAAAAAAACCCAAUAGUAUCUUGGGAGCACUUUCGUGUGAGUUUCCUCACUGCCGAACGCGUUUUCUUGAGCAGGGCCGUCCACUCCUUUUGAUGACAAGACAACAACAUGGGAAACAAUUACCCUACACUACUCUUGACGCUCCUCUGGAUCGAUGCUUAACGUGUAAGGGCUGCUUGUGAUUCUCCUUGCAAAGGUAUGUUCUCCUUCUUUGAUAACCAAUUUUCCUCUUUUUUUUCGAUAAGUAUGAUAUUAAUUUACUCUGUGUAGAUCUAGUGUAUCUCUCUAUUUGUGCUUUUGUUCCCAGUAAAAUAAGGAGAGAGAUCUCUGUACUUCAGGCGUGCACAACUCAGGCGGUUUGGUUCUGUUAGGAGGAUUCUACGGUUUUGCAACGAUUUCAAAUAUACCUGGUCAGCUAGCUUUUAACAUAACUUAAGAAUCCUUUAUUUUUCUAUAUGCAUUAUUUUUUUAAAUUGAUCGUCUGUUUUUAACUGUUCUAUGCUCUUGCUUGGCAUUGUCUCUGUUUUGUAAGAAUCAAAUAAAGAAUCUCCGACUGAGCAUCCUUAUUUAACUGGAUUACUUCUUGUAGGAUAUUGGUAGCGGCAAUGCCUAGAGAAAAGGAUCCAUUUUGGAAGUACGCGACGUUGCUGAAUGAAAAUAAUAGCAAGUGGAGGUGUAACUUGUGCGGACAGAAUUAUAGUGGACGUGCUACAAGGAUCAAGGCUCACUUGGCUGGAUUGACCCGCUUUGGUAUUAAAGGAUGCGAGAGAGUCGAUGCUAAUGUUAGAGCAGAAGCCAAGGACGCACUUGAGCCUAAAAAAGUGACGGACUCGAGCGACCAAGGUGUAUCUGACGAGAGGAUACCAGGAAAUGUUAAAGCAGCUCCGACCAGCACAACUCAUCCACCAAAUGCGGAGGGAGGAAACAAUUUACAACUUCCACAAGGUAUGCAUUUCCAAAUUACCGCAGAAAAUGGCUGUUUAGUAAAGUGAAUUUUUUUGAUCUAAUCUUAAAUAUGGUUUGAGGUUUGCUUUAGUCUUUUAGGGUCUGCAUGACAAACUUCCCCAGCCCAAGAAUUUCUAUUCUUCUCUUCCCCAGAACCAAAAAAGAAUAGAAACCCGCAUGAUAAUGGCAAGUUAAUUUUUUGUUCCCGGGAACAAAAUGUUAGCCCGGAAAUGGUUUUGGAAUAGAAAUGAGAAGUAAAAAAAAGUUGCUUCUUGUUCCCGGGAACAAGUUUAAGAAAUAAGUUAAUUUUUUUUUCUUUUAUUCUUCUAUUGUUGACUGCCAUUGACCGCUGUUGACCGUUGCCGCCGCCGCCGGUCGCCUCCGCCGGUCGCCGCCGGUCGCCGCCGGACGCCGCUGGUCGCCGGAGGCUGAUCGACCUCNNNNNNNNNNNNNNNNNNNNNNNNNNNNNNNNNNNNNNNNNNNNNNNNNNNNNNNNNNNNNNNNNNNNNNNNNNNNNNNNNNNNNNNNNNNNNNNNNNNNUGUUUUUUACCAAACGCGAUUCAAACGCAUUUCUAUUCUUUUUCUAUUUCUAGAUGUGUAGUUAUCAAACGGGUUUUUUUACAUAGAAAUUGUUCCCCAGAAUAGAAAUAGAAAAGAACUAUUUCUGAAAAGAAAUUGUUCCCCAGCCAAGAAAUGUUCUCAUGCGCACCCUUACUGUCUAAACAUCCAUUUCAAGGCAUGUCAAAGCAAUCAGUUUCCCUGCGCCCUAAAUUUCAAUAUGUUACUGAAGACAGCUAUAUAAAUCCGACUAAUGCUGUUGUAUAUCUCAAUCCAUCACUAGAAAAUGGGCAGGAGAUGAGGGCGGCCAACGUCGCAAACCCCCCAUUCGAUGGUGCAACAAGUUACCAUAGAGCACCUCCCACGCCAAAUUCACCCUUCACUGUUGAAGAUUUUACUUCUUUGAUGGAGUCUCUUGACGCUGAGACAUCAAAUGCACAACAGAAUCCAGGCGCGUUAUUGCUAUCAUCAAACUAUCAGCUCCUUGAUAAUACUUUUCAGAAUGAGUUACAGGGGCCCCUUUUGCCUGGUCCCAUUGCAUCGGAUACUCAACUCAGUAACAUGGCCACAACCAAAACUUCCCAGCAUUCUAGUCAACCACUUCAAAGCGACAGGGAGUGUGGAUACGGCACCGGUCUAGAGCCACCUAUUCCAUCACUACCUUCCACUGGACCUCUUCUUGUCGAGUCAGUUGACCCCCUGCAGAUUCCAGAGGACAUCACAAAUACAAUAGGCCCAUGGACAUCAGAAGGUAUGAAAUUAUCUAUGUAUGUUAAAUGAGUAUCGUUAACUAAGUGCCCAUUCCACUUGUUAAGUAUAUUUGAUAAGAAACUUUAUUUUUAUUUUUAAUGCAUUGAUUAUACAUAAUACAAGAGAGACGGUGCAUUGGGAAUUACAACAUUUCCUUAAUUGGGUUUUUAACAUAAUAACAGUGCAUGGAAUGUGUUGCAAGUGUCACCGGACCAACUGGAUCCGGUAAACUAACUAUAAUCGGCAUUCUCCCAUGUUCCAAUUAACCAUACCCUAUUUUGAUUAAUAACACGCAGGUGAAGGCACAUCAUGUUCAAUGAUGGCUUUAGCGGAAGAAGUACGGUCUCCUUUUAACUUGCCAUGGCAACCACAGUGUUCCAUUCAAUCUCAAAUGCCAAUGAAUUUCCAGCAGAUUCCAGCAGGGGUAUCGUCAUUCCAGUAUAAUCAAUUACCUGCUACAGGUAAUUCACAUUGCUUGCAGGGUAGGAAUCAGCACUCUCAAUUGCAAACUCCAAUGGACAUAGAUGCCUCAAUUGCAUCACGGCAUACAAGUGACUCUCACAUUAUUGAGGCAACAACGGUUGAUUCGCAAGUUCCAGAGGCGGCAACAAAUGCAACAGGCCCAUUGUCAUCACAAGGUGCGUUUGGAUUAAUCUUCAUUGUUACUAUAUGGUUCCACUAGAUUCUUAAAUAUCCCCAAAUUAUUUUAUCGAAAUCUAACAUAUUUUUUUAUAAAUUAGAUAUGAACAGGGGUUCUCCAGUCAUGGACGUACGGAGCAUCUAUGCCAACGAUGAAGAGAUAAGAAACCUGAAAAGAAAAGUGGAAGAACUCGACGACAAAGAAGCUGUCAUAAAGGAGCAGAUGGAGAUAGAGUCUGCUACUUCCUCAGUUCGGAAGAAGCCGAGGAUAUUGGUUGAUAGAUGGCUAAAAGAGACAGAAAGAGCAAGAAAUAAUUUCCAAAUAAUUGGUCAAGCCAAUGCGGAAACUUUGCCACCAAAGGAACAGGUGGAGACAUUGACGAGAGAAGUGGAAGAACUCAUAGGAAAAACGCUUCCACAAACACUACUCAUAGAGGAGAGAGAUGCCAAAGGAGUCAAAUUUUUUGAACGAAAGCUAACAGGUGAAGCGAUUCAUAGGAAUAUUGAGUUGAUUUGGGAUCGUCUGAAGGAGAAUCGUGUAUGCAAAUUGGGUAUUUAUGGAAUGGGUGGUGUUGGGAAGACAACUAUUAUGAUGCACAUACAUAAUAGACUUCUCAAUGAUGCAACCUUCGAUGGUGUGUUUUUUAUCACUGUGUCUCAAGAUUUCAGCAUUAAGAAGCUGCAGAGUGAUAUUUGGAAGGAUCUAAAAUUAGGCGUUAUGGAGGUUGAGGAGGUUGAGGAUGAGAAGAAACGAGCAGCGAUGUUGUCAGAGCAUUUAGAAAGAAAGAAGAAUUGUGUAUUGAUUCUUGAUGAUGUGUGGGAACGUGUUGAUCUUGAAGAGGUGGGAAUCCCUAUUAGAGCACAUGGAUUUAAGUUUGUCUUAACCACUCGAUCCUUUGAUGUGUGCCGCCAGAUGCAAUGUCAAGAAAAGAUCAAAAUCAAGUCUCUAUCUCAAGAAGAAGCCGAGAGUUUGUUUUUGGAGGAGCUUGGACCCAAUAUGCCACUUAAUUUGGAAAUUGAAGCAAUUGUGAAGUCCAUUGUUAAAGAAUGUGCAGGCUUGCCUAUUGGAGUCAUCACGAUGGCAAGAAGCAUGCGAGGAGUGACUGAUGUGUUUGAAUGGAGGGAUUCCCUGGUUAAAUUGGAAGAAUCAAGUAAAGGGCAAACAGAUAUGGAGAAGAAGGUUUUAAUGAAUCUGAAAGUCAGUUAUGAUCGCCUUGGUAAUCCUGAUGUGCAACAAUGCUUCUUAUCUUGUGCACUUUAUCCAGAAGAUAAAUUGAUUGAUAAGUUCAAGUUGGUAGAAUUCUUUAUUGACCAAGGAUUGAUUGGUGGAUUGAAUACGAGGAAAAAACAAUAUGAUAGAGGCUUCACCAUAUUGAACAAACUACAAAAUGUUUGCCUAUUGGAAGAUCAUGGGAGCAAGACGAAGAUGCACGAUUUGAUUAGAGACAUGGCAUUGCACAUCAUGAGUGCAACUUCCAUUGUAAAAGCAGGAAAGUUGUUGGAAAGUAUUCCAUCUGAGGAAUAUUGGACAGAUGCUUUGGAGAAAGUUUCUCUGAUGGGAAACAAAAUAAGUGAAAUUCCAUUGAACAUGUCACCAAAUUGUCCUAAACUAUCAACUUUACUACUGAAUGGAAGCUUGUUAGAGGAUGCAGUCCUCCCUGGUUCUUUCUUCAAACAGUUAUGUGGGCUAAAGGUUCUAAACCUGAGUGGAUGUGAACUAACAGAACUUCCAAAUUCCAUCUCAGAUUUGGUAAACUUAAGGGCACUAUUGCUUAGAGGGUGUCGGGUAUUGUGCCAUAUUCCUUAUUUAGGGAAGCUCACAUCUUUAAGGAAGCUGGACGUUGGUGGCUGUUUUCGGCUUGAAGAAGUGCCCGAGGGUCUGGAAAUGUUGGUGAACUUGAGAUACCUUGAGAUUUGUGUUGAAUUACCUGAAAGAGUACUGGAGGGUUUGCUAAACUUGCAGCAUCUUAAAGUUGAUUUUCUAGAUGGACAAGACAUGACAAAAUUGAGGGCACUGGAGACACUCGAAUGCUCUUUUGAAGAUGCGAAUAAUUUCAACGAGUGUGUGAGGGUUAUUGAACAGAGUAACCCUUGCUGCUAUUAUUAUCUCCGCAUGGUUCAAAAAGAUACUACUUAUGAUGAGGAAGAAAGUUAUAUUGCUCAAUUUGAGAAUUCAGACAGGAAAGUCUACAUUUUGGGGUGGGAGGAUGCUAUUGUGAGUGUCGGAGGGGAAUGCACUGGCAUUUUUAUUUUGAUUCCCCGAGACGUGCAGAAAAUGACAAUGGAUACAUGCAACGGUAUAACAAAUUUGUCUAGCAUGGGUCCGCUUGAAUACCUUGAGGAGCUAAAAAUUAGAGAAUCAGAAAACUUAGGGGUGCUCUAUGGAGGACAAGAUGAAGAAGUAAUUGACAUCCUUACCCCAGCCCUUGCGCCUCUCCUCUUCUCGAGCCUUAGGGUUUUACAUAUAGUCUGUUGUCUGAAACUGAAGUAUCUUUUUGGGCAUGGAUUUAAAUCCAACCUUCCGCAUCUACGAGAGAUUGUAAUAUCGGGAUGUUGGGAAAUGGUGGGGAUAAUAGCAGCAGUUACAUCCCCACCACCACAUCCGCUCCCAUUUUUCCCUAGUCUGGAACAGAUUGAGGUUCUUACCUGUAAUGAAAUGAAGAGAGUGGUGGAAUUCGAGUGGAUACCCCACUUCCCUACUCUGAGAAGUAUCAAAGCAUUACAUUGUGAGAAGAUGGAGGAGAUAAUCGGAGGUCCUCCCCCAUACUCGCCAGUUGAAGAGAUUUCUCUCCAAUCUCUUGAGGUAAAUGACUGCAAUAACAUGAGAAGGCUGUUUUCGCAUGAGUGGCUGCUCCAUCUUCGAAAUCUUCAAAGUAUCCAGGUCGUUGGCUGCAAAGGAAUGGUGGAGAUGAUAAGCGGAGCGGGACAAGGCCAAGAAGAAAGCAUAACGACUCUUUACAGCACCCCUUCAUCCUUCCAGCCUUCUUCAAUUUCUCUCCCAAAGCUGAAGUGCUUGGAGCUACUCAAUCUACCCUGGCUGAAGAGCAUAUGCGAAGUCCCAAUAAGCUGCAAUUCCAUGAAAGAAUUGACAGUGUCCAAAUGCCCAGGACUGAUGAGGAUUCCUUUGCAAUUGCGAUUGUGUGAAAUUGAGGAGCUUCCGCAUAUUUGGGUGGAAGAUGAGGAAAGGUGGAAGACGCUGAUGUGGGAUCAAACCGAUGCUCAGGCUCUUCUUCAACCUUAUCUCCGAAAGGGGAGUCCUUUAUUCCGGAAGGGAUGUUGUUCUCCAAAUGCUAUAGGUUAAUGAGUUUAAUUGAUAAUCAAUUGCUUCACUUCUUAAAAGUCUUUUCUGUCUAUAUAGUCAUGCAGCUCUCAUAGUGGCCUUUUGCAGAACUGUUGGCCAAGGGAAGGGGUCUCCUGCGACUCUGCUCUUGAAGAAAGCCCUGCUGCUCAACCGUGCUUUCCUGCAAACUUGACUCAGGUCGCCAUAUGAAUUUGACUUUUUUUGUGUGGCCAUGCUUUGUCUAUUUUGAAUGUGAUCGCAUGUUUCAUUGACUACUGGAAAUGAGUCGAUCUGAUUGAUAUUUCAGGUUAGUCAAAAAGCAACGGAUCUGAAGAUUUGGGAAGCCAAGGGAUUAGCAAAGUCUGUUUUUUAUCUUGUCUUAUAACUGAAAGGACAAUUUAUUAUUAUGGAUUGAUCUUCUUGGGAUAUUAGCCUUCUAAGAAAAGAGAGAAUUUUGUACAGCACUACCUUUAAUCUGUUUUUGUUUCGAAAGGAUUUCAAAUAUGAUAUUGCUUUAACUUGUCGAUCGAAAAUAUUGUGUCAAAUAUGCUGCUUUGCUCUGUUGGAUCAGAGCAACAUGACCCAUAUUAAACUUGUUUCGACAUUAAACUAGUGGGUAUAGAAUACUUGAUCUGCUUAGUAGUUGUAUCAUAUCUGGAAACGUAGGCCGGGAAGUUUUCUUUUCACCCUUUGUCAUACUUUGAGUUAGAAAUGUAAAAAGAUGAAGAAGAAAGAAUUGCACAGCUAUCACCCCUCUUUAAAUGCCUUGAAGUUGUGGAUAGAUGGAGAAACCUACAGCUUCAGCUCAAGUUACCAAAAAUCAGAGCAGUNNNNNNNNNNNNNNNNNNNNNNNNNNNNNNNNNNNNNNNNNNNNNNNNNNNNNNNNNNNNNNNNNNNNNNNNNNNNNNNNNNNNNNNNNNNNNNNNNNNNNNNNNNNNNNNNNNNNNNNNNNNNNNNNNNNNNNNNNNNNNNNNNNNNNNNNNNNNNNNNNNNNNNNNNNNNNNNNNNNNNNNNNNNNNNNNNNNNNNNNNNNNNNNNNNNNNNNNNNNNNNNNNNNNUGCAUUGAGCAGUUAAAGCAGAUAAUGUUUUUGUAUGCUCUGCGAUCCCAAUCUAUCCUCUCAUCUGAUCUAAAUAUGUUGGGAGGAAACUUUCUUUCAUCAUUUCCAGGUAAUUGAUUGCUUUGUUACUACAGGAAAUUCAGGUACUUAGCCAGCAUAGACAUCCGAACACUCUGCAGUAUUAUGUUAGGGAAAUUGUGAGUCACAUUUCCACAGCAUCUAUGCAUCCCAGCUCAAUGGGCGUUCAUUAUUUGACUCACCAAAAUUUCAACAUAUUCAUGCAUACUCAGGUUGAGGAUUGGCUUUACAUAUAUCUAGAAUAUGCACAUCACGAUUCAAUAGACAAGUAUAUCCAGGAGCGUCUUGGGACCCUAACAGAAUCAGUUGUCAGCACUUUACCCGCUAUAUUGUGGCUGGAUUGGCUUCCCUGCAUGUUAACAACUCCAUACAUGGGUAUCAAGCAUCAUGAGAUGACUUGCAUAUUGGAUUAGGAGAUUGGACCUUCUUAUUUGUACCCACAGACCCGUUAAAACUAUUUGGCUUGUGCAGGGAUUUAAUGGGAGCUAUUUAUUUGUGGAUGCAUCUGGGAUAUUCAAACUUGCUGACUUUGGGAUUGCUAAACAUGUGAGUUUUUACCUCUCCACUGCAAGACUAUUCAGUGCAUGUUGAAAUUCCUUGCUAAUCUGUGGUGCAUUCGAAUGUGAAGUCAGGGACCCAGGGUGACUGCAUACUUCUCGUUAUUGGUUUGUGGCAUUUCAUAUGUGCAUAAAUCUAUCAUAGAUGGAUGAAAUGUUAUUAAGUAAUUUUCUUCACUUUUUUUCCCAUUGUUUCGGGUAAAGUUACCAUGUUGCAUGAACGGGAAAAGAUUUCUUGCUGUAAAUAGAUGCCGAAACCUAAUGAGAGUUCCCUUUCUACUGGUUUCUAAAAAGUUCCUAAGAGCGGUAGUGAAUAGAACGCAAUACCUUUGGCAAAAGGUUGUGGUGUUGUUUUUGCUGCUCCUCUGCAUUCCAAAAUAAGGAUAGAAUUUAGUCACAGUAAGUAAGGGCCUCCUUCCUAACGUGGGGUAAAUAAAAGUGUAUUGAUCCAUAGAAUGGAAUUCUGGACAGUCGCCAAGGUGUUGUUGCUCUCUUUUUGAGUUCUCAAGCAUUUGCUGAGGCCAUGUUGUUGAUUGCUUCAUGGUCCUUUUUCUCAGUAAUGAGCUAACAUGAGUUGAAAGUGGUUGAUUCAGUUAUCAAUAUGAUGUAUCUAUGUCUAUAAAGAUGUUGCUAUUUUAUCCGGUGUUCCAUGAACACACCAAGUAGUAUUCAGCUUUACUAAUGCCGUACCAUUUCUUAGCUAACCGGACAAGCAGCUUGCCGCUCUUUGAAGGGAAGUCUAAACUAGAUGGCUCUAGAGGUACUCUGCUUUUGUUAACGUUAAUGCGGCAUACUCGGAGGUCCUCCCCCAUACUCGCCAGAUGAACAGAUUUCUCUCGAAUCUCUUGAGGUAAGCCUUUGCGAUAACAUGAGAAAGCUGCUUACGUAUGAGUGGCUGCUCCAUCUUCGAAAUCUUCAAAGUAUCGAGGUCGCUGAGUGCAAAGGAAUGGUGGAGUUGAUAAGCAGAGCGGGACAAGGCCAAGAAGGAAGCAUAACGACUUCUGUAAACGACACUCCUUCAUCCUUCCAGCCUUCUUCAAUUUCUCUCCCAAAGCUAGAGUGUUUGAAGCUACGCUAUCUACACCAGCUGAAGAGCAUAUACAAAGCCCCAAUAAGCUGGGAUUUCAUGAAAAGAUUGGACGUGUACGGAUGCCCAGAACUGAAGAGGAUUCCUUUGCAAUUGCCACUGCGUGAAAUUGAGGAGCUUCCGUAUAUUUGGGUGGAAGAUGAGGAAAAGUGAAAGAUGCUGAUGUGGGAUCAUGCUCAGGCUAUUCUUCAACCUUAUCUCUGAAAAGUGCAUCCUUUUUUUUCAAAUGCUAUAGGUUAAUGAGUUUAAUUAAUAUACAAUUGCUUCACUUCUCAAAAAGUCCUUAUAAAGAUGUAGCUUAUCUGUCUAUAUAGUCAUGCAGCUCUAACGGCGGCCUUUUGCAGAACUGUCCGCCAGGAGAAAGGAUCAUCCUUGGCUCUACUCUUGAAGAAAGCCCUGCUACUCAAGCAUGCUUUCCUGCAAACUCGACUCAAGUUGCCAUAUGAAUUGACUUUCUUUCAUGUGGCCAUGCUUUGUGUAUUUUGAACGCAAUCGCAUUUUUUUUGGCUACUGGAAAUGAGUCAAUCUGGUCGAUAUUUCGGGUUAGUCAAAAAAAUGAAAGGACAAUUUAUUAUUAUGGAUUGAUCUUCCAGGAAUAUUAGCCUUCUGAGAAAAGAGAGAAUUUUGGGCAGCAGUACCUUUAAUCUGUUCGUGUUUAGAAAUGAUUUCAAAUAUAAUAUUGCUCUAACUUGUCAAUUGAAAAUGUUGUGACGUACGCCACUUUGCUCUUUUGGAUCAGAGCAGCGUGACCCUGAUUGAACUUGUUUCGACAUUAAACUAUCUAGUAUAGAAUACUCGACUUGCUUAGUAGUUGUAUCCUAUCUGGAAACACAGGCGGCCAGGAAGUUUUCUUUCCUCCCUUUGCUGUAAAAGGUCACCUUAGCCCCACUUUAGGUUAAAAUGUAAAAAGACCAAGAAGAAAGAAUUGCACAAUUAUCACCCC
rnacentral:lncRNA from 1 species